GAUCAAUAGCUCUUCUAACUUCUUCAACCUUCCAAUCAAAUUCACAGGGAUCCUUCUUAGCCUUUGACAACCUGUCACAUCCAACAACCUUAACUCCUUGAGCUCUCCUAUUUCAUCAGGUAAUUCUUCAAUGGAUAAGCACCACUUAAAAACAAGAAUCUUAAGUCUCUGCAUCUUUCUCAACCAAAUGAGGUCCUUGCAUCCACACCUGAUCAACACCAAGUGAUUGCAAUGACAAACACCCUCCCAUCAGAGACAGAACUUCAAUUUCUCUCAUCCCUUCAAAAAACUUAUCUGGAACAUUCAAACCAUCAUCCAGUUCUAAUAAUAGAACUUUGAGCUGUGGACAUACCAAUCCUUCAGGAACUUCUGCUAGUUUAUUGCCCAUUAACGAAAUUGUUGUACAACCUUUAAAGCUUUUAUUGCCCAUUGGCAACUUCUUCAAUCCAAUGCCAGCCUUUACCAUGAAUCCAUAUUCUUCUGAUGAUGCUAUCUGAAUAGCAAAGUCAUGAACCAAGUCAUGCAUUCUCACAUGCUCUUCAGUUUCAGUGCCCAACAGCAUGCAACAAUCUUUGAGGUGUUCGAUUGCUACAGAAACUUGUCCCCUUGCAUCUUCAAUGGGCUCCGUAUCUUGAUGUAACCCAUAGCCAACAGCAUAUCUCGUCAAGCCCUCGAUUGGAAUGUUGUAAUCUUCUGGAAAUAAACAGCAUAGCACGAAACAUGACUUGGUUUCCUUGGACUUCAAAUUAUCAUAGCUCAACUUAAGACAUGUAUAGGCAUUUUUUUGUUUGUCAAUUUGUUCCAUGCGCGGAAAUUGUGAGUCUUUGAGCUGUUUUGACGCUACUUCCCCCUUUUUUUGGGAGUGGCCCGAACAAUGACCCACUCCUUCCUUUCUUCAAAGGAGGAUUCCUUCCCAUAGAAGGUAUGAAAUCCCUUCUUUUGAAUCCCGUAGUCUGACUCUGCUCACUUGUUAACCUUGGGGUGUCAUUCAUUACUCUUUCCAUACCCUGAGUAGCUCGCACUAAAUCUUGGACCGAUAAAAACUGCAUAGCCACCAAAAUUAAUUUCAGCUCCUGCCUGAGCCCUUCCCAAAAUCGUUCCACCCGAUGAUGCUCAGUGGGAAGAUAGGUGUUGGCAAAGAUAGAUAAGUCCUGAAACCUCCUCUCAUACUCCAGGACGGUCAUAUUCCCCUGUUUCAGAUCCAGGAACUUCUGUUCUCUCUUUCCAGUACUGUCAGGAGUAUUACCGCUCCUCAAAUUCUUCUUGAAAGUGUUUCCACCUUAAUUCUUCUCCUGCCCUUCUUUCUCUAAUAGUCUCCCACCAGGAGUGGGCACUCUCCGUUAACAACUGGGUCACACAGUCUACUCGAGUUUCCUUUGGCACAUGCAUCUGAUCUAUGACCCUUUCUACCUUUCUCAACCAAUGUCCUGCUAUUUCAGCAUCUUCUUCCCCUGAAUAGGUCAUGCAACCCAUUUCCCGCAUGCCCUCCACCCAUUGAACCAGGGUGACUACUCUUUCUACCUGAGGAGUGGAAUUGGAUGCACCUGCGGCCAUCCCUGCUGCUACUGCCUUGACCAAUUGCUCCAGAAAUGUAGGGUCCGAAUAUGGAUUCGCGGUGACCGUCAGUGCCACUAGUGGUGGCCUGUCUUCUGGUCCUUGACCACCCGCUGCUCUAGGUAGUAACACUUCUUCCCGAUGAGAGACAGGGUCAAUCUGAUGCCCCCCCUGAUUCUCCCCUCUUUGAAUGGGCCUACUCUAUAGGUUGGUGGGAGGUUGUGUCCAUCAAUGGGUCCCCUUCAUUUUUGUUCCCAUAUAGUGAGCCAUACUCUCUCCCCUGCAUAGGGGACGAGUUUGCUCUUGCUUCCUGUCGUGUACGAGCCAUCCUGCAACAUGUUUUCAAAUUCACAUAAGUAUUUCAAUCCCUGAAACUUCAACCAGUGGCUCUGAUACCAACUGUAACAACUUCAAAAGUUCAAUCAAUAUAUUCGUUUAACUUCCACAUAAAGGGUAAGUGGAGCAAUUUGUUUUUUAUUAAGUUCACUGAAAUUUCGGCAGAGUCUCCCCUAUACCGGGAGAUCCCAAGUUAUCGACAAUUUACCUUGCACACAAUUAUAAUCACAUCCCACCCAUAAUCACAUCCAUAAUUGGUACAAACCAACCAUUUAAUUCAUUCAAGAAUAUACUCAGGACAAAUCUUCAUUCUCAAUCUCCAUCUCAUAUCACAUGCAUAAGUUAGUAAUUAAGAGAACCAUCCAAGCACUGAAAUUUCAUAUAUAAGCACAACAUAGUUUAGCAUUCUAAACAUAAGCUAAUGCACUAUAAUUUCCCAAGCAUAGAUUAAUACAUUAAUAUUCCAAAAACAAAAUAAUAUAAGGAGCCUACUAUUCUAUUCAGGUUACAUGUUUACUGCGUAACAAAAUUACAUGAAAAUCCCUAAGUUCCUAACUUCUACUCCUGACGUGAAUGGGAGGGACCUAUAAAACAUAAAUUUUCCAUGUAAUUAAAAAUAACUAAAAUACAAACAAUUCACUGAAGAAAAUUUAUAUAGCACAUCUACCUACUUAAGUCAUAUGCAAUUCAAUACACCACCACCAACCCCUUUUGAGGACUAUCCAUUUUAUUUCCUUUAACUACUUCUCCCCAUAUUAGGAAGACUACUACCGACUCUAAUGACCUCCAUUAGAGUCUUUAGUUGCCCAUCCUGAGGUCAACUAAUCAAAUUCAUGAAAAUGUCGACACAAACACGACUGUUGGUGUCAUUAACUAUUUUUGGACCGAAAUAGUUAAUCAAUGUUCUAUGUUACCUUAGGAGGUCCUCGGGUAUGCCGAUGUCAAGGAUUCUUGACAUCAUUGGCUUUCACCUCGAAAAGCUAAUCAAGUCUAUAAAUUUUGCCAAUAUCGACGUCACUCGCCGAUAUCAUUAACUAUUCUGAACCCGAAUAGUUAAUUUAGUUUAUAAAUUUUUCAAAUAUCGACGUCACCCGCCGAUAUCAUUAACUAUUCUGAACCCGAAUAGUUAAUCAAGUUUUAUAUUUAUCCUUUCCUCCCACGUACCGGUAAUGCCAAUGUUAACCAGCUUGGCUAACAUCAUUACCCUCCCAUAUCAGGGAUAGGCUAAUCAAAUUCAAGAAACAAUCAUUACCAAAAUUCAUUGUUACUGUUCAUUUCCUCAAAAAGAACCUAAAAAUUAAAUCUGGUCCUUCAUUUCUAUUUUCCCAUCAUUUAACCUUUCCUUUCUCCCUUUUCUUUUCCUCAUCAAUAAGCACCAAUUUUUUAUAGUUCAAUGGUUAGUUAAAAUAAUUAUUAAUUAGAGAAGAUAGAGGUACCGAGUACCUACCUACUGUAGACGCUCAACUUGCGUUCCCCUGUUGUUGCUGUACUCCUCCCGCGCCACAUUUCCCCAAAUUUUACUUAGGACCCUAAUUUUUCAAACUUCAAAUUAAUGCACAAUUCUUGCAUGAAUUUAAUUUGGCUUUCCUAAUUGGCUUAGAACUUCAUACCUGGAGGAAAUUUAGGUUUGAUUUCUGGUUUGAUUAAAUUUUCCUAACCCCUUUCUCCUCUACAAGCAGCUGGCCUCCCUCUCCCUCUUCUCUUAACAAUUCCGUCACUUCUUGCAAAUCUCCUGCCCAAGUUUGUCAUCCCACUUAGUAAUUCUAAGGUAUAGAAAUUUAGGUGUUUUCUCUUAGGCUUGAUGAAGGAAAAUCUGAAAAUUUUCUCUUAGGCUGGUCAUGGAUGAGAGAAGGAAUGGGUAUUUAUAGUCCCAUCUCUUCUUAAUUCCAUUUUGGCCGAAUCUUUCUCCUUUUUUCUUAUUUUAGCCGUUUUUUUUUUGUAUUAUAACAAAAAUUUUGAAUUAUUAUAAACCUCCCCCUUUUUUGUAUAUUUUAUUCUCAGGCUUCACAAAACAUUAUGGUCCUUUUGAGUUAUUAUUUUGGUUUGACACGACUAAACCUUUUCUAUUGGUCCAUAAAUUUAAUGCCCCUACAUAUAAAAAGAAAUAGAUAGCUGUUUAACUGAGUUAACACGUUUUGGUCCUUUUUCCAUGAUUCAAGUCGCAAAUUUAGCAUUUUCCUAGGUUGAUUGUGUGUGUGAUCUUAUAUAUAAAUUCUCCCGUCCUUCUGCGUCCGAGUUGGACUUCUCNNNNNNNNNNNNNNNNNNNNNNNNNNNNNNNNNNNNNNNNNNNNNNNNNNNNNNNNNNNNNNNNNNNNNNNNNNNNNNNNNNNNNNNNNNNNNNNNNNNNCAGGAAGGACGUGUCUUGUGCAUAUCCGCAUGAGAAGUGGAAGGUUCCACCCUCUUGGAUUCUCUAGCAUUAGCCAACAAGGUAUCUACUUGGAAUUACUUCCACCAAUCAAAAACAUAUUCGCAGCACCACAGCUCAAAGACAUGAAUCUUCGUGAAAUCGCCUAAGGCCGAGUUGAUCAUGUAAUAGGUAACCAACCUUGCCUGAUGCAAACAUGAAGAACAAAGACCAUCCAUGCAUAUCGCAUACGUUGAUUUAAUUGAACCAUUAAAAGAAGAUGGAAAAGGAGAGCAGACAAAUAAUUGCAGCCAUAUCACCUGGUUUGGGCAAGAAAGAAUUAUUAGACUAAACACCUUCAACUUCUCUAAAUGAGGGAAUAAGAAAUCAUAACAACAAGCACACACUCUCUUAUUUUUUUGAGGUUCGCACAGUAAUGACUAAACACGAAACAUUACAUUACAUGGGUAUACAAGCAGAUAACCUUAUUCACACAGCAUAUGCAUUAUUUUGGUCGUCAAUUUGUUCCAUGCGCGUAAAUUGAGAUUCUUUGAGCUGUCUAGACGCUACUUCCCACUGAACUGGAGAUUUAUGGCCGAUUGACAUGCCAAAGCAGUUGUGGCACUACCAUAAAGUAGCCAACCCGACCAGCCUUUCUGUAGUAACUUGUCAGGCCAUGAUUGCAACUUUAAGUCAAUGGUUGGGAUCCUUCAGAGUUGAAUUAAGGGCCAAGGGCACCAUUAAAGACAAAAUGCCCCUCUUCCACCCCUAUAAAUAGAGGUGAAUUUCAUGGCCUAUGAGAGGAAACAAUCGGGUCCAAAGUGUUGGGUUUGUUGCCAUUAAUGUGCAACAAAUGGACGACACCGUCCAUUGACUUUGGUAGCCACCAUUGUUGAAGAUAAGCUGGAGUUGGCAGCCACCAUUGUUGAAGAAGAGCUGGAGCUGGUGGCACCAUUCUUGUCUAUAAAUAGGCACCGAGAGAGCAGAGCAGAGUGAGAGAACAAAGAGAGAGUGAGACCAAGAGAGAAAGAGGGGCUGCCAAGGGCAGCAGCCCUGUUGCCUUGUGCAGUAGUGUGAGAGUAGAGUUGAGUGAAGUGAUCCUCCUUCUCCAUGUGUGUUGUAACCCUUUCUCUAUCUAUCUCUAAUAAUAUGGACUUCUCCCGUGGAUGUAGGCGAUUUGCCGAACCACAUUAAAUAUUGUGUCCCAGUGUGCUAAGCCUCCAAUAGACAACUAUUAGAACACCACCGGUCCAUACAUAAGGGGUCGGAAUCCCCAACAUAAAGUUGAUAAAAAAACCAGCCUUACCCCUAGUAUUUAUCCACCAUUAUCGUUUUUUUCUUCUUCUCUGUCGUCGUACGUGACCUUUGGUGGCCUAGCACCCUUGCCACUCCAUCUCCUUGCCAGCAACAGGAGUAGCCAUCAUUGGCUCCUCCCUUCUCCCCUAAACAAUAACCCUUGCAUGCUUCUUCCUCUUCCUCCUAAACCAACAAUGACUCCUGCACCUUCAACUUCCACUCACUAGUGACAACACCAGUAACUCCAGCAGACCAAUAAUUGCCACCAUUUUAGUUUUGUUCUCCUUCAGCACCGGUAGCAGCAACAACUCCAACCAUGCCAAUGUUUUCUUCUUUUUCUCCCUUCAACAGCCAACACCGCCCACCACCGUCUCCACCAACAGCUUUGACAGUAGUCGACAAAAAGGCCAUGCGGCCACUCCUUCUGUAAUAACCCAAUUUUUUAUUCUCCAAAAUUUUCUUGAAUGUUGUUUUUAUUUCUAUUUUGAUUCAUAAAAAUCCAAAAAAAAAGUUAAGAAAAGAAUAUUAAAAUUCAAAAAUAUAUUUUUCUCGGGUCAAUCGUAUUUUACCAUGAAAAAUGAGCUCAUCGGGUCAAUACGGGUCAAACCAUGUUGACUGGGGUAAAAAUUGAAUUUCAAGCUAUUUUGGGUCAAAACUAUUAUUUUUUGUCAAAACUCGGUCAACUGGGUUGACACUAGUUGAAAAAUAUUUAUUGAUGUUUGAAAUUAAUUUUUUAAUAAUUAAAAUUGAUUUUUAGCAGUUGAAAUGGGAUAGGUAAAAAAUUUUCUUCAGGACAAUGUCGUGUCCCCAUAAACGUUUCUUCAGGACAACAUUAACUAUAAAAGGUAGUGAAAAUUUGCUAAAACAAAGAAGAAGAAAAAAAAAGUGAAUAUGAAUGAUAAUACUAUUCAUGUUUUUUUAGUUUUUUCUUCACACGAGUAAGUUAAUGAUUAAAAAAAAAACAAUUCAAAAGGUAUCAAAACUAUCUUGACCGUUAGAUCUAAUAGUAUUUUAGUUCUUGACCCUUAAUUAGAUUUGAUCUAAUACGGCUUACCAUACUAGAUGAAAACUCAAAUUCAUCUCAGCCAUUAACCAAAUCUGACCUUGGAUCUAAUUUUGCCACAUCACUAAGCUGCACAAGAUUUUUGGUACACCUGGUGACGUCAUAAAAUUAGAUCCAAGGUCAGAUUUGGUUAAGCAUCCAUAUGGAUUUGGGUUUUCAUCCAGUGUGGUAAGCUCUAUUAAAUUUUAAAAUUUAUAGCUGGACGAUACCAAUUUAUUUAGAUUUUGGACCAAUUUUCAAAAAACCAACUUGAUAAGGAAUCUGAAACUAUUCCUUGAUUAUAGAUGAUUUGUUAUUAUAUACAUAUCUUGUAGGAUUUAUAUUGACUACGUUUUAUUUGUUUCCUAUUAUAUAGGAUUUGUUAACUGCUGUACAUUGUAUAUAUAAUGAGAAUCAAUCACCUCUGCAUGAUAGGGUGAAUUACAGCUAUUCUUAAACCUUGUUAUGGUAUCAGAGCUCCUUUAGGUUUUUCUUUUACUCUAUCUCUUUAUCAUGGCUGCGCCGUUCCGCUGAACACGAUGGUGCAUAUGCUUACCAUCAAACUGACCUCCUCAAAUUAUUUGUUAUGGAGAAAUUAGUUUAUACCAUUGUUAACAAGCCAUGAUCUUCUUGGAUUUCUGGAUAGUAGCAUCGCAGUUCCUUCUCCACAGAUAACUGGUACUGAUGGCUCUACUCAGGUGAAUCCAACAUACUCUUCUUGGCUAAACACAGAUCAGACCCUAUUAAGUCUCCUUUAUUCUUCCCUUACAGAGGAAUCUAUGAGUGAGGUGCUUGGUUUGAAACAUGCUCAUGAGGCCUGGACUGCUCUUGAAGCCUCCUUCUCCCACAGAUCAAAGACUCGUGAACUGCAACUCAAGGACGAGCUCCAACUGAUGCAGCGAGGCUCCAAAUCAGUGGCUGAAUUCUCUCGCCUUUUCAAAGGCCUCUGCGAUCAACUGGCAGCAAUUGGUCGACCCAUCGAUGACCUGGACAAAGUUCAUUGGUUCUUGAGAGCUUUGGGUCCUGAAUAUAAAAUCUUCUCAACAACAAUGCUUUCCCAGUCUCCGUUACCUUCUUUUGCAGAUAUAAUCCCGAAAGCUUUAAGCCAUGAGAUUUUUGAACGAUCAGUGUAUCAACAAUCUGCCAACUCGGCGUUUUAUGCUCAGCAACGUCAUUCUUCAACCACUAGAUCAAAAUACAUCAACAGAGGAAAACCCAAACCUCCCUCUGCCUCUGUCACAAAAUCUAGUUUCUCUCCAGUCCAUUGCCAACUCUGUGACAAGGCCACUUGGCUAAACGUUGCUGGACAUUUCUUAAUCUCAAGAAAAAGCAGUCUGCCAAUCUUGCUGAAGCUUUUGCUGCUUGUUCAAUCCCGGCCUCCCCUGAUCCUGCCUGGUAUCCGGACUCUAGAGCCACCUCUCACAUGACAAAUGAUCCUGAGGGUGUUGAUAUUCCUGCUGUAUAUUCUGGUAACGAAAGGGUGAUGGUUGGUAAUGGUCAGUCUCUUUCUAUUUCUCACACUGGCUCCGUUUCCGCUCUUGUUCCCAACAGCCCAUUACUUUUAUCUAUUGUUUUAGUUGUUCCUGUUAUUACUAAAAAGCUUAUUUCCAUUAGUCAACUUACAAAAGAUAAUAAUUGUUGGGUCAUCUUUUUUUAUUCUGGUUUCAUAAUACAGGACCGGGUCACAGGAGUAUUGCUGGGAGUCGGCAGAUGUGAGAAUGGCUUAUAUGUACUCCAGCAACAUCAUUAUGCCCUUGCUUCCACAGUUUCUUCCAAUAAAUUGCGUGUCUCUGCUCAUUUGUGGCAUGCUCGUCUAGGUCAUCCUAGUUUUCAUACUAUUGACUCUCUCACCAAGUCAAGUUUUAUUUCUUGUAGUGAUAAAUUAAUCGGUUUGGAUUCUAGUUUAUGUGUUGGAUGUAACCUUGGCAAAAGCCAUCGGCUACCCUUUUCAAUUAAUAAUACUUGUUGUGAUUUGCCUUUUGAUCGUUUACACUGUGAUUUAUGGGGUCCUUCACCUAUUUGUUCAACUACGGGUUUUCGAUAUUAUGCAGUUUUUGUUGAUGAUUGUACUCGUUUCAGUUGGUUUUUUCCACUCAAACAUAAAUCUGAUUUUUUUGAUACAUUUAUCAACUUUCAACAGUAUAUUGAAACUCAAUUUUCAUCCAAAAUUAAAUCCUUCCAAUGUGAUGGUGGAACUGAAUUUACCAAUAAUAAAUUUCGCUCUCACCUCACAUGUUGUGGUAUUGUAUUGCGUGUUGCAUGUCCUUAUACACCCAGUCAAAAUGGAAUUGCUGAACGUAAACACCGACAUGUUACCGAAACAGGACUCACUCUUAUGUUUCAUGCAUGUGUUCCUUUGCCUCUUUGGGUUGAGGCCUUCUCAACAGCUGUUUAUUUCAUCAACCGACUCCCCUCACAAACUCUUGCUGGCAAAACUCCUUACGAGCUUCUGUUUGGUAAAUACCCCGACUACACCAUGCUUCGUACUUUUGGAUGUUUAUGCUUUCCUUAUUUGUGAGAUUAUGCUCCUAACAAAUUAUCUCCCAAAUUUGCUCCUUGUGUCUUCUUAGGUUAUAGCCCCCUUCACAAGGGUUUCCGCUGUUUUGACCGCAAGACACAACGUCUUUAUGUCUCUCGCCAUGUCCAAUUUUAUGAAACUAUAUUUCCUUAUGCAUGUGAUAAUGUUCAACAAAAUCAUAAUUCCACACCCUAUAUUACUUUCUCUGAUUUCUUGGACUCUCAUAAUAUUGUGUCUCCUGCCUCCCCACCUCCAUUGGUGUCUUCUCCAGUUUCGACUUCUACUUGUUUGCCAUGCAGUGAUAAACCUGUAGCCUCCUGUUCCCAGCCUCCUAUUAUGUCUAUCAUCCCAUCUUCCAGUCAGCCCUCUCCUUCUGUUCCUGUUCCACCAAUGACGACCUCUACUAACCUUCACCCUAUGGUUACUAGAAGGAAAGCUGGUAUAUUUAAACCUAAUGCUUAUCAUGCGCUAACCAUUGCAGGUUCUUCUCAGUUUUUUCAGGUUCUUCUAGCUCUCCAAGAGCCUCGGGGUUUCAAAUCUGCAGCCAAACACCCUGCAUGGCUCUCGGCUAUGGAUGCUGAAAUACAAGCCUUGAAGAACAAUGACACAUGGGAUUUUGUACAGCGUCCUGCAAGUCACAAUGUGGUUGGUUGUCGCUGGAUCUUUAAAACCAAGCUCCGUGCUAAUGGAUCCAUUGAGCGUCAUAAGGCUCAUCUUGUGGCCAAGGGUUUCUCACAGAUUCAUGGCCUUGAUUUUGAAGACAUGUUCAGUCCUGUGGUGCGUCCUGCUACUGUUCGGAUUAUUCUAUCCAUUGAAGUCGGUUCCGGGUGGCCUCUACAUUAAUUAGAUGUUCAAAAUGCCUUUCUUCAUGGUCAUCUUUUUGAACUGGUAUACAUGGAUCAACCUCCUGGCUACAUAGAUCCCCGGUUUCCUCAUCAUGUAUGUCGACUAAAGCGUGCUCUUUAUGGGCUCAAACAAGCCCCUCGUGCUUGGUUCCAACGCUUUAGCUCGUUUUUACUGCAACUUGGUUUUCUUAUCAGCAAAGCAGAUUCCUCUCUGUUUGUGCAUCACUCUGCAGCUGGCACGGUUUAUCUCUUGCUCUAUGUAGAUGAUAUGGUGCUUACUGGUAGCAAUCCCAGCUUGAUCAAAACUCUUAUCACACGACUGUCCACCGAAUUUGCCAUGAAAGAUUUGGGGUCUCUACACUAUUUCCUUGGUGUUGAAGUCCACCAUAACUCCCACGGUUUAUUUCUCAGCCAGACCAAGUAUGCUCUUGAUCUUCUCCACCGUGCUGACAUGGUUGAAGCCAAACCCAUUACCACUCCUUAUGUUGUUGGCCAGCAUCUAUCCACUGAAGGGAAGUUAUUUUCAAAUCCCACUCUUUUUCGGUCUCUUGCUGGUGCUUUGCAAUAUUUGACAAUUACUCGCCCUGAUCUCUCAUUCAGUGUCAAUUCAAUUUGCCAAUAUAUGCAUGCUCCGACAGAAGAUCACUUUCGCGCACUCAAACGUAUAUUGCGUUAUGUUAAAGGAACGGUUCAUCAUGGCCUUCAACUUCAUCGCAAUCCUUCCCGUGAUUUGCUUGCCUAUUCUGAUGUUGACUGGGCUGGUUGUCCUGAUACACGUUAGUCUACCACUGGCUAUCUUAUUUUCUUGGGUCCCAAUCUUAUCUCCUGGUGCUCCAAGAAACAAUCCACAGUUUCUCGUUCCAGUGCCGAAGCUGAAUAUCGUUCCUUAGAUGUCGCUACUGCUGAAGUCGCUUGGAUUGUUCAGUUACUUCGUGAUCUCCAUCUACAAUUACCUUCACCUCCGAAGCUGCUAUGCGACAACAAAAGUGCUAUAUUUAUGGCGGUCAAUCUUGUCACUCGGCCUCGCUCUAAGCAUAUUGCGAUUGACUAUCAUUUUGUUCGUGAACUCAUUGCCAAUGGUUCCUUAAAAGUCACCUUUGUUCCCUCUCAUCUUCAGCUUGCCGAUUCCAUUACAAAAGGAGUCCCCAAACCUCAGUUCCUCCUUUUUCGUCACAAGCUUCACGUGGUUCCUUCUUCCAUGCUCAACUUGAAGGGGGGUGAUAAGGAAUCUGAAUCUAUUCCUUGAUUAUAGAUGAUUUGUUAUUAUAUACAUAUCUUGUAGGAUAUAUAUUGACUACGUUUUAUUUGUUUCCUAUUAUAUAGGAUUUGUUAAUUGUUGUACAUUGUAUAUAUAAUGAGAAUCAAUCACCUCUGCAUGAUAGGGUGAAUUACAGCUAUUCUUAAACCUUGUUACAACUGAAUUUGACUUUGACAAAUUAUUUUAUAAUUUUUUAUUGGUUUAAAAUCUAAAAAAUUAAAAUUUUGAAAGUCUCAAUUCAUAUUUUUUUUUAAAAAAAAUUUGUUAAAUUUUUAAUCAAAAUAAAACUAAAGAAAAAAUUAUUCAAAAUCAUGUUAUAUUGAGUAUGAAAAGUUGACAGGGGCCAAUUAUUAUGGGAUAGAGGGAGAAAUAAAUACUAAAUUCUGCGAAUUAGGGUGCUCAAGUCUAAAAACAUGAGCAAAAACUUUCAUAGAUAGGUAAGAAUGAAAUUGCCUAACUUAUCCAAAACUAUUUAUGACAAGCUUGAAUACCAAGAUAAUAGCUUGCAUAUGGCCUCCGGAAUCCUCAACAAGCUGAUUCUUGAGAAGCAGGAUGGAUUUCCACAGAGGAGAGGCAGGGGCCUGAGCCUAAGCAGACCAAACGUACGAGGCACAUAGAUAGAAAUGAUGUAUCCAUUGGAUCCAUACAGAAUCUGUUUUCAAGUGAAUGUUCCACGGCUGCUUGGCUAAAAAAUUAUUACUGCAGGAUUUGAUAUCAACCAAAGUUGACUUGCUUCUUAAGAAGUUCCCUGUCCAUAAAAAGUUUCGACAGAGUCGAGUAAUGUGCCUAAUGACCGCUUGCGGCAUGGGAAGAAUACUAAUCCAAAACUGAACCAUUCCGUGCAAAACAGACUUAACAAGCUCAAGCCUCCCAACAAAGGUAAGAUUCUUCCCCAUCCAGCCAUGAAUGCCCGCUUCAAGCUUGUGUAGCAAGGGAGAAUACUGACUAGCUAAAAGCCUUGAGAGUUAUAUUUAGAUUUCUUUUUCUUUAUCUUGCUAAAUGCCAUAACCCAUUUUUGGGUUAUUCCCCUAUUCACAUUUUUUCUCUCUUUAAAAGAAUAAAAUACAAAAAAAUAAAAAAAAUAUUAUCAAAAAAUAUAACAGUGAAAAGAGAAUGCUAGAACGCUCAAAAAAUAGUUAAAAAUUGGUUAAGGAGGUUCAAAAAUACAAAGAUUAAAAUUUGACAAUAUUUUGCUAAUUGAUGAGAGCUCUUUUGACAAAGAAAAUUCAAUUUGAGGAAGAAAAGUCCAAAAUCAGAUGUUUAUGGACUCAAUUAAAUUUUAUUGAAGGUUUAAUUGAUUUAUGGAGGGUUUGAUUGCNNNNNNNNNNNNNNNNNNNNNNNNNNNNNNNNNNNNNNNNNNNNNNNNNNNNNNNNNNNNNNNNNNNNNNNNNNNNNNNNNNNNNNNNNNNNNNNNNNNNGAGAGUUAAUUUAGUCAAAUCAGGGGCUUAAUUGCAUAAAUAUGAAAGUAUGAUGGCCAAUUAGGGACUUAAUUGAAGAAAUCCGAAACUAAGGACCAAAAUGAAAAAGGCGCGUAAAUAGAGGAGCUAUUAUUAAAACCGAAUCAGGGGCCAAAUUGAAGAAAUUAGAAGUUUAUUGAUUAAUUGAGGGUCAAAUUGCACUAAUUCGAGACCAAGGACCAAUUUGGAAAAGGAGGUCAACUUCAAGGCCGACGAUUGAAUUUGGCAGGGAUGCAAUUGAAUUAAUUUUUAAAAUCAAAAUUACAAUUGAGGACUCGAUUGAACAAAUCCAAAAUUGAGGACUGAUUUGUACUUUCACAUAAGUUUGCCGCCAUUUUCAUUUAAAUAAAAUGACGCGUUUUGCCCAAAACGACGCCGUUUCAUGCACUGUUAAAAAAAAGGAAAAACCCAAAACAGUGCCGUUUUGAAUGGCAUUGUGGGUCUUCUUCUUCCUCUGGACGUGCGAGGCAGGGGAAGAAGAAGAUUUUUUACUGACUUUUCUCCUCCUCUUUCUCCAAAAAGCAUCAAAAAGACGCCGAUCAUAACCCCACUUGUAUAAACUCUGACCCGUGGCCUACCACAGGGCGGUGAAAAAAGGAGGAAACGUGUCCGUCGGCAGUCGUGGGGCGGCAGCAUAGUGGCCACCCCAGCCAUGUCCCUCCCUUGUUUUUGGCUAUAAAAACAAGGGGGCAGAACAAAAAAAAAAACAAGAGAAUAAGGGGGGAGCACAAGAGAAAAAGAAGGUCUAGAGACCGAAAGGAAAAAAAAAAAAACUAAGAGGAGAAGAGGAAAAAGAAACAGAAGAACAAAGGAAAAAAAAGCAGAGAAAAACAGAGGAGGAAGAAGGAGAAGGAGAAGAAGAAGAACCACCACUGACAACCUUUAACCCAGCAGCGCCACCGUUGCGGCUCCUCUCCAUCGCCAUCAGCAGCAGCAGCUCGUCAAGUAGAAGAAGAAAAGAAAAGGAAAAAAAACAGAGGCUCUCACCUCUGCACACUGAAGAAGAGGAAGCCAGCACCGCGUGCCACCAUGCCCCUAGCCACCACUAGCAGCACCGUUGCCAUCGCCACAGUCGCUCGAAGCACCAUGAGCCACCUUAGGUAAGCCUUCUUCCCUUUCCCUUUCUUCUUCUUCUUCUUCUUCGGGUCUCUCCACUGUUCACGUUGGUGUCGCCACUAUUCACGUUGCAUGUGAACAGUGGAGAGACCCACUGUUUGAAUGGGCCAGCAAACCCGGCCCAACCCAAAACGUUUGAGCUAGGUCCGACCCAAUUAAAAAAAAAAUUCUCAAAAUGCUUUUUUAAAAAAUUGUAAUUUUUCCGUGUAUUUUUCUAUUUUUUUGCUUAAUAUCGGUCUGUAUUUUACGUCAUAAAAAUACAAAUCCGGUAUUAAAAUGCCUGGUUUUCGUCAAAACUUCCAAAAAUACAAAACAAAUUGAAAAAAAUGAAAUUUAUGCAUACGGCCAAGUGUCUCAAAGCUAAAAAAUCAUAUUGUGUUUUUUCAUACACCCAAAAACAAUGUUUUAGUAUGCAUUUUGGCUUUAAUAACCAGUUUAUUAAAGUCAAGAGAAUAUUAGCCAAAAUUUCAAAAACAAAAAAAAAUUAUUUUGUUUGUCUUUUAGUAUUCAGGGUACGACAUUCCACGUAAUACGUAUUCUGAAUAUUAAAUUCUUUUUUCGGAGGCUAAAACGGUUAGGUUUUACCCCAUUAAGAAUAAGAACCUCCUUACAUAGGGCUUUUCUUAAAUCUUAGAUAGACAGAACCAACGAUUAGAAACCACAACCAAACCUUAGAUUUUAUCAGACAACAAAACAAUGCAGCCUAUCUUAGGUAGGGCGUAUUUGGGGUGCCAAUACCUUCCCUUUACGCAACCAGUCUCCGUACCCCAUCUCCGAGACCAGUUAGGGUUCCUAGUGAUCAAAAUACUAGGUGGCGACUCUGAGUUCAUAUUUUACUGAUAAGAGACAAGAAUUCCUUGUCUAUCCAUAUUUGCCAUAUACACCAUUCCAUAUUCCAUUUCCUUGAGUGGUGGACGAUCGUCGCGACGCUGCACAAGUACGACACUAAAAAAAGUACAUCUAGCUCGAUAAUUAAUUUAGAUUCAAGUUGAUUUUUUAUUUUUAAAUCAAUUAAAUGUUUAUUUAAGAUUUUGAAUGGAUUUAUUGAGGUCCCUUUUACACAUAGCUAACUUUGAUAUCCCGUCCGAUGUAUCCAACUCUUCAAUAAAAGGAGCAAUUUUUCAUUACAUUCAGCAUAAUAUUUAUCUAACAUGUAUGAAGAUUAUCGCACCCGACAUCGUGGCGGCCUUAAAAACAUUUACUCAAAAGAAAAGAUUUUUGGCAUCUUUUUCUUAGAUAUGGAAGGUCUUGCUUAAAGAGUCGUCACCUAGUAUAAUAGUUACUAGGUACCCUAACUAGUCAACAGAGAUCCUAUGGUAUGGGACUAGUUACGUAAAAGAGAAGAUAUUAUCACCCCUUAAACGUCAUGUCUGACUGGUUUUGUCUUAAAUUGCUAACAGUUUAUUGGUUUAUGCUAUGAUGGUUUGCUUGUAAUAUUUCUGACUUUAGCGUCAGUGAAUAUUUAACUAUAGAUACUUCCAAUUCUGGUGUCGGUAAAUAUUACGUACUAAAAAAAACAUAUGGUAUUUCUCGACUAUGGAAGUGAAUAACCUAGUAAAAUCAUUUUAAAAUCAAUGCAUGCAUAUUUUUUUUUUUAUAGAAAAAAAUGUAUUGUACAGUAGAUUUACAUUUCACAAUAAAAAUUUACAAGUUAGUUAUACAAUGAAAUACCAAAAAAAUAUAUUUGAGGGACCUAUAAAUAAAUUCAAAAUGAUCCUUGAAUGUUUUUGAAAUUUGCUGAGAUAAAAAAAAAAAAAGCUUGCUAGUUAAAUAUCAAAACCAAAAAAAAAAAAAAGGGGAAUGGGCUGAUUGGGCAUGAGGCCCAGGUCCAACCCGCCCUCAGCUUUUUCAGCUUUACCUUCGCACUGUGUAAUACAAACUCAAAGAAUGAAACUCAAUAGCCAGCAUGAAAAAACCAUCUUCAAAGGAAAUCUGCUCGAAAAAACCAUUCAACAAGAGAUUGUUCUGCUAGGAAAACUUUUGAACAGAUAGUACAGCAUCAAGUUUCAGUCAUCUUGAGAUUUGAAUGCCCAAAUAUAUUCACAUGCUCAUACAAUAACAUUUUUAAUAAUGCAUUAUGCAAUAGAAACAGAACAUCAAACUGACAGAGAAAACAUGCUGAUGCAGAAAAAACUCAAGUCGUAGAAAGGAGAACGCAUGAAAGUCCACACAUUAAACCAAAAGAAACACAAAUGGGCAAGCAAACAUACGCCCUUACUUCUGGAGGCUUGUACGAUAAUGACUACACACACAACAUUACAUUACUUCUAACUUCUUCAGCAAACACAUAGAUAGAUAAGACUGUUACAAUGCGAAGCCAAUUUGUAUCCCAUUGCCAAUGAAACAGUUGGAAUUACUUCCCACCAAUCUAAAACAUAUUCGCAGCACCAACCUUGAAAUCAUGUAACAGCUAACCAACCUUGCCUGAUGCAAACAUGAAGAACAAAGACAUUCCAUGAUUUAAUUCAACCAUUAAAAUUUGAAGGUAAAGGAGAGGAUAAAUAAUCUUCAGCUAUAUCACCUGGUUUGGGCAAGAAAGAAUUAUUAGACUACCAAUCAUCAUCAUCAUCACCAUCUUCUUCUUCUUCCCACCCAUUAUCUCGGGUCCACUCUCUAUUAAUGCUUGAAUCUUCAGCUACUUCAGAUACCUGUAAACCAAUUCAAGCAUGGCAUGCUCGUUUAAACUUGUAAAUCUUAUUAUUGAGCGAAACAAGAAACAAACACAAUAAAAAAGAGGCAAGAAAUCAAGUCAAAUCAGCAGCACCUUUGAUUGAGCACUCAUUGAACCAUCUGGUGUAGUGGCAAAUUUUGUGGUCAGCUUUGGACAUUGAUAGACCUUCAACUUCUCCAAACGAGGAAAUAAGAAAUAAUCACACCAUCCGAAACUAAAACAGACAAUACUUGAUAAUUGUUCUAGCGACAACUCCUUUAGAUUAGGAAGCAUCAUCUCCUUCUCAACGUUGACAAGUGAAGCUUGAUCAUCCUGCCCAAAUACUCCCAAUAAUUGAGAGGCUUUUUUUACCCUCAGUAUUUGGAGAUUUGGGAGACCUGAAGCCAUGGCUACUGGGAAGAGACUCUUCAACUUGUUGCAUUCUCUAAUCUCAAUUUCACACAAAUUGGGAAAGCAUAAAGAUUGGAGAUGAUCUCCUAACAAUAUCUGGUCGUUUUCAUCAUCAUCCUUAGCAAUGAUUUGCUCCAAUUCCUCACAGGACAAUAUCUUUAGCACUUUCAGUGGAACUAGACUGAAAAUCAUACUGCGUGUGAAUACAUGCGUCAGUCUUUUACACUCAACCACAUUCAAAGUAGUCAAUUUGCUUAGCACGAGACCCAUCCAUAUACACCUAAUGUCAGGCACCAGCAGGGAGCCCAAGCGUAAUGUUUCCAAAUUUGUCAACCCCUGCAUUGAAAGAAAACAAGGAUACCUAAUAAAUUUUGUGCACUUUGGAACUAUAUAAUUUUGGUAAAUAGAUGAACGAAUUGUCCCCAAUACUUCAGCCAAAAACUUAUCAACAAAAGGAUAUAAGUAGACAUGGCAACAGGGCAUGGGAAUAUGAAAUCAUAAGCUGCAGGACUGAAACAAUUAACUCAAUAUUGGCAGAUGGAGGUUUAUCUUCCUCUUCAAAUACUUCUAUUAAUUGGGGGAAGAGCCUCAAUUUCACUAAAACUGGGAAAGCAUAAAGAUUGAAAAAUCUAGGUAGGAUUUCAUUACAAUAAUUAUUACUUCUUAAGCCCUCUAUCAAGAGACAAGGAAUGAUACGUACUUCGAGCUGUGCAAACAAAUUUCCCAAUUCUUUGUGGCCAUCAAUUUCUAGAAUUUGCAAAGAAGGCAAUUGGGCAGCAAAAUUCUUUGGACCAAAAAAGCUGCAAUUUGAAAGAGACAAUCUUCUUAGCUUAGGGAACUUGAUGAUGGCAUCUCUGGUGAGUGCAUCUCCUUCUACACUGUAAAAUAUUUGCUUUAAAUUAUGAGCAUUCAAAAUCCGCAUCUCUUCCAGGUUCAGAAGGCUUGGAGACACAGAUACAGGGAAGACAUAUUCCAGUUUACCACACUCUUCUAUGAUGAUAGUUUUUAAUUUUGGGAAGCAAGGAGACUCUUGAAUUAUUUCCUUUUCACCAUCCUCUUCUCUGAUAAUAUGCUUUAAUUCACGGCAUUUACUUAUGUAAAGUCUUUCUAGCUUUGACAGAUUUUGAGCGAGGGACGCUUUGAAGAUAAAUGUUAGUUUGUUGAGAGAAUCCAGAUACAGAUGAGCAAGACUUCGAAGGCUGACAUGUCUGGUGGGCCCCUUCCAUAUGCAUUUGAGCUCAGGUAACCUUUUUAGAUAUAACCCUGUUAAAGAUGACAGCAGCUCCUUCUCCUCACUGCUUCCUUCAUCAGGCAGCUCACCUAAUUCAAAUACCUCUUCCAAUGAUUUGCAGUUGUAAAUGUUCACCCUCCUUAGAUUUUUCAAAGCUCGCAGCAAUUUUGCUGGAAACGGAGUGCGAACAUCCCCACAAUCGUCCACUUGUAUAAAUUCUAAUCUUUGUAAGAAGCCGUUUUGCUGCCCAUGGACGGCCAUCUUAUCAGAGAACAAUAUUAUAUUUUUUCACUCUCAUAAAAACAAGUUAUAUGAUGUAUAAAUAGGAUAAAAAAAUAGAAAAAACAGGAUUAAAUACUUCUUAGAGAUUACAUAUUAGAGAUAAGUUGAAUAAUAAUUAUAUUUUUGCGAAAAAAAGGUUACUACAACUCCUAAUAAUUAGUUUCAUGUAAAAAAUAAAAAUAAAAAUAGUAACUAAUAUUUUAUUUUUCUAAAAGGUUUAUAUAGCUCAUUAAAUAGGUUAGAAAUUGACUUUUGCAAGGUAAAAAAAUUAUAAUCUUAAAUAAUAAAAAGGAAAUACAACAUAACAUUUAAAAUUAAGCAUAAAAUCCAAAAAAAAAAAAAAUUUAGCUCAAACGUCAUCUUCCAAAUCUAACUCACGAGUCUUUCAAGGCUGUUUUUUUUCUAAUAAGCUUGUUUUUUUAUAUAGAAUUGGAUCUGUUAAAUAAUUUAGUGAAAUUUAAAUUUAAUUCAAUAAUUAAAUAUAAAAUUAUGUUAUUAAAUAUAAAAUUAUGUUAUUAAUUAAAUAUAAAAUUUAGCGUAAAUAGAUUUAUUUUUUUGUGCACAUUAUAGCACAUCAAUUUAUAAACGACUCUAAUAGGUUUUCUAAAAAUGAUUCACUGGAUAAUGAACGAAUCUAUGUUUGGAUACAAUAUGUUAUAUAAUUAAAAAAAAAUAUCAAACUUGGAUUUCCCACUGGUAGCUGUGCCAACCAAUUACUUUACUUUUAGAAAUUGGGAGGAAGAAAGAAUAAAUUAUCGAAAUUGACAAUUUAAAUUAGUGGAGAAAUAUAAAUUACGUACUUGUAGCUGUGCCAACCAAUUACCCACUUCUUCGUGGCCUUCAAUGGUUAAUUCUUGCAAAGGCAAUUGAGCAUCAAAAUUCCUUGGACUUAAAAAGCUGUAAUUUGAUCUGAGCCGAAGAGACAAUUCUCUUAGCCGAGGGAACUUGAUGAUGUCAUCUCUGGGGAGUGCAUCUCCUUCUCCACUGUAAAAUAUUUGCUUUAAAUUGUCACCAUCAUAAAUCGUCAUCUGUUCCAGGUUCGGAAGAGUUAGAGACAUGGAGACAGGGAAGAAAUAUUCCAGUUUACCACAGUAAGAUAUACGGAGAGUUUUUAAUUGUGGGAAGCAAGGAGACUCUGGAAUUAUUUCCUUUUCACCAUCCUCUUCUUUGAUAAUAUGCUUUAAUUCACCACAAUCUCUUAUCUCAAGUGUUUGCAGUUGUGGUAGACUUUGAAGAGUUAGAGACACAGAGACAGAGAAGACAUAUUCCAGUUUACCACACUCUUCUAUGAUGAUAGUUUUUAAUUUUGGGAAGUAAGGAGACUUUGGAAUUAUUUUCCUUUCACCAUCCUCUUCUCUGAUAAUAUGUUUCAAUUCACGACAAUCUGUUAUGCAAAGACUUUCUAGCUUUGACAGACUUUGAGCGAGGAACGCUGUGAAGAUAAAUGUUAGUUUGUUGAGAAACGUAACUGCCAGAAAAUUAAGAUUUUGGAGGCUGACAUUUCUGGUGGGCCCCUUCCAUAUGCAUUUGAGCUCAGAUAAACAUGACAGCUGUAACGUUGUUAAAGAUGACAGAAACGGCAGCUCCAUCUGCUCACUGCUUCCUUCAUCAGCCUCACCCAAUUCAAAUACCUCUUCCACUGAUUUACAGCCGUGAACAAUCACCUCCUUUAGAUUUUUCAAAACUUGCAGCAAUUUUGCUGGAAACAGAGUGAAAAUAUCCCCACAAUCCCUCACUUUUACAAAUUCUAAUUUAUGUAAAAACAAUUGCCCAAAUGUCUUCGCAUUUAAGGAUGUACCAGCCAAAUUUAAUCUUGUCGAGGUUGGGUAUCGUCCUGCCACAAACCCAUACCCUAAUAUUAUAUCAUAUUUGCGCAACCUAACUGGAAAAACAAAAUCUCUGGGAAUGCAUUCAACCUUCGGUAUCCUCAAUGAUAAUACGGCUAAAUGAGACAACGAAUUUAGUUCUUUUAGGCUUGCAUUCAUUCCUCCUGUGCUUGUCCCAACAACAUCCCAUCCCUGAAAGCUGUCUUUCCCGAUCAACAAUUCUUCUAACUUCUUCAACCUUCCAAUCAAAUUCACAGGGAUCCUUCUUAGCCUUCGACAACCUGUCACAUCCAACAACCUUAGCUCCUUGAGCUCUCCUAUUUCAUCAGGUAAUUCUUCAAUGGAUAAGCACCACAUAAGACCAAGAAUCUUAAGUCUCUGCAGCUUUCUCAACCAAAUGAGGUCCUUGCAUCCACACGUGAUCAACAUCAACGAUUGAAGUUUCGUUGAGAGUUCAAGUGAUUGCAAUGACAAACACCCUCCCUUCAGAGACAAAACCUCAAUUUCUUUCAUCCCUUCAAAAAACCUCUGAGGAACAUUCAAACCAUCAUCCAGUUCUAAUAAUAGAACUUCGAGCUUUGGACAUACCAAUCCUUCAGGAAGUUCUGCUAGUUUAUUGCCCAUUAACGAAAUAGUUGUACAACCUUCGAAGCUUUUAUUGCUCAUUGGCCACUCCUUCAACCCAAUGCCUGCCUUUACCAUGAAUCCAUAUUCUUUAGAUGAUGCUAUCCGAAUAGCAACAUCACGAACCAAGUCAUGCAUUCUCACAUGUUCUUCAGUUUCAGUGCCCAACAGCAUGCAACAAUCUUUGAGGUUUUCGAUGGCCACAGAAACUCGUUUCCUUGCAUCUUCAAUGAGAUACCCAACUGCAUAUCUCGUCAAGUCCUCGAUUGGAAUGUUGUAAUCUUCUGGAAAUAAACAACAUAUCAAGAAACAUAACUUGGUUUCCUUGCUCUUCAAAUAAUCAUAGCUCAACUUAAGACAUGCAUAUGCAGUUCUUUGUUCAUCAAUGUGUUCCAUGUCCAGAAAUUGAGAGUUUUUUAGCUGUCUAAAUGCUACUUCCCACUCAACUUCAGAUUUACCUCUUAGAGCCCUUCCCACCGUCACAAGUGCUAUAGGCAAGCCUUGGCAUUCUCUCGCAACCUCCCUUGCCACUGUGUUCAAGGUAGAGUCCCCAUCACGUAAACCUGCUUUGAUUCUGAAUAAAACCAAUGCUUCAUCUUCAGUUAAGACUCUUAAAAGCACUUUUUGCUGGCACUCCAUAGAAGAACAUAUGGCUUGAAGACGUGUUGUUAGAAGAAUUUUACAACCCCUGUGAUCAUCACCAAAUGGGAUCCCUAUCUCUUUCAAGUCAAUAUAUUUCCAAACAUCAUCUAGGAUUAUAAGCAUCUUCUCCACUUCCUUCAGUAUAUGCCUUAAUCGAUCUGCUCUCCCUUCUCUACUCUUUUCUUUAAUAUCCAGACCUAACUUAUCUGCCAUUCGAUCCUGGAUGUCUGUGACAUUUGGAUUCUGGGACACCGUAGCCAUCAAAACUUCAGGAAAAAGCUGCAACUCUUUGGCUCUCCUGCCUACUUCUUUCGCCAGGGUGGUUUUACCCACCCCUCCCAUGCCGCACAGUCCGAUCAUAUUGACUUUGUCAUCUUUGAGAGCUUCCAUAAUCUGUUCGAAAGCUUCUUCUGACGAUUUUAAGGGCGUGAAUUCCUUUGAUGGAAGAAAUUCUAUGGGCUGAGGAUGAGCUUUGUGGGCCACUGUUUUAAACUUUUCGCUACUUUCUCCAAGUUCUCUGAAAGUCUCCGACUUCUUGGCCAGUGCCUUGCUUAACUUGAAUUGUCGCAUGCAGUUUGGACACCAAGUGAAGCAUUUGCCAUUUUUUCCUAUUUCAUUUUCCAAGGGCUUCGCACCUUCAAUCUCGUUGUUUGCAUCUUCCAGCCACUGUUUGACAUCUUCGUAAAUUUCUUUAGCAUUCCUUUCAGCAGCUUCAACAUCGUCUUGCAGACCAUCUAGUGCUAAAGCAAGGUUCUCCUUUCGUUCUUUGAAUUCUUCAACAAAAGUGUUGAAACAGAACAUGUAACGGAACUGCCUUCCUACUGGUUCCACCAUGAGUUCUGCUAUCUUAGAUAUAAUGGAUCCACCAGCACUUUCGAGAGCCAUUUUCCACAGGUCUGAAAAUCAAAGAAAUAAGGAUACAGGACGUGAGAGUGAGUCACUACAAGUAAAACAGGCGCAGAGAGAAUGGGAAUAGGAAUUCCAUUACCUUAAUUUGGGAAAAUAUGUGCGGAAAGCACUGGUACUGAGUGCUCAAUGAAAUAGCGGGAGGAAGAAGAGGAGAAGGCCUUUAGCUCUGUAUGGAAUCCAGCUUCAAAAGCAACAAGGCAAGGAAUAAGUAUAACAAUAUAAUAGUUUACAUGGAUUCUAACUGACUAUUGUGAGUUAAAGCAGUAGUUUUGAGUUAUAGCUUUCUUUGAUAUUCGAUUGCUGAUUUUAAGCUAAGUUUUUUGUGGUUUCGCUUUAUUUUUUCAUUCACUGUUUCUUGUAAUUAGUCAUUAUAUUUUUUUUUCAUUGUUUCUUGUAAUUAGUCAUUAUUGAUAAUAUGAGAUGGUGAGUAAUUGUUAAAUAAUUAGUUUUGAGUUUUUAUUAUUAAGUAAUUAUUAUAAAAUUAGGUUUAUAUAUAUAUAUAUAUAUAUAUAUAUAUAUAUAUUUGACAACUUUUUGGCUGCUGAGACGUGUCGUUGGAGAUGCUGUACUACCGUGCGCUAUUACUACUUCUUGUCGCUUUCAAAUAGUGAUUUUGGUUGAUGAAAGUAAAAAAUAUUUAAUUCAAAGUCAUGUUUUAUAACUUAUUAUGUUAUUGUUAGUUUCUGAGUUUUUUUUAUUCUAAAUUAAUUUUUUUUAUUUUUAUAUUGAUAUUAAAAAUAAUUUUUAAAAAUAAAAAAUAAUAUCAUUUUAAUAUUUUUUUUAAAAAAAACUACUUUAAAAACCUUAAAAUCACGGCAUGAUAAAAGGAGAAAGAAAGGAAUAGGACAAAGAAGGAAGAAUAAAAAAAAAAAUCCUAAAAUCACGGCAUGAUAAAAGGUGAAAGAGGAAUGGGACAAAGAAGGAAGAAAGUAAGGUCACGUAGGGGCCAGCCUUGUAGAAGAUAGGAGAUGAAAAUUAGUAUGAAAAAGAGGCUAUUUGUUUUUUUACUGUGUCAGAGUGGUUUUUAUAAUUAUAUUUAAUUUAUAAAAAUAUUUAAUUAAUAUAUUUUUAAAUAUUUCUUGUUAUUUUAUAUAUAUAUAUAUAUAUAAUAUUUUAAUAUGUUUUUAAAUAAAAAAUUAUUUUCAAAAAGUAUGUGUCACAAUACUAAAUUAUAGCAUAAAUUAAAAGAGAAAGGAUUUUUCUGUUUAUUACUAUUCAAAUUUCAGGGUAAAAAUAUGUUGUGACAUUGUAAUUGUUUGCAAAGUUUAUUUCAGUCCCUUAUUUUUUUGAGCUACUAAGUACUAAUUCCCUAUAAUUUCUCAACAUUACAUUUUGUCAAAGUUCAGGAACUAAACUGCAAUUUUUACAAAUUAAGGAACCAAAUUGAAAUUUUAUUAUCUUCAACCUCAAACCCAGAAUUUACACAGAUAGCCUACUGAUAUAUCAAGAUUUCUAACUCAAAUUCAUUAUUGAAACAAACUAUAACUCAAAAUCAUCAUUUUUUUAAAAAACCUUUCAAAAUCAACUAUAUAACUCAUUAUCCAUAACAAUUCACACAUAAUUUUCAAAUCAAUUCAUCAAUCAAACCCAAAACACAAUCUUCAAAACCCUAAUAUUCAACAAAACAAAAAAUUAAAGCUAAGGAAAACACAUUUAUACACAUCAAAACAUAAAUCUUACAUCUUAACUUAUUUUCUCUAAUUCUCUUCACUUUUCUUUAUCUUUUCCUCUUUUUCUUCUUUCACUCUCACGAUUUUCUUUCUAAGAAUUCAGAUCUCUUAUUUUUUUUCUAUUUAUAUUUAUCAACUUUUUAUUUAAUUACUACAAUACCGUUUAUUCAUUUAUAUCUACUUUUAAGCCUCCAAGAGUUUUGUUACCGUUUUCUAUUCUCUUUUAUUUUUAAAACAUCACAAUAAAAUUGUAUUCUUUUUAUUAAGCUGCUAAUUUAUGCAGCUUUAGCUCUUGUUCUCUUUUCAUGUUUAGCAACUCUGAUCUGAUCCUUUUCUUUGCAUGAUAUAAGAGCAGGUUUCUUACCUCUUGAAGUCUGCUGGAUAAACCUAUCAGCAGAAGAUCCUGAACCGAUCCCAAAUCACAGCUUCAAUCCCCACCACAACCAAUCUUAGCAAAUUCAGCUAUCUCAAUCCUCAAUUUUCAAUUGAAAAUGCUAAAGAAUUCCCCAUUGGUAGCAAAUAAUAAAUGUUAAGCAUGAUAAAUCUUAUUUAAAUUAAAAGGUCAAAAAUGAACGCAUCUACUCUUGCCAGAAUGGACUAAAAUCCGCAUAAUUAAAUAGUAAUCUUACUGUAAACUACUAGGAAAUUCAUGGGUAGAGCCAAAAAAAAAUUAACGAUAACAUUGAUUGGAUCAAGUAAGGGGCUCCGGUGUCUAGAGAGGACCUUGCCGUUAAGGAAAUAACCAUAGAAACUAUGGAGCCCACUAUUUAUUACUCCAUUUCUAUUUACUACUUAUUACUAUUUAUUUAUUUUUAUUUACUAUAUUUUUAUUUGUGACACCUACUACCAAUAAAAUUUGAGAUUCCUUCAAUUUUUUAGGUGCACGCAAGUCUAAUGGCUUCAUGUACAAAAUCAAUUCAAUCGAUAAUUAAUAAAAUGUUUCCUUCCUAUUAUAAUAAGUCGAGGUCAACAUGUGAGUUAAUAGAUCAAUCCAAAUUAACUAUUUUUAUUAAAAUAAUAAUAUUUUUUUCUUGAUAUUGAUUUGGCUAAUUUUUAUCAAAUUUUAUCAAAUCAGCUGAAUCACUAAAAACUUAACCAAAUCAAAUUUCAUCAAAUCAAUAAUAUUUUAUGUAUUUGAAUUAAGAAUUCAAUUCAAUUCUAGCUCUGAACCCUGAGUUUUGUUUGUUCAAUCUAGCAUACAGGUUUAACAAAUAUGCUUCGCACUUGCAGCUGUGGUUAAUUUGCUGCGGGCAAUUGAUAAUUGGGAGAGGCUUUAGUUUCGUACCUGUUGUUCUGCUUCGUAUACACUAGGACCUCUUAUUUUAUUUUAUAUUGGUUGAAUCCAAACUUAAUCCAACACAAAAUUAACAUAUUUAUUAUUUAUUUAAGAUAAAUGAUAUAGCUUUAACAUAUUAGCGUACACUUAAUAUGAUUAAAUUUAAUUUUAAUUUUAAUUAAUUAACAUCUCACCGUAAUAAAUUUUACCAUUUGCAACCAGAAAACAGUCGACACCUUAUUAAUAUAAUCAAUAUAGUAGAAAAAUUAUAGUGAUUUAAAACAAUUCAUUAAAAUGUUUGUAAAAGUUUUUAUUUUGUGACGAGGGUUUUCGUGUUAUCUUUUAUGUAUUGUCACUGUAAUAAUAUGUUUCUAGAUUAUUUUUUAAAUUCAUCUUCUUUCUUUUCAAAAUAAAAAAGAUUAAAAAAUAAUAAUAGUAAGAAAACUAGCAUUUUGGCAAAAGCAUGCUGGGAAAAUUUCAAAUGUAGAAUUGCAAUUUUGGAUGGAAUUGGAAGCUUAAUUGUACUUUAUUUAUCCAAAACUGGAGAAACAAUGCAAAUUCAAUGUCAAGUUAAAUGAUUAUUGAACGAAUCUUUAUAAAAAUUAAGCCUAAGGACAUAAUUAGAUUUUGAAUAGGCUACUUUUAUUUAAUCAUGGGCCAAAUUAAAUUUUAUUUCUGUUUAAGAAUUUUUUUAGGUCCAAUUGAAGGAUUUAAUUAGAUGCAAGGACUUAAUUUUACUUUAAAUUGAUCAAAUUAAUUUUAUUAGGUGACUUAAUUGGUGAAAAAUUAAGUUUGGGAGCCCAAUUUGGACUUAAUUGAGAAGAUUGAUAUUUUAGGAUGUUGUACAUGGACGCGCAACAUCGGGGGGUCAUUUAGAGUCGCCACCUAGUUGUUUAGUUCAAGGUCACUAAGAAACCUAAGUAUACUAGUCUUAUUAGAGAUUCGAGAGUAAACGACUAGUUGUGGGUAAAGAAUGUAUUAACACCCCUAGCGCACCCUACCCAGGUAAGUUACUUUGUGAUUAGAUGUGGUUUAGAGAUUUUGAUGAUUUUAUGAUAUAUCUAUAGUUUAGGAUUGAGAUUUGCAUGUAUGAAUAACUUUGGUGUUUAAUAAUUUAUUAUGGACUCUUGUACCAAGAUAAAUUCUUAGAAAAAAAAAGUUAUUUGUAAUUUGUGUAUUAUGGUAAAAAUUAAUCUCAAUAAAAAUUGAUAAAUAUUUAGAAUAACUUUGAGGAUUUUCUGAUCAAUUCCAAUUUUUCAAAUAUCAGCCUCACUUAUAGGUAUAGCGUUUUAUAUCAAGAUUUUAACCAUUAAUUCUCAUGAAUUAAAAAAUAGUGGUCUAUUAAAAUAUUGACCAAAUUCACAUAAAUUUAAUAAACUAGUUAUUAAAUUCUAAAAUGCAUAUUCAUAUAUAAUAUUUUAAUUUGCUUUUAAAUAAAGAAUAUUUUUAAAAAGUAUGUGCCACAAUACCAAAUUAUAGUAUAAAUUAAAAGAGAAAGGAGUUUUCUCUUCAUCACUAUUCACUUAUAUUUAUUUCACUAUGGAAUAUGGAUAUUAAUAGUGAAUUUUUUGAAAAUUUCCAAUUUGAUACUCAAUUAUUUUUUUUUCACAAUUGAGCUUUUUUAAAUCCAAAUUAAAGCUUAAUUGCAUAUUUUUUCAAGGAUGAGGGUUGAAUUGAAAGAUAUAGAACUGAAGUGAAAAACUCGACUAAAAUAAGUUGUGGCUUUGCAAUUUGUUUGCAAAGUUCAUUUUAGUCCCUAUAAUUUUUCAUCAUUGUAUUUUGAUAUCAAACUUUGUUUUCCUCUGUUUUUAGUUUUUUUUUUAGGAGAGAGAGAGAGAGGAUCACCAUAUUUUGUUUUAGAGAAAGAAAGUUAUUCUUGGGGAUUUUGGCCAUCAAUUUUCUAGGUGAUUUUGGUUAAAAUGAGCUGAAAACAAGUUGUAGUUUACAACUAGAUUUUUUAUCAAAUUGGUCAAAGUUUUUUUUAGUUUUUUUUUUUAAAAAAAACAAUUCAACAAGAGAAAAGACUUGUAAAAAAAUAGAAUUACUGAAAGAAACUCAACAAAGAAUCAAACUCAAGCAAUUAAAAAUAAUUGUCUAUGAUGACCAUCUCUGUAUCACACACUCAGGUAAAUAUGAUUGACCUAUAACAUAAAUAAAGCCCUGCAAACAAUUAAAUUAUGCUUCAAAAGCAACAAGACAAGGUAUAAAGUACACCAACAAAAAUAGUUUACUAACUGACACUUGUGAGUUAAAGCAGUAGUUCCCAUUAAAAAUGCAUUUUGAUGACAUAAUGAAGAUCAUUUAGAGACGAAUGAUGUGUAUAAGUACUCACGCAAAGAAAGAAACGAAUGAAAGGUUCCGAUAAUCACUUAGACGCCUCCAUGGAUGAUACCAGCUCGCUUCCAACAACAAAUAUAAUUAACCUAAACUAUGAUCGGUCAAAGUUUUAUUUUAGUAUCCCCUCCUCAAUAUUCUUAGGUAUUAUAUAAGUUCCACUAACAUACUCCCACAUCUUCUUAUCCUUAAAAAAAUUUCGCAUUACAUAGCUCCAAUACGAAUAGUUCUUCCCAUCCAACCUCACAGUCACAGACUGAAGCGAAUCAUCUCUUUCAGUAGUCAUAAUUAACAAUCACAGAGAACCAGAAUGCAAAAGUAGCAGAAAACAAAAUAUCAAAUUGCAGAAACUGAACAGAGAUUGCAGAAACUAAACAAAUAUCUUCUCGAAAUUAUACGAUUACUCCAAAACACAAAACUAAUUUGUAGAAACUGAACGUAAAUACCAAAUUGCAAAAGCUGAAGGGUAAACGAAAUACCAAAAUAAUUGCAAAAACUGAUGAAAUAUCAAAUUUUACAGAAGCGGAAGACAAGAUCUCACUCCAAAAAAUUUUGGGAUUAAGCCUCGUUUUAUAAAACCAGCUCUGAUACCAUGUUAAAUUAAUUGAGAUCAAAUAGAGAAAGGAGGCUAGAAUUCUGAAUAAUCUGUAUAUUAUGAAUGCUUAGUCUUAACCUAAAUUCAAAUAAAGUAUAUAUAGAUCAAACUAAAAGUACUAUUCUACCCUUAAUAAAUAAAACUGCAUAAAUAUUAUUUCACAUGAAUCACUACAAGUAAAACAGGCGCAGAGAGAAUGGGAAUAAGAAUCUCAUUACCUUAAUUUGGGAAAAUAUGUGGGAAAAGCACUGGUACUGAUUGCUCAAUGAAAUGGAGAAGGCCUUUAGCUCUGUAUGGAAUCCAGCUUCAAAAGUAACAAGGCAAGCUAUAAGCAUUUUGAUGACAUAAUUAAGAUACUAUGCGUAGUAAUAUAGAGACAGUGACAAAGAAAUAAAGAAAAAUAAUGUGUAAAAGAACUCGCCUAGCAAAGAAAGAAACGAAUGAAAGGUUCGGAUAAUCACUUAGACGUCUCCAUGGAUGAUACCAGCUCGCUUCCAACAACAAAUAUAAUUAACCUAAGCUGUGAUAGGUAAAGUUUUUUUUAGUUUUCUUUUUUUUUAAAAAAAAAAAACAGAUCAACAAGAGAAAAGACUUGCAAAAAAGUAAAAUUACUGGAAGAAACUCAACAAAGAAUCAAACUCAAGCAAUUAAAAAUAAUUUUCUAUGAUGACCAUCUCUGUAUCACACAUUCAGGUAAUAUGAUUGACCUAUAACAAUAUUAAAAAAAAACAAAAAAAAGCUAAUAGAUGGUCGCCACGUGUUCAACUUUAUCUACCAUUAGGAAGGGAUAGAAAGUGGGAGAGAGAGAGGUUAAAAGGCUUAAAAAAAAGAAAAAAGGAAAGACAGAAAUAAAAGAAAGGUUGAGAUAAGAGAGGGACGUGGAAAUAGAAGGAGAGGUUGAGGGAGGCUGCAGAAACGGAAGAAGACAUUGAAAGAUCGGAGGAGAGUAAGAUAAAAAUAUGAAAAUGAGAUGCUCGUUUAUCUUUUUGAUUGGGAUUUUUUUGUGCCUUUGAUAAAAAUACUCUGUUUUUUUUUUUUUUUUCUCUCUUUGAUUGGGAUUUUCUUGUCUCUUUUAUUUGGAAAUUUUUUGGACACUUAUAUAGUUAGAAAACAUCAUGUCUUUGGGUAUCACACUUAUUUUUUCUAUGAUGACCAUCUCUGUAUCACACUUAUUUUUUGGCAAUUGGCCUUGGUAUUUUGUUUCCAUUUUCUCUAUGUUUCCUUCUUCUGUAGUUAGAAAACAUCAUGUCUUUGGGUUUGCGCUUGAUACUGCAAAAUUAAGGACACAAUAAUCAAAUAACACAGAAUUUUAUAAGUGAAAGGGGUUGCAGUUGUGAACCUAAAAUUUACAAGUUUAUUUUCUCAAUAAUAAUAAUAAUAAUAAUAAAAAAGAAGUUUGCCUUCUUAAAAGGUUUACAAAGCCUUAAAUAGAUUAGGAACCUUACCUCAACAAGGAAACAGAAAAAAAAAAACCAAAAUUAUAAAGGAAAGAAGCAUAAAAUCUGAAAUAAGCAAGAAAUGAAAAUAACAAAGAAAAUAACAAAAAACUACCAAAACCAGGGGCAUCAUUGAGAUUUUUAAUAUCUAAACAUCUGAUGAUCUGUAUAAAAAUUUGAGCACAUUAUUCCAAUAAUCGAAAAAACAAUUAUGGCUCUUUUGAGCUGUUAUUCUAGUUUAGCACGAUCAAACAUUCUCUUGGGUUUAGACUUGUUCUAUUGGUUCAUAAAUGCAUUUACUAGGCCAUCAACAUUAAUUGUCUGAGGCAAAUUCUCAUCUAGUUGUGGUAGACUCACACCUGACUGCUUAGAAUCACUAGUUAUCGUAGGAUCGACUACAUUAAAAUUGACUGGUUUUUUGUUUUCGAAGAGAUUUAAAAUUUGAUGCAGAUGAAAGCUAAAAACACAAUAAUUAAAGAGCACAAAAAAAUUUAUAAGCGAUAAAGGCUGCAGAUGUGAACCCUCAAAUUCACAAGUUUAUUUUCUCUAAAAUAAUAAUAAUGAAAUUUGUCUUCUUAGGAGGUUUCCAAAACCAUAAAAAUAUCAAGAAUCCUACCUUAACUUGGAAACAAAAACACAAACUCAAAAUUACAAAGGAAAAAAGCAUAAAAUCCAAAAUAAGCAAGAAAUUAAAAAAUCACAAAGAAAAUCACAAAAAACUACCAAAACCAGAGGGCUCAACAAGAUUUUUGAUAUCUAAAGAUUCAAUGGUCCACGCAAAAUUUUUUGCAUGGUCUAACGGUUAGAUAAGAAAUUGUGAUCCUUUUGAGCUAUUAUUUUCAUCUGACACGAUCAAAUAUUCUUUUGAUCCUAUAAUUGUCCUAUUAGUCCAUAAAUACAUCUCCAUGACCUAUCUUUUUUUUUUUUCCUACUAUAGAUGGUGUUUGACCAUCAUCGUCAUAUGGUUUGACUUAGUUGUACUGGUUUUUAAUAAGAUGAACUUUAUAUAUUAUGGGUUUACAUUUACUAUUUUUAAAAAAUGUUCAUUAUCGUUUCGAUCCCUAUAAGUCCAUUGUUCACAACUGAAGUCCGUACCUGCAGCGGAUCACAGGCAAUGAAACUAUACAAACACACUAGAGACUCAAGAGUAAACAUUCUACUAUAGUUAGCAGGUAAGGGUCCAGGUCAUUUGUUGUCUGGUUUCAAAUAGAGUUUCAACUCAUUUAAUAAAUAUAUAUACAUGGCUCAUAGUUGGAUUAUUUGUGUUUUUGUUAUUUGUUCUUCCCAGUACUUGUACCAGAAGCUGCUCUCAUAUUUGAAGGAAUGCAAACAAUAUAUUGUUAAUAUGAAACUUAUGAUGCCUAGGAAAUUGCCAUUUUUCUCAUUUUUAAUUGGAAGAAAAAUCACAAGUAUGUUUCUGUUAGAAAUAACUUCUUAUUUCAAUCAGAAGUGUGUCACUAAAUUGAUUUAUAAGUAAGUUUUUAAAUUGUGGAUUAUAUCUUAAUUACAUUAUAUUUUUUUAUUAACAAAAGUUUAUUUGAGUUAUUUUUAUUAAAAAUACUUAUAAUUUAAAAUUAUUUUAAUUCUUUUUUAUCACAAAUUAUUUAUUAAAAACAACUUAGAUUAUCGCUUGAAAUAAAAAAUUCUUAAUUCAAAAGUCAUAUUAAAAAAAUUCUAGGUAUCAUUUCAUUACAAUAAUUAAUUUCUUACUUCUUUAGCCCUGCAUCAAGAGACAUGGAAUGACACAGUUAGACAACUCCUUUUAAAUUUAGUGGAUGGCUAAAGGAUUUAUCUCCACUCAUCAAUUACUUCAGUUUCAGAAAUUUUUUUUUCUUUUAUUUUAUCAGCUUAAUUUUGCAUGUGGAAUAUUGAGUUUUCUGUUAUUUUUUCAGACACAGAAUUGAAUCCUUUAUAUAUUCUUAAAACCAAAUUUGAAUUCUAAGUUCCUAAAUGAAGGAAUAAUAAAGAUUGUUGCAUGUACAAAUUCUCCUUCAAAAAAUUAACAAAUAAUAAAGUCCCCUAUGUUAAUGAAGAUUUAAUUAUAACUUAGCCCUGUAAUUUCUUAAAAUUAAUUAUUUAGUCUUUUAAGUAUCAUGGAUAAUUAAAAAAUCUAUUAACUAGUGUUGACUACCCUCCAUUUACUAUAUUUUUCUCUUAAAAAUGCCUUCCUUCCUAAUGAAAUUUCCCCAAAUGCUUUUCUUUUCCUUAUUCUAUUUUUCAAGAAUGAAGAAAAACCUUUAAAUGGCAUUAGGUUUUUUUUGCAAAUGAAAGAAAAAUAUAUCCUUUACAGUUUUAAUUCCAUCAAAUUAGAUGUUUAUAUUAUAAUUUUUUCAUAAAAAUCUUAAAUAUCUUAUUUUUGAUCGGCCAUCAUUAUAAUUUUAAAUUCUGAACUAAAUGAGUUGAACUUUAAACAAAUUAAUAUAAAACUUCAAACCUUCAAAUUUUCAAGACACCAUCUCUCAAUCUCAAAAGCAGAAACAACCCCUUCUCCAUUUAACCGAAUCUCAUAACUCUAGGAAAGGAGAGGGAUAUGACUUUUGUAAAUUGAUUUAAUAUAUUUUUAACUUUUAAUUUUUUUUAAGUAUGUUAGUUAAAAUAGCUUUUGAUUUAAUUUUUUUUUGUUAUAAAUUGAAUUCAAAACUUUGAUUUAAUAAUAAUAAAAAAUCUUAACUUUAGUUUGUGGAUUGUAUACUAAAUUCCUUAAUAAAAAUAGUAAUUUUGAAUCUUUUUUACAAAUAAUGCUUAUAACUUAUGGUUAUUUUAAUUUAUUUUUUUCAUAAAAAAAAACUUUUAAAUUACAGUUCAAAGCUACCAGAUUAGGCAUAUAGCUUAUGAAGGGUUUGUAAGCAGCAAACAAUUAAAAUUAGAAAUCAGAGGAACAUUUAGAGGAUAGAAUAUUUAGAAUCUCUAGCAAUAGCCAGCAAUGUAUCUGCUCGAAAAAACCAUUAAACAUGAGAUUGUUCUGCUAGAAAAACAUGAGAUUGCUCUGCUAUUUGAUAUCAGUUUCAAACUUCUGAACAAAUAAUACAGCAUCAAGUCUCAGUCAUCACAUGCCCAUACAAAAACAUUUAUUCCAGAUCUCAAGCUGCAUUGCCAAGCCCGUUUCCAAAACCACAUAAGCAUAUGCAAUAGAAACAGAGCAUCAAACUGACUGAGAAAGCAUGAGAAUGAAAAUCCACACAUUAAACAAGAGUAAACAUUAUGCCUUUAUUUUUGAAAGGUUCACACACUUCAAAACAAACACGAAUGGGCAAGCAACAUUCGCCCUUACUUCUGGAGGCUUGUACGAUAAUGGGCAAGCAACAUUAUUUUUUUGAGGUUCGCACAGUAAUGACUAAACACACAACAUUACAUUACAUGGGUAAACAAGCAGAUAACCUUAUUCACACAUAUAUAGAUAAGUCGUUAUCUUCUUUUGAAAUCACACAUAGCAGAUAACCAAACGAGGGAAUAAGAAAUCACAGCAUCCGAAACUGAAGCAGACAAUACUUGAUAAUUGUUUUAGCGACAGCUUCUUUAGAUUAGGAAGCACCAUCUCCUUCUCAACGUUGACAGGUGAUACAUGAUCAUCCUGCCCAAACACUCCCAAUAAUUGAGAGGCUUUUGUUACUCUAAGUAUUUGGAGCUAUGAGAGACCUGAAGCCAUGGUAACUGGGAAGAGGCUCUUCAACAUGUUACAUUCUCCAAUCUCAAUUUCACACAAAUUGGGAAUGCAUAAAGAUUGGAGAUGAUCUCCUAACAAUAUCUGGUCGUUUUCAUCAUCAUCCUUAGCAAUGAUUCGCUUGAAUUCCUCACAGGACAGUAUCUUUAGAACUUUCAGUUGAACUAGACUGACAAUCAUGCUGCAUGUGAAUACCAGUGUCAGUCUCUUACACUCAACCACCUCCAAAGUAGUCAAUUUGCUCAGCACGAGACCCUUCCAUAUACACCUCAUGUCAGGCAGGGAUUCCAAGCAUAAUUUUUCCAAAUUUGUCAACCCCUGCAUCAAAAGAAAACAAGGAUACCAAUUUGUUAGAUAUAAUUCCUAAUAAAUUUUGUGCACUUUGGAACUAUAUAAUUUUGGUAAAUAGAUGAACGAAUUGUCCCCACUAGUUAAGCCAAAAACUUAUCAACAACAGGAUAUGAGUAGACAUGGCAAUAGGGCAUGAAAAGUUGCAGGACUGAAACAAACAUUGGAGAAAUAUAAAGGACGUACUUGGAGCUGCGCAAACAAAUUUCCCAAUUCUUUGUGGCCAUCAAUGUUUAGAAUUUGCAAAGAAGGCAAUUGAGCAGCAAAAUUCUUUGGACCAAAAAAGCUGCAAUUUGAAAGAGACAAUCCUCUUAGCUUAGGGAACUUGAUGAUUCCAUCUCUGGUGAGUGCAUCUCCUUCUCCAGUGUAAAAUUACAUUGUCAGCAAAAUCAAUCUCCAUCUCUUCCAGGUUCAGAAGACUUCGAGACACAGAGACAGGGAAGGCAUAUUCCAGUUUACCACAGUAACUUAUAGAGAGACUUCUUAAUUUUGGGAAGCAAAGUCACUCUGUAGUUAUUUCCCUUGCAUCAUCCUUUUCUCUGAUAAGAUGCUUCAAUUCACCGCAACUACCUAUGUUAAGGCUUUCUAGCUUUGGCAGACUUUGAGCGAGGGACAGUGUGAAGAUAAAUAUCAGUUUGUUGAGAGAAAUCAAAUUCAGAUCAGCAAGAUUUUGGAGGCUGACAUGAUUGGCGGGCCCCUUCCAUAUACAUUUGAGCUCAGGUAACUUGAUCAGCUCUAACUCUGUUAAAGAUGACAACUCCUUCUCCUCACUGCUUCCUUCAUCAACGUCACCCAAUUCAAAUACCUCUUCCAAUGAUUUGCAGUCGCAAAUGUGCACACUCCUUAGAAUACUUGUCUCAUAUUUGUCUCAUAGGUGAGUUAGUUAAUGUACGUUGAUUGAGCAGAAGGUAGUGGGCUCAAGCUAUACUAGGAAUAAUAUUAUGUUUUUUCAAAUUACUAGCAAAGGCGUGUGGGCUUGUUUAAGGCUCACAUGCACGUGCCUGAGUUUUGUUGUCAUAGGACGAGUCAUUAGUUCGGUUUUUUUUUUUUAUUAGUCAUUUUAGUUUUUAUUUUUAAUUUUUUUAAUAUAUUUUUUGAAUUUUAUUCUUUAGCAUUGAGUUUUUUUAUUAAAUUAUAUUUUUUAAUAUUGAGUUAAUGAUAAAUUAGUUUUUAUAUUUUUUAUCAUGUAAUAAAAUAAAAAAAAUUAAUUUAACUCAAUAUAAUUUAUAAUUCGAGUGGGUUGAGUAGAGUUAACGUGAACUAUUUUAUUUUUUUUAUUUUUAGAUAAGUAAAAGGCAAAUUAAAAAAACAAAGUAAUCUCAUCUUUUAGUACGGUGGUCCAAGAUGCACCAUGAUAUGGUUGUAGUUUAUUUGCCUUUUCCUUUUAAAAAUGUUGUCUCCUUUGUAAGGAAUCCUUGGUUCCCAACAGCAAUUGUAGCAGAGUUGAAGGUUGCGUAAAACAAUUCUCUAAACUCCACCAAAAGUAGUGGAGCGUUAGAAUUUUUAAAAGACAAAACGGGGACAAGUGGGAGACGAAGAAAAAGACAAAAGUAAUUUAAUCUUGAUGUGGUGAUCCAAGAUACACCAUGAUAUGGUGUUCUUCCAAGAAGUCUAAGAUACACCGUCGUAUUGUUUCAUAUAUAUUUAUAUAUAUGACAAUAAUAAAAAAAACCGUUUAAAACAACUCUGAAAACAAAAAAAUUUAUAAUUUAUAAUUUAUAAAACAUGCGAUAAAAUAAGUCAUAGUGAAUGUUUUCAUUUGGCAUUUAAUUCCAUGAACAUGACCUUAUUCUUUGAUCAAAUUGCUGCGAUACUCGAAACUAAAUUGAAUGUUACUGACUAGCUAUUGUUUCUCAUUGGCAAGAAUCAUUGCCAAUUAUCAUAACAUGUUAGUGAUUUAUUAGAACUAGUUCUAGUAUCUCCUAUCUCACUCACCAAAUAUCAUUAUUUUAUUCAUAGCCAUAUGAGAGUUAUUAUCCAACCAUUUUCAAAUCCAUUCAAAACCUUGGUAAAUCAAUUUAUAAAACAUUCUUACUUAUAAAAACUUGUAGGUCUAGUGUUACCAAUCCUUACCAAUCCUUAUCUUGAGCUUAUACCUAUUCCAUUGAUCCACAAAUAUAUUUACUAAGCCAUCAACAUAAUUUAUUUGGGGCAAAUCCUCGUCUAGUUAUAACAGACUUACACCUAACUGCUUAGAAUCACUAAUUAUUGUAGGAUUGACUACAUCAAAAUUGAUUAGUUUUUUGUUUUCAAAGAGAUUUAAACUUUUGAUGCAAACGAAAGCUAAAAACACAAUAAUCAAAGAAAACAAAAAAAAAAUAUAAGCAAAAAGGACUAUAGAUGUAAACCCUCAAAUUCACAACUUUAUUUUCUCUAAAAUAAUAAUAAUGAAGUUUGUUUUCUUAGAAGGUUUACAAAUCCUUAAAUAUGUUAGGAACCUUACCUCCACUAGGAAACAAAAAAAAAAUACAAAAUUACAAAGAAAAGAAGCAUAAAAUCCAAAACAAGCAAGAAAUAAAAAAAAUAACAAGGAAAAUCACAGAAACUAUCAAAACUAUAGGCCUAAACAAGAUUUUUGAUGUCUAAAGAUUUGAUGGUCCACGUAAAAAUUUGAGCAUGAUCCAAUAGUCGAAUAAAAAAUUAUAAUUUUUUUGAGCUGUUAUUCUAGUCUGACGUAUCUUUUUCUCUUUUUUUCACUAUAAAUGGAGUUUGACCAUCAUUGUCAUAUAGUUUGACUUAGUUGUAUCGUUUUUAAUCAGAUCAACUUUAUAUAUUAUGAGUUUACAUUUACUAAUUUUAAAAAAAUGCUCACAAGUCCAUUGUUCACACCUCAAAUUCAUAACAGCAGCGAUUCGUAGGCAACGAAACCAGUUAGAGACUAGAGAGUAAACAUGCUAUUAAAGUUAGCAAGUAAGGGUUUAGAUUAGAUUAUUUGUUGUCUUGUUUCAAAUAUUAGAUCAGUCUCAACUCAUUUAAUAAACUAGUGGUGCAUUGAUCCUUGCAUUAAUAAACCAGAAUCUGCUCUCAUCUUUGUAAGAAGUCGUUUUGCUGCCCACCGGCGGCCAUCUGAUCAAAGAACAAUAUUAUAUUUUUUAAACUCUUCACUCUCAUAAAAACAAUUUAUAUAAUUAUAAAUAGGAAAAAAUAGAAAAAAUAGGAUUAAAUAUUUUUUAGAAAUUACAUAUUACUGUUUUAGUUUUUUUUCUUAAUUAGAGGUAAGUUCAAUAAAAGUAGUAAUAAUUAUAUUUUUGUGAAAAAAGGUUACUACAACUCCUAAUAAUUAGUUUCGUGUAAAAAAUAAAAAUAAAAAUAGUAAUACGUUAACAAAAUUUUAAAGAUAUUUUAAUUCAAUUAAGUAUUUCAACACAAAAUUUAUGUUCUUAUACAGUUAAAUAUUAAUUCUAAUAAAAUAAAUAUGAUUUCUAUGUUUAAAUUUUGGUAUUAAUAACGCAUACAACAAUGAGGCAGUUAAGUUUCUUAGAUAAAAUAAAAUCAUUUUAAAAAUAAAAAUAAGCUAGUAUGUUUGUUACAUAAUGAAGAAAAUUUAAUUUUUCUUCAAAUUAAUUUUUUUAAAUCGUUUUAAUAUGGUGGUAUCGAAACUAAAUUUUAAAAAAAAAUAUUAUGAAAAGCAAUUGUUAAUAUUUGUUAAAACAUUAUUGUUAAUAUUUCUAGUCGGUUGCUAUAUAUAUAAUGGCAUGUAAUUGGAAUAAUAUAUGUUAACUUGUACACAACUUAAUAAAUUAAUGAGAAAACUAAAGUAGCCGGUCAUGUCGGCGCAAUGGACCUCAAUACAAGUUGACAACAUUUUAAGUGGAGUUUUGCAUAUUUUUGAAAGUUUUUUUAUGCAUUUUAAUUUAGCCAAACCUUAAAAUAGAAUCACACCCUAAUCCAAAACAAUACACACUCCAACAAUGUCACAUGUUUCUAUUACAAAGUUUCCAUAUGUACAAGUAAUCCCCUGAAAUUAUGAAGAUGGUUCAACAAGAUGAUUCAAUACCGCAAUUGUGAUUUUUGAUGCAUAGCCGUAAUGCCUCAUAUUUUUAACGAACCAUAUAUAACACCUCAUUUUAAAAAGGGGAUUAUUAUUAUUAUUAUUAUUAUUAUAAUAAUGUUGUCUGCAUAUAUAUAAUUAACUGCCUUAAAAAGGGGAUUAGUAUUACAUCACUUUACGUGCAUUAUAGCUUUUAACUCUUAUAUUCAAAUUAUUAGAUCAGUGUAUGCGCACAACAUUUGAUAUUUUUAACCACACGCAUACAUGAAAUAAAACCAAUGGAAACAUGACACAAAUGUCAACUGCAACUACAACCUGAUCAAAUAUUUUAUGUUUUUUUUUUGAAAUAUUGUUAUAGACAUAGAAUCAACGAGAUUAUGUGACAUUCUAUAUUGAUUUUGUGAUAUUUUAAUCACUAAAAGUAUGGGUUUCAGAAAAAUAAAAACCAAACAAAAAAUUAAAAAAAAUUAAAAUUUUUCAAACCAACCCAAUCCAGCAUAUCGAUCGGUUUUGUUCUAGUUUGGUUCAGAUAUUUUUUAGCUGAAACAAUUAAUAACCAUUUUCAAAAAGUAACUAACUAUUGACAAGUCUUUCAUCGAAACCAUGUUCAAAUCAGGUUCAGGUUGCUAACUCAAACUAACACAAUCCAAAUAUGAAUGCACAUAGACUCUGGGUUGGUUCUUUAUUGAUUUUCAGAAAUGUCAAACUGAAACCGAACCGAAAUAAAUGAAUAUUUCUAACUGAAACGCUUCAAAUACUGAAAAAAUGAUCGGUUUUGUUCAUGUUUAGUUUGGUUUGGUUUGGUUAUAGAGAUACCCCUGACAAUCCGCUUCUUCACUCAACCUCAAACAAUAAGCACUAUUAUUGUGUCUUUAAGUGAAUUACUAUAAAUAUAAAAAUAUAUGUGGAUAAUUGAAAAUUUGCUUAGAGUUGCUAAUAAUUCACAACUGCAACAACCAACACGACCAGGUAAUGCCCGGGAAUGGGUCUUUGGUGCACAAUCAUGACUGUAACCAUGAUUUAAAAUCAUUUCCACACCAUCCAAGACAAUUGGUAUUGGAUUGUUAGCAACAAUUCAGUUUAUAAUAAUAAUAAUAAUAAUGUUGAUUCUUUUAUCUCCUACUUAAUGCAAGUGUCCAUCGUGUGCUGAAAUUGAUUGUUUACCUCAUAUUUCUUUUAAAGGUAGAGAUUUCUUGGUUGACAAUGGGAAAAGGUAAUCGCAUGGUUAUUUUCCAUAAGAUUCAUUUGAGUAAAUAUUCUCUAUUAGAGGUCAAUUUCAUCGAAGCAAUUACUUCAAUGAACACUUCCUAAUUACCAACCUCUAAGUAGUCAUCUCCCUUAUCCUAACUUUUUAUUUCCUAAUAAAAUCUCACGGUUUUUCAUCAUGUUCAAAGGAAAAGUUGACCUUGCAAAUGGUGCUCUAAGGAACCAAGUAAUCCUAGAACUAAUCUCAUCAACUCCUUGUUGCACAAACAGCUUGUCUCACUUAAAGGGGAUUUUAAUGAUGAACAAACACCAACUCCUUGUUGCUCAAAUACAUAUGCUCAUUUAAACACAAUUUUGCAUUACCUAGAACUGACAAGGCCUAAAAUUCCUGACAUAGAAUUUUGUUUUAAAGGAACUUCAGGAUUUCUAUAUAGGAUGCUUGGCCUCAUUAAAGACAAACUGAGGACAUCCAUAACAUAAAUUAUCUUCCUUGCCCCAAAGUCAGCACAGAAAAACCCUGUUCACUAUAAAGGUUCUGAAUGUUUUUCCUAAAUUUCAUGAGCUGGCAUUCAACACAUCAAACUCCCAAUUUAGCAUUCUUAUACAAACUACAACUGCAGAAGGCUUGUACAUGUAGGGGAGGUAGGAAGAGCUGCAAAGUUGUCGCAUCUAUUGUUAUGCUGUUCAGAGUUUCUAUCUCAUCAUCCAAUCUGCCAAAAAUAUAAAAGAUCAUGUGCAUGAAUUUGAUCUCAUCAUAUGCCUACGGGAGAUACAUGACCAGUGAUGGUUGUUCUAUGCACAAAAUUAGCUAACAUAUGACUAUUUUAUUCAACUACCAUUUCACGAUAUGAGUUCUCCUAGCCACACUCAAAAGCCCUAGCCGCUAUAUGAACAAAGCACCUAAAAAAUUAAUCACCUACCUAAUCUAAUUCAGGAAAAUUUGGUCAAAAUCUCCUACAAUGAAACGAGUUAUUUGAAUGCAUAGACAGGAAAUUCAGGUAAACACACACCCACACACACACACACACACACACCUGAUCAUAAAUUUCCUAAAGAAAUUCUGAAUUGUAACAUUGGUAAACAAAGAGUGACAAUAUCAUCACAUUAAAAAUGCAUUUCACUCAAAACAAUUAAUAGCUCAAGAAAAAAUUUUGCAAGAAGCCAAUAGAGAAUAAAGUAAGCAGUCCAUAAACAAGAGACAGAGAGACAUUGUUCCAAUAGAGAAAAGUAAUUAAAACCCAACAACUAAAACUGAGAAAGAAUCAAACCAGUGAGUAACUAAUCCUUUUAAAGCAUUCCAAGAAUGGCAACCAAAUAUAACAUAAUCAACCUGCAAAAACAAACACAAAAAGAAUUAGAAGAAGAAACCCCAUUAGUUAAUAAGUUAAAACAGCAGCAGCAGCAAAAAGACUCAAAUUUUAGUUAUUUGGACUUGAGAAAAAGCACUGAACCCUCUGUGAAAAUGCCAUGAAAGGGGUGCUAAGAAACCAGGAAAAUAAAAACUUUUAAAAGGGUGUUUUUACAAAGCAAGAAAGAAGCUAGGAAGCAAGCCAGCCUACGCUCACGAACUCUGUUUGUUAAUUGUUUUUUCUCCUGUGAAGUGAAAACAAAAAAAGAAAAAGAGAAACAAAAACAAAGAGCACCCAGAAAAUCUAGUCAGAAAUAUUUUAUGUUGUUGUCUUGGAUAGACGCAGAUACCGAGGAACAGUGUGGGGCCACCUUUGGUGAGCAGUGAUACAGUGGCAAGUAUGUGAAAUAACGCAUAUUACAGUGCGCAAUGAUAGAGUGAGUCUGGGUGGACAAACUUUUGGUGGUACACGUGGUGCUUAAUGAUUAGAAGUUACAUGAGGGAAAUAAGAUGGAAAAGGUGGCCUCUCUAGAUUUUGGAAAUGUUCUCUGAAGAAAGAAAGAAAAUAAUUUCAAAGGUGGACAAAAAUGGGGUAAUAUCAGAUUUGGAACAUAAUCUUGGUUGGUGAAGAAUAACAUAAUCUAAGGAGAAAUCUAGGGCAAGCCCAGUGAGAUUUGAGCUUAGAUUUUGGAUCAAUUUAUAGGUGGAUGAUACCAUCAUGAAUAAUGUCCAGCUGAUAAAGGUUUAGUUACUUGCAAUUCUAUCAUAAAGUUAUCAGAUUCUGUGUGUGUGAGGCUGCCAUAUGUUUCUUUCUUCUAUGAUGGAUAAAAAACGCUAAGCAAUGAACUAUUUUGUCCACCUAGUAAAAAAGGUAUUAUGGUUAUGAUGAGAACUCUACAACCUGCCAUUUUAUUUUUGAAGGUAUUCUUAUUAUAUUUUUCUUGGCAACCAAACACAAUCACGAGCCCAAACAGUUGAAGUGCUAUGUAGUCAUGAUUUUUUAGAAUUGUAUUUUUUUUGGAAAGAUAUUAAAGUAUUUUUUAUUUUUUAUUUCAAUAUAUUAAAAAUAUUAAAAAUAUAUUAAAAAAAAUAUCAAUUUAAUAAUUUUUAAAAUAAAUAAUUUUUAAUUUAAAAAAUAUCUAAAAAUAAAAAAAAAAUACCAUACUCCUGAACGAGCUGGGUACAACACAACAACUUGAGAGAGUGUUUAAAAUCAAUCCAUUUAAAAAAAAAAAAAAAACUCCUUAGUUGUUAAGGAAAGAUUGGUAGUGUGAACAAAUCACCAAAGUCAGCAGCAAGGAAGUUCCAGGAAGUGGGCAGCCUUUCUUCUGCUGUUCAUGUGGUGUUCUGCUGUUCCUACCAUUGUAAAAUCAUAUAUUUAAAAUACAAUAAUAAAAAUGUAAUACGCAGCUAAUUAAUGUAAUACGCAGCUAAUUAAUGCUGUUGUUCUUUCUUCUUUAUUGUAUUUUAAAAAAAAAAUUAUGAUUGUGAAAACUAGCCAAAUCAUUAGAUCCAAGCAAUCUAAUAGAAACUACUGUAGCUACGCCCAAUGUUAUCCCAAGAUACUUUUUAUAAUCUAACUUUUUUAAUAUAUUUUUUAUUUAAUUAUCCAAUAUAUUCAUAGAAAACACUAAAAAUAAAAUUAUAGAUAAAAAAUAUAUAUAUUUCAUCAAAAUUCUCUAGUCUAAUUCAUGUAUUUUUCUUAAAAAAAAGUUUUUGACAGUAUUAAAAAUAAUAACAACCAGGAAAAGUAUCCUAAGAAACUGAAAUGAUUUGAACUAAAAAAAUAUUUUUUUUUUGUUGAAAACAUAAUUUUUUAAUUCAUGCAUUUUUUUAUUUUUAAAAAAUUUACUUUUUAUGAGUAACAUUAUUUUGCUAAAAUGUCCCUAAUACAUAAUUAUUAAUAAAGUAAUGAAAAUAUCAUAAUAAAAAUGCCUAAUCUUCUUGAAAACAAUUAAAUAAUUGAACAAUCACUUAAAUAUUAUUUUAAUAAAUUGAUUGAAAGAAUUUUUUUUAUUAAAAAUAAAGAAUAAAAAAUGAAAUGAUAUCUAAGAUAAAGGUCAUACAAGCCUUCAAAGAUAAUAUAUGUACGUGUAUAAUACAAAUUAAUAAAUUCUAAGUAGCAAUAUUUAAUGCAAGUUUAAGAAUAAGAGUUUGCUUUGUGUUUUGUUGUGAGAUUAACCAUAUCAAAUUAUAUAUUUAAUAAUAACUAAUUGUGUUGUGUUAUGAGUAAAAUCAAUAAAUUAUUUGGUGUUCUGCUGUCUUGUUGUUUGAAUUAAAAGUAUUAUUAAGAAUAUAAAUUAAAUUAAAUAUUGCAAAAACUAAAUGAAUUCCUUAAUAAAUAAAUAAAUUCUUUCUUUAGAAAGCAUGGAAAUGCCAUGACAUUGGCUUUUUAGAGAAUACUACGAUAUUAACAGCCAAAAAAGUUAUUGAUAGCUGUGUAAAUCAUUGAAAUUGCCACAAAAGCAACCCAAAUUAUUUAUGAAUUGGAUUCGAUGGAAGGAAGAUGGGAAGGGGGAAAUGGGUAACGGGAAAUUAAAGAGAGAUGAAGAUCUGCGCAUGGGCUACCUGUUUUGAGAAUUAUAGAUUUUUAUCCCUAACUCAAAACGGCACCAAUUAUAAGUUCAUUCAAAAAAAUCUGGAACACAACAUAUGGAAAAAACUCGAAACAACUCGUCUAGAAUUUAGGCAAGAAGAAUGAGCCAAGAUUUUAAGUGCAAUGAAAUUUGUCUUACUUUGUUCUGUUUUUUAAAAUGAUAUAAGAUAAACUACCUAUUUCAGGUGAAACAAAUGGAAUCGACAACCUUUAAAGGGAGUAAAUGUGUCGCUCGUAUUCAAUAGCCUUUCUUCCAUACUGACAUGUGCUUUACACGCACCAACAUUUCUUUCUCUUUUAUUCUAUAAUAUUCAAUAUCGGCGAGUGAGAAUUUGAUAGUUAGCCUUAUUAGUAGUGUUGGUUGUUGACUUGUCAGACAUGUUUUGGGGCCAUGCGUGGUCACCAAGAACAAAUUCGUGAGGGUGAUAAGGCCCAAAAAAGACAAUAUCUUGUAGGUUCGGUCAGGCUAUGACAUAUUCGAUAAUAACUCUUCAAUUAAGUCCUAAAUCUCAUUUCAUCUUUUCAAUUUAAUCCCUAAUUUGACACCAACUCUUCAAUUAGACCCCAAAGCUCAUCUCACAUGAGGAAAGCCCUCUUUUUUUAAUUUAGCCCCUUAUUAUCUUCAAUUUAAUAUCAAAUUUUAUUCGAUCCAGGCCCAAAAAAGGCUAAGCGAAGAUAGAAUAAAGGAAGGGAAAGAAGAUGAAUAAUUGCCCAACUGAGUUAACGUGUUCUGGUCUUUUCUCUAUGAUUCGGGUUGAACAUUUGACAUUUAUCCUUUUUUUCUAUAGUCUUUUCUCCAUAUUCGUUGUGACGCCGCACACGUGCGACAACCAGUAAAUCUAUAGUUAAUUUCAUUUUUUGAUAAAAGAUAAUACCAUCGGUAUAGAAUGGUUACCAACUAUUAGUUUAAUAUGCCUUGUAGCCAAUCAGUUAGUUACACGAGGUAUUAUUAUAUUCAUGUAAAUACAUAUUUAUUAUUAAUAAAGGCUUAAUUUAACUUUAAUAUUCAUAUAAUAUUAGAUUAAUGAAUCUAGAGUAUAGAUAAAGUUUAUGAGACAAAAAUGUUUUGCAAAGGAAAUUAUAAAGUUGUUAUAAUUAUGAGAUUUUUAAUGCAUCAAAAUAUUGUUAAUAAAAUGUUCUUGGUUGAUGCUCUUUUAAAUACUGGAUAUUUAUUAGAGCCAUAAAGACUGAUACAUAUUAUGUUUUUUCCUUUAUGAAAUGAAGCAACUGUUCUCAUAAGUUGAGCUAUAAGGGAUAGCUAAAACUAAUAUGUAUAUGUUUGUCAUAAGACAUGUACACUGAAUUGACCUGCAUGAGAAUUCCAUAUGGAGAGAUUACCUAUGUCUAUGGAAAGACUCAUGUGACAGUUGUAUAUGUAAUCCUUAGACUUGAGAUCACUAAGUUAUUUUAUAUAGAGAAUGUUAUACUUUGAUCAUGUUACAUGUUAUCUUAAUUGAGGUAACAAAAUGAUAGACAUUGGGUAUAUCAUGAACUAUAUGAAGGUAUUUGAGUGAUCAAGAGAGGAUUUCAUUACCCUAUGUGAAUUAGAAAAAAUAUUCAAUCUGUUCUCAAAUAGUAUUGACUGAGAAAUCCUUGACCAAGGUGGAAUGAGAUUUAAAAAGGGUUUGAAAUCUUAUUCAAAUGAUCAAUUAGUAUUAUUUAGAGAAUGAACAUAAUUUAACAUUGAAAAUACGUUGACCAAUAGAAUCCCCGCCUUCAGCCAACCCCAAAUUUGUCUAUCAUCGUAUAAUAUUGAUCAUUACAUUACGCGGUUUCCAGCUAAUGAUAGGAUAUAAAAUAAUUUUUUAUAUUCUAAAUUAAUUUUUUUUAUUUUUAUAUUGAUAUUAAAAAUAAUUUUUAAAAAAUAAAAAAAUAUUAUUUUAAUAUAUUUUUAAAUAAAAAAUAUUUUAAAAAACAUGUACUUAUUCAAACACUUAAAAUAAAAAUCUUAAAAUCACAGCAUGAUAAAAGAAAAACCCCUAAAAUCACGGCAUGAUAGAAGGAGAAAGAAAAGGAAUGGGACAAAGAAGGAAGAAAGUAAGGUCACGUAGGGGCCAGUAUUGAAGAAAAGCUAAAAGAACUAUGUCUGUGAGAAAGUACCAUGUUCAAUCUUAUCUCCACAUGUUCAACCUUAUAUUUUAUUGUGGCAAGGAGAUAAAGAUAAUCUCAAAAGCUAAUAGAUGGUCGCCACGUGUUCAACUUUAUGUACCACUAGGAAAGGAUAGAAAGUGGGAGAGAGAAAGGUUAAAAAGGCUUAAAAAGAAAAGAAAAGGAAAGACAGAAAGAAAGUAAUAGGACAAAGGAAGAAAGUGAAUGGGACAACGGAAGAAAGCAAGGUCAGUAUUGUAGAGAAGAGGAGAUGAAAGUUAGUAUGAGAAAGAGGAUGAUAGAUAGAGUGGUUGUCCAAAUCAUAGUGGUUUUUAUAAUUAUAUUUAAUUUAUACAAAUAUUAAAUUAAUAUAUUCUUAGUAUUUUAUAUGAUUUAAUUUUUUUUUGAUGAUUUAAAAAAUAUAUGUGUAUAAAAAAUUAUUUUAUAUCACUUGUUCGUCUUGAAAAGCAACUGCUUCGGCUUGCUUCUCUUUACAUUACCAUUUCUGGUGUGGGGUUGAUUUCCACAAUACUAGGCAGCUAUUUGUUUAUUCUUCUGUUAUAACUGAAAAACUCCCCUGUGAUUUAGAAGAAAUAAGAUAACAAAAAUCUGAGGUUGAUUGUUCCUUGUAAUCCUUACGAAUGCUCCAAAGAACCUCUGCGCAUUUCCUCAUGCUCGGCCUGCUCUGUCUGCCAGGAGCCAAACAUUGCAAUGCUAGUUCCAGAAUCUUUUCUAGGGCCAAGUUAUUUGCAGCAGUUCGCUCUAGCUUCGGGUCCAAGAUCACAAUGGCAUUACCUUCUGCAAACUUCUUUAUUGCCUGCAUGUAAACCAACUGAAAUCAGAACAGAGAGAAACCUUCCUUUGCUAUUACUCCAGGUAAAUGUGAUCGCUUUGAUCUCUUGGACAAAAGUAUUAAUUGCUUCGACAUCUUGGUAGACAAGUUCCAAUAAUAUUGAGAUUAGAUGGAAGCUCUGGGAUUGCUUUAUUGGUUCGGUGGAGGACUUCCAUCAGAUAUUGCAAGCGUUGGAUAACAAUAGAGCUGUGGUUUUAUAGCAGUUACAGAACAUUAUUAAUAAUUUAGCAAUACUUGUAUUGAGUGGAGAAACAGAGGGAAAGAGGAUUGUACCCAUUUUGCAGUUAAUCGUUCCUUUAUUUCCCUUUUCGGUUCAAUAGGACGCCUACCUGUCAUAUUGAACCGAAAUAGGUGGGAAAUUUAUAAUUUGUUUGCAAAGUUCAUUUUAGUUCCUUGUUUUUUAAGCUAUUAAAUAGUAAGUCCCUAUAAUUUUCCAGCAUUGCAUUUUGAAUUUUUUAUUAUUAUUAAUAUUUUUUUUUAUAUAUUUUUGAAAAUAAUUUUAAAAAUGAUGUUUUUAUUAAUAUCCCUUUUCUAUGAUUUUUUUUGGCCUUAUGUAGUCUUUCUUCAAUUAUUUUUAAUUUUUUUGCUUGUGUUUAAUUUUUUAAGAGGUUAGUAAUAUUUAUCUGUAAAUAUUUUUUAUAUAUUUCAGAUAGAUUAAGUAUCUAAUUUUUAUAAUAAUUUGAAUAUGUGUAGCCUUGCAUAGUUUUUUUUUCCUUUUAUGAUAUUAAAAAAAAUUAUGUGUGUUGAUUUCUAUUAUAGAUUGAUUUUAGUAAACAAAUUCAUUAAAUAUAAUAAGAUAAAUGACCCAUGUUGUAAUAUUAAAUACUUUAUCUAUAUUUGUUUUUUAAUUUUUCCACUUGCAUUUUUAAUUAUCGGUAAUGACUUUAUUUUUUUCAUUUAUUUACAUAAUUGUUUGUGAUUUUUUUAAUUUGAUGGGUGUAUAAGUUUUUCAAUUUACAUUUAGAAUUUUUUUAAUUUAAAAAAACACGUUCAGAAAUUCUUAUUUUUAUGAUUUCAGUUUAAUACUUAUUCUUAUGAUUUCUUAUUUUUUUCCUAAUCCUUUUAUAAAACAAAAAAUUGUUUAUAAUUUCAUCCUUCAUUUCAACAUAAUGAUGUAUUUUUUUCAAUAUAUAUAUUCUUGUUUGUUAUUAUUGCUUUUUUUCUUUAUAUAAUUCAUAUAAAACCAGCUUAUUUAAUCUGUCAAGAUUAAAUAAAUAAAUAAAAGAUAUACUCUGUCUUCCCAUUUCCUCUCCCUGGUGAAUUUUGGCGACCACCCACACAAUGAUAGCCUAAACAACCACCAGCCAUUCCACUUUUCAAGACCCCAUCUCUCAAUCUCAAAACCAGAAACAACCCUUUCUCAUAAUUCCGGGAAAGUGAAGAACUAAACCAUAGUGGCAAAAAUCUUAAAGGGUCUAAAUUAUCUCUGUUACUUUCCCUCAAUUUUCUAGACAAGCAAAAGGAGCUAAACUUAUUUCCGACCAAAACGCCAAGAAUUUCAGUAGAACAAAAGAAGAGAUUGUUACUUGACCAUAAACAAUUAGUCCGCACCCAAAGAAACUGAGUGAAUGAGAGAAAAAGACUAAUAGCUAGAAAACAAUCAACAGAUCCAAGAAUUUUCUGUAUGGUUUCCAAGAAAAUGAAACGAAACGAGCAGCACAACCCUCUUUCUCCUCCAAGAAAAGAAAGAAGAAGAAAAAGAAAAAGAAAAAGAAAGGAAAGAAACAAAGAAGUUCGAGGAAAGAAAAAGUAAGGAAGAUGAAACCAUAAACCUGCAAGUCCUACAAAUCAUAAACAUUGACUUUGAUUUUUCCUUUAUAAAACCAUAAACCUGCAAGUCCUACAAAUCAACAUGAAGACUUAUCAGAUCCUAAUGAAAAGCUGUCAAAAUCCUAUCAGAAAUUAAGGAAGAUGACGUUACGUUAACUUCAAAUCUGAGGAUUAAUUGUAGCAGAUCUUAUAGAGUUCAGCUGAUUGCUUUACUUGUUUAAAUAAUUCUCUUGUAAGCCUAAUGGUUCACGUCUUCCAUCAUUGCAACCUUUUUUUCUGUGAUUGAAAAAUCUAUAAUAGGAACCUGCACUUCAUCCCUUCUAUGCUGUUGUUCUUUCUUCUUGUUUUGCUAUUUUGAUUUUAUCAUAUUUUCUAUGAUGAAAGUUGAAGAAAACACCCCUUCUUUUGCAAUUAUUACCACUCCCCCCACGUGGCUACCCAUAAUUGGACUGUCAUCUCAGCUGUAUAAAUGUCUCGCUCAAGCCAAAAACAGAAACGCACAAAACCCCUCCCCCAACAGAGAAUCAAAUGAUAGCUAAAAUCAAAUAUUAUUAUUAUUAUUAUUAUUAUUGCCCCAACAACAAACAAUUAUUAUACAAUUAUUAUUAUUGCUGUUGUUAUUUUAGGUGCCACCUAGUCCUUUGCUAGGAACUUAACAUCCAAAAAUGCCUUCACUAAUCUUUUGCUCAUUUUCAAACCGAAGAGUCCUGUACUAACAAAAGCCUUUUUAUAGGAUGCUAUGUUUUCUUACCCACCUCACGAACAUGAUCAUGAACACGAGCCUAAGAUGACUCUCUUUUUACUUUCUUGAAUCAAUAAAAUAACCAGUGAGUCCUGUUCUUGCAUUCGACUAAAAAAGGUCUGCAAAAUUACAGUAAUUGCUUAUGAUGAUACGAACACAACAAAAGAUCAAACUCAAGCACUUAAAAGUAAUUGCUUAUGAUGAUCAUCUCACUAAGUAAGGAGAGAAAAGUAAGGAGAAACGGAAGGAGACAUAGACAGAUCGGAGGAGAGUAAGAAAAAAAUAUAUGAAUAUGUGAUGUCCUAUUUCUCAUAAAAAUUCUCUCUUUUAUUUGGAAUUUCUUUGGACAAAGGAAGAAAGUGAGGUCACGUUGGGGGGCCAGUAUUGUAGAAAAUAGGAGAUGAAAAUUAGUAUGAAAAAGAGGAUGAUAGAGUGGUUGUCCCAAUCAUAGUGGUUUUUAUAAUUAUAUUUAAUUUAUAGAAAUAUUAAAUUAAUAUAUUCUUAGUGUUUUAUAUGAUUUAUAGAAAAAGACUAAUAGCUAGAAAACAAUCAACAGAUCCAAGAAUUUUCUGUAUGGUUUCGAAGAAAAUGAAACGAAACGAGCAGCACAACCCUCUUUCUCCAAGAAAAGAAAGAAGAAGAAGAAGAAAAAGAAAAGGAAAGAAAAAAAACAAAGAAGUUCGAGGAAGUGUGCAGCCUUUGUUCUGCUGUUCACACAGACUAAGAACUCCUACCAUUGUAAAAUCAUAUAAUUAAAACACAACAAUAAAAAUGUAAUAAUCAGAUCUUAUAGCGUUCAGCUGAUUGCUUUACUUGUUUAAAUAAUUCUCUUGUAAGCCUAAUGGUUCACGUCUUCCAUCAUUGCAACCUUUUUUUCUGUGAUUGAAAAAUCUAUAAUAGGAACCUGCACUGCAUCCCUUCUAUGCUGUUGUUCUUUCUUCUUGUUUUGCUAUUUUGAUUUUAUCAUAUUUUCUAUGAUGAAAGUUGAAGAAAUUCUACUUCGAAACUCAAGACAAAGUCUCUCGGACUGCAUAUUAGUGGGUUGCUCAUUGGGAUUUCUAUAAACAACUGAUUCUAAUAUUGCACAGCAACAUUACGAAAAACUGAUUAUUUCACACAUAGUCUAAUAAAAGUAGAUUCCAUUGUCAAUUCCUUAACAUUUUCCAAACAAAUCCAUGCUCCUCAUUUUAUACUUUCUUGAGGGUUUCUAUUCUCUUAUUACCAAUUUCAGUGAGUUUCAUAAUAAGCUGCUUAGAAAGAAGCUAUCUAACAGGAGGGUGGGGCUACUCUUAGCCAAUGAAAACAGCUUCACAUGCUAUACAGCAACGUGAAAAAAAAUUCUCAGCCUGUUCUCUCUUUAAUGAACACCCUCUUGGAUUCUCUAGCAUUAGGCAACAAGGUAUCUGCUUGGAAUUACUUCCACCCAUCUGAAAAAAUAACAUACAAUCUAUUUAAUACACUUAACUAAAAAUGUAUUUUAUAACCCUAUAUAUUUUUUAACUAAACUAGUUAUUUUUUUCAAAAACCAAAAAAGUAAACAGUUUUUCAAAAAUCUAAUUCAUAAUAAAACAAAUAAUGAAACUUGAUAAUAAUUCACUAAAUAACCAUCAAUUAUUCAUCAAACCAAUCUGAAAAAGCUAAUAUUAAAGAUAGGAACAAAUCUAGAAUUUUAUCAUAUUUUUAAGGAUCAAAUUAUAAUUUUAUCAAAUAUUGUAAUAGGUCAAUUAUAUUACCCGAGUGUGUGACACAGAGAUGAUCAUCAUAGAAAAUUACUUUUAAUUGCUUGAGUUUUAUCCUUAGAUGACAAACUUACCUUGUCCUACUAAUGCUUUUGCUUUCAUUGUUUCGAAAGUAAUUAAAAGAGACAUGAACAUAAUCAUUUCCUUCCUUUUACUUUCCACUUCUUUGUAAUAUUGGAUUGCAAACGGGAUGGUGCUUAGGGGGGCCAGUUUUUCUUUUCCUUUCUUUUUAAAAUCUUAUUUUUUAUAAUACUAUUAAAUAUAAAUAAAUAACUUACUUUGUAAGAAUUUAUUUUCUAUAAAAACUACCUUUUAAAAGAAACUACUUUAAAUAAACGGGGCUCAAAUCUCACUCUCAUGGCUUUAUUUAUCUAGUUGAGAUAGAUAGACCUUCAUAACCGCAUGUGGUUAUUUGUCAUGAUAUUACCUUCUUCUGGAAUUAGGACAUGAUGAAAAUAGGCAAACAGAACCUAAUAAUUUAGUCAUUCUCAAUGUUUUGGAAGAUUUUUGCGAAAGAAAAAUUAUUACAAAUUUCCCUAGUCAUGAUCAUAUCCAUGACAUCUGACAAAAUUAUUAUAAACAGUUUUUUUUUUUUUUUUGUAAACAUUUAGAAAAAAGAGUUUAUUACUUGGCGAAAAACAACUAGUCAUCACCCAAAGAAACCGAGUGAAUGAGAAAAAAAGACAAAUAGCUAGAAAACAAUCAACAGAUCCAAGAACUUUCUGUAUGGUUUCCAAGAAAAUGAAAAGUAAAGGAAAGAAGAUAGAGAGUCAAACUUGGCUGAAUUGGCACAUGAUUUGAGUUCUGAGUUGAGUUCUAAGUUCGGUGGGUUAAUCUAAAAUGAUUCAAAUCAAUAAUUUCUUCUAAAUGAUGAAAACAUGUUGUUUUGCAUAACAAAAAUAUCAAUUAGAAUUUUUAUUGAGUCUUGACUAGGUUGCAAGUCGACUCGUCAUCAGGUCAAACUAUAUUAACUCUAAGUUAACUUUUUUCUUAUACCCAACCCGAGCAAGGUGAUGGAUUGUUCGAGCCAGUUUAAUAACAAUGUUUUCAUCUAUUUAACUAAUCCUUGUAAUUUAUAUAUUUGCGUUGAUGUUUUUUUUUUCAUUCCACAGUAAAAAAAAACUCUUGAUUUCUCAUGAACAAUCUUAAAACUGUACUUCAAGAUUCUGAAGGAAAAGACAUUAAAGAAGCUUCUUAUGACAUGCAGUUUCAACGAAAACUCCUUCACGCUAUUUUCCAAGAUACUUCUACCCACAAGAAACCUGGAAAAACUUAAAUAAUAUCAGCAAAACUAUAAUCAAUGAACAUGGCAGUAACAGGUUGGGAAUGUGACAGAAUGCUAAGUGCCAAAGGGUAAAAGUAUUAUUAAAGAGGCGUGACACAAACGAAGCUACCCCUUACCUACUCCUGGGAAGGGAUGUCAGACUAUACAGCUUUUUCAAUUCAUUAAUGUCGUUCUCUGUUUGUUUUCUAAAACCUGCUCGAAUCAUAUACAUGUAUUAUAUUCUUAAAAUUGCUCUAUGGGAUUGCAGGUCAUGCUCGUUUGAUUGAUUUUUUUCAAAUUCUUUUCAUGCUCUUCCAAACAAGGCAGGGAAGGAGGACCUGAAAUCACGGCAGCGAAUAAGGAGAGAAAUAGCCUGUUUGUCUUUGCUUUUUUUUUUUUUUAGUAUUUUUGAAAAACAUUAUUUUUUUUUUGAUAUAAAUUAAUUUUUUUAUAUUUUCAUAUUAUUUUGAUAUAUUUCUAAACAAAAAAAUACUUUAAAAAACAACCGCUAACACAUUACCAGAAAACCGAUAAAUACAAACGAAAAUACCGAGGGAAUAUUUCCGUCGGUAAAUUUCCGAGGGAUUUUACCGACGGACAUAUUCCCUCGGUAUAUACCGAGGGAAUUACGGAGGGACAAAAAAUUAAAACAAAACAAAAAAAAUGAUGACGUGUCAGGAUUUACCAACGAAAUUACAGACAUAAUUUAUUCCGUCGGGAAAAUACCGUCGGUAAAUCCGUUGGUAACCUUGUUUACACUGUUCAUCAUGUCAAUUACAAAGGGAAUCACCGACGGACAAAAUCCGUCGGUAUUUUCCAGAGAGCUCCAGAACUGUUCACUUUCCAAUUGCACUGUUAAUUGUUGUUCUUUAAGGACAAAAUCACCGACGGAUUGAAAAGUCGUCGGUGUUAUUUGGCGGUUUUCUGAAAAAAUUCAAUUGAUUUAAAAUUUUCAUUUAAAUAUUACAGACGGAAUCACCGACGGACUAAAAAAUCGUCGGUAAUUGUUGGCGGUUUCUGAAAAAUUUGUACGAAAUUAAAAAUUUAAAUUAAAUAUUACCGAUGGAAUUACCGACGGAAUAAUUAAAAAAUAUUAAUAUUCAAUUAUCCGUCGGUAAAUCCGUCGCUAACGCGCCCCAAUAAAAAGCCCGAAUCCCUUAUUUCACAAGAGACAGACUUAUUUCUUCCUAUUCUUCUACUUCUUCUUCUUCUUCACUAUAUGUAAAAAACAUCAAUAUCUAUUUCUUUCUCUUCUUUUCUCUCCUCGUCUCCUUCUCUUUUUCUCCAUGCUCGGGUAUGUCUUCUUCUUCUUUCUUCUUUUAUCCUCUUAGUUUUUUUUUUAAUUAAUAUGCUUUACGAAAUGUUUUUCUCUCCUUAGCUUCACUUGCAACUACAUUAAGGUAAGAUUUUUCUUCUUUUUUCAUGAUUUUUUUCACUAUAUUUGUUUUUUAUUUUAUUUUUAAUUGUUUUUGUUCUUAAUAAUUGUAUAAAUGUUGUUGUGAGAUUUGUUUUUUCAUAUGAGAUUAAUUUUUAGUUGAUUUAUUUAUAGGAUUUUUAAAUUUUUAGCAAUUGCAACUUUAUUUUUUUUCAUAUGAAUUUUUUUAGUUGAAUUUAUUUUUUCAUUUUAUUUAUUUGUUGCAAAUUUGUUUGAGUUGAUUUUUGUAUUUGUUUUUCAAGAAUUUUGAGUAUAUAUUAUACAGUGUUGAUUUAUGUUAAUUUAAUUAUUUUAUAAUUUUAUAAAAUGAUUUUUUUUUAUUUUUUUUUAAAUAAUUACCGAUGGAAUUUCCAUCGGUAAUUCCGUCGGCAAAUCCGUUGGUAAUAAAAAAUAUUAUUACCGACGGAUUUACCGACGAAAUGAAGCGGGUAAUUUUAUUUUUUUAUUUCUGACGGAUUUACCGACGGAUAAAAAAUUACCGAUAAAGGAUUCACCGACGGAGCAUUUCCGUCGGUGAUGUCGUUGGUAAAUUAAUUACUAACGGAAUAUGUGUCUUACACCGACGGAAAAAUUCCGUCGGUAAAACUGUUAAAUCUUGUAGUGACAUACUUUUUUUAAGCUAUUAAGUAACCGGUCCUUAUAAUUUUCCAACAUUGUAUUUUGAUACCAAACUUUAUUUUUCUCUUUUUUAAGUUCUUUUUUGAGUGGAGAAGAGAGAGAGGAUCGCCAGAUUUCAUUUUAGAGAGAAAAAGUUGUUGUUGAAAAAGAUUUUGGCCACCGAAAUCGUUGAUUUUUUUUAGUCAAAUGGUAGCCACCCAUUUUUUUCUUGUGUUCAUAAUUAAAACCUUCUUAAAGGGUUCUUAUCAAUGGCUUUAAAACCUCUCUCUCAAGAUCAAAAGGUUAAAAAUAACUCUCUGCCCUCUAAGUCUAACAAAACUACCAAGUACCCUUAAAACCAAAACCACCAUUGCCAAACCAGUUUAGUACAAGAACUUCUAGCUGUUAGCUUUUGUCCAAAACCUUUUUACUUUGAUCAAAUGGUUAAACUUUCAUUAAUCUUUUAGGGAAUCCACAAAAAACCUAGAAAAACCCUAUAAAUACUCUUGAAAAUUAGAGCCGGAGAGGAGGAGAAAAUGAGAGGAAAAGAGAGGAAAAACAUGGGGAAAUAAUUUGUUAAUAGACUCUAUUAUGAAGGUUUAAGAGCCUAAUAUAGAAUGUCUAACCUAUUUUAAAAAGAAAAGGAGUGAAAAGAAAAGAAAGAAGGAAAAAAGAAGAAAAAAAUAACAACGUAAUUUUGAAAUUAGAAGGUCUAAUUUCAGUGAAAGUUAAGAGCAUUAGAGACUAGACCAUGCUUAUACCAAAAACGAAUCUCAUCGUUGAAGGAAUGCAAACAGUUGUUAACGAGACACUUAUGCUGUUCUAACAUUCAAAGAUUGUUGAAUCUAGUACUGGUGCUCAUUCUGGAUCUAGGAAUGCAACGUAAUUUUCUGGACCAAUUAAUUUCAGGUAUUUUUUUUCCUCUUUUAUUUCCUUUAUGUUUUUAUCUUCUUCUUCGUAGAUCUGUAAAAAUUAUGGCAUAAAUCCUUUGAUAUUCUUGAUAAAUCCGCUACUGUCAUAUUUUUUCCAUAACAUUUCCAUAACUCUUCAUCUUAUCUCGCCACAUUCCACAGUUAAAACUAACCAAAUUCAUCAAGCAACCCACAAAAAACACAUUUUUUCCAUGACUGUUUUCUUCUUCAUGAAUCACAAUUGGCAGCUCAAAUCAUCUAACCAAACAAGGGGGGAAUUUCUAACCAAACAGAGAGACAAAACUGGGGGGGGGGGGUAACUGUGAACAGAGAGAGGCAAAACGCGGGGAGCCAUUUCUGUUAACAUAGAGAGGCAAAACACGGGGGGCGAUUUCUGUUAACAUAGAGAGGCAAAAGGGUGAGGGGGGGCGAUUGAUUUCUGUGAACAGAGAGAGGCCAAAACGGGGGGGGGGGGGUUCUGUUAACAAAGAGAGGCAAAAUGGGGGGGGAGAUUUCUGUGAACUUUACUGUGAAGCAGCCCCUCCCUGUCCCCGGAUCCGGCCACCAUAUACUUUCUGUCAACCCUUGCUCUCUUUUUUUGUCAAGACACAGCUUUACCAGAGCAAGUAGCCGGGGGAGAGAGGAGGAGAAACCGAAAGUGAGAGGGAACAGGGGAAUGAGGGAAUAAGAGAAAUCGAGAGGGAGAGGGAACAGGGGAAUUGGGGAAACUGGAACCAGGAGAGGGGAAUGAGAACAGGGGAAUUGGGGGAACUGGAACCAAAAGGAGAGGGGAAUGGGAACAGUGCAAUUGGGGAAUGUUAAAUAGGGAAUUAUAGAAACCGGUUAUAACAGGGGAAAUGGGGAAUGAAUAUAACAGGGGAAAUGGGGAAUUAUAGAAACCGAUUAUAAUAGGGGAAAUGGGGAAUGAAUAUAACAGGGGAAAUGGAGAAUUAUAGAAACCGAUAGGGUGAGGGGAAUAGGUGGGGAAUGGGAUAAUGGGAUGGGAACAACGAAAUUAUAAUAGAACCCUAAUAAACAUAAAUUUGUGUUUUAUUUUGCUUUGAUCAAUUUAUGAUUAGUGUUUGAUUAUAUUUGUUAUAUAUGGAUAAAUUUGUGUGACUAUGUCGGUAAUUAUAUAGAUUUCAUUGCGCAAUGUCUAUUGAUCGUUGUGAACUUAUGAAAUCGCAUGUAUGAAGAUGAUGGUGUUGAAAAGUUGUCUAAACAGAUUGGAGAUGUAGCAUUUGCAAUUCAAAGCCUCAGCAAAAAUCAACUUGAUGUUAAUGCAUUGUAUGCGGAAGUGAUGAAAAUUGAAGGUUUUGAUGAGAUCACUCUUGGAGAUGCAUUUGAUCAUUUGGUCCAAAAUGAAAUAUUGGCAAAAGUAUUUAUGAUAAAAAAUGCUAAUUUGAGGAAAAUUUGGGUUCAGAAUUUUGUGAACCAACACUACUAUAGGCCUGCUUGCUAAGAUGGUUUGACUAUGUUUAAAAUUUGGGUUCAGACUAUGUUUGUUAUUUGACAAGUAUCUUUACUUGUUUAAUUCAGUCUAGCAUGUUUAUGUUUGUAAUUUGAACUAAUAUGUAUGUAUAUGACAUCGAAACUUAAUAUUUAUUCAUAACUUUGUUUGAUGUUAGAUAUUUAUAUUUAUUUCUUGAUGCUUAUUUGAUAUAUAUUAAAGGGAUAAUUGCCUUUACCCGUAAAAAAAAAAAUAUAUUUAUCCAAAAAACCCAUCAAAAUAUUUUUUGAAUCUACUUAUCUUUUUUACAAAACUUCAUACAAAAAAAAAAACAACCCAAAUAUAUAACUCUUACCAUAAACUAAUUUGACUUUCUUCAUAUGAAAAAAAAAAUUAUUUUAAGCUUUUAAAAUUGAAAAAAAUAUAGUAAUAGGUUUUACUUAAAAAAUAUUUCACAAGCUUAUUUCUAUAUAAUAUGAUAUGACAUAUAUAGUUAUAUUUUAUAAAAUAAGCUAUGUAUGAAUAUAUAUUAUAAUAAAAAAAAUUCAUCAUUAUACUUUUUAGAUUUCAUUAUUUUAUUGUAAGUGAUUAAAUAUUUAUAUUAAAUAUUAUAUAUAUAUAUUAGAUAAACUUUAAAAAAAAAUUAAUUCAUUAAUAAAUUAUUUUUCAGUUCAUUUUCCAUAACAUAACUAAACACUGGAAAGUGUUUUCCAGUUCAUUUUCUAUAACACUACCAAACAUCGGAAAAUACUUUCCCGGAAUUUACUUUCCAGGAAUUCACUUUCCCCGUAAUUCACUUUCCAAAAGGAAACAACUUUCCUGCAAACAAACGGAGCCUUGAUUAUCCUAAUACAAAACUUAAUAUAAUUUCGUAGUUGUGGAAUACUAACUAGAUAUAAAGGAAAAAUAUAAAUUACAACAAAAAAAUACAGAUUCUAAAGGUCCAAAAAAAGUGAUUUACUAACAAGCUAUAAGCUUGAGAAAGAUAAAUAGUGAGAGGAUGAGUUCAAUAACUCAGUGAGUAGAUAAUGUUCAAUAUACAUACACAAGGUAAUACAACAAUGAUAAAUAUAUAUACAAUUAUGACUUUAGAUUCUUAUAAGAAGGUUUCUCAAAUAGGCCAUAACAACGAUAUCGUAAGGUAAAACUCGUUAGAAAAUCAAAAUGCAAUGACCAUAAGGGUCCAUACUAUGGGAUGAUUAGUCUACACAGGUUGAUGACUCCCUCGACCAACUAGGGUUUCAGAUACGAUGUACACUAAGACUAACACUACCAUGUUAGCAUGAACAUUCUAAUUGGCAUACCAUAAGUUUAUAUCAUAAUCAAACAAACAGAUUCAUAUCUCAACGCCAGCUCAUGACAUUAAUAAAAUAAGAAGUUAUCAAUUCAGAAGUCAAUUUAAAAGUAUAUAUUGGCUUAUAUCAAGAAUUCAGAUUCAACAAUUGAUCAUCUUUUAUCAUAAUAAAGAUAAUAAUCAACACAUAUAUUAUAAAGAAGCACGAUCCAAUUCAUAUUAACAACUCAAAUAUUUAUACUAUUUCUCAUGUAUAUGAAAAAUUAUACACUCACUCGACUUAAAAGUGAACAGAAUUCGAAAGCAAAUACUGAAGGAAUCCUACUGAUAUUCCGUAUGUAGAAUAUCAGGAUUAUAUGAAUACAAAUGAGACAUAUUAUAAAACGACUCGAAAAGAACAUACAACCUAUUUAAUACACUUAACUAAGGGUCUAUUUCAUAACCCUAUAUAUUUUUUUAACUAAACUAGCUAUUUUUCCCAAAAACCCAAAAAGUAAACGGUUUUUCAGAAAUCUAAUUCAUAAUAAAACAAAUAAUGAGACUUGAUAAUAAUUCACUAAAUAACCAUCAAUUAUUCAUCAAAACAAUAUGAAAAAGCUAAUAUUAAAGCUAGGGACCAAUCUGGAAUUUUAUCAUAUUUUUAGGGGUUAAAUUAUAAUUUUAUCAAAUUGGAGGCCCAGACUAAAAAUAUUAUAAAUUCAUGACUAUACUGGAAUUAUGCCCAUAAUUCAUCCUCAAUUCUGCCCAGAAUCUCAAAUUAUGCUCCAGGGACCACUCUGUAAUUUUAUCAAAUUUCUAGGGUUAAGUUGUAAUUUCAUCAAAUUGGAGGACCAAAGUGAAAAUAUCAUAAAUUCAUAACUAUACUGGAAUUCUGCCCAUAAUUUAACUUUAAUUCUGUCCAGAAUCUCGGAUUAUGCUCCAGGGACCAAUCUCUAAUUUUUCUAAAGUUCAAGGACUAAACUGUAAUUUUCACAAAUUGAGGGGCCAAGCUGAAAUUUCAUAAUUUUUAACCUCAAACCCAGAAUUUACACAGAUAACCUACUGAUAUAUCAAGAUUUCUAACUCAAAUUCACCAUUUAAAUACAAUCAUAACUCAAAAUCAUCAUUUUUACCUAAAAUCUUUUAAAAUCAACUAAAUAAUUCAUUACCCAUAACAAUCAACCCAUAAUUUUUCUGUAAUGUAAUUGUAAUUCCUAGCAUAAUGCAUAUUCGAGGGCAAGCACAACAACUCAAGAGCAAAGAAACUCGAUGAAAUAGCAAAAGAAAAAGACUUGAAGGACUGAAAAAAAAUAAAACCAAAAAAGAGGGAUGAAAAAAGUAACCGCACUCUGGUUGCCAUAAAAAAACAUAGUUCUUUAAGUAUUUUUUUUUUUUUAAAAUAUUGUAAUAGGUCAAUCAUAUUACCCGAGUGUGUGACACAGAGAUGAUCAUCAUAGAAAAUUACUUUUAAUUGCUUGAGUUUUAUCCUUAGAUGACAAACUUACCUUGUCCUACUAAUGCUUUUGCUUUCAUUGUUUCGAAAGUAAAAGAGACAUAAACAUAAUCAUUUCCUUCCUUUUACUUUCCACUUCUUUGCAAACGGGAUGGUGCUUAGGGGGGCCAGUUUUUCCUUUCCUUUCUUUUUAAAAUCUUAUCCCUUGGGCGAGGAAAUUAGUGGAGCAUUAGACUUUUUAAAAGACAACCAAAAGAAGCAAUGUCUGAUCAUCUUUUGAUAUGGUGGUCUUCCAUGAUCAGUUUGUUGAUGAAGAUAUCGAAAGAUUCGAGUCUCCGUUCUAGCUCAGGUUGGAAGCUAGGCCGAAAGCUAAGCUUCUUUUAAUUAUGAAUCGUUUAUGCAAAGGAAACCCAGAAGCUUGAACAAACAGAAAUGCCCUGUUGAUUUCUCUGCUGCUACUCAUUAUUUCCAAUAUUAUUCCAUUAUCUUACCCGAGAGCAAUUAUACAAGAAAUUUCAUUAUCCUGCCCCAAAAGGCAAUUUAUUACAAGGACUUCCUUUAACCUCCUUGAAGGCAAUUUAUUUGAUGAAAAUUCCUUUAAUCCACCUCAAAGACAAUUUAUCUUAGGGAAUUCCAACAAGCCAGGCAAUUUAUUUCUUGGAAAUUCCUUUAACCCGCCCUAAUUAAGGCAUUUUAUCUAAGGGAAUUCCAACAACCUGCUCCAAAAUCAAUUUAUUUCUUGGACUCAGUAUUCUUUGAUACUAGUUAUUUAUAUAUAAUUUAACAACACUUUUAUCUUAUAUUUAAAAAGAAAUUCAAAAGUAAGGAUAAGCCUUACCUAGAGCUCCUGUGGUUCUUGCUCCCGAGAGAAUUGGCUCCACUCCAGACAAAUCUACUACCAAAAACCCAAGUUUCAACCAAUCAAUAACAUCAACACCCAUUUUAAUUCAAUGCAAGAAGUUUUUCUUAACCAAUUUACUUGAUGCAAGUUCUUAUAAUCAAAGUGACAGUAUUCAGGGUGAAGACAAGCAGAAGGGCGUGUAUUAAUUUUAUUUUUUAAUGUUGAGUUUUUUUAUUGAAUUUUAUUUGUCAAUAUUGAAUUAAUUAUAAAUUAAAUUUUAUAUUUUUUUAUCAUAUAUAAAAAAACAAAGUAAUCUCAUCUUUUGAUACGGUGGUCCAAGAUUCACCAUGACAUGGUUGUAGUUUUUUUUUUUGCCUUUUUCUUUUGAAAAUGUUAUGUCAUUUAAUUUAUAAUUAUAAAUUAAAUUCUUUUUAUUGGUCAUUUUAAUUUUUUUUACUUUUUUUAUAUAUAAUUUUUUAAUUUUAUAUUUUAUUAAUGUUGAGUUUUUUUAUUAAAUUUUAUUUGGCUAUGAACCAGAACUUUUUAUUUUUUAUUUUUUGGACAAGCAGAGACAAAUUAAAUAAACAAAGUAAUCUCAUCUUUUGAUAUAGUUGUAGUUUUUUUAUUAUUUGUUUUUUGCCCUUUUCUUUUAAAAAUGUUAUCUCCUUGGUAAGGAAUCCUUGGUUCCCAACGGCAACUGUAGCAGAGUUGACGGUUGCGUAAAAACAAAUCUCUAAACUCCACCGAAAGUAGUGGAGCAUUAGAGUUUUUAAAAGACAAAACGGGGACAAGUGGGAGACGAAGAACAAGACAACAGUAGGUGGUCUAAGAUACACCGUAUAUAUGAUAAUAAUAAAACAAGCCUUUAAAACAACUCUGAAAACAAAAAAUUUUAUAAUUCAUAAUUUAUAAACACAUGCGAUAAAAUAAAUCAUACUGCAUGUUUUCAUUUGGCAUUUAAUUCCAUGAACAUGAUUUUUUUAGAUUAAUAUGGAUAUUCGGGUCAGCUUGUGUACCUCAACUAAUUCUAUGAAUCCUAAAAUUAACGAUUAUAUGAGCAUCUAGCAGGCCUGGAAUUUGUGAGAUUCGAACUAAUAAUUUUUAGAGAGUAAAUUCAGGGUCUCACCAGUUAAACUACAUUUAUCAGAAUUUCAUUAACAUGAUCUUACUUUUCAAUCAAAUUGCUGCGACCAUAUUAGACUUGUAAUCAGACCAUUAAUUGACUGUUCUUGACUAGCUAUUGUUUCUUAUAAUCAAAGUGACAGUAUUCAAGGUGAAGACAAGCAGAAGGGCGUGAUAGAGUUUGACGAAGAUCAAGCUAGUUCCAAUAAAGGGAAACACUCUAUGCAGGCCAAACCACAGUGGAAAUUCUUAUAAUCCCACCAAUCAAGGUUUACAGGACCCUAGUCCUUCCCAAACCAAUUUGAACUCCCCGUAGAGAAAUCAUCUCCAAACCCAUUUUGAACCCCCCACAACAAGCAUCUCCACAACCUAUUCUGAACCCCCCCACAACAAGCAUCUCUACAACAUGAUUUUAUUUCCUUGUGUGACAGGGAGGUCAAAAUUGAAAGAUAUUACUAUUUUCAUUAAUUUUAUUAAAGCUUAAUUAUUAUUUUUUUGCCCUUUUCUUUUAAAAAUGUUAUCUCCUUGGUAAGGAAUCCUUGGUUCCCAACAGCAACUGUAGCAUAGUUAAAGGUUGCGUAAAAAAAUAUCUAAACGCCACCGAAAGUAGUGGAGCAUUAGAAUUUUUAAAAGACAAAACGGGGACAAGUGGGAGACGAAGAAAAAGACAAAAGUAAUCCCAUCUAUUGAUGUGGUGAUCCAAGAGACACCAUAACAUGGUGUUCUUCCAUGAAGUCUAAGAUACACCGCCGUGUUGUUUCAUAUAUAUUUAUAUAUAUGAAAAUAAUAAAACUACCGUUUAAAACAACUCUGAAAACAAAAUUUUUAAUAAUUCAUAAUUUAUAAGCAAACAUCACUUAUAAGCAAAUAAUUAAUGAUGGUUAAACUAAUUCAUUGUUAGGCGGAUAUUUAUUAAGGUUAAGACCCCUCUAUCUAACACUAAUAACUAAUCACUGAUAAUAUUUAUGCAAAACUUGUAGCUUAGGAUGAACUCUCAGAGAUGUGGGCGAGGCAACUCAAAGUAGAAGGGAAGGGGUAACCUCUGAUAACAGAGAAAAUUGUAGAGUAAAUUGUAGAUGUGGACCGAAUUUUCUUAAAUUAACAACAGAAAUCUACAAUGAACAGUUCUCGAGAAGAAACUCAAGAAACGUAUAUAAAGCUACAUGAUGACAUAAUAGGAACCUGCAUUGCCUUCAUUCUAUGAUGAAAGUUCAAGAAAUUUUACGUCGAAACUCAAGACAAAGUCUCUCAGACUACAUAUUGCAAAGCAACUGAUUCUAUUGCAAAGCAACAUUACGAAAAAUUGAAUAUUUCACACUCAGUCUAAUAAAAGUAGAUUCCAUUGUCAAUUCCUCAGCAUUUUCCAAACAAAUCCAUGCUCCUCAUUUUAUACUUUCUCUCUUAUUACCAACUUCAUUGAGUUUCAUAUAAGCAUAGUCAAUCACACAACUAAUAUGUGAAUUCACCAUUUCUUACCAAAAACAUUUUAUCAGUGCAAAUUAAUACAUAAUUUUACCUCUCCUCUUAGUGAAAACACAAAGACACAACCACCGAGCAGAUCUCUGGUAAUGGUCUCUACAAAUUCCCUACAGUUCCUAUUGCCAACAAACUCCUCUUGCCAUUCCCUAACUUCAUUGAGCCAGCUAAUCUGGAUGAAAGAAAGGACCUCAGCCUUGAAAUUAGCAUCAUAGUCAUGGAACCUUAAAGCAGACCCAACUUUGUAGCUCAUUACCAGUUAAGUAAAAGUUAUCAAUAGCUGUGUAAAUCAUUGAAACUGCCACAAAAGCAACCCAAAUUAGUUAUGAAAUUGAUUCGAUAAAGGAAAGAGGGGAAGAGGGGAAAUGGGUAACGGAAAAUUAAAGAGAGAUGAAGAUCUGCGCAUGACUACCUGUUUUGAGAAUUAUGGAUUUUUAUCCCUAACUCCAAAUUGCACCAAUUAUAAGUUCAUUAAAACAAAUCUGGAACAGAACAGAUGGAAAAAACUCGAAACAACUCGGCUAGAAUUUGGGCAAGAAAUUCAGAACGGCCAAGAUUUUAAGUGAGAUAAAAGUUAUCCCAUUUUGUUCUGUUUUUUUUUUAAAAUUAAUAGGAGAUAUACUAUCCAUUUCAAGCGGAACAUAAUGGAAUGAACAACCUUGCAUAGAAGACCUAAUUUUAGUGAAACUCAAGUUUAUUGUGUCAAAGAAAAUGUUCUAAAAAAAUGUUUUAAGCAUUAACAAAAUCUAGUUGGCCUAGGCAAUCCACUAUUGUUGCUGUUACCGUUGGUGCAUACUCCAUUACACCAUUGACAUAGUGCAACUGUUUUUGUUUCUUUCUUUCUUUCUUUUAAAAACAUCCAUGUUAUGUUUUUUAUUUGAAGCUUUUUUGUUAAUAUCUUUCGCAAUUGGCCUUGGUAUUUUGUUUCCAUUUUCUCUAUGUUUCCUUCUUCUGUAGUUAGAAAACAUCAUGUCUUUGGGUUUGCGCUUGAUACUGCAAAAUUAAGGACACAAUAGUCAAAGACCACAAAAAAUUUUAUAAGUGAAAGGGGUUGUAGUUGUGAACCCUAAAAUUUACAAGCUUAUUUUCUUAAUAAUAAUAAUAAUAAUAAUAAUAAUAAAGAAGUUUGCCUUCUUAGAAAGUUUACACGGCCUUAAAUUGGUUAGGGACCUUACCUCAACAAGGAAACAAAAAAAAAUCCAAAAUUAUAAAGGAAAGAAGCAUAAAAUCUAAAAUAAGCAACAAAUCUGAAAAUAACAAAGAAAAUUACAAAAAGCUAACAAAACCCGGGGCAUCAGUGAGAGUUUUGAUAUUUAAAGAUUCGAUGGUCUGUAUAAAAAUUUGAGCACAAUCCAAUAAUCGAAUAAAAUUUUUUUUGCUCUUUUGAGCUGUUAUUCUUGUCUAGUACAACCAAACAUUCUCUUAGGCUUAGACCUGUUCUAUUGGUUCAUAAAUACAUUUACUAGGCCAUCAACAUUAUUUAUCUGAGGCAAAUCCUCAUCUAGUUGUAGUAGACCCACAUCUGACUGCUUAGAAUCACUAGUUAUCGUAGGAUCGACUAUAUCAAAAUUGGUUGGUUUCUUGUUUUCAAAAAGAAUUAAAAUUUGAUGCAGAUGAAAGCUAAAAACACAAUAAUUAAAUAGCACAAAAAAUUUUAUGAGCGAAAGAGGCUACAGAUGUGAACCUUCAAAUUCACAAGUUUAUUUUCUCUAAAAUAAUAAUAAUGAAGUUUGUUUUCUUAGGAGGUUUCCAAAGCCAUAAAAAUAUCAAGAAUCCUAUCUUAACUUGGAAAUAAAAAUACAAACUCAAAAUUACAAAGGAAAGAAGCAUAAAAUCUAAAAUAAGCAAGAAAUUAAAAAAUAACAAAAAAAAUCACAAAAAACUACCAAAACUAGAGGGCUCAACAAGAUUUUUGUUAUCUAAAGAUUCGAUGGUCCGCGUAAGAAUUUUAGCAUGAUCUAACGGUCGGAUAAGAAAUUAUGACUCUUUUGAGCUAUUAUUUUCGUUUAACGCGACCAAAUUUUUUUUUGGUCCUAUACUUGUCCUAUUAGUCCAUAAAUACAUCUCCAUGACCUAUCUCCAUGACCUAUCUUUUUUUUUUCCUACUAUAGAUGUUGUUUGACCAUCAUCGUCAUAUGAUUUGACUUAGUUGUAUCGGUUUUCAAUCAGAUCAACUUUAUAUAUUAUGGGUUUACAUGGCUCAUAGUUGGAUUAUUUGUGUUUUUGUUAUUUGUUCUUCCCAGUACUUGUACCAGAAGCUGCUCUCAUAUUUGAAGGAAUGCAAACAAUAUAAUGUUAAUAUGAAACUUAUGAUGCAUAGGAAAUUGCCAUUUAAUUUUCUCGUUUUUAAUUCAAAGAAAAAUCACAAGUAAGUUUUUGUUAGAAAUAACUUCUUCUUUCAAUCAGAAGUGUGUCACUAAAUUGAUUUAUAAGUAAGUUUUUAAAUCGUGGAUUAUAUCUUACAUUAUAUUUUUUUAUUUACAAAAGUUUAUUUGAGUUAUUUUUAUUAAAAAUACUUAUAAUUUAAAAUUAUUUUAAUUCUUUUUUAUCACAAAUUAUUUAUUAAAAACAACUUAGAUUAUCGCUUGAAAUAAAAAAAGAAAAAGAAAAAUUUCUCAGCCUGUUUUCUCUUUACUGAACAACCUCUUUGAUUCUCUAGCAUCUGCUUGGAAAAACCAUUCAACAAGGGAUUCUGCUAGGAAAACAUGCAAUUGUUCUUCUAUCUGAUAUCAGUUUCAAAAUUCUAAACAAAUAAUGCAACAAGUCACAUUUAUUACAAAAAAAGUCACGUUUAUUCCAGACCUCAAGCUGCAUUGCCUAUUUCAAAACCACAAAGAGAACAUCAUACAGAACAACAAAUACCCAAGUCGUUGAGCCUUUAAUUUGAGCAUAAAGGAGAAUGAAAGUCCACGCAUUAAACAGUAGGCACACACAUGAAUAUACAUUAUGCUCUUGUUUUUGAAGAUUCAGACACUUCAAAAGAAAGCUCACGCUCUUAUUUUUGGGAAGUUCUUCUAUGGUAAAUAAGACUGUUACAAUGUGAAGCCCAUUUGUAUCCCAUUGCCAGUGAAACAGUAGGAAUUACUUCCACCAAUCUAAAACAUAUUCGCAGCACCAGAGCUCAAAGACAUGAAUCUCUGUGAAAUCGCCUAAGGUCGAGUUGCUUAUGUAAUAGGCAACCAACCUGCCUAAUGCAAACAGAAGAACAAAGACCAUUCACGCAUACCCAUUACCUGUUUAGCAUGUUUUUCAAAUUCCAAAGCCAAACUAAUCAUCCUACCCAUCAUCAUCAUCACCACCAUCUCCCUUCACCACCUUCCUUCAUCUCCUUCACCACAUACCACCCAUUAUUUCGGGUCCACGUUCUACAAGUGCUGAUUGGCGCAGAGCAACCAGUGCUUGAAUCCUCAGCUACUUCAGAUACCUGUAAUCCAAUCCAAGCAUGGCAUACACAUUUUAACUUCUAAAUCUUAUUAUUGAGCGAAACAAGAAACAAACACACAAAAAGAAAAGCAACAAAUCAAGACAAUUCAGCAGCACCUCUGAUUGAGCUCUUAUUGAACCAUUUGGUGUAGUAGCAAAUUUUGUGAUCAGCUUUGGGCAUUCAAACACCUCCAACUUCUCUAAAUGAGGGAAUAAGAAAUCAUAACAUCCGAGACUGAAGCAUACAAUUCUUGAUAAUUGUUCUAGCAACAGCACCUGCAGAUUCGGGAGCUCCAUCACCUUCUCAACAUUGACAGGUAAAGCAUUCUCAUCCUGAAGCCAUGGCUACUGGGAAGAGACUCUUCAACAUGUUGCAUUUUCUGACAUCAAUUUCACAUAAAUUAGGGAAACAUAAAGAUUGAAGAUGAUCUCCUGACAAUAUCUAAUCCUUUCCAUCAUCAUUAUCCCUAGCAAUGAUUUGCUCUAAUUCCUCACAACUUUCUAUGUUUAGAAAAUUCAGUUGAACUAGACUAGCAAUCAUGCUGUCUGAGAAUACAUGUGUUAGUCUUUUACACUUACUCACCACCAAAGUAGUCAAAUUGCUCAGCACGAGACCCUUCCAUAAACACCUCAUGCUUGUUUCAGGCAGGGACUUCAAUUUUAAUGUUUUCAAACUGUCAACUCCUACAUCAGAAGACAACAAAGGCACUAAUUUGUUAGAUAUAAGUCCUAGUAUGUUUUGGUAAAUAGAUGAAUCAAUUAUCCCCAAUACUUACUUAUCAACAAAAGGAUAUAUGUAGACAUGGCAAUAGACAACUCAAUAUUAGCAAAUGGAGGUUUAUCGUCCUGUCCAAAUACUUCCAUUAUUUGGGGGAAGAGCCUCAUUUUCACUCAAACUGGGAAAGCAUAAAUCUAGGUAUCAUUUCAUUACAAUAAUUAAUCUCUUACUUCUUAAGCCCUGUAUCAAGAGACAGGGAAUGAUACAGUUAGACAACUCCUUUUAAAUUUAGUGGAUGGCUAAAGGAUUUAUCUCCACUUAUCAAUUACUUCAGUUUUAGAAAUUUGGAGGAAGAAAUCACAAUGUAUUGAAGUUGACAACCAGAAGCCCAAAAGAAAACAAUUUUGACGAAUACCCACCAAACAGUUGAAGUGCUGCUGUAACUGAGAUUUUUUAUUAUAUGUAUUUUUUGUGGUCCAAUGGAUAAAUAAUUUUUUUUUCUUUUAUUUUAUCAGCUUAAUUUUGCAUGUGGAAUAUUGAGUUUUCUGUUAUUUUUUCAGACACAGAAUUGAAUCCUUUAUAUAUUCUUAAAACCAAAUUUGAAUUCUAAGUUCCUAAAUGAAGGAAUAAUAAAGAUUGUUGCAUGUACAAAUUCUCCUUAAAAAAAUUAACAAAUAAUAAAGUCCCCUAUGUUAAUAAGAUUUAAUUAUAACUUAGCCCUGUAAUUUCUUAAAAUUAAUUAUUUAGCCCUGUAAUAAUAAAGUCCUCCAUUUACUAUAUUUUUCUCUAAAAAAAUGCCUUCCUUCCUAAUGAAAUUUCUUCAAAUGCAUACUUUUGUUGUCCUUAUUCUAUUUUUCAAGAAUGAAGAAAAACCUCUAAAUAGCAUUAGGUUCCAUGAAAUUGAAUGUUUACAUUAUAAUUCUUCUAUAGAAGUCUUCAAUAUUCUAUCACUUAAAAUAUAAAGCUUCAAACCUCCAAAUUUUCAAGACCCCAUCUCUCAAUCUCAAAACCAGAAACAACCCCUUCUCCAUUUAACCGAAUCUCAUAACUCUAGGAAAGGAGAGGGAUACGACUUUUGUAAAUUGAUUUAAUAUAUUUUUGACUUUUGAUUUUAAUUUUCUUUUUAAGUAUGUUAGUUAAAAUUGCUUUUGAUUUAAUUUUUUUUGUUAUAAAUUGGAUUCAAAACUUUGAUUUAAUAAUAAAAAAAUCUUAACUUUAGUUUGUGGAUUGUAUACUAAAUUCCUUAAUAAAAAUAGUAAUUUUGAAUCUUUUUUACAAAUAAUGCUUAUAACUUAUGGUUAUUUUAAUUAAUUUUUUUCAUAAAAAAACUUUUAAAUUAUAGUUCAAAGCUACCAGAUUAGGCAUGUAGCUUAUGAAGGGUUUGUAAGCAGCAAACAAUUAAUUAGAAAUCAGAGGAACAUUUAGAGGAUAGAAUAUUUAGAAUCUCUAGCAAUAGCCAGCAAUGUAUCUGCUCGAAAAAACCAUUGAACAUGAGAUUGUUCUGCUAGAAAAACAUGAGAUUGCUCUGCUAUUUGAUAUCAGUUUCAAACUUUUGAACAAAUAAUACAGCAUAAAGUCUCAGUCAUCACAUGCCCAUUCAAAAACAUUUAUUCCAGAUCUCAAGCUGCAUUGCCAGGCCCGUUUCCAAAACCACAUAAGCAUAUGCAAUAGAAACAGAGCAUCAAACUGACAGAGAAAGCAUGAGAAUGAAAAUCCACACAUUAAACAAGAGUAAACAUUAUGCCUUUAUUUUUGAAGGUUCACACACUUCAAAACAAACACGAAUGGGCAAGCAACAUGCGCCCUUACUUCUGGAGGCUUGUACGAUAAUGACUAAACACACAGACAAGUCAAUAUUCUUUUCUUUGUUUUUUUGAGCUGAAAGGAGAAUGAAAGUCCACACUUUAAACAGUAAGCACACACGAGUAUACAUUAUGCCCUUGUUUUUUUGAACAUUCAAACACUUCAAAAGAACCUCAAAUGGGCCAACACUCACACUCACUUAUUUUUUGAGGUUCGCACAGUAAUGACUAAACACACAACAAUAUUACAUUACAUGGGUAAACAAGCAGAUAACCUUAUUCGCACAUAGAUAUAGCUUAGGGAACUUGAUGAUUCCAUCUCUGGUGAGUGCAUCUCCUUCUCCAGUGUAAAAUAUUUGCUUUACAUUGUCAGCAAAAUCAACCUCCAUCUCUUCCAGGUUCAGAAGACUUGGAGACACAGAGACAGGGAAGACAUAUUCCAGUUUACCACAGUAACUUAUAGAGAGACUUCUUAAUUUUGGGAAGCAAAGUGACUCUGUAGUUAUUUCCCUUGCAUCAUCUUUUUCUCUGAUAAGAUGCUUCAAUUCACCGCAACUACCUAUGUUAAGGCUUUCUAGCUUUGGCAGACUUUGAGCGAGGGACAGUGUGAAGAUAAAUAUCAAUUUGUUGAGAGAAAUCAAAUUCAGAUGAGCAAGAUUUUGAAGGCUGACAUGGUUGGCGGGCCCUUCCAUAAACAUUUGAGCUCAGGUAACUUGAUCAGCUGUAACUCUGUAAAAGAUGACAGCUCCUUCUCCUCACUGCUUCCUUCAUCAACCUCACCCAAUUCAAAUACCUCUUCCAAUGAUUUGCAGUCGCAAAUGUGCACACUCCUUAGAAUACUUGUCUCAUAGUUGAGUUGGUUAAUGUAUGUUGAUUGAUCAGAAGGUAGUGGGUUCAAGCUAUACUAGGAAUAAUAUUAUGUUUUUUCAAAUUACUAGCAAAGGCGUGUGGGCUUGUCUAAGGCUCACAUGCACGUGCCUGAGUUUUGUUGUAAUAGGACGAGUCAUGUGUUUGGUUUUUUUUUUUUAUUAGUCAUUUUAGUUUUUAUUUUUUUAAUAUAUUUUUUGAAUUUUAUUUUUUAAUAUUGAUUUUUUUAUUAAAUUUUAUUUUUCAAUAUUGAAUUAAUAAUAAAUUAGUUUUUCUAGUUUUUUAUCAUGUAAUAAAAUAAAAAAAUUAAUUUAACUCAAUAUAAUUUAUAACCCUAAUGUAUUUGAUGGGUUGACUAGAGUUAACCUGAACUAUUUUUUUUUUUAGAUAAGUAAAAGACAAAUUAAAAAAACAAAGUAAUCUCAUCUUUUAAUACGUUGGUCCAAGAUGCACCAUGAUAUCAGAGUUUUAAAACCCGGACCGGCCCUGUGGGUCGACCCGUGACCCGGCCGACCCGGGUAUGGGACCGGUCCGGGUGGAGGUAAUAACCCACUUGGGAGUUGACCCGGUGAAACCCGGUCAACCUGACAGGUCGACCAGGGAUCCAGGCCACCCGGUCAAACCCGCAUGAGACCCGGUCUCUUUUUCAUUUUGGCCUUGAUUUGCGCCACUGCUAUUUUCGAUGAUAAAGCUGCAAAUUUGACACAAAAACACGAGAACCACAAAAGGGUUGUUCUUCGUUUCUUGAAAAAAUGGAUAAACAAGUGGGGUUUCUGUCAAUUACCUUGUGAUAUUGUAAAAAACGAAGUGUACAACAAGAAGAAGAUAGUGGAGAGAGGAAGCUUAGAAAGUGCCAUAACUGAGGAAGAACUUGAGUUUCACCACUUCAUCUCCUGGUUCUGGUUCAGCUAAAGAUUCUUGCAUUAUCUUGUAGGGUCUUGUGGUUCUCUUUUAAGUGAAUUUUUUAGGUACUGUACAGUUUCAUUAUGUACUGUACAGUUGUUUAAUAAGAAUUAUGCAAACACAAGAGAGAAUCUAAACCCUAAACACAAAAGAAGAAGGAGAAAAUUGUACCAGUGGAGGAGAAGGAGGAGGCUUGCUUGAUUUGGUUCGCUGGAGAAGAGAUCUAGAGAGAAUUAUGAAUAAAAAUCACUACUAAUUUGCGAUUUGAAGAGCACUGUCAAGAAAACUGACAUCACAGAGGAGAUGUUGUCGGUGAUGAUGAUAAUGAUCUCACGCGAGAGUCCGGUCCGGAUUAUUACCCAACGUUACCACUUUAUCCCAAACUCUCUGCCGUUUCAUCAUAGGUUUUUUUUUUGAUUGACCAGGGUUAACCCGGGUCAACCUAUCUGACCCGUGACCUGAUCACUUGACCGGGUCAAUGAUCAGAUCGGGUUUUAAAACUAUGCAUGAUAUGGUUGUAGUUUAUUUGCCUUUUCCUUUUAAAAAUGUUGUCUCCUUUGUAAGGAAUCCUUGGUUCCCAACAGCAAUUGUAGCAGAGUUGAAGGUUGCGUAAAAAAAUUCUCUAAACUCCACUAAGCAUUAGAAUUUUUAAAAGACAAAACGGGGACAAGUGGGAGACGAAGAAAAAGACAAAAGUAAUUUAAUCUAUUGAUGUGGUGAUCCAAGAUACACCAUGAUAUGGUGUUCUUCCAUGAAGUCUAAGAUACACCGUCGUAUUGUUUCAUAUAUAUUUAUAUAUAUGACAAUAAUAAAACAACCGUUUAAAACAACUCUGAAAACAAAAUUUUUUAUAAUUUAUAAUUUAUAAAACAUGCGAUAAAAUAAGUCAUAGUGAAUGUUUUCAUUUGGCAUUUAAUUCAUGACCUUAUUCUUUGAUCAAAUUGCUGCGAUACUCGUAACUAGACCAUUAAUUGAAUGUUCUUGACUAGCUAUUGUUUCUCAUUGGCAAGAAUCAUUGCCAAUUAUCAUAACAUGUUAGUGAUUUAUUAGAACUAGUUCUAGUAUCGCCGACUUCACUCACCAAAUAUCAUUAUUUUAUUCAUAGCCAUAUGAGAGUUAUUAUCCAACCAUUUUCAAAUCCAUUCAAAAACCUUGGUAAAUCAAUUUAUAAAAAAUUCUUACUUACAAAAACUUGUAGGUCUAGUGUUACCAAUCCUUAUCUUGGGAUUAUACAUGUUCUAUUAGUCCAUAAAUAUAUUUGCUAAGCUAUCAACAUAAUUUGUUUGGGGCAAAUCCUUAUCUAGUUAUAACAUACUCACAUUUGAUUGCUUAAAAUCACUAGUUAUUGUAGGAUUGACUACAUCAAAAUUGGUUGGUUUUUUGUUUUCAAAGAGAUUUAAACUUUUGAGGCAGACGAAAGCUAAAAACACAAUAAUCAAAGAACACAAAAAAAAAAAAAUUAUAAGCAAAGGGGACUAUAGAUGCAAACCCUUAAAUUCACAAAUUUAUUUUCUCUAAAAUAAUAAUAAUGAAGUUUGUUUUCUUAGGAGGUUUACAAAUCCUUAAAUAUGUCAUGAACCUUACCUCCACUAGGAAACAAAAACACAAAAUUACAAAGAAAAGAAGUAUAAAAUCCAAAACAAGCAAGAAAUGAAAAAAAUAACAAGGAAAAUCACAGAAACUAUCAAAACUAUAGACCUAAACAAGAUUUUUGAUAUCUAAAGAUUCGAUGGUUAACGUAAAAAUUUGAGCAUGAUCCAAUGAUCGGAUAAGAAAUUGUAACUCUUUUGAGUUGUUAUUCUUGUUUGACGCAACCAAACCUCUUCUUGAUCCUAAAUCUGUCUUAUUGGUUCAUAAAUAUAUUUCCAUGACCUAUAUUUUUCUCUUCUUUUUUUUCCAUUAUCGAUGGAGUUUGACCAUUAUUGUCAUAUAGUUUGACUUAGUCGUAUCGAUUUUUAAUCAUAUCAACUUUAUAUAUUAUGGGUUUACAUUUACUAUUUGAAAAAAAAUGCUCACAAGUCCAUUGUUCACACCUCAAAUUCGUAACUGCAGCGAUUCGUAGGCAACGAAACCAGUUAAGAGACUAGAGAGUAAACAUGCUACAAAGUUAGCAAGUAAGGGUUUAGAUUAGAUUAUUUGUUGUCUUGUUUCAAAUAUCAGUCUCAACUCGUUUAAUAAACUAGUGGUGCAUUGAUCCUUGCAUUAAUAAACCAGAAGCUGCUCUCAUCUUUGAAGGAAUGCAAACAAUUGUUAAUAUGAAACUUAUGAUGUACAAAUUCUAAUCUUUGUAAGAAGCCGUUUUGCUGCCCACCGGCGGCCAUCUGAUCAGAGAACAAUAUUAUAUUUUUUAAACUCUUCACUCUCAUAAAAACAAUUUAUAUAAUUAUAAAUAGGAAAAAAUACAAAAAAAUAAGAUUAAAUAUUUUUUAGAAAUUACAUAUUACUGUUUUAGGUUUUUUUCUUAAUUAGAGAUAAGUUGAAUAAAAGUAGUAAUAAUUAUAUUUUUGUGAAAAAAGGUUACUACAACUCCUAAUAAUUAGUUUCGUGUAAAAAAAUAAAAAUAGUAAUAGUAAUACGUUAAUAAAAUUUUAAAGAUAUUUUAAUUCAAUUAAGUAUUUCAACACAAAAUUUAUGUUCUUAUACAGUUAUAUAUUUAUUCUAACAAAAAAUAUGAUUUCUAUGUUUAAAUUUUGGUAUUAAUAACGGAUACAACAACGAGGCAGUUAAGUUUCUUUGAUAAAAUAAAAUCAUUAAAAAAAUAAAAAUAAGCUAUCUUAUAUAAUUAAGAAAAUUUGAUUUUUUUGUCAAAUUAAUUUUUUUAAAUCGUUUUAAUAUGGUAGUAUCGAAACUAAAUUUUAAAAAAUAAAAAAAAUUGAUAUAUAUUUUUUUAAAAAAUAUUAUGAAAAGCAAUUGUUAAUAUUUGUUAAAACAUUAUUGUUAAUAUUUCUAGUCGGUUGCUAUAUAUAUAAUGGCAUGUAAUUGGAAUAAUAUAUGUUAACUUGUACACAACUUAAUAAAUUAAUGAGAAAACUAAAGUAGCCGGUCAUGUGGGCGCAAUGGACCUCAAUACAAGUUGACAACAUUUUAAGUGGAGUUUUGCAUAUUUUUGAAAGUUUUUUUAUGCAUUUUAAUUUAGCCAAACCUUAAAAUAGAAUCACACCCUAAUCCAAAACAAUACACACUCCAACAAUGUCACAUGUUUCUAUUACAAAGUUUCCAUAUGUACAAGUAAUCCCCUGAAAUUAUGAAGAUGGUUCAACAAGAUGAUUCAAUACCGCAAUUGUGAUUUUUGAUGCAUAGCCGUAAUGCCUCAUAUUUUUAACGAACCAUAUAUAACACCUCAUUUUAAAAAGGGGAUUAUUAUUAUUAUUAUAAUGUUGUCUGCAUAUAUAUAAUUAACUGCCUUAAAAAGGGGAUUGGUAUUACAUCACCUUACGUGCAUUAUAGCUUUUAACUCCUAUAUUCAAAUUAUUUGAUCAGUGUAUGUGACGUAGCGGAAGUCUCUUAAAUAAAAGGAUCACCGUCCCUUUGUAGAUAAUUGCUCGAGUCCACGAGCAGGAAGUAGAUUACUCGAAUCCACGAGUAAGAGAUUGAGGUUCUGAAUGAAAUUCUUAUUUCAAUGAAAAUUUUCAGUGUCUGUAACGAGGAUUGGUUGCUUGUAUUUAUAGCUACCAAUCCUAAUUCCAAUCAGAAACGUACUUGCAGAGAUAAUUAAAAACAUAUAAUAUUCCUACUUAAAAACGUAAACUAAAGUUCUAACUUUUAAACAAUAAUAACAGUAGCAGAGGAGCACUUAAAUAGUGGAAUCCGUGUGCAAUAAGGAAAAGAGCAGUAGUGGCAGAGCAUGCUUCUUUGAAUCCUGACGUGUUCUUCCUUGCAGCACUAGGAUUCCAGUUGGUCUAGACUUCCUUCAUUAAGCUGUCCUACAUCAGUCUCCCCUUCUUGAACAGAACUCGUCCUCGAGUUGACCAGGUGAGAAGGACAUUCAUCUGGAGGAUGAUAGUCAAACAGGUCAGCAACAUUGAAGGUGGGGGAUAUGGUCAUUUCUGCAGGAAGGUCCACAACAUAUGCAUUGUCAUUAAUCUUCUGUAGGAUUUGGAAAGGGCCAUGCUUUUUAUUGUUCAGCUUGCUAUACGUUCCUGCUAGUAGUCGCCCCUUACGUAGAUACACCAUCACAAGAUCUCCUACCUGAUAGACCUUGGCUCGUCGUUUGCGAUCUACGACUGUUUUGUAUCGGACAUUAGCUUCCUCUAGAUUCGCUCGCACUUCGUCCUGAAUUGUUUUAAUCCGGUCAGCCAUAUGCUCUGCUGCGAUGCUCAUUCCUGGAAUUUUAGGCAGCGGUGCUAGGUCCAGUGCAUGAUGUGGUGGCUGGCAGUAGACAAUUUGGAAUGGAGUUUUUCUCGUGGACCUGUUUAGCAUGCUGUUAUAGGCAAAUUCAGCCUGUGCCAGUGUAAGAUCCCAUUGUUUUGGUCUCUCCCCUGAGAGGCAGCGGAUUAAGUUUCCCAGAGUGCGGUUUACAACUUCUGUCUGUCCAUCGGUUUGAGGGUGGCUAGUGAUACUGAAUUGCAAUGAUGUAUCAAACCGUCGCCAUAAUGUCCGCCAAAAGUGGCUUAAAAAUUUUCUGUCUCGAUCCGAAGUGAUGGAUUUAGGAACUCCAUGUAGACGAACCACUUCUUUGAAGAACAGAUUUGCGAUGUGCACGACAUCUGAUGUCUUUUUGCAUGUGAUGAAGUGAGCCAUUUUGGAGCACCUGUCCACUACUACAAAGACGGAGUCAAAUCCAUGCUGAGUUCGUGGAAGCCCCAGGAUGAAAUCCAUAGAUAAGUCUUCCCAAGGGGCUGCUGGGAUGGGCAACGGCAUGUAGAGACCUGUGUUCUGCGUGUGUCCUUUGGCGGCUUGGCACGUGGGACAACGUUUGACAUGGUUACCAAUGUCCCGUUUCAGCUGGGGCCAAUAAUACCUCUCUUCUGCCAUGACCACUGUUUUGUCCCGUCCUAGAUGGCCCCCCAAACCGCCACCAUGUAGCUUGCGGGUUAUCUGUUCUCGUAAGGAGCUCCUGGGGAUGCAUAAUUGAUUGCCCCGGAAUAAAUAUCCCUCUUGAAUAUGCAUGCCUUCCUGUGAGCGUCCUUGUAGACAUUUGGUCCAGAUAGGGCCAAAAUCUUCAUCAUCCGCAUACAAAUCCUUAAGGCAGUCGAAACCCAUAACUUCAGUCCGUAUGGUGACAAGCAAUAGCGCCCUUCGACUUAAAGCAUCCGCUACUUUAUUUAAUUGCCCAGCCUUAUGUUUCAGGGAGAAGGUGAACCUUUGGAUGAAGGAUACCCAACGUGCAUGCAUUCGGUUCACAUUGUUCUGGUUAUUAAUGAAUUGUAAGGCGUGGUGAUCACUGAAGAGGAUAAACUCCCUUUGCACUAAGUAGUGCUCUCUAACCUUUAAAGCACGAAACACAACAUAAAGUUCAAGUUCGUAGGUGGACCAUUUCUUGCGAGAUUCACUUAGUUUCUCGCUGUAGAAAGCAACAGGCCUACCUUCAUGAGACAUUACAGCACCAACGCCAACAAUAGACGCAUCACACUCCACUUCAAAUAAUUUAUCGAAAUCUGGCAGUGCGAGAACUGGAGCAGAAGACAACUUUUCUUUAAUUAGUAUAAAGCUUUGUUCUGCUUCAAGUCCCCAAUGGAAUUUCCCUUUCUUCAUGCAUUCAGUGAUCGGUGCGACGAUUCGACUAAAAUUUCUAACAAACCGUCGAUAGAAUGUUGCUAGGCCAUGGAAGCUACGCACCUCGCUGACAUUCUGUGGAGUAGGCCAUUCCCGGAUGGCUCUUAUUUUGCCUUCAUCGACUUUAAUCCCCUCAGCACUCACAACAAAUCCCAAAAAUAGCAAACUACUGGUCAUUAAGUCACACUUUGUCAAAUUAACAUACAGCUUGUUCUGUUGUAAUACUGUUAGCACUUCCCUCAAGUGCUCCAAGUGGUCAAACUUGCUUUGGCUAUAGAUUAAUAUAUCGUCGAAGUACACUACAACAAAACGGCCAGUGAAGGGUUUAAGUACCUGAUUCAUUAGGCGUAUGAAGGUACUCGGGGCGUUGGACAGUCCAAAGGGCAUUACUAGCCAUUCAUAUAAGCCCUCUCCCGUCUUGAAAACAGUUUUCCAUUCAUCCCUGGGUCUAAUUCGAAUCUGAUGAUAACCACUCCGUAAAUCAAUUUUUGAAAAAAAUUUCGACCCUGACAACAUGUCUAGCAUAUCCUCCAGGCGAGGAAUUGGAAACCGGUACUUAAUUGUGAUUUUGUUAAUGGCUCGGCUGUCUAUGCACAUGCACCAACUACCAUCUCUCUUUGGUACUAGCAAGGCUGGCACCGCGCAAGGACUCAUACUCUCUUGAACUAGUCCCUUUCUAAUCAGCUCUUCUACCUGCUCUUGUAGGAUCUGACUCUCUUUCGGACUCAUUCGAUAAUGGGGUCGAUUUGACAGACUAGCCCCUGGAGUUAGAUCAAUCUGGUGCUGAAUAUCGCGCAUGGGGGGUAUUCCAUCUGGUAGCUCUGAUGGUAUGAUUUCCUGAAACUCUGCUAGUAAGGGUCUUAGCUCCUGAGGAAUGUUGUGAAGUUCGGUACCGAUUCCUCCCCCAAUUACUACUGCAAAAAGCUCUCCUGUCUUCUUGGCUUCGUCCAUAAAUUUUUCCCCAUCGACCAGAAGCACUGACUUCCCUUUGGUUUUCGGUUCGACUACAGAAAAUUCUUCCUUUAUUGGACCCAACACGACUUUCUGCCCUUUACUCCUGAAGAUAUACACAUUAUCAUGCCCCUUGUAUAUAGCAUCCACAUCAAACUGCCACGGUCUGCCUAGAAUUAUAUGACAGGCGUCCAUUUCAACUAUGUCACAAGUAACGUUGUCCAGGUAAUUUUGCCCAAUGGAGAAUUGAAUGCGGCAAAUUUCUGUGACCCUUGCUUCUGCACCCUGUUUGAUCCAGCCGAUUGACACGACCAAAAGAUUGAUGUCUUCUCCCAAGUGCAGGAGUGUCGAAGUAAUAAAUAACCCGGCAAGACCGGGGUCGAACCACAGGGAGGUUAAUUGUAUAAAUUAUAAACAACAAUAAUACAACAACAAUAGUAACAAUAAUAACAAUAACAAUAACAAUAAUAAUAAUAAUAGUAGUAGUAGUAGUAGUAGUAGUAAUAGUGAUAGUAAUAGUAAUAGUAAUAGUAAUAGUAAUAGUAAUAAUAAUAAUACCAAUAAUACUAUUAAUAAUGAUAAUAAUAAAGAUGAAGAAGAAGAAGAAGUUGAUGAGAACUUUGAGAUGGAAGAUUAACGUAAGGAUUAAACAAUGAUAACAACAAAUGUCAAGGUUAGAGGAUCCACUAAUGGUAUUUCAAACAAGUAUAGUAUAAACUCUUUUUAUUCAAUUGGAAACCACACACAAAGGAGGUUCCAAUCAGAUUAUAAAUUGUUAACAUGAUUACAUUAGUUAUCUUAUUCGAAUAAUGCUAAUACUUGUAAAUGUUGUCAGGCAUUCAUGAUUAUAACUUAUGUUAACAACAAAUCAAGUUCCUUUCAUAGCUCAGGUGUCGGUUAUACCAUACAGUAUGGGCUAUGAAAGUGCCAAGUAUUUGUUGUACCAAGUGUUAUACAACAUAAAUCUAGAUUAACCAUUUAACAAGCAAAGUAUUAAAAGUGAACAAGAUAACAAAUACAAAGCAUGUUAGUAUCCAACAUUAAGGUCCAUGUUAAGUUUAUAUUAUACUUAUUCUUACACCAUUAGUGUACCCUUUUCACCUUGACAUAAUUAACUUAGCUACACAUUAUGAAAGAAAGAAACAUAAAUAAACAAGAUAAGAACAUGAAUGAGAAAGAAGUUAACUAAGUAAAGAAAAGGAAAUGAAAGGCAUAAACAAGAGAUUAAUAUAAACAAAACUUAAGCAUUACAAAAUAUAAAGAGAGAGAAAGAGCAUGAUCUUGAUCUGAACACCAAGAUGCCUAAAUACAUGGCAAAUGCCUCCUUUUAUAGGCCAAAAUUCGGAACUAUUGAUUUGUUGACUAAUUGAUGAAUGGGUGGCCACAUCUUGACUUGAUGACAAUUCUUAUCUUCUUGUCUGCCAACAACGUCAUUGAUAACGUCAUAAUUUGAACCGACUUCAAUCAUGAACGUUCUAGGCAAUUGUCUCAUCUUUCCAGGGUAAAAAUUUGAGAUCAUUUGGACUUCUAGAACUCGAGAUAUGGGCUGAACACUGAACAGUGUCUGGGCUGCAGGAUAGAUUCAGACUUCUUCGUUGUUGCUACAAUUUGGACUUGAAAACGGCCUUCUUAAAUCUUGGACUCCUCAUGAAAGUUGUAGGCCUAUGUCUUAGCUUUCCAUCCAUAUAAGGUGGACCUAAAUCCGAGAUCUACAGCUCCAGAUAUGACCCGAUUACCAAACAGUGUUCCAGUUUGGACUGCACCAACAUCUCUUUUCUAAGUUUGACCAUCUCUUUGUCCUUUCAAUUUCAGUACUUCAACUCAUCAAUCAAUUCUUUCAUUUAUGUGAUAGGCCUGCAUUUAAGAUGAACAUUUACCAUAAAUUAAAGGUAUCUUAUAUUAUUAGAUAUGUUAUUAUAAAACAUGCUUUAGUUAAGGAGUUAUUGAUACUUCAAGUGCAAAAUGAUGAUAUAAAACCUUGAUAAAAAUGCACUUUUAAGUACUAAUCACACCCCCCAACCAGCUUAUUACUAGUCCCUAGUAAUCAAAGCGUUAAAAUAGAAAAACAAUUUGCAACUUUCACAAAGCAAGGCAUUCAUCAUUCAACUUCCAUUAAUCUAUCCAGAUAAACAAACUCUCAUUAAAUUUUAUAUAUCUGCUCAAUAUCUCUUAAACAAAAUAUUAAUAAACCUUCCUUGUUAUGUGCUCAAUGUAUGAAACAUAGAUGAUGGGGCUUCUAUUAGAAGAAAACAAUAUUUUGUUCUAAUGUUUAAGGUUAACUUCCUUGGGUUGGGAUUAUUUUAUUUUAUUUUAUUUUUUUAAUUUUUUAUAUAUAUAUAUACAUGUAACUUAAAACACAAUGCAUCUUUAACCCAUGUAACGAGCUUUCAGCUAAUGACUCCCAGACCAGUUGAUCUUAGGGCAUUAGGUGUUGAGACACCCCUACGAGCUUAGUAACUCGGGUUGCAGAUACUGAUACAUAGAUAGUGCAAUGUUUGAUUCCCUUAAGUUUUUCUCCUUAACCCAUGUAACAAGCUUUGGGCCAAUAGAUCCCAAGUCAGUUGACUUUAGGGUAUUAGGUGUUAAAACACCCCUUCGGGCUUAAUUGCUUAGGUUAGGGAGGCUACGAAACCAAACUUAUCUAUGUUUUUAUUAUCAUCAUUUUUUUUUCUUCUUUUUUUUUUUGAAAAUUAUAUAUUAUCCCUAUCCCUUAGUUGUUACCUUUAACAAAAGAACAUAAAUAAUGUAAUAAUCCAAUAUGCAACCCACAAUCAUAUGUUAAAGUGUGUGUGUGAAAAUGAAGGUUUAAGAAUACUUGUUAAAUGAGUAUAUGAGCAGAAUCAAGUGAUAACAAUGUGAGAGUUUUGUAAACCUGAAUAUUUCAAGAAGUAUUCUAAUAGUCCUUGUUAUUAAUAUUGCAAAUAACCAUUAGAAAAUGUUUACUAAGAUGCGUCUCAAGAGUCAAUAAAAUUCCCCCUUACUCUGCCAUCCUAGUAAUAACAGUUUUGCCAAAUGGUUUUUAAAAACAAAAACAGUUAGUUGGUUAUUUUUUUUUUAAAUACUUCUACCCUCUCCCCCCAACCAAAACGAGACAUUGUCCUCAAUGUCCUAAGGUAGAAAGAUAGAGUAUAGAAGACAUCACCUGAAACAACGAACACUGACAAACCUGAAACACACUUAAACAAAUAUAAGAAGUAACAACACAAAAUAAUAUGCUAUUAAUAAAACCAAAAGACACAAGGAUUCACAAACGAAGGCUCAGAUCCAAUCUAAGCUUUUUACGGCUUUCCUUAGUUGACCAAUUUAUGCGACUCAUGGAAGGAUCAAUUACAGGGGUGAAAGAUUGUAGUUGGUCGAUCAAUUGUUCAGCAGUAGCAGCAGAGAUUAUGAUUUGUCAUGCCGAAGAUGUUAGAAAUUCCUGUUCCACAACUUGAUCAAGAAAAGACAACAAAUUAUCAUAAAAACCAUUAACAUUGAGCAAACCUAUAGGUUUAUGGUGAAUGUGCAGUUGGGCCCAAGAGGAAAUAUGAAAGAUCUCUUCCAAUGUGCCCAGACCACCUGGUAAGGCAAUGAAGGCAUCAGCAUGGUUAAACAUUGUAUUCAUUCGAUCAAACAUUGUGGAUACCUGUAGUUCCUCUCCAAUUGUUUUCCCAAUGAAGUUCCCUUUUGCUAAAGCUUUGGGGACGACCCCCAAAACUUGACUACCUCCUAAAAAUGCAGCUAUUGUCACACCCCCCAUUAACCCAAGGCUGCCGCCCCCAUACACUAAAUGAAUCUUUCUCUCAGCUAGGACCUGACCAAGAUGAUUUGCUGCUUCUAAAAAUGCUAUUUCCUUCCUAGGACUGGAUCCACCGAAAACACAAAUAUUUUUUAUGUGAUAACUUGAGGGACCUACCAUUUCUACACACUUCUAUAUCUGUCUAAUGUAAGGGUUGAGUAGAAAUGAGGGGAAGGAAGAGAAGAUUUUAUAGAUGAGAAAUUGAAGAUGCAAUCAUACCCCUAUAUGUAGACCAGCUGGAGUCUCACACACUCUUUCUCUCUCUCUCUCUCUCUCUAUUUAUUUAAUUAUUUAUUUUGAAAAAGCAUGUGUAUGUACAGGUAGUUGUGAUUGUGGCUCACAUCUUCCCUUGGUUUUACGUCCAAGAACGGCUUAAACGCCCUUUAUGGGUCGGGGAUAGGCUUCCCAUCCAGUUUUCUUAAAAACUGGCAAACAAGGUCUUUUUUAGUCAGAUUCCCAAGACUAAGUCGAUCAUGUUCUUUAUGAAAAUGGGGCCAUAAAUCAUGAAUAGCACGAUGCACAUCUCCACUAGGAUGCGUCUCAAGGGUUAAUAGAAGAUUAUCUAAAGACCCCUUACUCAGGCCAUCCUUAAUGAAUUGUAUUUUAUCUUCACGGUUUAUAGAUACCAUUCCUAAAGAACGACAUGUUGCAUUACAAGUCCAUCUGGCACAUCUGUGACAGACUUUUAGUCGUUUUGCACGACGUUUCUUUGCAAAAGUGCUUUUACCUGUUCCAGGCAUGUGUGAAAUGAAAGAAUUGGAGGACUCACCUGAUAAUCAGACCUUUGCUUCAAUCAGCCAGCGAAUAUCUUCAGAAAUUCCAUGAUUCAUUAACAACUUCAAUCUUGCACACCUAGCACGGUAAAUUUUUAUAAUCACAUUCUGAGGCAGAGCGGGAAAGUACUUUUUCAAUUUUUCAAGAGUGGUGUCCAUUUUCAAAUGAGAAUUGGAGAAGAGAUUUAGAGAAGGGAGAAAGAGACAAGAAUUGCACAAAUAUAUACAGAUAUCAGUUAUUAUGGGAAACUGAAAGAACCGACUGAAGUCACGAAGUACCGUUAUCCGCCAUUUGACCAGGAUGAGAGACUAGCAAAACAAGAGUCACACCAAAAGGAAACACAAAAACAAUGUGAGAAAAACAAAAUAAUCAACCUUUAUCUACAGGAUCAUUCAAACCAAUGGAUUCAAUUUCACUAGGAAAAUUAUCAAAGUAAGUUUUCAAACGAUGUCCAUUUCCCUUAGAAACAUUGUCAUUCUUUGGAUUCUCAAUAUCAAAGGCCCCAUAAGGAUACACAUGUUUCUCAAUAAAUGGACCGCUCCAUCUUGAUCUUAGCUUUCCAGGAAAUAAAUGGAGUCGAGAAUUAUAAAGCAAAACUUUUUGACCAGUAUCAACUUUUUGACAAUUUUCACAAGUUUUACAGAAUGCAUGUGUGUCCUUGAACAUGGUGGGCCAAUAAAAUCCAUUUUGUAAGAUUUUUGCAGCUGUCUUUUUUGACGAGAAAUGGCUCCCACAUGCUUCAGAAUGACAAAGUUUAAUGACAUUACUUACCUCAUUGUCAGGAAUGCAUCUUCGAAAUAUUUGAUCAGGACAAUAUUCGAAUAAGUAAGGGUCAUCCCAAUAAAAUUUAUUCACUUCGUUCAAAAACUUACCUUUGUCUUCGGUACUCCAAUGAGUUGGCAAAUCUCCUGUAGCAAGAAAAUUGAUAUUUUUAGCAAACCAAGGCAGUGAACUAAGAGAAAGUAAGGAUUCAUCAGGAAAGUAAUCAUCGAUUGGUGUGAUGUUGGAUGUCGAAUCUGUUGUCACUCUUGACAAAAGAUCCGCAUCAACAUUUUCGGUGUCUUUUUCAUUCGUGAUUUCUUCUUGAGAAUAAAUCAUUUGCAAAUCUUCAGAUUCAUCCAAUUCAAUUUUACUCAAAGUAGAUUCAAGUUGAUGAUAAACUAAUUCUUCAAUAGAAUCUACUUCUUGUAAAUCAUUAUCAUCUCCAGGUUGCUUGCAAAUGUUAAAAAUAUUCAUCUCCAAUGUCAUGUUCCCAAAUGAUAGCUUCAUCAGUCCAUUCCUACAAUUAAUCAAUGCAUUAGAAGUUGCAAGAAAUGGACUUCCUAAAAUAACAGGAAAUGAAUUACAUGCUUCAACAGGUUGUGUGUCCAAGACAAUAAAAUCCACAGGAUAAAUGAACUUAUCGACUUGUACUAACACAUCUUCAACUAUUCCUCUAGGUACUUUUACAGAUCUAUCGGCAAGUAAAAGAGUUACAGAAGUUGGUUUUAACUCACCUAGAUUGAGACUUUGAAAAACUGAAUAUGGAAGUAAAUUCACACUAGCCCCAAGAUCAAGUAAAGCUCUUUCAAUUUUAUGUUCUCCAAUAAAGCAUGAAAUUAUAGGACAACCAGGGUCUUUAUAUUUCAAAGCAUUAUUGUUUUGAAGAAUAGCACUUACUUGUUCGGCUAAGAAGGCUUUCUUUUUCACAUUCAAUUUUCUCUUCACAGUGCACAGAUCUUUCAAAAAUUUAGCAUAAGAAGGAACCUGUUUAAUAACAUCCAGCAAAGGUAUAUUGAUCCUUACCUGUUUGAAAGUUUCAAAGAUUUCAGAGUUGUGAUUGACUUUCCUUUGUUUGGUCAUGGCAUGAGGAAAUGGAAGUGCUGGCGGAGAAUCAGUCUUUUCUUUGUAAUGAUCAGAUUCAACCCCUUCCUUACCCUCAGAGAUUGACUCAUCAUCAUUCUCACAAGGUUCAAGACUGGGGUUUUCAAUAAUCUUACCACUGCGAAGAGUGAUGACUGAUUUGGCUUGAUCCAUGUGUUGGCUUCCAGAACUACUUGCAUUCGCAUUGUAUUGCCCCUUUGGAUUUUGUUGUGGUUGAGAUGGAAACUUACCUUUCUCCUGGAAACUGAGAGCAGAUGUCAAUUUUGCAAGAGUAUCUUUAAAAUCUGUCAUGCUUUGAGCAAGUUGAGUGUUGAUCGUCUCUUGCUUUUCCAUGAAUGCAUGCAAUGUUUCCUCAAGAUUUCUUCUAGGAGGUGGAGCAUAAGGAGGUGUAUACCCAUGAGAAUUUUGGAAAUUAUGGUGUGCUUGAAACGGUGGCUGUGAAGUUUGUGCAUUAUUGUUAUCACUCUUCCAAUUGAAAUUUGGGUGAUUUCUCCAACCAGGGUUGUAUGUUUGCGAGUAUGGGUUAUGAUUGGGCCUUUGGAAACUGUUUAAAGCAUGGGCUUGUUCAUGGAGACAUUCCUUAAAAGAAGGCAAAGUUGGACAGUCAUUGGUUGAAUGUUCAUUGGUUUCACAAAUUUGACACACAAUGUCUUGAACAGAUUUUACUUGACCACUCUUUUUUAAUUCUAGUGCCUCGACUUUUCUAGCUAAGGAUGCAAACUUGGCUUGGAGGUCAUGAUCUUCCCUAAGGUUGUACAUACCUCCACUAGAUGUAUGAGGUUGGGUCUUACUUGGUGCCUUAUAAGUUCCUGUAGUGUCCCAAUUUUGCGCAUUUUCAGCUAGCAAGUCUAGGUAUUCCAUGGCUUCAUUAGGGUCUUUAUCCUCAAAAGUUCCAUUGCACAUUAAUUCAACCAUUUGCCUAUCUCUAGGAGUUAACCCUUCAUAAAAAUGUGAAACUAAUCUCCAUGUUUCAAAACCAUGAUGAGGGCAAGUAUUAAGCAAGUCUCGAUACCUAUCCCAACAUUGGUAAAAUGUUUCUCCUGGUUUUUGAGUGAAAGUGAUUAUUUGUCUUUUGAAAGAGUUUGUUCUGUGAGAUGGAAAAAACUUCUUUAAAAAUUAUUGUUGCAUUUCAUCCUAAGCACGAAUGGAUCCAGGUCUCAAAUUUUGUAGCCAUGUUUUAGCUUUAUCUUUUAAUGAAAAAGGAAAAAGCUUUAAUCUAAUGGUGUUCAUGCUACAAUUUGAGUCAUUAUAGGUGUUACAGACCUCCUCAAAUUCCCUUAAAUGCAAGUAUGGAUUUUCUAAAUCUAAACCAUGAAAAGAAGGUAAAAGUUGAAUAAUGCCUGGCUUAAAAUUAAAAUGAGAUGCAUCAGGUGGAAAAACUAUGCAUGAGGGUGCACUUGUUCUUGUGGGAUUCAUGUGGUCUCUAAGUGUUCUAACCCGAAUAUUCUCAUUAUUCUCAUUAUGAAGCGAUUGGUUAUCUUCUUCGGCCAUAUUUUCUGAAAAUGAUGAGGAUACCCUACAAAGUCUACCACUUAAUGUACGUGACCAAACUCUCAUGCACGUGUAAAAAGAGAAUAAAAAGAAGAAGAAAACAAAAGAAAAAGAAACAACACAAAAGAAACAAAGUUAAAUACAAUAAAAGUAAAAAAAAGAAAAGAAAAUAAAUACUAUAAUUUAUACAAGAAUUUACCUCCUUCAUUAAGCUGUCCUACAUCAGUAUGUGCACAACUUCCUAUCACUGCCAUCAUUACCUUCAAAUCUAUAGUUAAUUCCAUUUUUCUAUAAAAGACCAUAUCAUCGGUAUCCAAUGGUUGCCAACUUCACCACGGGUUCGACAUUUUUUUGACGUGUUGGGAUUCGAUACUAAUAAGCGUAUUUUCUUAAGUUGAAAUGGUGCUCCUCAAUCUAGGUUCCAAUGCGUUGAUGAAUCAAAUAAAGGUUGUUAUUUGACCGCGAUUGGAUGGCUCAUAUUUGAUUUAUGGAGCUAUGAUAAGGGAAUCAUGGCUAAUCGUAGAUACUCUCAUUUUUCAGUAAAAGACAAUAUCAUUGGUAUCCAAUGGUUGCCAACUUCACCACAGAUUUAACAUUUCUUUCGCAUGAUAGGAUUUCAAUACUAAUGAGUGUGUUUUCUUAAGUUGAAAUAGGGCUACCCAAUCUAGGUUCAAUUAAGUGGGAUGAUGGAUUAAAGAGUGGUUGUUAUUUGACACUGCAAUUAGAUGGCUCAUAUUUGAUUUAUGGAGCUAUGAUAAGGGAAUCGUGCUUGUAUCACAUAUAACAAUAUUUACAUAGUAACAAGCACUAUUAAAGAUGCUACACCAGUAAGUUACCAAAUGCCAUCUACAAAUAUUAUAACCUCUUAAUUUAUACAAGAAUUGAGCUAAAUUGCAUACAAGCAAUCCCUAACUUUGGUAGUUUCUUUGUGUUAAAAAUGGAGACUUCUUGGUGUUUGCCGGAACUCCAACUUGGGUAUACCUUUUUUGAGCAAGAAACGAGGUAAAAACAUCUUUCAACGAUAUCAAAUCAUUUAUUCAUAUAAAGUAUUAGUGUUGUCAUGUAUAGUGAAACAUUUAAUUUUACUACAUUGAAGAAAAUUCUGAUUUGAUACCAAUGUUGGGAUAUUGCUAUUAUUGGACAACAACUGUGCAGUCUACCCUAAAAAGAGAGGGUUGCCAUUGUCAAUGAUAGUUGCAUUGACAAAAUUGAAUGAUGAAUUAAAGAGCAGUUGUUAUUUGACACUGCAAUUAGAUGGCUCAUAUUUGAUUUAUGGAGCUAUGAUAAGGGAAUCGUGCUUGUAUCACAUAUAACAAUAUUUACAUACCAACAAGCAUUGUUAAAGAUGAUACACUAGUAAGAUGCCACUAUUGGCUUCCAACCAUUCUCCACGUUUCACUUUUCUUCAAGUAUUUUCACCAAAAUAAAGCUUCAACCUUUAACUUUUUGCUUAUAAACUAGAGAUCCAAGGGAUUAUUUAACAUUUUAUGGGAAGCAUUUCAAAUAAUGUUUUUUUCUUUUUGAAAUAUUGUUAUAUACAUAGAAUCAAUAAGAUUAUGUGACAUUCUAUAUUAAUUUUGUGAUAUUUUUAAUCCCUAAAAGUAUGGGUUUCAGACAAAUAAAAACCAAACAAAUAAUUGAAAAAAUUAAAAUUUUUCAAACCAACCCAAUCCAACAUAUUAAUCGGUUUUGAUUUUAUUUGGUUUGGAUAUUUUUUGGCUGAAACAAUUAAUAACAAUUUUCAAAAAUAACUGUUGACAAGCCUUUUACCGAAACCAUGUUCAUUUAUGCUAAAUCAAUCCAAAUCAGGUUUAGGUUUCCAACACAAUCCAAAAUUGAAUGCACAUAAACAAUGGGUUGGUUCAGUUUAUUGAUUUUUAGAAAUGUCAAACUGAAACUGAACCAAAAUAUAUGAAUAUUCUAAUUCAAACGCCCGAAAAAACUGAGAAAAUGAUUGGUUUUGUUUAGUUUGGUUAUAGCAGAUACCCCUAACAAUCCGCUUUUUCACUCGACCUCGAAUAAUAUGCACUAUAAAGUAUAAAAAUAUAUGUGGAUAAUUGAAAAUUUGCUUAGAGUUGCUAAUAAUUCACAACUGCAACAACCAACAUGACCAGGUAAUGCUUGGGAAUGGGAUCAUGUAAUGCCCGGGAAUGGGCCUUGGUGCACAAUCAUGAUUGUAACCAUGAUUUAAAAUCAUUUCCACACUAGACUAUCCAAGACAAUUGGUAUUGGAUUGUUAGCAACAAUUCAGUUUAUAAUAAUAAUAAUAAUAAUGUUGAUUCUUUUAUCUCCUACUUAUUGCAAGUGUCCAUCGUGUGCUGAAAUUGAUUGUUUACCUCAUAUUUCUUUUAAACGUAAGAGAUUUCUUGGUUGACAAUGGGAAAAAGUAAUCGCAUGGUUAUUUUCCAUAAGAUUCAUUUGAGUAAAUAUUCUCUAUUGUUAUGCUGUUCAGAUUUUCUAUCUCAUCAUCCAAUCUGCCAAAAAUAUAAAAGAUCAUGUGCAUGAAUUUGAUACAUGACCAGUGAUGGUUGUUCUAUCCACAAAAUUAGCUAACAUAUGACUAUUUUAUUCAACUACCGUUUCAGGAUAUGAGUUCUCCUAGGCCACACUCAAAAGCCCUAGCCGCUAUAUGAACAAAGCACCUAAAAAAUUAAUCACCUACCUAAUCCAAUUCAGGAAAAUUUGGUCAAUAUCUCCUAUGAUGAAACGAGUUAAUUGAAUGCAUAGACAGGAAACACACACACACCCCUGAUCAUAAAUUUCCUAAAAAAUUUCUGAAUUGGAACAAUGGUAAACGACAAAGAUUGACAAUAUCAUCACAUUAAAAAUGCAUUUCACUCAAAACAAAUAAAAGCAAUAAAAUAAUUUGCAAGAAGCUAAUAGAGAAUAAAGUAAUUAAAACGCAUUACAGAAAAGUAAUUAAAACCCAACAACUAAAACUGAGAAAUUUUAAAGCAUUCCAAGAACGGCAACCAAAUGCAACAUAAUCAACCUGCAAAAACAAACACAAAAAGAAUUAGAAGAAGAAACCUUAUUAGUUAAUAAGUUAAAAGCAGCAGCAGCAAAAACACUCAAAUUUUAGGUAUUUGGACUUGAGAAAAAGCACUGAACCCUCUGUGAAAAUGCCAUGAAAGGGGUGCUAAAAAACCAGGAAAAUAAAAACUUUUAAAAGGGUGUUUUUACAAAGCAAGAAAGAAGCUAGGGAUUGUGAAAGAGAAGGAAGCAAACAAGCCUACCCUUUGAAACCCUGUUUGUUAAUUGUUUUCUCUCCUUUGAAGUGAAAACAAAAAUAGAACAUAAAAAUCAAAAAACAAAGAGCACCAAGAAAAUCGAUUCAGAAAUAUUUUAUGUUGUUGUCUUGGACAGACGCAGAUAUCGAGGAACAGUUGUGGGGCCACCAUUGGUGAGCAGUGACAUAGUGGCAAGUAUGUGAAAUAACGCUUAUUACAGUGCGCAAUGAUAGAGUGAGUCUGGGUAGACAAACUUUCGGUGGUACACAUGGUGCUUAAUGAUUUGACGGUUAUAAAGAGAAGUUACAUGAGGGAAAUAAGUUGGAAAAGGUGGCCUCUCUAGAUUUUGGAAAUUUUCUCUGAAGAAAGAAGAAAAGAAAACAAUCUCAAAGGUGGAUAAAAACGGGGUAAAUAUCAUAUUUGGAACAUAAUCUUGGCUGGUGAAGCAUAACAUGGAAAUUCUGAGGGGAAAUCUAGGGGAAGCCCAGUGAGAUUUUAGCUUAGAUUUUAUGAUUUUUAUAUAAUCAUAAAAUUAUAAUUAUAAAAUUUAGAAUUCAUCAUCUAAUAUUAAUUAAGAUUAUUAAAAAAUUUAUAGUUUACGAGAGUUUGAUAAAAAAACUGGUUGUGUAAGGAAAAAAAAUAUUAUUCUUAGUGUACCCUACUUAAAAUAAGUUACAUUGUUAUUUAAUUAUUUUUUAGGUCAUGUUUCUAUUCUUCGAUCUUUUUUAACAUCUAAAGUAGAUCUUCUUUUGUGAGAGAGUUUUUAUUAGGUGAAAUAAUAACUAUUUUCAAGUUCAAAUUAUAGCAUUGUAUUUAUUUUCAAAUACAACUAAUUCCUAACAUUUCAAACAUAAGGAUUGUUAAGGUUUUUUUUAUAUUUUGGUCAAACCCUAAUGAAUAAUCUUAAAUUGAUUAUGAUAUUUAUUUUUUUAUUUUUAAAAUAUGAGAAAGAUACAUUUUUUGUUUUUAUAUUAAGAUACACUUGAAAUUUUUUUUAAGAUUUGGCCGUAUGCAAAACAAAACAUUUUUUUGAAGUGAAAAUGUAUUUUUUGAAUUUUCAAUUUAUUUUUUUAUUUGUUUAAUCUUUUUAAGAUUUCAGAGAAAACUAGCUAUUUUGAUGAAGUUUAAUUUAGUCAUUUGAUUUUUUAUUUCUCUCAAGUACACCCUUCAUUGAUUUCAAACUUUUAAUUUUAUGCAAUUUCAUCCCUAAAAAACUUCAAUAUCAACCCUAGAUUUCAGCUCGUUUUUCACAUUAGUCCCUGGUUUCAAAUUUAUACAAGUUGACCCUUAAUUGACCAUUAAACUUUAAAUUUUCUCUAAUUUUAUCCCUAAUUUUAAUCAAUUGGGUCCUUAUAGUUCGGUGUCAUUUACAAAUUGGUCCUCAGCUAUGAAUUUCUUCAAUUUAACCAUUAACUGACCACAAAACUUUGAUUUUUCUUACGAUUUCACCCAUGAUUUCAAUCAAAUGACUUGGUAAAAAUUAAAUUUGGUCUCCUAAAAUUCCAACCUUCUCAAUUAAGCACAAAUUGGGUUCCCAAACUAAAUGUUUCACCAAUUAAGCUUUUAAUAAAAUUAAUUUAACUCAUUUAAAGUAUAAUUAAGUCCUUGCAUCUAAUUAAAUCUAUUAAUUGGACCCAAAUUAAUUCUUAAAAAUAAUUAAAUUUCAAUUUGGCCCAUGAUUAAAUCAAAUUGGUUUAUUAAAAAUCUAAUUAUAUUUUUAGGCUUGAUUAUCAAGUAGAUUUGUCCAAUAAUCAUUUAAUUUGCCCCUGAAUCUACAUUGUCUUUCUAGUUUUGGGUGUAAUGGGGUACAUUUAGGCUCCUAAUCCUAUCCAAAGUUGUAGCUUGCUUUGAAAUCCUCCCUAGCUUGCUUUUGCCAAAAUGUCAGUCCUUAUUUUAUUUAUUCUAUUUUUUUUUUAUUUUGAAAAGAAAAAAGAUGAAUUUGAGGAAUAACCUAGAAAUGAGUUAUGACAAUGAGAACUCUACAUUAUGUGAUUUUAUUUUUAAAGGUAUUCUUAUACAUUUAUAAUUAUAAGAAACUUUAAAAGAUGUGGGUAAAAUAUUAUUUUCACACCACUGUUCACCUGGUAUUGUGGAUUGCCACAAUGUUUUUUUCAUCCUGUUCUUAUAGGUCUAAAUUAAUAGAUAAUUUGAGUAAAUUUGUUAAGGAAGAGCAAAGUUUAAACACAAAUAACCAAAGUGAAAGCAAAAUGCAUAAAAAAGGAUGGUAGUUUUAAGAUUGAAGCCAAGUUCACUUUGGUCCUCUUACUUUUUAAAUAAUCACCUUUUAGUCCCUUAAGUUUUCCCACAUUUUAUUUUUGGUCCACAACUUUUUUUUCUUUAUUUUUUUUUCAUAUCUUAGUUUGAGAGAAGAGACAGAAAGUCAUUGGAUUACAGUGUUAGAGAGAGUCUCAGUUGUCACUGAUUCUUAUGACAAAAAACGAUCGAUUUUAGUCUUAAUAGGUUCCAUUUGAUGAAGAAAGUUCUUUUGAGGUGUUUUUUGUUCUGGAAAUUUCCAAAACUUUUAUGAUUUUUUGGGCUAAUUUAUUGGUUUAUUUACAUUAUAAGGACCAUUUUUAGAUGCUUUGGUGUGAACUUUGUUUAAAUUUGCAUUUUUAGGUCAAAAAACACCCUACAUGAUUUUCUAGCCACCCCUUUAAUGGUCGAGAACUUGAAAGUCUCAGUAGGUGAGAUGUCGUUUCCCUUUAUAUUUUUUCAAAAAUAUUUAGGGCAUUUUCAAAUAAAAAAAAUAAGGCUCACGUAAGCUAGCUCUUUUUAAAACGGGCUUCAUGUGCGGGCUUGACUUGAUAGGCCUAAAAGCACCUAACCUAUUUUUUUUUGUAAUUAUGUUUUUUAAUUGAUAAUAAAAGAAGAAGAAAAGUGUGCAUUAAGGGAAAAGUUGAGGUUAAAUAUGAUAUUUAUCUAUCCUUUACUUUCAUGAAAAUGAUUAUCAUUUUAUUUUUUAAUUUAAUUGGCAUUAACAACUCUUUAUCAGUUUAUUAGUUCAUAUUUUUUUUAAGAUUUAUUUUGUUUCACAUUUCUCAAUUAAGAGAAUCAUGAUACAAUGAAAUGCAUUUGAAACACCGUCCCAUUUUUCUACUACAUUAAAAAUUAACUUCCAACAUGUGGCGCGUUGCGUUAACAAUUGUUAUUGUAUUUAUUAAUAUAUACGAUCCUUAGUUUAUUUAUAAACAACAACUUUUUUUAUUCACAAUUAUAUUUUUUCUCUCAAUAUCAAAAAAUACAUUAACAACACUUAUACAUCCAUUCUUUUGUGUUGGAAAACAUUAUCUGACCCAUAGCAAAGUGAGUUAAAUAAACACGUCAAUACAUUUUUUUGUAUUUAUGAUUUGGGGUUUUUUUUUGUUAAAAAUACAUUUGAAAAACAGAACGAGCACAUUUAGAUCAUACUGGGGUAAUAUUGUUCGAAGAAAAUCAUGAUCUAAGUGAAAUCUAGAAGCAAUUAGAGUAAAGAUGUGCCUGAAGGACAUCUUCAUAUUGUCAUUUGGGUUUACCCUCUGAAACAUUGUUAUGACUCCUGGAAGAUGUUAUCACAUGGCUGUUUUUUAAUGAAUGUUGGAAGGAUGUACACCACCAAGACUAACGGUGGAACAAAGAUGUACCUGAAGGACAUUUACAUAUCGUCAUCCUUUGAAACAUGGUUUUCGACAGAUGUAAUCACACAAUUGCAUUGAAUGAAUGUUGGAAAGGUGCCUACCCCAAAGACUAAAUGUGGGACAAUUUGUUUUGAAAUUAUAUGUGCACUUCAGCGCAUGAGUAUGGGUGAUAAAAGCAACAUCAUUGAUGAGGUGGAGACAUUUCUUUUCACAAUCUGAUUAGAAGAGCUGAGAGGAAUCUAUUGAGAAGAACACUAAGCAUACAACCGUGAGCCUUUGUACUACAAGCUAUGAGAUGCAUGUCUGGACGAUUGGAUAGUUUCCAAGAAGACUAAUGAUAACAUAUACUUGAAGAGUAUUGUUUCAACUGGGGGUAAGUCCAUGACUGAUUGACAAUCUAAAAUGAGGUUAAACACUAGAAAACCUCUUGACGGGUGUUGGCAAAACACACACAACCAAUCAAAGGAUAAUUAUUGAGAGAAUCUAGGAGAUAGAUGAUUUGUUCAACUCCUUCAUGAUGAAUCGAGCAACACCACACUUGGAAGCAUGGUCAAGCUUGACAAGCAAUGAGAGUAGUAAUAGUCACGAACAACCCACAAUAGGCAUUGCACUUACAUCUGAGUGGAAGGCUAGCACACGAAUGAGUCAGUACAUUGAAAGAAUAAAGAAAGCUUUUAAUAGCAAACAAAGACAACCUGUGAUGAUGGAACAUCGAAGACGGGAGACCUAUAUUUCAAAUCAGGUAAGGAUGCAUGCAUGCCAUCUAACGUCAAAGCAUUGCAUAUAUUUUUUAUUUGUUAUAGGAAAAUCCUUAAUGUAGUCCAGCAAGAUUGAGGACAAAGAAAGAAUCAUUUAGUUGAUGAACAACAAAGAAUCAUGGUUUUGACCUUACAAUCAAGAAGAAAAGUGAGAAAAACCCUACUAUUAGGAAAUUCUCAAAGAAAAAGAAAGUCCAAGCAUUGUCAACAAGAAGCACAAACAGAUUUUGGUUCUGGUUAAAGGAGAUCGGCGAAGGGAUCUCAGUUUAGCUUAACCACACACAUAGAAUUUUGGGUUCUGGUUAAAGGGGAUUGGCGAAAGGAAUCUCAGUUUAGCCUAACCACACACAGGAUUUUGGUUCUAGUUAAAGGAGAUUGACAAAAGGAAUCUCAGUUUAUCCUAAUCACACAGGAUUUUUUGUUCUGGUUAAAGGGGAUUGGCGAAAUGAAUCUCAGUUUAGUCUAACAACAAAGAGAAUUUUAGUUCUGGUUAAAGGGGAUUGGCAAAAGGAAUCUCAGUUUAGCCUAACCACACAGAGGAAUUUGGUUAUAGGUAAAGGGGAUUGGGGAAAGGAAUCUCAGUUUAGCCUAACCACACAAAGGAUUUUGGUUUUGGUUAAAGGAGAUUGGCGAAAGGAAUCUCAGUUUAACCCAACUACACACAUGACUUUGGUUCUGGUUAAAGGGGAUCAGCGGAAGGGAUCUCAGUUUAGCCUAACCACGCAUAAUUUAACUUUGGUUAUAGGGAAUCGCUAGAUGAGAUUUCAGGUUGACCGAGCUACAAACCAAUUUUGGUUCUUGUUAGAUUGCUAGAUGAGAUCUCAGGUAAAUCCAAUCAAAAGGGCAGGUUGCCCUUGAAAAUAGAUCAAAGUGAGUAUGUGUGGGCAUGUCGCCCAUAAAAAUAGACUAGGGUAAGUGUGUGUGGGUCGGUCGCCCCUGAAAAUAAACCACUUUGAGUGUGUGUGGGCAGGUCAACUGUGAAAAUAGACCACUUUGAGUGUGUGUGGGCAGAUCGUUUGUGAAAAUAGACCAGUGUGAGUGUGUGUUGUGUGGGCAGGUUGCCCAUGAAAAUAGACCACUUUGAGUAUGAGGUCACUUGUGAAAAUAGACCAGUGUAAGUGUGUGUUGUGUGGGCAGGUUGCCCGUGAAAAUAGACCACUUUGAGUAUGAGGUCACCCGUGAAAAUAGACCAGUAAGAGUGUGUGGGCAGGUCGCUCAUGAAAAUAAACCACUGUUGAGUGUGUGUGGGCAGGUCGCCCAUGAAAAUAGACUAGCAUAAGUGUGUGGGCAGGUCGCCCAUGAAAGUAGACCAAUUUUCUUUAAAAAGAACAGGUCGCUCAAGAUAAUGAGAUUAUUUUAUUUUUGUUUUCUUUACAAAGCUUACCAUGCAAAACAUUGAGGAGCUUUGCUUCGUAAGCAUUGUAAAGAGAGGGCAUAUGUUGCUACCCAAUUUUUAACCUAUCUUUUUGUUAAGUUUUUGAAAAUUCUAUUAUCCGGAAGAAAGAAAGUAGUAGUAAUAUAAAAAGGCACCGAAAGUACAGAUAUCCUCACAAUGCCACAUUUCUACAAAUUCUAUUCUCUGGAAGAAGCCGUUUUGCUGCUCAUGAUCAGAAAACAAUACUGUAUUUUUUAAAACCUCCACUCUCCUAAAAACAAUUUGAGACACAGUAGGAAACAACUGCUCCAAUAUCUUUGCAUUUAAGGACGUGGCGCUUGUAUUAUCCAAAUGUAAUCUUGUCAAGGUUGGGUAUCCUACUGGAUCCCUUAUAAAUGGAUUAUAAUUCCCUAAAAUUAUAUCAUAUUUGAGCAGUCUGGGAAAACAAAAUCUCUGGGAAUGCUUUCAACCUCCGGUAUCCUCAAUGAUAAUACAGCUAAAUGAGACAACGAAUUUAGUUCUGUUAGGCUUGCAUUCAUUCCUCCUGUGCUGUCAUAUCCAUCAACAUCCCAUCCCUCAAAGCUGUAAUCCCCGAUCAACAGCUCUUCUAACUUCUUCAACCUUCCAAUCAAAUUCACAGGGAUCCUUCUUAGCCUUUCACAACCUGUCACAUCCAACAACCUUAACUCCUUGAGCUCUCCUAUUUCAUCAAGUAAUUCUUCAAUGUCUAAGCACCACUGAAAAACAAGAAUCUUAAGUCUCUGCAGCUUUCUCAACCAAAUGAGGUCCUUACAUUCACACUCCAUCAACACCAACGAUUGAAGUUUCGUUGAGAGUUCAAGUGACUGCAGUGACAAGCACCCUCCUUUCAGAGACAAAACUUCAAUUUCUUUCAUCCCUUCAAAAAACCUCUGAGGAACAUUCAAACCAUCAUCCAGUUCUAAUAAUAGAACUUUGAGUUGUUGACACACCAAUCCUUCAGGAAGUUCUGCUAGUUUAUUGCCCAUUAACGAAACAAGUCAUGCAUUUUCACAUGCUCUUCAGUUUCAGUGCCCAACAGCAUGCAACAAUCUUUGAGGUUUUCGAUUGCCACAGAAACUCGUUUCCUUGCACCUUCAGUGGGCUCCUUAUCUUGAUGUAACCCAUAGCCAACUGCAUAUCUCGUCAAGUCCUCAAUUGGAAUGUCAUAAUCUUCUGGAAAUAAACUGCAUAGCAAGAAACAUAACUUGGUUUCCUCAUGCUUCAAAUUAUCAUAGCUCAACUUAAUAAAUGUAAAAUCAUUUGUUCGUUCCAUGCGCGUAAAUUGAGAUUCUUUGAGCUGUCUAGACGCUACUUCCUAAUGAACUGGAGAUUUACCUCUUAGAGCCCUUCCCACUGUCACAAGAGCUAUAGGCAAGCCUUGACAUUCUCUCGCAACAUCCCUCGCCACUCUGUUCAAGGUAGAGUCCCAUCACGUAAAUCUGCAUUGGUUCUGAAUAAAUCCCAUUCUUCUUUUUCAAGUAAGGGACUUAACAACACUUUUUUCCGGCACUCCAUAGAGGAACAUAUGCCUUGAAGACGUGUUGUUAGAAGAAUUUUACAACCCCUGUGAUCAUCACCAAAUGGGAUCCCUAUCUCUUUCAAGUCAAUAUAUUUCCAAACAUCAUCGAGGAUUAUAAGCAUCUUCUCCACUUCCUUCAGUCUAUGCCUUAAUCGAUCUGCUCUCCCUUCUCUACUCUUUUCUUUAAUAUCCAGACCUAACAUAUCUGCCAUUAGGUUCUGAAUGUCUAUGACAUUUGGAUUCUGCGACACCGUAGCCAUCAAAACUUCAUCAAACAGCUGCAACUCUUUUGCUUUCCUGCCUGCUUCUUUCACCAGGGUGGUACAGUCCGAUCAUAUUGACACUGUCAUCUUUGAGAGCUUUCAUAAUCUGUUCUAAAGCUUCUUUUGACGAUUCUGAGGGCGUGAAUUCCUUUAAUGGAAGAAAUUCUGUGGGCUGAGGAUGAGCUUUGUGGGACACUUUUGUUGCCUUUUUUUCUAAAAGUUCUCUGAAAGUCUCCGACUUCUUGGCCAGUGCCUUGCUUAACUUGAAUUGUCGCAUGCAGUUUGGGCACCAAGUAAAGCAUUUGCCAUUUUUUCCUAUUUCAUUUUCCAAGGGCUUCGCACCUUCAAUUUCGUUGUUUGCACCUUGCAGCCACUUUUUGACACCUUUCUUAAUUUCUUCAGCAUUCCUUUCAGCAGCUUCGACAUCUUUUUGCAGACCAUCUAGGGCUAAAGCAAGGUUCUCCUUUCGUUCUUUGAAUUCUUCAACAAAAUUGUUGGAACAGAACAUGUAACGGAACUGCCUUCCUACUGGUUCUACCAUGAGUUCUGCUAGCAAUAGGUAUAAUGGAUGCACCAGCACUUUCGAGAGCCAUUUUCCACAGGUCUGAAAAUCAAAGAAAUAAGGAUACAGAACGUGAGAGUGAGUCGUUACAAGUAAAACUGGCGCAGAGAGAAUGGGAAUAGGAAUUUCAUUACCUUAAUUUGGGAAAAUAUGUGCGAAAAGAAAUAACGGGAGGAAGAAAAGGAGAAGGCCUUUAUCUCUGUGUGGAAUCCAGCUUCAAAAGUAACAAGGCAAGGUAUAUUGAUGAAAUUAUUAUUCAUUCAAACACAGAUUUACUUUGGACUACGAUAGUAUUUUUCUCUAUAUUUUGAGUUUUAGUUUGGUAUUUGAAAUUUUUUUUUUCAUAAUUGAAUCUCUUUAAGUCCAAAUUAAAGCUCAAAUGCAUAUUUUUUUUUUAAGGAUGACGGUUGAAUUGAAAGAUGGAGGACUAGAGUGAAAAACUCGGUAAAAAUAUGUGGCGACACUGUGAUUGUUUGCAUUGUUCAUUUUAGUUCUCUACCUUUUUCAGCUACUUAGUAACAUGUCCCUAUAAUUUCUCAACAUUGCAUUUUGUCCAGAAUCUCGGAUUAUACUUUAGGGACCAAUCUGAAAUUUGUCCAAAGUUCAGGGACCAACCUGAAAUUUUCAAAAAUUGAGGGACCAAACUGAAAUUUCAUCAUCUUCAACCUCAAACCCACAAUUUCCACAAAUCACCUACUGAUAUAUCAAGAUUUCAAAUUCACCAUUUAAACAAACCAUAACUCAAAAUCAUCAUUUUUUAUCUAAAAUCUUUCAAAAUCAACAAAAUAACUUAUUAUCCAUAACAAUCAACCUAUAAUAUUCAAAUCAAUUCAUCAAUCGAACCCAAAACACAAUAUUCAAAACCCUAGUAUUUAACAAAACAGAAAACUAAAGCCAAAGAAAACACAUUUAUACACAUCAAAGCGUAAAUCUUAUCUUUUAACUUAUUUUCUCUAACUCUCUUGUCCUUCAUUUAUCUUUUCAUCUUUUCGCUUUUUCUUCUUUCACUCUCACGGGUUUCUCUUUAAGAAUUCAAAUCUCUUUUUUUUUUCUAUUUAUAUUUAUCAACACUUUGUUCAAUUACUACAAUACUGUUCAUUCAUUAUUUAUACCUACUUCUAAGCCUCCAAGGGUUUUGUUGCCUUUCCUAUUCUCUUUUAUUUUCAAAACAUCAUAAUAAAAUUGUUUUCUUUUUAUUAAGCUGUUAAUUUAUGUAGCUUUAGCUCUUGUUCUCUUUUCAUGUUUAGCAACUCUGAUAUGUUCCUUGUCUUUACAUGAUAUAAGAGCAGGUUCUUACCUCUUGAAGUCUGCUGAAUAAACCUAUCAGCAGAAGAUGCUGAAUUGAUCCCAAAUCACAGCUUCAAUCCCUACCACAACCAAUCUCCUCUUUCCCGUAAUCUUUCGUCCUCAAUUGGGAAAUGAUCCAAAAUCAACAACCGGUUUGGAGAUAGUUUGAGUGAAAAGAAAUUAAUGGUUGAAAGAAGAAAUGUGAAGGUUAUUGUGAAGCCCAAGAAUAAAGUAUAAAAAAAGGGGGAGGUUUAUAAUAAUUCAAAUACAAAAUAAUGCAAAAAAAAGGGGGGGCUAAAAUAAGAAAAAGGGGAAAGAUGGGACUGAAAUGGAAUUAAGAAUAAAUUGGACUAUAAAUACCCAUUUCUUCUCUCAUCUAUGGCCAGCUGAUAACAAGAAGAAGAAGGGGGGAGAAUUUCAGAUUUUUCCUUCAUCAAAUCUAGGAGUAAACACCUAAAAUUAGUAUACCCACAUAAGCCUUGGAAUUAUCAAGUGGAUGAACACAAUUGGGUAGAGAAUUAACAAGAAGAAAAGUGAAGAAAAGAGGGGGAAGUGUGGCCGGCUAUAUGCAAGGAGAAGAAGGCUAAGAUUCUUCUAAAAUUUUUGAUCUAAAUUUUAGAUUCCAUCCAAGUAAGGAGUUAUAAUUCCAAUUUCUAUGAAAUUAACUUCAAUUUGAUUAGAAGCUCAUGAUUUUCUUGAAUUGGGAAUUAGGGUUCUUUAACAUAAAAUGUUUGAAAAAUGCGGAAAUGAGUGAGAUUAAAUGGACUAGAAUAAUCUAAGUGCCUUAAAGAAGAAGAAGAAAAAAUUAGUGCAUAAAAGAGAGCAAGGGAACUCUUAGUUCCCUUGGGCAUGUUCUCAGCUAAGAGAUACUAUAGAGAGGGAAUGAAAACUUACGAUUUGCUUAAUUAAUUAAGUUGAUGCAAAUGACCUUAAGAGGACAUAAAAGAGACGGGUUGCCAUGAAUAAAGGGAAGGUGUGAUGUUUUGAAUUAAAAGACAUAGGAAAAGGCAAUAAAGCCCUUGAAGGCUUAAAGAGAAAGUAUAAUUAAAUGAGGGGUAUAAUAGUAAUUGAAUAAAGCUCCCAGAGCAUGGUACAACAGAAUUGACGAUCAUCUACAUAGGCUCUGUAUGACCUCAAACAAGCUUCUAGAGCAUGGUAGCAGAAUUGACGAUCAUCUACAUAAACUUGGCUUUGUUAAAAGUUUUAAGUGAGGCCACAUUGUAUGUAAAAGGAGCUGAUGCAAACUUAAUUAUUGUAUUUGUUUAUGUUGAUGACUUGUAACAGGAAGUAAUAAGACACAAAUUGAAGAAUUCAAGGCACAAAUGCUUGAUGUGUUUGGGAUGACAGAUCUCGGGUUAAUGUCUUACUUCCUUGGAAUGGAGGUGAAACAAAGUGAUGAUGGAAUCUUCAUAUGUCAACAGAAAUAUGCUAAAGAGAUAUUGAAGAAAUUUCACAUAGAAAGCUGCAAGAGCACAAGCACACCUAUGAAUCUGAAGGAAAACUUCAGCAAGAAUGAUGGAACAAACAAAGCAGAUGAAGGUCAGUACAUAAGUUUAAUUGGAUGUUUAAUGUAUCUUAUAGCUACAAGAUCAUACAUUGCAUUUGUUGUGAGCUUGCUAUCACGUUUUAUGCAUUGUGCAAGUGAAUUGCAUCUUCAAGCUGCAAAAAGGAUAGUAAGAUAUGUCAAAGGUACAUUUAUUCUCUCAUCUUCAAAAUUUCAUGCUACAUGGGUACUCUAAUAGUGACUAGGCAGGAUCUGUGGACGACAUGAAGAGCACCUCAGGCUACUGUUUUAGUCUUAGAUUAGGCAUGUUCUCUUGGUGUUCGAAGAAGCAAGAUAAUGUAGCUCAAAGCACAGUUGAAGCUGAAUAUGCAGCCUACUGCUGUUGUCAAUCAAGCUAUUUGGAUAAGGAAAAUUCUUGCAGAUCUGGAUAUGAAUCAACUAGAACCAACAAAGAUUUAUGUUGACAAUCAAGCUGCAAUUUCUAUUGCAAAUAAUCCUGUGUUUCAUGACAGAACUAAGUAUUUUAAAAUCAAGUUAUAUUUUCUAAUAGAAGCGCAGAAAGAAGAAGAAGUUACUCUGCUAUAUUGCAGAACUAAUGAUCAGAUUGCAGAUAUUCUAACAAAAGCUCUUUCAAAAGCAAGUUUGGAAGAUUUACCCAACAUAAUUAAAAAUAAUGGAAGGCUAAAUAAGGCAAAAAAAAUCAAACAAAAGGGGUAUUAAUGAAAACAUCAUUUUAAAAAAUAUUUUCAAAUAUAUAUAUAUAUAUAUAUAUAGGUAUUAAUAAUAAUAAAAAAACAAAGGAAAAACAGAAGGUAACCUUGAAAAAUAAAAAAAUAAAACGAAAAGACGAGAAUGAAGAUCAGCGGGAAAGUUAGUUAUAGUUGGGCUGGGCCAAGAAGUUGAAAGUAAAAUGUGAGGUCCGGUGAGGAAGGCGAGGCCCACCCUAGCACCAAAUUAUUAGGAAUUUAAUUUUUUAUUUUAUUUUAGGACAGCCUUAACAUUAGAAUAAGGAAAAGAAAAGUAUGCAGUUGGGGAAAUUUCAUUAGGAAGGAAGGCAUUUUUUAGAGAAACACAUAGUAAAUGGAGGGUGUUCAACACUAGUUAAUAGACUUUUUAAUUAUCCAUGACACUUUAAGGACUAAAUAAUUAGUUUUAAUAAAGUACGGUGAUAAGUUAUAAUUAAAUCUGGACUUUAUUAUUUGUUUUUUGAAGGAGAAUUUGUACAUGCAACAAUCUUUAUUAUUCCUUCAUUUAGGAACUUAGAAUUCAAAUCUGGUUUUAAGAAUAUAUAAAGGAUUCAAGUAUGUGGCUGAAAAAACAAAAGACUCAAUAUUCCACUUGCGAAAUUAAGCUGAUAAAAUGAAAGAACAGAAAAUUAUUUAUCCUUUGGACCACAAAAAUUACAUAUAACUGAAAAUCUCAGUUACAGUAGCAGUUCAACUGUUUGGUGGGUAUUCGUCAAGAUUGUUUUCAUUUGGGCUUCUGGUUGUGUUUGGUUGCCAAGAAAAAGAGAUAUAUUGCAUGGCUUAUAAAAUUCCGCCUCUCUAUAUGAAUAUAAUAAGCCAUAUACUUAGCUCACUUUGAAAAGUCCUCUUAUUCGUCAAGAUUGUUUUCAUUUGGGCUUCUGGUUGUGUUUGGUUGCCAAGAAAAAGAGAUAUAUUGCAUGGCUUAUAAAAUUCCGCCUCUCAAUAUGAAUAUAAUAAGCCAUAUACUUAGCUCACUUUGAAAAGUCCUCUUUUACGUUUCUUUGUUUUUUUGAACACUGCAAGAAGACAACCCAAUGGUUGUGCUGCUUGAUUCUUUUCAUUUUCUUGGAAACCAGAAAUUUCUUGGUUCUAUUGAUUGUUUUCUAGCUAUUAGUCUUUUUCUAUCAUUCACUCGGUUUCUUUCGGUGCUGACUAGUUGUUUUUGGUCAAGUAAUAAUCUCUUCUUUUGUUCUACUGAAAUUCUUGACAUUUUGGCCGGGAAUAAGUUUAGCUCCUUUUUCUUGUCUAGAAAAUUGAGGGAAAGUAAAAGAGAUAAUUUAGAACCCUUUAAGAUUUUUGCCAGUAUGGUUUGGUCCUUCACUUUCAUGGAGUUAUGAGAUUCGGUUAAUGGAGAAGGGGUUGUUUCUGGUUUCGAAAUUGAGAGAUGGGGUCUUGAAAAGUGGCAUAGCUAGUGGUUGUGUAGGCUAUCGUUGUAUGGGUGGUCGCUAAAAUUCAGCCCAUUUUCAUGGGAAAUGGGAAGAGAGAGUAUAUCUUUUUUUAAAAAAUAGAGAUAGUGGAGAAAGAAGAAACAUAUUUUCAUGCCCAUUUUAUAUUGAAAUGAUAGAAAAUCAUUCAAAAGUUAUUUUAGAAAUAUAUUUAUUUUAUAUCUCUAUCUAUGCUAUAUUAAAUCAAAUAUGUUUUUCUCUUUUUGAAUCCUUUUUUCUUCUAAGACACUAACCAAAUUUACAGAGAUAAAACCGAAUAAUAACAAGAUUUAUUCCAAAUCAUAAUAAUAGCAUACUCUACAUGUAUCAUUCAACAAGACGUUUUGGCCUCUUCCAUGUCAACUCGUCUAUAAAAGGGAACUCCAAAAUCCUCAGAAGGCAGACGAUCAUUUUUCCUCAGAAAAUUUGACUCUCCCCUGAAACUCAUAUUUCAUGCCCAUAUCCAUUCUCCUCUGUAACCAAUAUCUCCUGUAUUGAUUUACAUUACAAAUUUAAGUAAGAUUCUGUUUUUGUUAUUUAUAUUCUUGUUAUAUUUUAUGUACGUUUAAGUAUGCUUUGAGUUUGAUCAAGGAUCAUGGCGUUCUUGUUCUUGCCUUGUUCAUUCGCAUCAGAAAUAUUCUGCUUAUAUUUAUUACUAUAUAUAUAUAUUCUUUUUUGCUAUUAUUAUGAUUCAAAUAAAAUCAACUUAUUUAGUCGGUCAGGAUUAUAACCCAAGUUAUUUAAUGUAUUUUUUAAAAAAGAAACACACUUGUAAUGUUGUGCGGACACCAGCAGGUGAGACUUGAGUAAAUGAAAAUGAAAUAUUUUGGGUGUUUAUCUCUAGCUUGGAGAUUCCUUCAGAACCCAUGUGAACCCAUGUGGUAUUGCCUGCUAGGGGUGUUCAAAAAAACCAAAAAACCGAUUAAACCGAGAAAACCGGAAAAAAAAACCAAAAAAACCGAACUGUGAAAAAAAACCGAUUAAAAUUUUGAAAAAACCGACCGGUUUGGUUCGGUUUCGGUUUUUUAAGCCUGGAACCGAAAAAACUGAACCGAACCGAACCCAAACCGAAAAAAACCGAGCCAAACCGAAAAAACCGAGCCAAACUGGAAAAAAACUGAGCCAAACCGAGCUAAACCAAAAAAACCGAGCCAAACCGGUUUGAACCGGUUUUUCGCUCUAAAAAACCGAAUCGAACCGAACAGAAACCGGUCGGUUUGAACCGGUUUUGGUUCGGUUUCGGUUUUUUUUUUAAAUUCGGUUUGGUUACUUUUUUUGAUAAAAACUGAACCGAACCGAAAAUAAACACCCCUAUUGCCUGCCAUGAUUGGGUGAUGAAAAAAUGGAAAUUGUCCAUGGUUUUUGUGAGGCUUCCUUUGUUAUCGUCUUGCCACGACACUUAAUUUGUUUGUUUGUAAUAGCAGGUAAUAUUUGUAGAAAAAAGCCUAAAACAAAUGGGCUUAAAACAAAAAGGAACUCAAAACAGUUGAGUCUAAAAGAUAUGAGCUCUAAACAGAUGAGCCUGAAAAAGCCUGAAAUACUCUUCUUCUUUUUUUAAUGUUGCUUCAUAGGUGGCAAGAUACCAAAACAGUCAUCUUCAUUAUCAUCUCCAAGGGAAAUGGCAGGAGAUGUCGAGCCAGAUGAGCUGGAUUGGGACAAGACUGUUUCUGGGUCUUGGCUUUGUAUAAUUCCUUGUACUAUUUGUAGGUAUUCUUCCUCAGUUCUAGCAGAGGCAAGGAGAGCUAUCGUUUGAGCCUUUUCGGGCUAGAAACUUUGAUUGAGGAUGAUUAUAAAUGAUGGGAGUUGUUUGAUGUUUUUGUAACCAUUCAGUAACAGCUAAUUUGGAACUUUUGGACUCAGCUACAAAGGAAUCCUACCAUUUGAUUUUGAAUUUGCGAAUAAGUACUGGAUGUCUGUUUUGUAGAUUAUAAUCAUAGAACCAUGAACAUACCCAUGAAACAAAAAAUUUUGUACAGAAAAUGAGGAGGGAAGAAAACUUCCUUUCAGAAGGAGCUGGUUGAAAAUUAUUUUUGAAAUGUAGGUAGCCAUUUUCAACCAGAGGAUGUUCUUUGAGGUAGUUAACAUGACAACCAUAGUAGUCCCACCAUUGGAGGAACCAGAGGGGGAGGUUUGUAGUAUUCAUGACACUAUGGAAAUAGAAAAGCCAAGAAUAGCUAUGGCUAGUAUUCAUGCCUGUUGGUAAUCCCAAUAUGUAUAGGAAGUAUUGAAGUCCUGGGGGCUUAUAUGGUAGUGCAUGGGGAAGGAGAGAGGUUGAUGUAAGGGUUGCCCCCAAUCUUUAGGGUGGAUAACUUUGUGAAUGAUACAUGUAGAGUAUGCCGGUAUAGUGUGAUCAUAAUGUAGUUUGAAGUGUUUGAACUUGACAGAAUUGGUAAUCUCAAGGAUGGCGGCAUAGUAGGAUUGUGGUUUGGCUAAAUUCCAGGGUUUGUAGUACCUUUUUGGAGGGAAAAUUUUUGAAGCAGCAAUGGAAGGGUUUUCAUGAUAAAAUCCUUCUUCCAUAGUUAAAAUAUUUUGGAAAGUAGUUUUGAAAAUAUAUUUGGAUUUGGUUUUUGGAAAACUGGUUUGUUGUAAAGAAAGGAGGGGUUUUGAAGCAAAAAUGCCUCCUUGGUGUUUUGAAAGUGAUUUGGAAAUACUACCUGUUUGAGAUACAGAGUCACUAGAGGCUUGUUGGGACACUUUUUGUAGUGCCAGGAGUAAUUCUGGUGAUUUGGAUAUAGUGUCAACCCAAUGUUGAAUUGCGUCUGUUUGUACUUGUGGUGGUUUUGUAGUUUCUUCUUCUUCAAUAACUGACUCUUACCAGGAUUUGAUAGGUUUGGCAGCUAGGAUGGCUGAAGACACGAGUUUUGCAGAAGGCUUGGGGCUCUUUGGUUUUGUAGGCUGGGUUUGAGGGGCUUUCCCCUUGUCUUUGGCUUUUGCUUUAGGAGGCAUCAGGACCUGUUUUGAAGGAAUUCUCGGGUUAGAAAAUCAGGGAUGGAAUUUGAUUCUCCUUUAAUGUAAACAAUAUCGAAAUAAAAAAUGCUUAAAAUAGCUUGCCAUCGGGCAAAAAUCUGUUUUGAAGCAAGAUUUUGGACAUCUUUUUGGAGAACUUCUUUUACAGAUUUGCAGUCGACACGUAAAAGAAAUUUUUGAUUUAAUAAAUCGCUUAGAAAUUUUGUAAUACAAAGAACAAUUGAAAGGAUCUCCUUUUUUAUAGUAGAGUAAUUUUUCUGGCAGUCAUUCCAGUGGGCGGAUGUGUACUAGAGUAUUUGUUCUUUGUUAUCUUGUACUUGUUUAAAAAUCCCACCAUACCCUAGGUCAGAGGCAUCAGUCUCUACUAUCUUUGGAGCUAACGGGUUAGCUAAAUGAAGGAGAGGAAUGGUUUGGACCUAUUUCUUAAUCUGUUUGAUUAGGUUGGUAUAGAGGUCAGACCAAGGAAUGGGGUUGGUUUUUAACCCUGUCAUGUAAGGGUUUGGCUAGACGACAAAUAUUGGGAUGGUAGUCCAGAACAUAAUUAAGACUGCCUAAAAACCUUUGCAAUUGGGUUUUAUCAGUGAUCUUAUUAGGAAAUUUAUUUAUAAAGGUUCAAGAUCUCUCUAUUGGUGUUACAGUGCCUUGGCAGAUGUAAUGGCCUAGGAAACGGACACGGGUUUGGAAAAGAGAAAUUUUUGUUUUAUAAACAACUAAACCAUUUUGUUUUGCAGUAUGAAAGAAUAUAUGUAGAUUUUUGAAAUGUUGAUCUAUGGAAUGUGAAAAAAUAAGCACAUCGUCAAUGUAAACAAUGCAGAAUUUUGAAUGUGCAUUGAAGAUGUCAUUCAUGAUGCGUUGAAAUUCAGAUGGUGCAUUUUUUAAGCCAAAGGGCAUGACAUUCCAUUCAUAUUGGCUAAAUGAAACUGUAAAAACGGUUUUGUAUCUAUCUUUGGGAUCAAUCUGGAUUUGCCAAAAUCCGGAUUUCAUAUCAAACUUAGAAAAUAUGAAUGCAGAGUGCAAUUUUUGCAACAAAUCUUUUUUGUUGGGAAUUGGAUAUCUGAUCCAUUUUAAAGCAGAAUUUAAAGGUUUGUAGUUGAUCACAAGUCUUGGUGUGCCCCUUUCGAUUUCAGAGUUUUUAUUUACAUAAAAAGCCGCACACGACAAGGGCGAUCGAGACUUUUGGAUAAGACCUUUAGACUCGAGAUCACUGAUUUCAAGUCUGCAAUGUUGUUCUAAAUCAGCAUUCAUUUGUAUAGGUCUUGCUUUUGUAGGUAUAAGUUUUUCUGAAAAAGUAUCUUCAUAUGAAAGAUCAACGAUGUGUUGUUUUCUUUUCCAGAAAGCAUUAGGUAAGUCUGAAAAGAUUUGUUGUUCAAUCUUAUUUUGUAAAUUAAUGAUUUUCUUUUGUAAAUCAGAAUUUUGUAAUUGUUUACUGAUACGACAAAAAUAAACAUGGUUUUGUAAAUCAUGUAGAUGGAAUUGUUUUCCAUGAAUCAGUGCAUUGAUAUGAUAGGUAUGUAUGGAGCAUGCUUUAAUCAAAUUCAAAUUUCUAGUCUUAGAUUUUUCUAAGAAUGGAAAAACAAGUUUGAUGCUAUUGAUUUUGGAAGUAAUACAAUUAUGAUGUGCUUGAUAUGGAGUAAUCAUGUCAAUGAAUGGAGUGCCAAGAAUGAUGGUAUGAUUAAUAUCUUUUGUAACAACAAAGAAUGUUUUAAGAGAAAUGCCUUUGUUGAAAACAGAGGCUUGGGUUUUUCCUGCAAUAUGCAAUUUGAAAUUAUUAGCAGCAGAGAGUUUUUCAGAGGUAUUUUGUAAAAACCGUUUUGGAACCACACCUUUUUUGAUGCAAUUUAAAUCUGCACCUGUGUCAAAUAAGGCAAUAGUGUCUUUGAAAUCUUCUGAGAAAAUAAGCGUAAUUCUAAUUAAAUAUUUUUUUGAAGAUAUUUGUGUUAAUACACUCAGGAAAUCAUCUGAAAUAUACUCAAUAUUUGUAAGUGUAUGGGGCAAUGCAUGAGAUUCAAUGGUUUGAUCUUCUGAUUCAGACUCAGUAUCGGACUAGCUCUCAAUUUUGGACAGAAGAUGUUGUAAUAUGGUUGAGUCCUUCUGUUGGGCUUGUUUUAAGGUUUGUAAUUCAGAUUUGAGGGUUUUGAUCUCAGAAUGUAAUUCUGGAAUGGUGACUAUGGUUUUGGAUUUUGUUUUUAAGUAUCUUUGUAAGGUCAUAGGUAUUAGUGCUGGUAGAGGGGUAAUAUAGAGCGGUUUGGAGGGUUAAAUGGAGGAUGCUCUGGUUGGUUGAAAUCUUUCAACAGUUUAUCUAAAGGUUUUUUGCAGUUGAGGAUCAUCAAGUCUUUUGAUAGCCUCAAGAAUGAACUCUUGGUAUUGGGUUAAGACGUUAAUUUGUUUGGACUUCGUAGAGGCAUCUGAAGUAGCACUGGUAGUUACUAUUUAAUCAAUUUGAAAUUCUUCUUCAGAAGUGUCUGAAGGAGAGUGGUCAGUGUCGGUGACUUCAAUGUAAAGAUUUUGUAUUUGGUUGAUGGUAUCUUCAUCUAUUUAGAGCUCAUGAAGUUUGGUAUUGACUUUGCAGAAAUGAGAUGUAUGUCCUUUCUGGUUACAUUUGUAACAGGUGAUAUUUUUGGGGUCAAAUUUUUGUUUGGGUUUUGACUGGAAAGGUCUGUGGGGUUUGGUAAAUUUAUAAGGCUUUUUAUAGUAAGGUUGAUCUGGUUUGGAAUAAAACUGUUGUCAGUUUUUAUGGGCCGAUCGUUUAUAAGGAGGUUUUUGGCUCGAAUAUUUUUUGGGUUGUGAACAGGUUCCACUGCAGGAGGGUUUUUUGGUGGAAAGAUCAAACUAAUGACAGUAACUACCAAGUUCUUGCCUAGUACGUUUCAUUUUCCACUUUAGGUGUUUUUGGAGUUUGAGAUCCUGGUAGAUCUUAAGACCUUCUUUUUGGGUAAAGCUCACAAGUUCACCAUAUGUAAGCUGGUCAUAUGGUAUGGUUUUGGUUGUAAAGGUAUAUUUGAUCUUGUUUCUAACUUUUUCUCCUAAGAGAAUAGGUAGGCCUGCAAGGAAUUUUUCUUUCCAAAAAGGUUGGUUUGAAUCCUCCCUAAGCAUGACACGGGUAAGGAAUAUAUUUUUAUACCAUUGAAAGUCACUUAGCUUCUUACACCUAAGAUUGGAAAGGAGUUCAACAUUUUUGUCUUUCAAAUGGGAAGGGUCUCCAACAACAUGUUAGGAAAUCAUAAGAAUAAAGGUUGACACAACGUCUUGAAAAGUGUUUCCAGAUGGCUCAAGGAUGGGUGUUUGGUCUUCAUAUGUUUGGAAGGAGUUUAGGAUAUGUAGGUGAUCUGUUUUAGUGAGAUGGUAAUCCCACCAUCCUUUCAACUGGCCAGAGAAACCAGUAAUAAGGAGUUCAGCAAUAGCCUUGUCUGGGGUUCCGAUUUGGGUUUUGUAGGCAUUGGUUGCCAUAGUCAUUUGUUGAAGAGUGUUGAGGAUAUUGUAUUCGGACAUUCCAUCUAUAUUCCAUUCAUAGAGGGAAGAGGCAUUAUAUUUGUGUUGAGUAAGGAUAGUUGGUUCAGUAGAUAUGGAAAUAUCUAGGGCAAUGGUUGUUUUGGGAGUUUGCCAGGUUAGUCUGUUUAGUUCAAGAGGUUAGUGGGGAGAAGUAUCUUCAUUAGAAGACUCCUCAGGACUAUUUUGUAAGGUAUUGACUUGAUUUGUGGAUGUAGAAGGGUUGGUUGUUUGUGGUGUGUCUGGGACAGUUAAAAAUGAAUUGUCAAGAUGUUGUAAGUGUGUUUUGAUAGCUCUAAGAAAAUCUGUUUGGUUUUCUUGGAUUUGUGUUUGGCUUGUUUUUGUAAUUUGAUAAGGUUUGAAAAAUGGGUUUUUUAUUUUUAGGUCGAUUGAGGUUUUAAUGUCAACUGAACUAGUAGUGGUUCUUUGUAUUUGUUUUUUCCAGUCGUGUAAGCUAUUUUCCUAAGGUAUUAAGGUUGGUGUUUGUAAAGUUAUUUUGGUUAAUGAUAUGUUUGGUAUUGGAAAGGGUGUCUUCACUGGGUAAUUUGUAGGGGGCUGCAUCUACAGUCUGGUUGUUGCGGGUUAUUUGGAUAUUUCUCAAGGGUGGAUGUUCAGACUCAACUGUUGGUCCACUGGUGAGGUUCCAUAUAGGGGUUUUGGAUCUUGAUGUGACCGAGCAUGCAUACUUGAUGGAUGCAAAAGGAUAUGUAAUGUAAUGUUUGGAUGCAUAGUAUAAUUCAAACCAAUCAAAGAAUAGAAUGUGUAUUUUAUGUAACUUAAUGAAAUUAUAAAAUUGUUUUUGUAUCUCACUUCUCUGUUGGAGAAAGUGUUGGAGAAAUCAGAUUUGUUUUGUAGAAUUAUAGGCAGCAUAAAAAUCUUUUUUGAAAGAGUUUUAUCAUGAACAAAAUGUUUUUCGGAAGUCAAAACAUUCAGCUCAUUUUGGAUGUUUUCAGUAACAGCUUAAAAGGUUGGUGAGGUUGGAGGAGAUGGUUGCUCAAGGUCUGUAUAAACAGGUUUUGAUAUAUUUGUAGUAUAGUCUGCAUUUUGAAAACUAGUAGAAGGGAUAUCAGAUGUAGAUUUUGUAUGAGGGUUUGCGUGAUAAGGGAUAUUGAUAACAGAAGGGAUUUUGGAAAUUCUUCCUAGAUCUCUUGUACUAGAGGAGGAAGAGGCUUCUGAGAAUCUGGAACUUGUAGAGUGUUGAUGGAAAGACAAUUUGACUUUGCCAUCUGUUGCUACUCAAUUUUUGACCCAUGUUUUGAUAAUUUUUCAGAAAAAAACCAAAAAUAGCAAAAAAACAAUGAAAACCCAAAAAAUGCAUUUUUGAUAUGUUUGCAUCGUUUUUAGCAUUUUCAACGUCAUCUCAAAAGAAUUUAAAUUUUCAAAGGUAUUUGGAAUGCGUUCAACUUUUAACGUGUAAAUUUUAUGAUCACUGAUUUGCCUUGUUGAGUUGACGUUGAUAUUGCUCGCUUUCAAAAAUACAAAAAAAUAAGAAAAAUCAAAAUUUACAAAAAAAGAGGAAAAGAGAAGGAAAGGAAAAGUUGAGGGACUAGUUUGAAAACCUAGCAAAACUUUUCCUAUAAAUACCAUGCUACACUGAAUUUUCACCAGGGGGCAAUUUUGCAAUUAAAGGGGGAGGGAACACAAAAACAAGAAACCCUAAAAGCUUAACAUUUUUUCUUCUCCCUCACCCUAGGCAGCCACCGAAGCGCCCCUCUCCAUCUCACUAUCUUCUCCCUCAACCGGAGCCGCCACCCCCCCUCUUGAUCACAUUUUUCUCUUCUUCUCGCCAGCCUAGAGCUUGGCUCUUUGGACUGCACACAAGCCUCCCCUUCUCAGCCACCUCGUCUUUCCCUCUCCAGCCGGCUCAACUUUUCCCCCCAUUUCCUCUCAUCACCAUCCCAGUUGUUCCCUUCCAGCACAAGACUUUCCCUCUCUGGCAACACAGACAGAGAUCGGCUUCUGCACCUCCCCACAGCAGCCGGCCACUACAUUUCUCUCAGCCGUUUGUCGCCGCCAGCAGCAGCAGCGCUGUCCUCACCAGUGAGCCACCAGCCCCCACACGGCAACGCCGGGGCACCACUCUUCUUCAUCUUCUGCAACUGGCCUCUUGCCCGCCUUCUCCCUCCGGCAGCGCCCGCAGACCCAGCAGUCUCCAGCGACAGCCCCCAUACAACGGCGCCCACAGAAUCCAGCCGCUGCUCACCUUCCUCCAGCCGCUCACAGAGACGCCCUGACCUUAGAGCCGUCCGCCACCUGUAGAAGGGAAGAACAGAAAACCAAAAGGAGAAGACAAGAGAGAGUAGAUAAAAAAAAAGGGAAAAAGAAUCGGAAGCUUUGCAUGUGUGUUUUUCCCUUUGCAGGUAACGGUGAUUCUCACAGCCAGCAGAGAAGGGAAGGGAAGAAGAAAGCAGGGCAGAUCUGCCCAUUUCCGGUCAUUGUCAGCAGCGGCGCGUGAACCCACGCAUCGCCAGUGGCGACGGCGCGUGGGGAGACGCGCCGCUACUGUUCAGGCAGUUCCAUAAGUCUGCCUGACACUGUUCUGUUGGUGCAGAAGGCUAUCCCUGUAAUUUUAGAUUAUUUUGGGGUUAAUUUUUGUAAUGUAAAAAUUGUUUAAUGUAUUUUUUUGUUUAGUUGACUUUUUAUAAUUUGUAUUGUUGAUGUAACAAAAAAAAAAAGAAGAAGAAAGAAAAAGAAAAGGAAAAGAAAGAAAAGAAAAGUAUAGUGAAAAGGAAAUGUGCGGUGUGUAUUUUGUUUAUGAAAUGUUUUUUUUUGUUUUAUGAUAAAAUUGCAAGAAUAAAGAAGAAUUUAAUAUUCUGAUUUGCUCACGGAUAAAGAAUUAUGAACUUACAUGUAAGUUGUAUUUUCUAAAAUUCGAUGAAUGAACCGAAUUUUAAAACUUCUUUAAACACAUCAAGUUCACGAAGCAGCUUACCUCAGGUAGGGUGCGUUAGGGGUGCUAAUACCUUCCCUAACCACAACCAGUCCCUUACCCGUGAAUUUCUGACAAGACCAGUACAUCCGGUUUCCUAGUAGCCUUCAAUUAAAUACUAGGUGGCGACUCCCAACGAUGUAACCAAUCAAAGCAAAACGAGAAGACGAAAGAAUCGCCAGCCCGAUGCCGCGUGGAUUUUCUAACGUGCGACAGAAUGGCGACUCCACUGGGGAAGGUAUUGUUUUCAACAGUAUUGGACUAAGCUUUUUGUUUUUGAUGCGUUUAUGUUUUUACAAUUUUGUCCUAUUUUAUUUUUGUUUUAUCCAUGCAUUUUGUAGAAUUGUCUCAUGCAUCACAUAGUGUAAUUUUUUAAAACACACACAAGCUUCAGGUUAGGAGGGGGACUAGCAGCUUACCUUACGACUUUUAGUCAAGGUUUAAGUUUGUGUAAACCCCAACUCUUCGUUGAGUGCUUAGACUGGUAAUAGUUGGACACGUGCCAUCUCAUUGCCUACAAGCCCUUAUAUUGCCUUCAAGAGGGUAAUCACUGGGACAACGAGAGACCCUUUUUAGAGACCAAGUAGUAAACCUACCUUUUGUCUCACUUAAAAAGGAUUAGAACCGUCUUUAGGAUGUAUGCUCCGUAGACAUUGUUUUGCAUCCAAGCAAGCCCUUCUUGAAGCAUCUUGAACUCCAGACUUAUGGGUGACACAAUGACCGUCGCUCAGAAAAUUUUCAUUGUAGAGUUUGUGCAAGAAUCAAGAUUCUUGUUUCAUCAUGCAAGAGUUGCGAUCAUAUGUCACCCCUAGAAGGGUAAGUUCAUCAUAUAGAUUACAUAUUCAUACAUUUAUCAUGCAUGUAACGGGUUGAAAGGUAGGUCCCCCGCACAAGUUGUGCUGCACGUGAUUGAAGAAAGAUGAUGGAAGUGAAGAAAGAUGUCAGAUAGAGGCUCAUUAUUAGAUUGAGGUUAAGAGCAUCAAAGGUGAAGUAGCUAGACUCAGAUCUGCUCGAACAAGUGUUGAGCAUCAAAUGGAAAGAGAAUGUCUGCACAGUUUUCUGUGGGAACACUGCUUGUCCACGUCUAAUUGAAGCUACACCUCUCAUUUUCAGUCAUGAACAACAGCAGCAAUGCCUUCAGUCAUCAGCUAAUGACAACCUUUGUUCUUGUUCGGUUGCACUGUUAACUGUUCAUCGCCUCCACUUCUUUUAAUGAAACCAAACAAUUAUUAGCCUCCUUUGCAUGGUGCAUUAGUCUUCUUUGAAGUUACCCUAAUUGUGAGCUCAGUUCCAGUUCAGCAGCAUAUGAUAGUCUUCUUUGAAGUUCAUCAUUAGACACUGAACUUCUACGUGGUAGAGCUUUUAUGGAUUUGCCAAUGGGAAAUGCAAGAGAGGAUUUACUAAUUGCAUAUGCUACAAAUAUUUCUCUCAUCAGUUUCAGCACGAAGACACUGUAGUAGGUUGAAGAGCCAGACUUGGUCUGAAAAACAUGAGCAGACAUCAAACUUCAACGUAGCAGAGCUCUCUCGGCAGGAAUCUUUUGUGGAUCUGCAAGUGGGAAAUCCAAGAAGGGAUGUAGUAGUUUCAGAUGGUCUAAAAAUUUUCUCCUGCCAGUAUCAGCAUUUACAACGCAAAAGUAAGGAGAAAAGACAAACCUGGACUAAACAACAUGAAGAAGACUGAAACUUCAAUAGAGGAGAACUCCCUCUACAGGUGUCUGUUUGUUGCACUGUCUAUGAGCAAUCGAAGAUGAGACAGAAGAGUUUUAGAUUCAUCAAGUUCUCUUCCAGUUGAGACAACACGUGAUUCCGCACGUCAGCAGUGGUGGUACUGCAAGUUUUUGUGCGCUGCCAAGAUUACCUAGCUAUUGAAAGGUUUUCAACAAUCCUAAAACAACAACAACAACAUUGGAAGAUUGACAUGAAGUUGUGUGGAUUGCCAAAAAAAAAUUGAACAAAGCUAUCAAGAUGGGAAAGAUUGAAGGUUCUGCCAGGGAUUCUAGAACAAUGAUGAGAGAUGAAUCAAAAGAAGACUCUGACGGUGAGAAACCUUAAUUAUGUGGUCUAGCCAAGUCUCGUUGUAUCAUCGACUACUCCAAUGUCUUUGCCAAAGAUAGACAUUCAUUUUCCAUGUGGUAUAAUCCAGACAAGAGAUGUGAUGUGAUGGUGGGGUCCUCGGCCAUUUCAAUGGAAUUGCUGCAAGAAUUUCAAUUGAAUAGUUGUCAUGUGAGUUUAUUUACCAGCAUCUGCCAGAUUCCAGAUUUUUGCUUGACUCCGACAAAUCCCAUGCAACUACCAUUUUCUAGGUGGUAUAAUCCGAACAAGAGAUGUGAUGUCAUGGUGGGGUCCUCAGCCAUUUCAAUUGAACAGUUGCGAGAAUUUCAAGAAUCUAGUCCGGAAGUUGGUGAGCAAAAGACGGGUAGUUUCUGUGAAGGAGGGUGUCAUUGGCUAUAUUGACCCCCGAGCAUCUUCAGAAUGACAUGUGAUCAAAAAUGCUUGGCAAAACACAGAUAUCGCCAGAAAAGCUGAUUCAAGAAUGGCGAUGAAUUGUCAAUCAUAUUGUUGUGGAAUGUUGCAUUUUUGUUUUGGGAUCACAUCUCAUCCUUCAACGAAACAUGUCUUGUUUUUGUCUCUUUGUUGUUUUGAAAUCAACAGAUGUUUAGCAUUUUAUUCUGACAAAAUAUUUUGAUCAAACUCCAACAUGCGAUAAAGGUUAAUCAAUCCUGAAGAUUAAAAGUGUUUUGAUUACAGAAAUGACUCGAUGCUUGAAAAUGACAUGAGGUGACCAAACAAUUUUGAACUCAUACCUCCUGAAAUUGAACCACACAUCAUAUAGCUAAGUUUUAGCAGUAUGCAUAUUGACAUGUAGUGGAUUCGGUAGUUAUGGACUCGUGAAUCAUGAUUCUUACAAGUCCCAAUCAUUACACUGGAUGAGGUCAAAAUUUAUCGGUUCUAACUGACCUUGCUUGAAAUGAGAAAAGGCCAUCUUUAAUAUCCCUUCACUUUCUGAAAAUUAUAUCCCUUGUAGUCCCAUUUUGAGCUGGAUAGAAUAUUCUUUUCAUAAGAAACCCUGACUAGGAUCACACCCUACACUGGGGGCAGAGAUAUUUUGAAGACACUGAUUGGACUAAUGGAUAAAAGAAAGGCUUAGAACAAAAGUCCAAUGAUUGAGAAAAGGGCUAGAAGAAGAAAAGCCAUAGAUUGAGGGCCAUCCAAGAAAACUUUGAGGAAGGUUAUGUAAAAAAAAAAGUGGAAUGGAAGGGGAAUGCCUAUCAAUUCUAAGAUGGGCAAAAGAGGUUUCAAUUGAAGAAAGACACAACAAAUGCCAAAAGUUAAAAAAAAAAAUCAAGUUUUAUAUCUUUUGGUGUGUCUAGGAUAAAGCCUCUGAUGUCUUCAAAAAGAUUAGAUUGGUUAUUCAUCAAAGAAAAUUUGGAUUAGCAAUAUGACCUAUGUUAAGAGAAUUCUGAUCUCUGAAAUUAACAAGGUUAUAUGUCACUUUCUCUACAAUGACAACAAGAGAAAGAGAGUUGAUGAAUAAUUGAUGUUGAUCCUAGGUCUUUGAAACCCUCAAACACCUUUUGAGCCUGUGAAAUUUCUUUCUUUCAUAGCCAUGAACCAUAGCCUGCAUUACAUGCUUUUAAAAGCCCUUUUUAAUCAAGCAAACAAUUUGAACCGAUAAAUGGCGAUCUCGAAACUUGAAGAGUUGUUCCAUAAGGGUCGUGACUUCAUGGAUUAAGCUACUGGUUAUUAUGCAUGCUGAUAAAAUUGGUGCUAAAAAAAGAAAACAAUCUUUCUUGAUGAAUCCUCAAGUUUUGACUUGAGCCUUUUGUUUUUUAAAAUUCACAAAAAAGGUCACCUCAUCAUAGACCAUCAAAAGAUAUACCCAAAAUCAGAGUCUAAAAUGGAUACAAAGAACCAUGAAAAACAAAAACCAUUUUAGUCUUACAACGGGUCAAUUUCUGUUUUCAAAAUACAUGACAAUCAAAGGACUGUAUAUUUCGAAUAACGUGUGUUGGAUCUUUGAUAAAAAGCUUGAUUUUCAAAAGAUCUUUUCGAAAAAGGACAUCUCUCUAAUUUCAUUUCAACAAUUAGACUUGAAUAGACAUCACCGUUGAAAUAUGAGAUUUGAUUCCAGAACAAGAAAGAUUGUCAAACAAGAAGAAUAUCGAUCGAGUUUGCAAAAUCCUUGACAAGAAUGACAUCAACACUUCUUGACACUCCUUGAAAAGUUGACCACCUGGGGGUAAUACAGUGGACCCUGAGAAGGAAAACAAAAGGUAUUCAAAUCAGCUGGGGGCAAAGAAAGAAUCGAACGAUGAGUUGGCGAAGUCCAUCGAAGUCAUUCUUGGCGAUCACAAAAACCAUUUGGUUAUAGACAGAAGAACGAGCAUGUUCAGAUCAUAUUGGGGGCAAUGUUGUUCAAAGACAAUCCAUGAUUUAGUGAAACUUCAGCAGCAAUUGAUGGGCAAUGCUGCACUUGAAAGAUAUUUUCAUAUCUUCAUCUUGGUUUAUCAUCCCCAACAUGGCUAUGACUUUUGAACGAUGUUAUCACAUAGUCGCAUUUGAAUGAUUGGUGGAAGGAUGCACCCUCUAGGGCUGACUGUGGGGUCAUCCUGUGUUGACACCUAAAGGAUCACUUCAUCUCAUGAAUAUGGGUGAUGAACAUCAUUCAUGAUGCCAAAUCAUUUCUUUUUACUAGCUGAUUUGACAAGCGAAGAGGAACCCAUUGACAAGAGCUUCGUGAAUGCAGCAAAGAGCCUUUUACGGCAAGUUAUGAGAGGCAUGUCUGGACGACUUGUCAGUUUCCAAGAAGGUUGAUGAUAACAUAUACUUGAAAAGUAUUGUUUCAACUGGAGGCAAGUUCAUGACUAGUUGACAAUCUUGAUGGGGUUGGCAUGAGGCACACAAUCAAUCAGAGGAUAAUUCUUAGAAGAAUCCAAAAGAGAAAAUCCUUCAUUAUGAAUCAAGCAACACCACACUUGGGGGGCAGAGUCCAGCUUGAUAAACAACGAGAGUAGUAAUCGCCAUGGACAGCCUAAGAUGGGCAUUGUACUUGCAUUUGAGUGGAAGGCUAGCACGCAAAUGAGCCAAUGCAUCGAAAGAACAAAGAAAGCUUUGGAAUGCAAACAAAGGCACCCUAUGAUGAUGGAUCAUCAAAGAGGGGGAGACCUAUAUUUCAAAUCAGGUAAGGAUGCAUGCAUGCCAUCUAACCUCAAAGCACUGCACAUACUUGUGAUUGUUAUAGGAAGAUCCUCAAUGAAGUCCAGCAAGAUUGUGGACAAAGAAAGAAUAUUGAGUUGAUGAUAAGAAAGAAUCGGUUUAGAUCCUGGAACGAGAAGAGAAUGAGAUGAACCCUGCUAGUAGGAGAAUCUCAAAGAAACGAGGAGAUCAACCCUGUCAUCAAAAGGAGUCUUCAAGUCAACCCUACAAUCAGGAAGCGUCGUUUGUCAGCCUUAUCCUGUCAGGACUUCGCCUGCCAAGUCUUUUUGCCAGUUAAGUCACAUUUUUUCAUCUGGGUAGGUCACCCAUCAUAAUGAGACCAUCUUUCUUUGGGUAGGUCACCCAUCACAAUGAGACCAUCAUUUUUUCCACUUGGGUAGGUCACCCAUCAUAAUGAGAUCGUUUUUAACAUUCUUUCAUCUGGGUAGGUCACCCAUUAUAAUGAGACCACUUUUUACAUUUUUUUGGUUUUGGUUAAAGGAGGUCGCCAGAUGGGAUCUCACGUAGCUUUGGUUAAAGGGAAUCGCCAGAUGGGAUUUCAGGUUGACCGAGCUACACACAUUCUUUGGUUCUGAUUAGAGGGGAUUGGCGAAAGGAAUCUCAGUCUAUCCUAACCACAGAGGAUUUUGGUUCUGGUUAGAGGGGAUUGGCGAAAGGAAUCUCAGUCUAUCCUAACCACAAAGGAUUUUUGGUUCUGGUUAGAGGGGAUUGGCGAAAGGAAUCUCAGUCUAUCCUAACCAUACGCAGGAAUUUUGGUUCUGGUUAGAGGGGAUUGGCGAAAGGAAUCUCAGUCUAUCCUAACCACAGAAGAUUUUGGUUCUAGUUAAAGGGGAUCGACGAAGGGAUUUCAGUUUAGCUUAACCACACAUAGACUUUGGUUCUGGUUAAAGGGGAUCGGCGAAGGGAUCUCAGUUUAGCCUAACUGCAAAGGAUUUUGGUUCUGGUUGAAGGGGAUUGGCGAAGGGGUUUCAGUUUAGCCCAACCACACAGAUUUUGGUUCUGGUUAGAGGGGAUUGGCGAAAGGAAUCUCAGUCUAUCCUAACCAUACAGGAGUUUCGGUUUUGGUUAGAGGGGAUUGGCGAAAGGAAUCUCAGUCUAUCCUAACCGCACACAGGAGUUUUGGUUCUGGUUGAAGGGGAUCGGCGAACGGGUCUCAGUUCAGCCCAACCACACAGAUUUUGGUUCUAGUUAGAGGGGAUUGGCGAAAGGAAUCUCAGUCUAUCCUAACCAUACAAGAGUUUCGGUUCUAGUUGAAGGGGAUCGGCGAAGGGGUCUCAGUUCAGCCCAACCACACAGAUUUUGGUUCUGGUUAGAGGGGAUUGGCGAAAGGAAUCUCAGUCUAUCCUAACCAUACAAGAGUUUCGGUUCUGGUUAGAGGGGAUUGGCGAAAGGAAUCUCAGUCUAUCCUAACCGCACACAAGAGUUUUGGUUCUGGUUAAAGGGGAUCGGCAAAGGGAUCUCAGUUUAGCCUAACCACGCAGAAUUUAGCUUUGGUUAAAGGGAAUCGCUAGAUGGGAUUUCAUGUUGACCGAGCUACAUGUCGCACGUCGGAAAAACCCCGCGCGGCGUCCCCGCUUCCUGGCGAUGGCGAUUUUUUCUCUCUGUUAUUGGAAUUGAUUUUGUUAGGAGUCGCCACCUAGUAUUUAAUUGAGGGUUACUAGGAAACCCAAGUUGACUGGUCUUGUCAGAGAUUCGCGGGUAAGGGACUGAUUGUGGUUAGGGAAGGUAUUAGCACCCCUAACACACCCUACCUGAGGUAAGCUGCUUCGUGGCUGUGAUGUGUUAAAGAAGUUUUAAAAAUUUUGUCUUUUCAUCGGAAUUUAGAAAUACAACUUUCGUACAAGUUUGUACUUCUACACCGUGAUCCGAUCAAAAUAUUAAAUCCUUCUUUAUGCUUUGCCAUCUCGUUGUAAAAAGAUCCCUGAAAUAAAUACAAACAUGCAUUUUUGUUUUUUUUGUUUUCUUUCUUGCCUUUUUUAUUUUUUAUAACAUAAUAAAAAAAAACAAGCACAAACACACAUUUUUUUUAUUAUAUUUUUCUUCUUUUGUUUUCUUUUUCUUUUUCUUUUUUUUUCUUUUUUUUUCUUUUUCUUUUUACAUCCACAAUACAAAUAUAAUAAUUUAAAAAUAAAUAAAAAUUACAUCAAAUAAUUUAAAAUUUACAAAACAGUCCCUAAAACUCCAGGAAUUGCAAGGGAACCCUUCUGCACAGGAAUUGGAGACAGGAACAGCUGGCGGCGCGUGUUCCAACGCGCCACCAUUCCUAGCGGCGCGUGAAGCCACGCGCCGCCGCUGAUGCCGGAAACGGGCGGAUCUGCCCUGCUUUCUCCUUCUCUUCCCUUUCCUGCCGGCUGUGAGGAACACCAAUCCCUGCAAAACACAAUAAAACGCAAGCAACUGUCUGUUUUGCUUCACUGCAGAUCCGGUUUCUUCUUCUUCAGGUGGUCGGUCGCUGGACCAUGGAGCUGCUGGUCUGUGGGGAAAGGUUGAGGGAGACGGCGAGGUGGCUUGCUGCCGUGUGACCUUGUAGAGCCGGCGUUGAUGGAGUCGGUCUGUCCGUUGACCUGGAGGGAAGUGGGGGGUCGGUUGAGAGAGACCCGGCUGUGGGUUGCUGCUGCCACCGCUGGGGGGAGGAGCUGGAGACAGCGCCGCUGUGAUGAGGAGACACUGCUGCUGUUGUGGUGCUUGAUGGAGCUGGAGCUGGAGCUGGAGCGGAGUGGAAGGAGCUGCUACAGGUGUGGGUUUCUCCAGGUGUGGCCGGCGGUUGUUGAUGGAGACGAACUACCGCUGAGAGGAGGAGAAGGAAGCGUUUCCUGGGCGCAGGGAGCAACUGCGUGUCUGUGGGCACAACCGUGUGUGGGUCGGAGCUGAGGAAGAAGGGAGCCGCUGUGGAGGCCGUUGGGUAGAGCAACCGGGUCUGCUGGAGGAAGACGGCGCUGCUUCACGGAAAGGGGUCGUCGCUGCUGGAAGAAGAAGAAACCAGAGGGCAAAGGAGAGUGGCCGGUCUCUGUUUUUAGAGGAGAAGACGAUGGAGAGGAAAACGGUGCCGGUUUGAGAGAAGAAGAAGAUGCUGGAACCGGCUGGAGAGGGAGAAGGAAAAUGAAGGAUUGUGCAGGGAAGGGAGUCCGGCUUGUCUUUGGUAAAGAGAGGGGAAGUGGCCGGCUAUGGGAAAUGACCGGCUGCGGGUUGAAAGGAAAAUGCUGGCCCUGUCUUGGUAGAGAAGAUGGAGAGGCAGCCAGCAAAAAUGGGUUGAGCGGCCGGUUUCUGAGAAAGAAAAUCAAAGCCGGCUGGGGGCGGCGGCUCUAGAGAAAAGGAUAGGUUUAGGGUUAGGUUUUUUGUAUUUUUCUCUGAUGUUGUCAAAAUUGCCCCCCCAGGUUUUGAGUUAAAGGCUGCUAUUUAUAGGCAGAGUAUUUUUUCGGGCUUCAAAAUUGGUCCCUCAAGUUUUGUGUUUGGCCCCUAAUUUCAAUCAAUUCACUUGGUAAAAAUUAAAUUGGGUCUCUUAAAAUUCUGAUUUUUCAAUUAAGUCUAAAUUAAGCUCCCAAACUUAAUUUUUCACCAAUUAAGCCCUCAAAUUAAUUUGACCCGCUUAAAGUAUAAUUAAGUCCUUGCACUUAAUUAAAUCCUUCAAUUGGACCCAAAUUAAUUCUUGAACAUAAUUAAAAUUCAAUUUGACCCAUGAUUAAAUCAAAUUGGCCCAUUAAAAAUUUAAUUAUGUCAUUGGACUUAAUUCUUAUGCAAAUUCGUCCAAUAAUCAUUUAAUUUGACCUUUGAAUUUUCAUUCUUCUAUUUUUGGGCAUAACAGCGUACACUUGGGCCUUGAAAUUCUUCCGAAAAUUGCAGCUUGAUUUUCGCCUAUUUUGCAGCCUUUCUUGGUCGGCUUUCUCUGCAUUGCCAGCCUUUAUUUUAUUUUUUAUUUUUUAUUUUUAUUUUUAUUUUUUUAUUUUUUUGGGAAAAAAAAAUGAAUUUUGGGGAAUCACCCAAAAUUGGGUGAUGACACUACACACCAAUUUUUGUUCUUGUUAGAUCGCCUGAUGGGAUCUCAGGUAAACCCAAUCAAAAGGGCAGGUCACCCUUGAAAAUAGACCAGUGUGAGUAUGUGGCAGGUCGCCCGUGAAAAUAGACCAGUGUGAGUGUGUGGGCAGGUCGCCCCUGAAAAUAGACCACUUUGAGUAUGUGUGGGCAGGUCGCUCGUGAAAAUAGACUAGUGUGAGUGUGUGGGCAGGUCGCCCCUGAAAAUAGACCACUUUUCUUCAAAGAGGGCAGGUCGUCCAAGAUAAUGAGAUCAUUUUCCUUUUUCUUUUCUUUACAAAGCUUACUAUGCAAAACAUUGAGGAGUUUUGCUUCGUAAGCAUUGUAAAGAGGGGGCAUCUGUUGCUACUCAAUUUUUGACCCAUGUUUUGAUAAUUUUUCAGAAAAAAACCAAAAAUAGCAAAAAACCAAUGAAAACCCAAAAAAUGCAUUUUUGAUAUGUUUGCAUCGUUUUUAGCAUUUUCAACGUCAUCUCAAAAGAAUUUAAAUUUUCAAAGGUAUUUGGAACGCGUUCAACUUUUAAUGCGUAAAUUUUAUGAUCACUGAUUUGCCUUGUUGAGUUGACGUUGAUAUUGCUCGCUUUCAAAAAUACAAAAAAAUAAGAAAAAUCAAAAUUUACAAAAAAAGAGGAAAAGAGAAGGAAAGGAAAACUUGAGGGACUAGUUUGAAAACCUAGCAAAACUUUUCCUAUAAAUACCAUGCUACACUGAAUUUUCACCAGGGGGGCAAUUCUGCAAUUAAAGGGGGAGGGAACACAAAAACAAGAAACCCUAAAAGCUUAACAUUUUUUCUUCUCCCUCACCCUACACAGCUGCCGAAGUGCCCCUCUCCAUCUCACUGUCUUCUCCCUCAACCGGAGCCGCCACCCCCCCUCUUGAUCAGAUUUUCCUCUUCUUCUCGCCAGCCUAGAGCUUGGCUCUUUGGACUGCACACAAGCCUCCCUUUCUCAGCCACCUCGUCUUUCCCUCUCCAGCCGGCUCAACUUUUCCCCCCAUUUCCUCUCAUCACCGUCCCAGCUGUUCCCUUCCAGCACAAGACUUUCCCUCUCUGGCAACACAGACAGAGACCGGCUUCUGCACCUCCCCACAGCAGUCGGUCACUACAUUUCUCUCAGCCGUUUGUCGUCGCCAGUAGCAAUAGGGCUGUCCUCACCAGUGAGCCACCAGCCCCCACACGGCAACGCCGGGGCACCACUCUUCUUCAUCUUCUGCAACUGGCCUCCUGCCCGCCUUCUCCCUCCGGCAGCGCCCGCAGACCCAGCAGUCUCCAGCGACAGCCCCCAUACAGCGGCGCCCAUAGAAUCCAGCCGCUGCUCACCUUCCUUCAGCCGCUGCUCACCUUCCUCCAGCCGCUCACAGAGACGCACUGACCUCAGAGCCGUCCGCCACCUGCAGAAGGGAAGAACAGAAAACCAAAGGAGAAGACAAGAGAGAGUAGAUUAAAAAAAAAGGGAAAAAGAAUCGGAAGCUUUGCAUGUGUGUUUUUCCCUUUGCAGGUAACGGUGGUUCUCACAGCCAGCAGAGAAGGGAAGGGAAGAAGAAAGCAGGGCAGAUCUGCCCAUUUCCGGUCAUUGUCAGCAGCGGCGCGUGAACCCACGCGUCGCAAGUGGCGACGGUGCGUGGGGAGAGGCGCCGCUACUGUUCAGGCAGUUCCAUAAGUCUGCCUGACAUUGUUCUGUUGGUGCAGAAGGCUAUCCCUGUAAUUUUAGAUUGUUUUGGGGCUAAUUUUUGUAAUGUAAAAAUUGUUUAAUGAAUUUUUUUGUUUAGUUGACUUUUUAUAAUUUGUAUUGUUGAUGUAACAAAAAAAAAAGAAGAAUAAAGAAAAAGAAAAGGAAAAGAAAGAAAAGAAAAGUAUAGUGAAAAGGAAAUGUGCGGUGUGUAUUUUGUUUAUGAAAUGUUUUUUUUUUGUUUUAUGAUAAAAUUGCAAGAAUAAAGAAGAAUUUAAUAUUCUGAUUUGCUCAUGGAUAAAGAAUUAUGAACUUACAUGUAAGUUGUAUUUUCUAAAAUUCGAUGAAUGAACCGAAUUUUAAAACUUCUUUAAACACAUCAAGUUCACGAAACAGCUUACCUCAGGUAGGGUGCGUUAGGGGUGCUAAUACCUUCCCUAACCACAACCAGUCCCUUACCCAUGAAUUUCUGACAAGACCAGUACAUCCGGUUUCCUAGUAGCCUUCAAUUAAAUAUUAGGUGGCGACUCCCAACGAUGUAACCAAUCAAAGCAAAACGAGAAGACGAAAGAAUCGCCAGCCCGAUGCCGCGCGGAUUUUCUGACGUGCGACACCAUCUAUGUACUAGGUAAUGUUUUUAAUUUGGACAUUGGGUUGAGGUGGUUGAGGUAAGUCUAAUGGUGCUGCACCUUCGAGGAUCCAAUCUUCUGCAAGGGAUAUAUCUUUCCAUUGGAUUGCUUUUGGGACCAUAGUGUUUGAGUGGGAUGGAUCUGUUCGUAGAAGGAGUGUUUCUCCUUUUUGAGAUUGGAAUUUGUGUUUGCUGGCAAAGGUUGAGAACAUGGCUUUGUAAUGAAUUUUGAAAAUGAGAGCAACAGUGAUAGAUCCUUCUAGCAUGUCAAAAUUAUGGGUCUUUAUUUGUAGUAGCAUACUUUGCAAAAUAUUUUCUUAAACUCUAUAACUAUUUCUACCCAGAUCCCAGUAGGCUCUGAUACCAAAUGGAUAGAAGAUGCUACUAAUGAAGAAAUAAUGCAAAGAUAAAUAGAUAAAUAAUUUUUGAAAAUUAUUAGUACGUGGCGUUGUUACACCUUUUCCAUAAUAGCCAAGCUAUUCUAUAUAAUAGAGGUUUAAGGAAAAGAACCUUGAAUUUGUAUUAAUACAAGCAGUAGAUAAUUUUCAGUAGAUACGGGUUACAAUUUGGGAAUUUAUCUUGGUACAAAGCAGGAAAUGAAUUGAUACAGUUUGAAAAUACAAAGGAUUAUGAUUCGUCUGCAGAGAAACUCGUUCUGGGUGUAACUAGUUCUGCCUUCUGAAUGGAAGAGAGUCUUCUUAUAUAGAGGAAGACAGUCAGGAGAGCAUUGAACUUUGCACUGAAAGUUGGUUGUCCGGUUGUAUGAGUGGACUCCGAGUGGGGAACACCUUUUGGAAGUGGGCGACAUCUUUUGUAGUGAUGGGGACCACCUUUUUGUAAAGAGGAAUCUGUAUCGAAAGCAUUUUUGUCAACUUAUGCCGACAGUUUUGGAGAUAAUUAAUGCUUCUUGAUAGGUGGCAGAAUGCCAUAGCAGUCAUCUUCAUUAUCAUCGCCAAGGGAGAUGGCAGGAGAUGAAGAGUUGGAUGAGCUAGAGGAGCUGGAUUUGUGUAAGACUGAGCUGGAGUCUUGACUUUGUAUGAUCCCUUGCAAAAGGAGGAGGUAUUCUUCCUCGGAUUUUGCAGAGGCCAGGAGGGCUGCUGUCCUAGCUUUUUAGGCUAGAAAUUUGGACUCUGGAUCUUGUUGGACAAUAGUAAUCAAUUUGUUCUUUUGUAACCAUUCCUUAACAGCAAAAUCAGAACUUUUGUUUUCAGCUGCGAAGGAAUCCCACCAUUUGAUUUUGAAUUUACGGACUAGAACUGGAUGUCCGUUAUGGAGAUUGUAGUCAUAGAACCAUGAACAUACCCAUGUGACAAAAAACUUUGUACAGAAAAUGAGAAGGGAAGAAAACUUUCUUUUCUAAAGGAGUGGGUUGGAAAUGUUGUUUGAAAAGGUGGUAACCACUUUCAAUUAAAGGGUGACCUUGGACGAAGUCAGGGUGACAACUAAAAUAGUCCCACCAUUGGAGGAACCCAAGGGGAAGGUUGGCAGAGGUCAUGGAGGUAUGAAAGUAGAAAAGCCAUGAGUGGCUGUGAUAGGUGUUUUGGAGGAAAAAAGCAUUAAACCAUGCUAGUUGAUAAUCCCAGUAUGUAUAUGUAGUGUUGAAAUCCUGGGGAUUGGUUCGAAGGUGUAUAGGGAAGGAGAGAGGCUGAUGUAAGGGUCAUUUCCAUUCGGAAGGAUGUAAGACUUUGUGAAUGAUGCAUGUGGAAUAUGCUGGUUCAGAGUGGCUUGUAUGAAUUUUGAAGUGUUUGAAUUUGACAGAAUUUGUAAUUUCAAGGAUUGUAGCAUAAUAAGAUUGUGAUUUAGCUAAAUUCCACGGUUUGUAAUGCUAGUGAGGAGGGAAAAGUUUGGAGGCGGUAAUGGAAGGGUUUUCGUGAUAAAAUCCUUCUUCCAUAGAUAAAAUAUUCUGGAAAUUGGUUUUGAAAAUAUAUUUAGAUUUGGUUUUUGAAAAACUCUUUUGUUGUAAAGAAAGGAGGGGUUGUGGAGCAAAAAUACCUCCUUGGGGUUUUGAAAUGGAUUUAGAAAUACUACCUGUCUGUGACAUGGAGUCACUGGGGACCUGCUGAGAUACUUUUUGUAAUGCUAGAAGUAAUUCUGGCAAUUGGGAGAGAGUAUCUACCCAUUGUUGGAUGGAUGCUGUUUGUACAAGUGAUUGUUUUAUAGAGGCUUCUUCUUCAACAACAGCCUCGUACCAGGAUUUGAUGGGUUUGGCAGCAAGGAUGGCUGAAGACAUAAGUUUGGAGGAAGGCUUUGGGCUUUCUGGUUUUGUAGGUUUGGUCUGGGGAGCUUUCCCUUUAUCCUUGGAUUUUGCCUUAGGAGGCAUCAGGACCUGUUUUGAAGGAAUUCUCGGGUUAGGAAAACAGGGAUGGAAUUGUAAUCUCCUUUAAUGUAUUCAAUAUCAAAAUCAAAAAUACUUAAUAUAGCUUGCCAUCUGGCAAAAAUCUGUUUUGAUGCAAGAUUUUGGACAUCUUUCUGUAAUACUUCUUUUGCUGAUUUGCAAUCAACUCGUAAAAGAAAUUUUUGAUUUAAUAGAUCACUUUGAAAUUUGGUAAUGCAAAGAACAAUUGAGAGAAUUUCUUUUUUGACAGUGGAGUAGUUUUUCUGACAAUCAUUCCAGUGGGCAGAUGUAUAUUGGAUUAUGUGUUCUUUGUUGCUAUGGACCUGUUUAAAGAUCCCCCCAUAACCUAAGUCUGAGGCAUCAGUCUCAACUAUUUUAGGAGCUAACGGGUUAGCUAGAUGGAGGAGAGGAAUAGUCUGAACUUGCUGUUUGAUUUGCCUAACUAUACAGGUAUAAAGGUCAGACCAUGGGACUGGGUCUUUUCUUAACCUAUCAUGUAAAGGUUUGGCAAGACGACUAAUAUUUGGAUUGUUGUAACCCAUUUUUGGGUCCCCGCACAAAAAAAAAAUAUAAAUAUAUAGUCGGAGGAAAUUGAAAAAAUAAUAAUAACAGUAGAAGGCUGGAGCGCUCGGCAAAUGGUCAGAACAAUUGAUUAAGGAGGUUAAGAAAUACAAAGAGUGAAAUUUUGAUAGUAUAUACUUGAAUGAUGAGAGCCCUGUAUGAAAAGAAAAUUCAAUUUGAGGAGAAAAGUCCGAAAUUGGAUGUUUAUGGGCUCAAUUGAAUUUUAUUAAAAGUUUAAUUGAAUUUUAUUAAAAGUUUAAUUGAAUUUAUAGAGGGUUUGAUUUCAAGAAAAAAUACUUUUUAACUCAAUUUGAGCUUUAAUUGGAAGAAAUUAAAGUUUUAGGGUCAAAUUAUAAUUUUUGAGAGUUGAUUUGGUCAAAUCAGGGGCUUAAUUGCAUAAAUAUUGAAGUUUGAUGGCCAAUUAGGGACUUAAUUGAAUAAAUCCAAAACCAAUGACCAAACUGGAAAAGGCACGGAAAUAUGGGGUGCGAAUUGAAGUUCUUCAGGGGUGAAAUUAAACAAAAUUGAAAGUUUGAGGCCAAUCAGGGGUGCAAUUAGAGAUAAACCACAAAUUAAGGGACUAAACUGUAAUUGGCAGAAAUUUACUAUUCAUCAUCUUCUUCAGAGAGGCUGCCCGAGGGGCCUCCUUCCUAAGGCGUUUGAUGCUUCGUUUCUUCGCCAAAUUAAAUGAUACCUGCACGAAAACGAUACCCUGACACCUUAAUACAGUUUAGUGUAAAUAUGUUUCUGAUCGAGGCUAUAGCUAUAGAGGCGGCGACACCGCCCCAAAGUGGCCAACCUGACCAGCCAUUUUCCUGCACAAAACUGGCAAUUCAUCAUUGCUUCUUCGAAGCAGUGGUUGGAGUGUUUUCAGGUCGAACUAAGGGCUGAAAUUUGUCACUAGAAGAGAAGAGGUGUUCCUCUUCCACCACCUAUAAAUAGAUGUGAUUUUCAUGCUUCAAGGAGGGAGAAAUUCGGGUCCAAAGACAGCCAAAAAACCAGCAUCCCUAACCCGGUUCCUGCUGCCAGCAGAACCUGCCUCUCUCUCUCUCCACCGUGGCGUUCAGCCGCCAACAUCAUCACCACCGGCUUGAAAACCUCCAUCUCCAUCACAAGCAACCACCAUAACACCUCAUAUAGUGAGAGCGCCGCCGAGCCUCUCUCCUCUGCAACUUUUCUUCUUCCUUCCCCUCAACCGACCCAUCAGCCUCCCUCACCUGGCUACCACCGACAGACCACGACCUGACCUUCUCUUCCCCAUAUUUGUUCUUCUUCUUUUCUUUUUCCCUGCAGAUUAGCCUCCACAGAAACCAACCGCUGCUCGCCUUCCUUAAGCAGAACUCACCGACCAGCAGCAGCCCUGCUCUACCAGCACCUCCACGAAGCCGCGACAGAGAGGGAAGAACAUCGCUGACAGCAGAGAACACCCGAGAACAAACAGAGAAGGAGCUGCAGAAGCAAACGGGGAAGGAAAACAGAGGCUGGACGCCUCUGCACGGGGAAGAUGAGAAAACAGCUGCUGUCACCGGGCUCCGCAGCCACCGACCACCGUCCCAGCAAUCCUCCGGUCAGACGCCACCAGCAUCACCGCGAGCGUACGCCAUUACCAUCGUCUUCAAGCAUCGUUUCCGCCACCAGGUUUGCUCCCCACGUCCCUGUGCAUGUAAGUCCCUGUUUUGCAUUUUCACUGCUCAAGUGAAUUAUAAUUCACUUGAACAGUAACAUUUGAAUAUAUUACUGAGCAUGCACACGUGACGCAUGCCUUCUGUUUUCCCAGCCGGGUCACUGGGCCAGUGACCCGGUUAGGCCUAUUGGGUCCAGCCCAGCCGCAUGGGUCUAAUUGGACCCAAUCCAAAAAAUAUAUAAAAUAAAAACAAAAAUAAAAAUUCUUCAAAAAAAAUAUUUCAAAAAUCUGUGAUUUUCCGCAAUUUUAUUACUGCAUUUUGAUUAAUAUCGGUUUGUAUUUUUUAUACUGUAAAGAUACAAAUCCGGUAUUAAAAUACCCGGUUUUCGUCAAGUCUUAGUCUUAAAAAAAAUGUUUUGUUUUCAUGCAUACGGCCUAGUCUCUCCAAUAUAUAUAUAUAUAUAUAUAUAUAUAUAUAUAUAUAUAUAUAUAUUAUAACAUCAUAUUUUCACACAACAAAGGAAAUUUCAAAACAAUAUAUGUAUUAGCAUGCAUUUUUGCUUUAAUAACCAGUUUAUUCAAGUCAUGAGAACUAGGCCAAUAUUUCAAAAAAAUUUAAAAAAUUAUUUUGUUUUCUUUUAAUAUCUAGGGUUACGAACUUAUACGUAAGACGUAUUUCGGAUAUUAAAUUCUUUUGUUAACGGUAGAAUUACCCAAUAAGAUAAGGAUCUCCUUACCGAGGAGGAUUUUUUUUGAACCAUACCAACAACUAGAAAACAUAACGAGACCUCAGAUUUUAUCAGACAAAUAAACAAUGCAGCUUACCUUAGGUAGGACGUAUUUGGGGUGCUAAUACCUUCCCUUUACGCAACCAGUCCCCGUGCCCGAUCUCUGAGACCAGUUAGGGUUCCUAGUGACCAAAAUACUAGGUGGCGACUCCCAUUCCAUUUUCCACCGACAAAAGACAAUAUUUUCUUGUCUCCCCACAUUUGCCAGAUAGAUAUUAUACAUUUUAGAUUUAAAGUGGAACCAUAUUUGCCGCGACGCCGCACACGUGCGACAUGGAUAAUAAUCAAGGACAUAGUUAAGGCUACCUAAAAACCUUUGUAAUUGGGUUUUGUCGGGAAUCUGAUCAGGAAAUUUGGUUGUCAAAGAUAGAGAACGCUCUAUAGGGGUCACGGUACCUUGGCAGAUGUAAUGGCCUAGGAAACGGACAUGAGUUUGAAAGAGAUAAAUCUUGGUUUUAGAAACAACAAGACCAUUUUGUUUUACAGUAUGAAAGAAUGUAUGUAGAUGUUUGAAAUGUUGAUCUAUGGAAUGAGAAAAAAUUAGUACAUCAUCAAUGUAAACUAUGCAGAAUUUUGAAUGUGCAUUGAAGAUGUCAUUCAUGAUGCGUUGGAAUUCAGAUGGGGCAUUUUUUAAGCCAAAGGGCAUAACAUCCCAUUCAUAUUGACUGAAGGGCACGGUAAAAACAGUUUUGUAUCUAUCUUUGGGAUCAAUUUGGAUUUGCCAAAAUCCGGAUUUCAUGUCAAAUUUUGAAAAUAUGAAUGCAGAAUGCAAUUUUGUAACAAAUCUUUUUUGUUUGGGAUUGGAUAACGAAUCCAUUUUAAAGCAGUAUUGAGGGGUUUGUAGUUGAUCACAAGUCUUGGUGUGCCUCUUUCAAUUUCAAAAUUUUUGUUGACAUAGAAGGCUACACACGACCAAGGUGAUCUGGACUUUUGGAUAAGACCUUUAGACUCUAGAUCUUGGAUCUCAAGUCUGCAAUGCUGUUCUAACUCAGCAUUCAUCUGAAUAGGUCUUACUUUGGUAGGUAUUUGUCUUUUUGAGAAAAGAUCUUCAUAAGGAAGAUCAACAACAUGUUUGCGUUUCCAGAAAGCAUUGGGUAAGUCUGAACAGAUUUGUUAUUCAAUCUUACUUUGGAAAUCAAGAAUUCGUUUUGUAAAGCAUGAUUCUAAAAUGUCAAUCCUUAUUUUAUUUAUUCUAUUUUUUUAUUUUGAAGAGAAAAAAGAUGAAUUUGAGGAAUAACCCAGAAAUGAGUUAUGACAAUGAGAACUCUACAUUCUAUGAUUUUUAUUUUUGAAGGUUUUCUUAUACAUUUAUAAUUAUAAGAAACUUUAAAAGGUGUGGGUAAAAUAUUAUUCUCACAUCACUGUUCACCUAGCAUUGUGGAUUGCCACAAUGUUUUUUUCAUCUUGUUCUUAUAGGUCUAAAUUGAUAGACAAUUUGAGUAAAUUUGUUAAGGAAGAGUAAAAUUUAAACACAAAUAACCAGAGUGAAAGAAAAAAGCAUAAAAAAGGGUGGUAGUUUUAAGAUUGAAGCCAAAAGUUCACUUUGGUCCUCCUACUUUUUAAAUAAUGACUUUUUGGUCCCUUAAUGUGAAACCUUAGAAAAUUUAUAAUUUAAAUAUGUGGAUGUAUAACUUACCAUGUAAACAUAAGACUGAAAGUAAUAUAUAAUGGAGGGGAUGACCUUCAUAAAUGAAUUUUGUUUUAAAAUUCAUAAAGACAAAGAAAUUGGUAACGUGUUUUGAUGGAUAAAAUAAUGAGAGAAAUGACAAAAUAUUUCUAAGAAAUAAGUGAGGUAAUAACGAAUACAUUAUAAUAAAGGAUAAUUCAAUGAAAAUGGCAGUACUGAAGGUGCAAGCAUUAAUUAAAAAAUCAGUGACGUUACUUUGAAACAAUAAUAAUACCCAAUAAAUAAAUAAAGGCAAAAAUUUUUAAAUGAAUAUAUUCCAAAAUAAUAAAAUGACCUUAAAGGUUUAGAAGGAUAAUUGAUAUUAUUUUAUGUGAAGAUUGAACAAGAAAAUUUGGAUCAUUGAUCAAAAGUCAUAAACGGACUAAUUUUACAUUAGAAAGCAAUGCUCUCAAUCUAAUCGUCGGAUCAGGAUGAAAUUUUGCAUGAAGUCUAUUAAUAUGUUUUUCUACCUUGGUGAAAGAUCUCAUCCCAAUAGGAGUUUGGUAAAGACUAGAUAUUUAAGCAGAAACAAACUGGAUAGUUUACAUGAAAAAUAAAAUAAAAUACAUAAAUGAGGGACAUAAAUGUAAUUAGGGGAAAAUGUGCCUUUAAAACAGCAAAAGGCCACCAGUUCAAAAAAAAAAAGGGGUGAGAGACAAUAGAGAAUUCGGCUAGAGAGAGAGGUGCAGAAUUUGGAGGAACCAAUAAUUCUCUGGUGGCCAUAUCUCUGGAAUCCACCGUUGGAUCAUGUUGAUUUUUGGAUAUGUUGUUCUUCUCACACAUCGCUGCUAACUGACCGGAAGGAUUUGAAGGCACAUACUCUGUUUGAAAAAAAUCAUCAUCAGACGUUUCAUGGAAAACAAAAGGAAAAACACUUGCAGGGCAGUUUUGGUCGCUGACCGUUUUCUCUCUCUUUCACCGUUGGAUCAUGCCUAUUUUUGGAUAUGUGGUGCGCCUAGAUGUUUCCUUCAUUCUGGAUGGUGGAGUUCAGAAACACACUCUCUAGAAGGUGUCGUUCAUGUUGAACAAUAGCUUUUCCAUUGUCUUGUUAGUUCGGUUUCAUUCAGUUCUAUAGAGAUCCAACUGUUGGAUUAUUCUGAUUUUGAGAUAUAUUUUACACAACUCAAUGAUCUAUAUUCUGACCGUUGGCUGCAAGCAAAUAAGCAAAGGUGGAUGACUUAUUGCUUUUUCAAUCUAUUGCUAGUCUUAGUGAAAAUUUAGGAAGCUUGAUUUAAUUACAUAUUUUGAUGAAAUUAGAAUUGUGUGGGUGUAGGGUUUAUGUAAGAUGUAAUGGUAAAAUAUGUUCUUGUUAUUUGUGUUGUUAUAGAUUAAUUGUGUUGUAAAAUGUGUUAUGGAAGUUUUGAAAUUUGGAUGAAGUGAGAUUGAGUUUGUUGAAUUAAUGGAUAUAUGCAAGGUUAUUAAACUUGCGAGUUGACUCAUAAAAUCGUAUGAUUUUACGAGUCAACUCAGAUAUAAGGUGUAAAAUCGGGUAAAAAACUCAGAAAUCAGCAAAUUCAGUCAAACUCAGUUAAAAUCGAUCAAACUUGGUAAACUCGGUCCGAGUUUACCGCGAGUUUACCAAGUUUGACAAAAUUAACAAAAAUUAUUCACUCUGAGAUUGCAUCUUCAUCUGCAAAGUCUCUUAGUGAAGCCCCCUCACCAAGCCCCUCACUUUCUCGUCCAGCUAGCCUUGGGCGCGCUACACCACUAUUGGAACCUGCACCCAGGGCAACCCCGCAACUUCGUGCUAAUGGAACUGUUUCUCAUACGCAAUCCCAACAAAUUGAAGAUCCUACAAACAGGGAAUCAUAAGAGUUUGAUGAGACGCGUGAAACACUUCAGAUGAUCAGGGUGAAAAUUUUGCGCCUUGCACAUAGACUUGGGCAGACUCCCCAUAAUGUUAUUGUUGCACAGGUUUUAUAUAAACUGGGAUAAGCUGAGCAGCUGCGAGGUAGAAAUGGUGGUCAUGUUGCUGGUUUUGAUCGUGCCAAUGCCAUAACAGAGCAUCUUGAGGCUGUUGGGCAGGAAUCCCUCGAUUUCUCUUGUACAGCUAUGGUUCUUGGAAAGACAUGUUUGGUAAAAGUGCCACCAUCAACUCUAUAUUUGAUGAAGUGAAGUUAUAGAAAUGCUUUACAGGUGUUGGUUCAUGGUUGUGUUGCUGGGUGUUGGUAAAAGUGCCACUAUCAACUUUAUAUUUGAUGAAGUGAAGUUUGGCAUCGAUGCUUUUCAAAUGGUCAGGUUUGCUUUACAGUAUUGAUUUGAGUUGGUUAUUAAAUUACUUAUCAUUAGAUUGUUUAUUUUAAAUUUAUUAUUUAUUAAUUAAUGAAAAUUUAUUUAAAUUAUAUAUGCAUUUAUAUUUAAAUAAUGUAUUUUAAGGUAUUUAAACUAUGCAUAAAUUUUUAUUUGAACCAUAUAUUUUAAUAUGCUUGAACUUUAUAUGAAAAAAAUUUACUUACGAUUUUACGAUCUGUUUUUACUAUCCGAAUUUAUUUUAUAUUUUUUGUGCCGUGUUAAAAAUGUGUUUUUGACAACCUUGGAUAUAUGUUUUUAGGCAUUAAAAAGGAUUGGGUCUAGUGAUAAAUGAAAGAAAACUUGAAGAAAAUUGUAUUCUCCAUUUAAUGCAAAGAUUCGGCCUAAACAUAUAAAUGAGAGGAUGAGCUUAAUUGUUUUAAUUGCUAUGGCAUUUGAGUUGAAUGAGGUUAGAAUAGAUAUGAAAUGAAUGGGUAAAGGUUUAUCUAUAAUAAUUAAAAAGGAAAUCAUCCCUCACCAUGAAUGAAGGCAUUCGGCCAAAUGAAGAAGAAAUAAGGAGAUAAGACUUUGAUUCAUUUUCUAUGUAAAUUAGGUAUGGAUGCAUUUACAUGUAUAAAGAAAAUUAAUUAUGUAGAGUGCCAAUUGAAAGAAUUUUAAAAGGAUCCAAAUUCUCAUCAUAAUAUGGAAUUCAACCAAAAAUGAAAAUCUUUAACUUGAGUUUAUUCGACCCAAUGUUAUGGGGAUUUUUAUGGGAUUGUGGUUUGUUGAAUGCCAAAUGAAUUGUGUUAUGUUUGAAAUAAUAGAUUAAUGUGAGGAAAAUUUUAUUUUUGUGGAAUUUUAAGGUUGUCCAAAUGGAUAAUAAAAGGGGAGAAAAAGGUUAAAUUAAGACGUGCAUUGAGUUAUGAUGAAAAAUAUGUUGUUAAAUUUACUUAAGAUGAAGUAAAGUGGACUUGUGAAAAAGAAUUGAAAAAAUCAUCAUGAAAAAAAAUAUAUAAAAAAUAAGGUUAUUCAGCCAAGAAUUGGUUUGAUAAGGAAAAUGAAUUAGUUUCAAUGGUAUGAAUAAAUGUAAGGAUGUGAAGUUACUAAGUCUAUACAUGAUGGGUUAAGUAGACAAAAAAAUAAAUUUGUUAAGCCAUGUUUAAAGAUUGAAGCCUGGAAAGACAAGUCAUGAAAGGAAAGGAAAUAAAUAAAUAAAUAAAUAAAUACAUGUGUCAUGCGAUUUUAAAUUUAAAUGGAUUUUAGAAUGGAAUUUCCAAUUAUGGUGGAGCCACAUUUGAUAUGUAUCUUUAAUGAUACAGGAGAGAAUGCAAGAUCUGUUCAGUAGCAUGGGACUUUUGCUCGAGUUCAAGCAUUAGGUAAGUGUCUUACACUUCAAACUUUUGUUUUUACAGUACUUGUUAGAGUUAAAUAAAUGGUAUUUUCUAUAAAUAUACUUGUGCUUGUGUAAUUGUGAAUGUAGAUGUCGAGGAAAAAAUAAUGGACUAGAUGGCUUGAAUAGAGUUAGUGGUGCUACUGUACUGACUAUCGAGUUAGAUGUAUAAUAACAAAAAUGAAGUGUACUGAUUUUGGGGUGAUAAAUUAAUGGUAUAUUAUGAUUAAAUUAUUGAUGCUCGAUUUAUAUAUGUAUACUGAUGAUGUGCAUGUGUUUAAAUAAUUUAUGUGAAGGAAGCAGGUGUAUCGCACCUUAUCUUUUUAAUUUGUGUAAACUUAUUGAUAAAUUUCAGAAUUUAUUGUUUUAUUGCUUUGAUGAUAUUGAAAUGAAUAAGAGUGCCUUAUGUGCAACGACAUAUCUCUAUUAGUUAGGAUAAUGUUUGAACGAAUAGGAGUGACUUGCGUGCGUUGUUAUGUAUCAAAUUAAUUAUGUUAUUAUGAUCGUAGUGUCGAUAACUAAGUUUUUGUGUGAAAGAUACUUAGCAACAGUGGUUAUAAUGCAUAUGAUGUUAAAAAAAAGGGGGAGAAAGAAAAAAAAAAGAAGAAGAAGAAAAGAAAGAAAGGGGAUCGAUACAAAUGGAAAUUUCAAGUGACAUUGAUUAGCUAUCCGGAUUUGGAUAGCUAAUGGUAUCUGUUAUAACCCAAUUUUUGACCCUUUUAUUUUAAUUAUUAUUAUUAUUUUAUUUACUGAAAAAUGAUAAAAAAUAAUGAUGAAAAAAAAAUAAUGAUGAAAAACAAGUAAAAUAUGAAAUAAAUGAAGAAUGAAUUAAAGUUUGGGUUAAUGACAACAUGAUUGGAAGUUUAAAGAUUUAAUUAAACUCUUGACUAGUUUAAUUAAUCAAAUCAAGGGGUUAAUUGGAGAAUUGAUAAUUUUUGAGACAUAAUUGAGCUUUGAAUUAAUUUAAUAAAAUCAGAGACUUAAUUGAAGAAAUACCAAGGUUUGAAGAGUCAAUUAAGGGCUGAAUUGAUACAUUCUGAAACCAAGGACUCUUUUGUAAAAUGCGCUGAAAUGCAGGGGUCCAAUUAAAGUUUACCCAGGGGUUUGCUUACAAAAAGUUCAAGACUUCAAGGACCACAUCAAAAAUAGCAAUUUGAAGGGAAAACAGAACCGUUUCUUGGAUAAACUGUUCACUGCCCAUUUCAGCUUCCAUUUCGACAAUUAAAGGGAAGGUUUUAUGUUUCAGUGUAAAGGGAUUAAGAGGGGGGCAACCGAGGGGACGCAGGGGAGAAAGAAACUAAAGAAAAAACUGAGGAAACUGAGAGAGGGGGAGACCGAGAACAGGAGGAAAGAAAAAGGAGGGGCAGAACGAGCAAAAGAAAGAGGAACCGAUAGAAGGAGGACAGAGACGAGGACAAAGAAAAACACAGGAGAAGAACCCCUAUCUCCUCGGUUUAGACCUCCAUCACCAUCGACCAUCGUCUUCGUCUGCGUCUGCGUCUUCGUCUUCCAAUAAUAGCACAAGCAACAGCUUAGGAAAGGAAGACUAGGGAAGAUGCAGAAAACAGAAAUAGAGGGGAAGCAGCAGCAGUCGGGCAAGCCUCCGUCACCAUCGACAUGGUCUUCACCUUCACCCCGCAGCUGCACCAGCCCCAACAGCUCUUCCAUACGGUGAACAUCUAGCAGUCCACCAUUGAAGCAGCUGUCUCAUCUCAGCCCCGGUUGGCCAAGGACCAACAACAUAGGAGGACACCGGGGACGAACAACACGAGGGGAAGAUAGAGGGCAAACAGACGCAAACAAAAGGGAACAAAAACGAAGAACAGAAGGGACACGAAGGAGAAAACCAAAACAAACAUAGGGGAUUAAGAAAACAGGCGAGGAGAACCGAUGAAGAUAAGAAGAAACAGGGGAGAGUGUCCGGCCAACAAGUAACCCUCUUUCCCCCAUCGUGCUCUUGAGGCCAGUGUUCACUGGCUCCUCAGUCGUGAGAGGUUUCUUCUCCGCCAUGAACAGCAAGCUGAAUCGCCAAUCGUGAGCACCGUCUCCCUCAGCCUUGCCAGGUAAGUUCUUCAGCUUUCCCUGUUUUGUUAAAUUAAUUACCCUGUUACUGUUGCAUGCAUGCGUGAGUCACUCACUCACGCAUGCAGUAGUGGCCAACUACCAGUGACCCGACCUCUUUUUUUUUUAGUUUUGAGACCGGGCUACAUAAAUAAAAAAUAAAAAAAUAAUUUUUGUUUCUUUUAAUACAUAAUUUUUGGGUUGCUCUAUAUUUACCAACGUCAGAGUUGGAAAUAUUCAUAGGCGAAUAUUCACUGACGCCAAAGUCAGGAAUAAAAAUACUGAUUUAAAUUUACUUUGUUUUUAUACUACGUAAUAUUUACCAACGCCAGAAUUGAAAGUAUCCGUAGUUGAAUAUUUAUUGGCACCAGAGUCAGGAAUAUUAUAAGCAAAUUACCAUAGGAGGAUAAAAAAACAAAUAUUUAGCAGUUUAAGGCAAAACCAGCAAUGCAGCCUACCUCAGUUAGGACGCUUAAGGGGUGAUAGUAUCUUCUCUUUCGCGUAACCAGUCCCGUACUAAAGAAUCUCUGUUGACCAAUUAGGGUUCCUAGUGACCAUAAUACUAAGUGGCGACUCCUUAAAAUAAGACCUUUUCCCUAAAAGAAUAAGAUGUCAAAUAUCUGUUCUUUUUCGACAACCAAGAUUAUUUUUAAGGCCGCCGCGAUGUCGAGUGCGACAAAAUGGCGACUCCGUUGGGGACUUUAGGAUCAAGCUUUGUCUUUUGUCUUAUUAUUGCUAUUUUGUUUGUUAUGUUUAUUUGUUUAUUUUUCCUGCAUUUACUGUUUUAGCAUGCAUCCUUGUUUAUGUUGCCAUGCAUCACUUUGAGAGCACACACUUUACAACCUAUGAUAAGUGGGGGAGUAACGGUACCCUAAUGGCUUUAGUCUGGGUAAGACUCGUGAAACCAUCCAACUCUCGCUUGAUUGUUUACUUGGAAGUGGUUGAUAUGCCAAACUGAUAUUACUCAGGGCCUCUAUCUUCACACUACUUGUAAGCCUCAUAUCGACCUUGCAAGGUUGAUCACUGAGCAUGCGAGAGACCUUUUGAAACUAGAUAAUGACCAAUCCCUUGAUGCACUCAACAAUUAGGAUCUUUCUACUAGGUUGUCACCCUGUGAAGGGCAAGUUUGCAUUUCAUACGCAUUUUGUUUUAAUCAAUAUUUUUGCAUAAAUUGCAUGAUUUACAUUUAGCAGGUUGAAAUAUAGGUUCCCUAUUGAAACCCAAUGGAAAAUGGAAAAUGACAAUCAUUUGAGAAAAAGACAAAUAGAAAAUGAAGAAAGAGCUCGGUUGGAAGCCCAACACCAAAAAGAGGUGGACAAUCUUAAAAAAAAAGUCGUAAGGCUCACUAGUCUACUCGAACAGGUCUUGAGAGACAAAUCCGGAAAAGCAACACAUAUAGCUCAGCAUGAACCUAUGCUCGUAAAUCCCUUCAAUCCACAGAAUAUGGGGGUAAAUGGGUUGUCAUCUGAUUUUCAACAAGCCAUGCAUUUCCAACCAGCAUACCCCAUGAGAAUGCCGUUUACCAUUGAUUCUACAGAGAAAGAAUCUCAAAAGGGCAAGAUGGUAAAAGAAGAGGGUCUGGAAAAAUGGACUGCACUAGAAGAAGAGAGGGUAAAGGCAGUUGAGGGAAACCAUUUGUGUGACUUAGUGAAAGCUGCCAAGAUGUGUUUGGUACCUAACGUAGUCAUUCCUAAGAAGUUUAGGGUGCCAGAAUUCGUUAAAUAUACAGAAACCCAAUGCCCUGUAACUCAUCUCAAAGCAUACUCAACAAAAUGGCUGAGGUGGUUGAUGAUGAGAAAUUGCUGAUUCAUUUCUUUCAAGACAGCUUAAGUGGCGCUGCUUUCACUUGGUAUAUGCAGUUGGACAAUACCAAGGUUAAAAAAUAGAAGGAUUUAGUUGAUGCCUUCAUGAGGCAAUAUAAGUUCAAUAUAGACGUGGGCCCUGAUCGGUUAAGCUUGCAAGCUAUGGAGAAGAACAACAAGGAGUCCUUAAGAGAAUACGCCCAAAGAUGGAGUGAGGUAGCUGCACAAGUUAACCCUCCCAUGUUGGAAAAAGAGAUGAUUACUUUAUUUUCCAACACCUUUAAAGCUCCAUACUUUUGUUGCUACCUAAUUUUUGACCCAUUUUUUAAUAAUUUUUCAAAAAAAAAAAUUAAAAAAAAAAUAAGAGUUUACAUGUGGCGAUAACAUAGAGCAUCAAGGAUAAUACUAAGGAAGUAAUAAGUCAAGGAGAUAAUUAUUGAAUCAUAUAUAAUUACUGCAAAAUAAAAUACAAUAGAUAUAUGAUUUGAUUCGUGCUGGUUAUGGAAAAUAAUCACUGCAAUAGAAAAUACCAUAUAUAUAGGAUUUGUUGGUGCUGGUUAUAGAAGACAAUCUCUACUAUAAUUAUUGCAAUAUUUCCUUAAAUAGCACGUGUAGAGAUUUUCUAUAUAAGUGAAUCUCCAACCAUAUACAUAAAAGGGGAAAAAUAUUAACAACGGGGCAAUUUUCCAGAAAAGAAGGACAAACACAAAAAUCCCUAAAGAUAAAAAACCUAAACCUGUUUCUCUUUCUCAGCCGCAGCCCCUCCUCUUUUUUUUUUUAAAAAAAAAAAAACAAGCCGCCACCUUUCCCCCCUUUUUUUUUUGGAAGCAAACCAGAGAAACCACACAAAUACACAGAAGCCAGCGGAACUCCCCCCAUUUCAAUAGAUCUUCUUCCCCUUCGAUCUUCCCCACAGCAGCUGGCGGCCACAACACCCACUUUUCCUGUUCUUACUAUCCCAGCUAAGAGAAGCCGCUUCCCCUCACCUGACUUUUUCAUCCCCAUAGACAGCCGGCUCAUCUCUCUCCUUCCCACGUUUCCCACUCACAGCCCCGUGUCUUGCCCUCAUCAGAAUCUCCUUCUCUCGGUCAAGACCUCCCUUCCGAUCUCCACUCCUCUCAUUUCCCUUUCCUUUUGAAGUAAACCAGAAGACCCUGACUGCCGCCCCUCUUCUAAAGAAGAAAACCAGAGAAACCCCUGGCCAGAUAUAUAGAACAGCCUCGUCUUCUCCUGACCAGAGAACGGGCUGCGCCAGCCCCUUCACUCUCCCUUCCUCUCCGCUGCUAACAGCAGCUCAUUACGGAGAAGAUGGAGAAAUAAGAGGGGAGGCCGAAGGACAGUAAAGAAGGAGCAGAAAACCGAGACUCCAAGGGCGUCGAUCUUUUGCCAUGCCAGCGGAAGACUUUCCUCCACCUGUGAACGAGACGAUGUGCAGCAAUAAGCAAGAGCAGCACAGUAGCAGGGAUCCUUCCUCCCAAAGCGGCAAACAGCAGCAGUAACAUGACAGCAGGAUGUUUUUUUUCUUCCAGCCUCUAUUAAAGCCACAUCGAAAACUCUCCUGCAUGACAGCAAUUCUGUUUCUGCUGUGAGCAGCAGGCCGGAUCUUCCUUCAUGAGCAGCGCCCAGUUGUCUCAGCGCCAUCGCCUCCACUUCGCCUCCAGCCGCUGCCUCGCCAGGUAAGUCUUUCUUUCCCUGUUCUUGUUUUGCAUUUACUAAAGCAUUUGGGCACUGUGUGAAGGUAAAUUAAUUACAUUCGCACUGUGAAGUACAUGCGUGAGUAAUUCAUGCAUGCAAUCUGCAACAGUGCCCAGCGGGGUCACUGGUUUGGGCCAGUGACCCGGCUAGGCUUGCUGGGUUCAGCCCAGCCACAUGGGCCGAGCUGGACCCAGCCCAAAAAAAAAACGAGUAAUAUCGUUGGUUUUCUCAUGUAUUUAGUUUAUUAUUUUUUUAUAUUGUGGAAAUACAAAUCUGGUAUUAAAAUACCCGGUUUUUUCCAUGAAAUGUUGCAAAUAUAUAUAUAUAUAUAUAUAUAUAUAUAUAUAUAUAUAUAUGUCUGAAAAACAAAAAAAAAAAUAUUUUCUUGUGUGUUGCAUACGGCCAAUACUCUAACAUAUUUUGAAUUUCCUCUUUUAAAAAAAAAAAAUAUUUGAAGUUUUGAAAAAUGUGUUUUCGCAUAGAUUUCUUAAACACAAUAAAAAAAAAUUAUUAUUUUUGUGCAUUGCUGGAUUUACAACAUGUUUGUAAAACUCCAAAAGGUAUUGGCCAAUAUUUCAAAAAAAUACAAAAAUCUUAUUUUGGAGGAAAUUCAUCUAUUAUUCAUUUGGAUAAAGAAAUCCCACAUGGAUGAAUAUCCAAAAUAUUAUUGGGAAUAACUUGUUAUUAUUCACUGUUAAUAUUUGGAUAAAGAAACCCUUAGUGGUAAAUAUCCAAAAUAAUUUUCUAGGAAUAAUAUGUCAUCAUACAGCCUUGAAAGAAGCCUUGAUUAUAAUCAAGGACAUUUCAAUUUUUGACUCCACGAUUUACGAGCCGUGAAAAUAUGAAAUACUAAGGCAAAAAGAGGCUUUUAAAGCGCUCUGAAUUUCCUUAGAUUUCUAAAUUUUUGUUCCUCCUCCUUGCGAUUUACGAGUCGCGAACACUUGCAAUACCAAGGGAAAAAUGUGCUUUUAAAGCACAUUGAAUCUCCUUGGAUUUCUAUCUUAAUAAAUUUAAUCUGAAUCAAACACAGAUUUCAAGAGAUCUGCAUUGGUUCUCCUUGGUACUUUGUAGACAUAUCUAAGGGUGUGAUCCACAUUGACCAAGGGUUAUUUCUUUUUAAACUUUCAGCCCAAAUCCAUUCAUCAUAGCAAAACGUAUCCUAGGAAAACACCAACACCAUAGCAACUAUAAGGCAAACCAAACACCAUGCAGCUUACCUUAAGUAGGGCGUACUAGGGGUGUUAAUACCUUCCCUUUACGCAACCACUCCCUUGCCUUAGAAUCUAUAAAAGACCAGUCAGGUUUUCUAGUGACCAUAAUACUAGGUGGCGACUCCCUUUAUCGACAACAAACAAAGACCGCGAAAUCAACCGAUGGUCGCCGCGACGCCACGACAAAUUUUUUAAAGAGAGAAAUUUAGGGCAAACACAAAAAACCCUAAAUCUAAUUUUUUUCUCCUAGCCUAAACCAAGUCGUCGCCCCCAUCUUUCUAAUUUUUUUCCUCUCUAAGCCAGCCACCAGCAAGAGCCCAUUUAUUUCUCCAUCUCAGCCACUGCACCCCUACAGAGACCCGACCACAGCACCAACAAUCCAUUCUCCCCGAGUCCAGCNNNNNNNNNNNNNNNNNNNNNNNNNNNNNNNNNNNNNNNNNNNNNNNNNNNNNNNNNNNNNNNNNNNNNNNNNNNNNNNNNNNNNNNNNNNNNNNNNNNNACUGGAAAUGACAAUGAAUUCCUUUACACAUAUCACACGACAAAAUUGACGAAAACAAAUUCCUUAUCUCAACGUAGCUUGCUUCGAGAGUACUUUGACACAUGCAUUGGGAUCAAUAUUCUUAUAAAUUCCUAUAAAUUAUAGCUAUUCAUAUAAUUAUUUAUUCAUCAAUCUAAUUGAUUUAUCUUUGAAAAGUCUAGUUUCCAAUGAUUUUGUCACUUGAAAACGCAAUCGAUUCACUCCAUAUCAUCGGUGAUUGGCGUCGCAGCGACCCUCGAUUGAUUUCAGGGUCUUUUGUUUUGUGUAAAGGAGUCGCCACCUAGUAUUAUGGUCACUAGGAAACCUAACUGGUCUUUUAGAGAUUCUAAGGCAAGGGACUGGUUGCGUAAAGGAAAGGUAUUAGCACCCCUAGUACGCCCUACCUAAGGUAAGCUACUUGGUGUUUGGUUUGUCUUAUAAUUGCUAUGGUGUUGGUGUUUUCUAAUCCCAUCAGUUUUUCUAGGUUUGAUUCAAACUAAAUUUAUUAAGAUAGAAAUCCAAGGAGAUUCCAUGUGCUUUAAAAGCUCAUUUUUCCCUUAGUAUUUCAAGAGUUUGCGACUCGUAAAUCGCAAGGAGGAGGGACAAAAAUUUAGAAAUCUAGGGCGCUUUAAAAGCCUUUUUUUGCCUUAGUGUUUUAUACUCUCACAGCUCGUAAACCGUGGAGUAAAAAAAAUUGAAAUGUCCUCGAUUAUAAUCAAGGCUUCUUUCAAGGAUGUGUGCGGAUUUAUUAUUCCUAGAAAAUUAUUUUGGAUAUUUACCACUCCGGGUUUCUUUAUCCAAAUAUUAACAGUGAAUAAUAACAAAUUAUUCCCAAUAAUAUUUUGGAUAUUCGUCCUUUAAGGAUUUCUUUAUCCAAACAUUAACGGUGAAUAAUAGAUGAAUUCCCCCCCAAAAUAAGAUUUUUAUAUUUUUUAGAAUAUUGGCCAAUACCCUUUGGAGCUUUACAAACAUGUUGUAAAAUCCAAAAAUGUAAGAAAACAAAUUUUUUUGUGUUUAAGAAAUCCAUGCGAAAACAUAUUUUCAAAACUUCCAAUAUUUUUUGUAUAUAAAAAAAAAAGCAUUCAAAACAUGUUAGGGUAUUGGCCGUAUGCAACAUACAAAAAAAACAUUUUUUAUAUAUUUUUUUAUUAAAAAAAAAUACAAGCAUCACAGUUAAUCGCAAUUAAUUGUGGGCUUGACGGGAUUCAACAAGGCUCAACCCGGUUACUGGCUCACACCAGUAACCGGUUCUGCCACUGUUGUAUGCAUAUGCAUGCUACAGUGGCAAGGUAAUUAAUUUAGCAAAAACCAGUGAAAGAGAGACUUACCUGCGAGGGAACGGCUGGAGGCGAAGUGGAGGGAGACGACUGGGCGCUGCUCAUGAAGGACGCCCCUGCUCGCUAUUCCCAGUGGAGACAGGUUUGCUGGCUGAAAGAUGAUUGUCUCAAUGGUGGCUCUUCGGUGUUGCUACGAACAGUGGAAUUUCUGCAGGGAAAAGAAGGAUGCUACUGGAGGAGCAACCUAUGGCCCUGCUGCUUCUUGCUCCCGGUGCAGAGAAGAAAACACGGCUACUGCUGGGGCGAUGGGGAAGAGAUAUGGCAAGGCAGGCGACUAGGACCAGCUGCUGGUGCAGAGGCGAGACUGGUCACAGCGCUGUUGCUGAAGGUUACAAUGUAGAGGCUGAAGCUGCUAAAGCUUGCAGUGCUGUCAUGUUAAUUUUUGGUGUUGCUGUUGCAGCGCUGUUGCAGAGGAAAUAGCCAGUGAGGAGGAAGAUUGCGGGAGAGUCGUUUCUGGGGGCUGUGUUGACAGAGAGGGAAGGUCGGUUGGCUGAAGGGGAAAAUGGUGGGCUGUUGAUGAGAGGGACAGGCUGUUGGAGGCUUGGGGGUUCUGUGACCGAAAUCUCCAAAGUCGGGGAAGCCGCUAGUGGCUGGCUUAGACUUGAAGAUGAGAGGAUGAAAAAGAGAUGGAAAGGCAGAGGGGCUGGUGUGUUCUUUGGUCGGCUGAGGGGAAGAAGAAAACGAAGGGAAAAGGCUGGACUCGGGGAGAAUGGAUUGUUGGUGCUGUGGUCGGGUCUCUGUAGGGGUGCAGUGGCUGAGAUGGAGAAAUAAAUGGGCUCUUGCUGGUGGCUGGCUUAGAGAGGAAAAAAAUUAGAAAGAUGGGGGCGACGACUUGGUUUAGGCUAGGAGAAAAAAAUUAGAUUUAGGGUUUUUUGUGUUUGCCCUAAAUUUCUCUCUUUAAAAAAUUUGUCCUCUGUAAAUUUUCCUCUCCUUGUGCAUAUGACUGAAGGUUCACUUAUAUAAAAAAUCUCUACAUGUGUUAUUUAAGGAAAUAUUGUAGUAAUUAUUGCAGAGAUUGUCUUCUAUAACCAGCACCAACAAAUCAUAUAUAUAUAGUAUCUUAUAUUGCAGUGAUUAUUUUCCAUAACCAGCACGAAUCAAAUCAUAUAUAUAUGGUAUUUAAUAUUGCAGUAAUUAUAUAUGAUUCAGUAAUUAUCUCCUUGACACAUUGCUUCCUUAAUCUUAGCCCUGAUGCUCUAUGUUAUCGCCACAUGUAAACCCUUAUUUUUUAUUUCUAUUUUUAUUUUUUUAUUUUUUAUUUUUGAAAAAUUAUUAAAACAUGGGUCAAAAAUUGGGUAGCAACAACUUUGAAUACUUGGUUAGAAGCUCUGCACAACAUUUUACUGACCUGGUUGUUAUAGCUGAGAGGAUUGAACAAGCCAUUGGGUUAGGUAAAAUUGUUGAUCCGACUAAAAAGAAUGGUUUCACUUAAAAAGGAAAGGACACUGAAGGGGGUUGCCAUGGCACUUACCGUUCCUAUAGCUAAUUUCUUCACACCGACUCCCAGAAAUCAACUAUAUUGAAGAUAAAGCUAUGGUGAUAGUAGGUCGAGAAUGGUCUGCAUAUGACUUCAACUAACUGUUGAAAAGAUGCCCUUGUCAAGGAGAAUGAAUGAUUGAAAGAUUUUGAAAAUUCCAAUCAAUGAUUGCUAAAUAUUUAGCCCCUUUAUGUGUUACCAUGCCAAUAUUUAUAGCCCAAGAUGUUGGCAUAAGUUCUUUGUUGUUGAAAUUCUUUUCCAAAGUUUCAAUGAAAUAAUGAGUUUGUCAUUCAAUCGUGUUUACGACCAAGUAUUAUUCAUCUUUUUAAGAGAGUUUUCUUAUAAGAACUCACGAAUACACUUUUGAAGCCUCGCGUGAUGUCAUAGACGCAAUUCAUCUCUUUUACCAAAAUCAGUUUCCCUAUUGGAGUUUUGAAAAAUUGAUCUGGCAUUUUGAUUUCAAAAAUAAUUUGAUGUUUAUUCAAAAAUGAUAUUUUUGACAUUCUACUUGUAGAAUGACAAGUGAAUCAAGCAACUCCAUCAUUGAGGUGACUAAAUUAUAAACCAAAAAAAAAGAAAAAAGAAAAAAGAAAUGAAUAAACACCCUUACCCCAUGACUCUUGAAUCAUGUGUUUUUAAAUGUAUGAAUAAUGGUAUGUAGUGAACUCGUUGCUCAUGAUUCAUGAAAUGCAUCUUUGUAAAGACCAAACCAUCAUACUGGAUGAGGUCAAAGUUUAUUGAUCUUAACUGCUUGCGCUUGAAAUGAGGAAAUGCCAUCUUUUUUAUUCUUUUCAUGUUCUGAAAUAAGUACAUCCCUUGCGAUCCCUUUUUUAGCCUGAAUAAUUUUUCUUUCAUGAAAAAAAAAAUCACAACUAGGAUCACACCCCACGCUGGGGGGCAAGAGAAAAUUUCAAUGAGAAAAGAGAAAAAGCCGUGAGAAAGCCAAAAAAGGCAUAAGAGCUCAAGAAACUUAAAUGCUAGGGGGCAUGCCCAAAUCACUAGAAAAAGUGACAUCCAAGAUAAAGUGAGUAUGCCCUAGCAAAGCAAUUAAAAAAAAGAAGAAGCAGCAAAUAAAAAAAGAGCGGCAAAACAAAAUAUGAAUGACGUCAAGAGUCAAACUGUUGAUAGUGAUCCUCAGUCUUUGAAACCCUGAAACACUCUUUGAGCCUUAUAAAUCCUUUUCUUUCAUAGCCAAAAACCACAGCCUACGUUACGUGCCUAUAGAAGUCCUUUCUAAUCAAGCAAGCAAGCAACCUAGAACAAUAAACAAUACUCUCAAAAUACAAAGAAUACUUUUCAUAAAAUUCAUGACAUCAAGAACAAACUACUCAUUAUUAUUCAUGCUGAUAAACAUGAAUGUUAAAAAAAAAGACAAGUUUUUCUCGAGCCCUUCACUUUGAAAAUCUAUAUAAAAAAAAAGGUCAUCUCAUGACGUAUUUUCACCAAAGACCUCAUUGCCAAACACAAGAGCAAAUAAUCUCUUUUCCAAUAAAGAAAAUAACCAAGGAGUUGCAAGAUUUCAAAAGCAAAUUGUUUUAGACUCACAUCGAAAUAAUUUUUGUUUUCAAAAUGCAAGAUCAAGAUUUCAAGAUUCAUUCUAGACCCAUAUUCCUUCACCAAACUUAAAAGGAGAGAAAUGAGAGAUUGGUCUCUUAAAACCAUUAUUUGUCUAAGUCGUUGACAGGGCACACUUAGGGGCCAUGACAAGUACAAGGGGGCAAUAUUGUGUUUAAGGAAAAUCGAUCUCUUUUAGAAAAAUAGAGGAACAUUUCCUACAACAAGACAAGGGGGCAUUUUGGUUUAUGAAAGACAGCUUGAUCCUUUCAGCAAGUGACACCAAAUGUUUUUAGUAGUGAGAUGAGGAGUACUGAAUGAUCCUCUUAAAUUAUUUGACGAGAUAGAAAAUCUCUAACAAGCAAGUAGGUCAUGAUGGGCACCACAAAGGCUGAGUUGUGCAAACAAAUCUGGAAAUAGACUUACAUGGCCCAACUCGAGUGGGCUAGAAGCCAAGCGACAAAGAUGACCCAAAUCAGAGGUAGCAAGUCCUAAUCAAUCAAGCAACAAGAAGACUAAGAAGAAAUGGGGGCCUAUAUUUCAAAUCAGGUAAAGAUGUAUGCAUAUCAUCUAAACUUUGAGACAUUGGACAAUGAGUUUUGCAAAUUUCAUAAGAGAAAAUUCUAGCGGAAUCCAUCAAGUGGAAGGCCAACUUGAAAUGGCUAAGAUUGAAAUUGCUUUUGAAAAUUUUUUAUUUUUGAGAAUUUUUCAACCUAGGCAGGUCGCUCAUGAGAAUUAGGCCACUUGAAAAAUAUCUCUGUGUUUUUCCACCUCUUUCGAAUGCGUCUUCGAGCCUUCGAUCAUCAUUUUUAGGGUGCCUUCGAGCCCUCAUUUACUUUCAAGUGCGCCUUCGAUCCCUCAACCAUCCUUAAGGUAGUGCGUUUUUUACCCUACUUCCCUUCGAGUGCGCCUUCUAGCCCUCAUCUCCAAGUUAGUGCGUUUCCUAACCUUACCUCCUUUUGAGUACGCCCUCGAGGCCUCACUUCCUUUUGAGCACGCCUUCGAGCCCUUAUUUUCUUUGAGCUAUCAUCUCUUGAAUAGUGCGCAUUCAAGCCCUAUCAUGUCAUCCUUUGAAAAAAUUUAUAUUUUUCCACUGGGCAAGUGACCCAUUACAAUGUGACCACUUUUGAAAAAUCCUCGUAUUCCCCCCCUGGGCGGCUUUAAAAUUUAAUCUUGGUGAUGGAAAAAGGUCUUGUUUAAGGAGUCGCCACCUAGUAUUAUGGUCACUAGGAACCCUAACCGGUCAACAAAUAUUCUAUGGUACGGGACUGGUUACGUAAAAGGAAAGAUAUUAUCACCCCUUAAACGUUCUGCCUGAGGUAGACUGCAUUGCUGGUUUUGUCUUAAAUUGCUAAACGUUUAUUAGUUUAUGCUAUAAUGAUUUGCUUAUAAUAUUCCUGACUCUGGCGUCAGUGAAUAUUCGACUACGGAUACUUUCAAGUCUGGCGUUGGUAAGUAUUACGUAACCCAAAACAAAAAUUAAUGGUGUUGCUGACUCUAGCUCUUUAAAUAAACCAAUAAAAAUAAAUUUAAAUAUAUGCAUGCAUAUUUUUUAUUUUUUAUAUAUUUUCUAUUUUUUAUUUUUUUUGUGGGCCCAGCUCAGCCCCACAUGGGCUGGGCUUGACCCAGCCAGCCCGGCCAGGUCACUGGCCCAAGCCAGUGACCGCGCAGUUUUACCCGCGGGCGUGCGUGAACUGCUCAGGCACGCCUGUUACAGAAACAAGCAAUUAAAAUGCAGGGAGGGAAAACGCAACUUACCUGUCGCUGCACUUGAAGACGAGGAUGACAACUGACCAGCGUUACUCCUCUCUGUUACUGCUUUUUGUCUACUGGUUUGCUUCUGUUCGUUCACCUCUGUUUGCGUUUCCAGGUCUCCCUUUUGUUGUUCGUUCCUUCGUAUUGUGUGUUCUUGCUCGUCCCCUGUGUUUUUUUCUAUGUUCUUUUCUUCCUUUAUCGUCUCUUUGUUUUAUCUCCGUCUUCCAUCUCUGGUGUUGGGGAUGAGAAGGCAGUGAUCCCUUUUCCUCCGUGGCCUUCUCUGGCUUUUAUAAAGCCAGAGGACGGCCUCUGUUUCUUUGAGAAGAAACAGGGGAACGAAAUUCUGCUACCCUGGUUUCUCUCGGUUCCCCCCUGCUCAGGAGGAAGGAGAUGGUAAUAAAGGCAUGACGUUCUGCCAGUUGAACGUAAGCUCCCUCUGGUUUUUCUCUUUUUUUCGUUUCUCUUCCCCCUCUGUUUCCCCUUUCUCUGUUUUGUUCGUUCUCCUGGCUUUUUUUUCGUGUUCCCCUAGUCUUUUUUCGUGUUCCUCCUCUGUUUUUUUCUCUCCGUCUCCCUCCGGCUUUUUCGUGUUGCCCCCCUGUUUUUAUUUCUUGCAGUCCCCUCGCGAGGUUGCCUUUACCCGGGUUUUUAUAGGGCUGGGAGAUCGAUCGACGCUAUAACAGCUGGCAGUAAGGGCGUGGGGCGCUCCAUUCAAUGGAGAAACAUCCCUGCGUUUAAUGGCGAAGCCGCUGCAGAGGAAGAAAACGAGCGAACAGUCGCAGGCCCAAAACGACUCUGUUUUCCAAUUUCAAAGGCUGCUUUCAGUUUGGUUCUUGGAAUUCUUGUAAUUUUGCAAUCAAGCCCCUGGUUAAAAUGUAAUUGGAUCCUUGCAUUUCCGCGCCAUUUUCAAGCUAGUCCUUGGAUUUUAAUUUUUGCAAUUUGGACCCCAAUUAAACCCCAAACUUUGGUAUUUCUUCAAUUAAGUCCUUGAUUUGAUUAAUUAAAUUAAUUCCAAGCUUAAUUAAGUCUCAAAACUUAUCAAUUCUCCAAUUAAGCCCUUGAUUUGAUUAAUUAAACUAGUUAAAUCUUUAAACUUCCAAUCAUGUUGCCCUUAACCCAAAAUUUAAUUCAUUCUUCAUUUAUUUUAUUUUUACUUGUUUUUUUCAUCAUCAUUUUUUCAUCAUCUUUUUUAUUAUUUUUCAGUAAACAAAUAAUAAUAAUAAUUAAAAUAAAAUGGUCAAAAAUUAGGUUAUGACAGUUGCCCCCUCUUUAUAAUAUUUACUAUGCAAAGAUAUUAGAAAAUUUCAUUUUCUUUUAGCAAUGUGACCACUGUGAAAAAUCCUCGUAUUUUUCCACUGGGCAGGUAACCCAUUACUAUGUGACCACUUUUGAAAAAAUCCUCGUAUUUUUUCUCCUGGGCUGGUAACCCACUACAAUGUGACCACUUUUGAAAAAUCCUCGUAUUUUUCCAUUGGACAGGUAACUCAUUGCAAUGUGACCAAUCUGAAAAAUCCUCACACUUUUCCACUAAGCAGGUAACCCAUUACAAUGUGACCAAUUCGAAAAAUCCUUGUAUUUUCCCCCCCGGGCAUGUAAACCCCCAAUUAUAAUUUUUUCUAGGUUAUUAAAAGAUGAUAAAUUUAACCAAUAGUAAAAUGGGUUAAAUUAAAUUAAAGAAACCCAAAUCAAGAUAAAAAUAGUGAAAUUAAUGAAAUGAAAAGUGAAUAUAGUACUAAAUUAUUGAAAAGAAAAACAUUUGUGAGGACAAAAUGAAUACGUAAGAUCAAGAGAGGUCAAUAUUCAAAUAACAGAAGUUUGGGAGUUUAUGUACAAAUGAUAAAAAGGGGUGGGGAUAAAUGUGCAAUUAACCAGAUGUUAGAACUAUAAAUAUCAUUCUACUUCUCUCUUGGAGGGACUGGCAAGAGUAAGAGAGAGUCUAGAGAGAGACUGGAGAGAAGACAUAUUGAAGGUAGAACAUCCGACAGCUAUAACUCCACCUUCCACCGUUGGAUCAGAACGAUAUUUGGAUUUGUUGUUCUCAUCCAUGUUCUGUACAUUUUCACCGGAGGGAUUUUCUAUAUCAAUCCACGUUUAAGACAUAUCAAGGGAGGAAAAUAUCCGGGAAAAUACACUUUUGGACAGUCUUCUUUGUUGUUUGUUACUCCUUCUGCCACCGUUGGAUUAGGCUAUAAUAUGGAUAUGUUGUUCUUCCUGAUUCUGUCUAGAUUUGGAACGGUGGAGAUCAGAAACAAACAUUCGGUAUAGAAGUUGUGCUUCUCACACAGUUGGUCUGUAAGUUUGAGGUCAGUUCGGUUAAACCCAUAUUUCUAGAAAUUUCACCAUUUGAUGAAAUUAAUAUUUGGAUAUGUUAUACUCAUAAUAAUGCAUUAUAACUUGACAGUAUGGAUUGUUUGGAAUAUUAUUCGUUUGUUAUUUAUGGUUGAUAGAAAUUGUUGUCAAGGAUGGUAUUUAGAAGAAUAUUGUUCGGAAAGUUUGUAAAAUCGAUAAGAAUGUUUUAUUUUGACAAUUAAGAGGGAAGAUUGAAAUAAAUAAGAUAAAUUAGCUCUUAUAAAGAUAUUUUUUUUUGACACUCUUAAAUGAUAUGUGAUAUGGCUAGGUGUUAAGAUAAAAAAGAAAAAGUUAAAUUGUGGAUGUUGUGUGUAAAUGGAAAGGUUGAUAAAUCUGGACAGAUUCGUCUCCUUACUUUUGGAGAGAAUUCGAGUAAGAGGAUGAGAGAAUUAGGAUCAAGUUUCUUCAUAAUGAUUGUAGUUUUGGAUGUUAGCUAACUAAAGAAAUUGGUCUUGCUUAAUAUAGAGCUGUAGAACCCCAGCUAUGGAUCAUCAACCGAGAUUGGUUCCUGACGUCUGUAGGGUAGUGUUUGUUGAUGAGAAAUUUUGACUGUCUCAGAGGUAGAACUGGGUCUCCUUCCUUCAGAGAACUUGUAGCCUCGUGUAUUAGCUUUCCAACGAGACUAAUCUCGCUUGAAACGGAGUUCUAUAACUCUAGAUAUAGUUAAAAAUCUAAUAAGUGUUCAAACAAUAACGAUUGGAUAAUAACAGUUCAAUUUCUAGCCAGUAACAGUUGGAAGUAACGGUUCAAUGUCUAGACAGUAACGGUUAGACAAUAAUAGUUCAAUGUUUAGACAGUAACAGUUGGACAGUAAGAGUUCAAUGUCUAGACAGUAACAGUUCAAUAUCUACACAGUAACAGUUGGACACUAACAAUUCAAUGUCUAGACAGUAACGGUUGGACAGUAACAGUUCAAUGUCUGGACAGUAAUAGUUGGACAGUAACGGUUCAAUGUCUAGACAGUAAUGGUUGGACAGUAACAGUUCAAUGUCUGGACAGUAACAGUUCAAUGUUUAGACAGUAACAGUUGGACAGUAACAGUUCAAUGUCUAAACAGUAACGGUUGGACAGUAAUAGUAGACUUUCACGUGAAUACUAUAUGUAAGAAUAUAAAAGAAUUGAGUCAUACGAACACUUGCACAUUGAGAUACUAACUCUGAAAAUAUAUAUAUAUAUAUAUAUAUAUAUAUAUAUAUAUAUAUAUGUUAUUAUGAGGAAAUGAACAUGCAUAGAAAGUAACAUAUGAGUAAUGGAUGAAUAUGGAUUCUCUGUAAUAUCAGCUUGAAGGAAUGAUAACUAUGGUUGGAUAAAGGAUGACAACAUUAAUGGGUGUAAUGAGAAAAAUGUAAGAUAUAAAGAAAGAAAUGAUUGAAAGAAAGAUUUAUUAGCUAUUGAUAUGAUUAUUAAAAAACAUAUCCGUGAAUGAGAAAUAUUUAUGAGAUGAGUCUGGGACUGCAGGAGGGACCACUGGUGUGGUGCAACAGCAACAACAGGGGAGCACGAGUAGAGCUUCUACUGCAGGUAGGUGACUUUCACCUUCCUUUUAAAUAAUGUUGAAUAAUGAAAAUACUUUAUCAUGAAUGUUACCGUAUUGUAUUAAUUAAGAUAUCAGACUGUCAAAUGCUUAAAUGUUAACAAUUGAUUAGCUUCGGCUAAUGGCAUCCGAAGGGAUGGCCGGGACAAAUGAAUGAUUAGAUUUGGCUAAUGGCAUCCGAAGGGAUGACCGGGACAAACAAUUGAUUAGCUUCAGCUAAUGGCAUCCGGAAGGAUGACCGGGAUGAACGAAUGAUUAGUUUUGGCUAAAUGCAUCCAAAGGGAUGACCAGGACAAACAAUUGAUUAGCUUCGGCUAAUGGCAUUCGAAGGGAUGGCCGGGACAAAUGAAUGAUUAUGUAAGAUCCCACAUCGGAAGCGAGCGUCCAGUGCCAGGGUCUUAUAAGUGCAUGCUCACCUUGACUAGAGUGACGCGUUUUGGGGCCAUGCGUGGCUGCCAAGAACAAACCCGUGAGGGGGACCUGGGUGGAAGCCCUGGACAUGGAUGGACUGGGAGGCCCAAAGCGGACAAUAUCUUGCUAAUGAGGUGGGGUGUUACAUUUGGUAUCAGAGCCAAGUACGGCUCGUCUUAAGGUGGGGGGAUUGUAAGAUCCCACAUCGGAAGCGAGCGUCUAGAGCCAAGGCCUUAUAAGUGCAUGCUCACCUUGACUAGAGAGACGCAUUUUGGAGCCAUACGUGGCUGCCAAGAACAAACCCGUGAGGGGGACAUGGGUGGACUGGGAGGCCCAAAGCGGACAAUAUCUUGCUAGUGAGGUGGGGUGUUACAGAUUAGCUUUGGCUAAUAGCAUCCGAAGGGAUGACCGGGACAGACAAUUGAUUAGCUUCGGCUAAUGGCAUCCGAAGGGAUGACCAAGACAAACAAUUGAUUAGAUUGGCUAAUGGCAUCCGAAGGGAUGACCGGGACAAAUGAAUGAUUAGCUUUGGCUAAUGGCAACUGAAUGGACGACUGAGACAAACGGUUGAUUAGCUUUGGCUGAUGGCAUUCGAAAGGGAUGGUCGGGGUAAGUUAACGGUUAACCUCGACAAAUGAUGCCUUAAGAGGAUGGCCGGAUUUAAGAUUAUAGCUGAUUGUAAGAAUUGGUGCAUCUAUAUAUACUAUAAGUUGUAUAUACCAAGAACAUGAAGGUACUACAAAUGUCACGCUUCAAACAUGAGAUAAUGUUAAUGCUUCAUUAAACUGCCAGACCAUUUUCUUAUUAUUAUUAUUAAGUAAUUGCAUUCUUGUAAAUGUUUUGUACUGCAGUAGGGACGUCAUUCCAACAAGGUGCCUAGAAAACCCAAUACACGGAACCUACUUUUGCAAGGAAUCAUGUAGUUGCAUUCUAAAUCAUGAUGUAUUUUAUAUGUACCAAUAUACUGAAUGUAUAACUAUUAUUAGAUCCUUUUAGAUUAAAUUCAUGAUGACUAUUCGUAGGAUAGAAUACAAACUCAUGUCUAUGCAUUUAUAUUUUAAAUGCGAACUUCUAACCAUGCAAACAUAAUAUUAUGAGUUUAUAUAAGAUUCACUUUUAAAUAAAAUGUUGAUUGUUGUUGAUUUAUGGAUUGUAUAUUGAUGAUGUAAAGGUAACAUGUUCGUCGAUUUCCGACACGAUGUGUGUCAAGUACAAAAAAAUAAAAAUUUACUAUUGUUUUGGGCUUGAAAAGUCGGGUUGUUACAGGGCAGGUAACCCAAUACAACGUGACUAUCCUGAAAAAUCCUCAUAUUUUCCCCCCCGACAGGUAACCCAUUACAAUGUGACCAUCCUGAAAAAUCCUCGUAUUUUUUCCACUGGGCAGGUAACCCAUUACAAUGUGACCAAUCUUAAAAAUCCUCGUGUUUUUCAAAUAUCGGGCAAGUCGUCUGGAACAAUUAGACCACUCGCGAAACCCUUUUCGUGUUUCUUCUUCCUAUCGGGCAGGUUGCCUGGACCAAUUAGACCACUCGCGAAACCCUUUUUGUAUUUUAUUCUUCAUCGGGCAGGUUGCCUGGAACAAUUAGACCACUCGUGAAAUUCUUUGCGUUCUUUUAUCAUCGGGCAGGUUGCUCAAAACAAUUUGAUCCAUUUCAAAAAAAACAAAAAAACAAAAAAAAAGUGGGUCGUCUUCCAAAUGACUUGUUUCUUGAUUUCUACAUCUCCUUGUAAAACUCAUAUGUCAAUCUACUAUUUUCAAAGUUUUCAAGGCUCUAAAAAAAAAAAAAGCAAAAGUUCUUUAUGUAUCUAGUUUUCUUUAUAAAUUUACUACACAAAGCUAAAAGAAAAGAAAAUUUUCCAAUAUAUUUGCAUAGUAAAUGUUAUAAAGAGGGGACAACUCUCAUAACCCAAUUUUUGACCCUUUUAUUUUAAUUAUUAUUAUUAUUUUAUUUACUGAAAAAUGAUAAAAAAAAUGAUGAUAAAAAAAUGAUGAUGAAAAACAAGUAAAAAAUGAAAUAAAUGAAGAAUGAAUUAAAAUUUGGGUUAAGGGCAACAUGAUUGGAAGUUUAAACCUUCCCUUUAAUUGUCGAAAUGGAAGCUGAAAUGGGCAGUGAACAGUUUAUCUAAGAAACAGUUAUGUUUUCCCUUCAAAUUGCUAUUUUUGAUGUGGUCCUUGAAGUCUUGAACUUUUUGUAAGCAAACCCCUGGGUAAACUUUAAUUGGACCCCUACAUUUCAGCGCAUUUUACAAAAGAGUCAUUGGUUUUAGAAUGUAUCAAUUCAGCCCUUAAUUGACUCUUCAAACCUUGGUAUUUCUUCAAUUAAGUCUCUGAUUUCAUUAAAUUAAUUCAAAGCUCAAUUAUGUCUCAAAACUUAUCAAUUCUCCAAUUAAGCCCUUGAUUUGAUUAAUUAAACUAGUCAAGAGUUUGUUUCAGCGUAAAGGGAUUAAGAGGGGGGCAACCAAGGGGAUGCAGGGGAGAAAGAAACUAAAGAAAAAACUGGGAAACUGAGAGAGGGGGAGACUGAGAACAGGAGGAAAGAAAAAGGAGGGGCAGAACGAGCAAAAGAAAGAGGAACCGAUAGAAGGAGGACAGAGACGAGGACAAAGAAAAACACAGGAGAAGAACCCCUAUCUCCUCGGUUUAGAACUCCAUCACCAUCGACCAUCGUCUUUGUCUUCCAAUAAUAGCACAAGCAACAACUUAGGAAAGGAAGACCAGGGAAGAUGCAGAAAAACAGAAAUAGAGGGGAAGCAGCUGUCUCAUCUCAGCGCCGGUUGGCCAAGGACCAACAACAUAGGAGGACACCGGGGAUGAACAACACGAGGGGAAGAUAGAGGGCAAACAGACGCAAACAAAAGGGAACAAAAACGAAGAACAGAAGGGACACGAAGGAGAAAACCAGAACAAACAUAGGGGAUUAAGAAAACAGGCGAGGAGAACCAGUGAAGAUAAGAAGAAACAGGGGAGAGUGUCUGGCCAACAAGUAACCCUCUUUCCCCCAUCGUGCUCCUGAGGCCAGCGUUCACUGGCUCCUCAGUCGUGAGAGGUUUCUUCUCCGCCAUGAACAGCAAGCUGAAUCACGAAUCGUGAGCACCGUCUCCCUCAGCCUCGCCAGGUAAGUUCUUCAGCUUUCCCUGUUUUGUUAAAUUAAUUACCCUGUUACUGUUGCAUGCAUGCGUGAGUGAGUGGCCAGCAGGGUCACUGGUCGAAACUAGUGACCCGACCUCUUUUUUUUAGUUUUGAGACCGGGCUAUAUAAAUAAAAAAUAAAAAAAUAAUUUUUGUUUCUUUUAAAAUAGAAUUUUUGGGAUUUAUUUACUGGCGCUAGAGUCAGGAAUACCAUACUUUUUUGGGUUGCUCUAUAUUUAUCAACGUUAGAGUUGGAAAUAUUCAUAGGCGAAUAUUCACUGACACCAGAGUCAGGAAUACAAAUACUAAUUUAAAUUCACUUUGUUUUUAUACUACGUAAUAUUUACCAACGCUAGAGUUGAAAGAAUCCGUAGUUGAAUAUUUACUGGCGCUAAAGUCAGGAAUAUUAUAUGCAAAUUACCAUAGGAGCAUAAAAAAAACCAAAUCUUUAGUAGUUUAAGACAAAACCAGCAAUGUAGCUUACCUCAGUUAGGACACUUAAGGGGUGAUAGUAUCUUUCCUUUCGCGUAACCAGUCCCAUACCAAAGAAUCUCUGUUGACCAGUUAGGGUUCCUAGUGACCAUAAUACUAGGUGGCGACUCCUUAAAACAAGACCUUUUUCCUAAAAGAACAAGAUGCCAGAUAUCUGUUCUUUUCCUAUAACCAAGAUUAUUUUUAAGGCCGCUGCGAUGUUGGGUGCGACAGUAUCCAUAAGGUUUCAUUGGUACCGGCAUUUAGGGUGAUAUUGAUUACCUAUCCGGAUUUGGAUAGCUAAUGGUAUCAAUAAGGUUUCAUUGAUAUCGGCAUUUUAGGCGACAUUGAUUAAAAAUUCAGUUUUGGAUUGCUAAUGGUAUCAAUGAGGUUUCAUCGGUGCCGACAUUUCUUAAAUUGAUUAGUCGAUCCCAAGCAAUUGGGUGACUAAUGAUGUUAGUAAAGAUUACUAACAUCAGCAUGAUUACUCCUGGUUCAGUGAAAAAGAUAAGUUGAUUUCCGGGUCAAGAAUAGUUAAUGAUAUCAAUGGGUCACAUUGGUAUCGGCAACCAUUUCUGAUCUGAUUAGCUACUCUAGGUAAGGAGGCUAAUGAUGUCAAGUGUUCUUAACAUCAACCACUUUGAUGGUAAACCAGAUAUGAAUAAGAUUUGAUACUCUAGAUAAGAAUAGUUAAUGAUACUAAUCGCUUGUGUUAAUAUCGGUACGUGAAUGUAAUUGAUUAGUCUAGCCCACUAUGAGAAGACUAAUGAUACUAAUGAGAUUUAUUAGUGUCGACGAUUACCUUCCAGAAAAUAAAAGGGAAAAUAUUGAUUGGUUAUUUCAAAAGAAUGAGAUAUCCAGACAGGAAUAUCUUGGUAUAAAGUGAGAAUUGAUUUAUAAGGAGAUGGUGUUUGAAAAUCGUUGAGUUGUGUUGAGAUUUCCAAGAUGAAAUUAUUCUCAACAAAUGGGAUAGGAUAUUAGAUGGAUAUUGGUAAUAGAUUGAAAAUGCAUGUUGUAAAAGAGGUUUAUACCUAAUUUUAUAUCUCAAAAGAAAUUCUAUGGAGAUUAUUACCUAUUGUCGCACCCUCGCGGCGGAGCGCAGCGUUGCAGCGACCCUCGAUUGAUUUUGGUGUUUUUUUUUGUUUUGUGGAUAAAGGAGUCGCCACCUAGUGUUGUAGUCACUAAGAACCCUAACUGGUCUUUCAGAGAUUCUAAGGCAAGGGACUAGUUGCGUAAAGGGAAGGUAUUAGCACCCUAGUACGCCCUAUCUAAGGUACGCUGCUUGGUGUUUGGUUUGCCUUAUAAUUGCUAUGGUGUUGGUGUUUUCUAAUCUCAUUAGUUUUCCUAGGUUUGAUUCAAACUAAAUUUAUUAAGAUAGAAAUCCAAGGAGAUUCCAUGUGCUUUAAAAGCUCAUUUUCCCCUUAGUAUUUCAAGAGUUUGCGACUCGUAAAUCGCAAGGAGGAGGGACAAAAAUUUAGAAAUCUAAGGAAAUUUAGGGCACUUUAAAAGCCUAUUUUUGCCUUAGUGUUUUAUACUCUCACGGCUCGUAAACCGUGGAGUCAAAAAUUGAAAUGUCCUCGAUUAUAAUCAAGGCUUCUUUCAAGGAUGAGUAUUUGGAUAUUCAUCUAGUGAUUCAAUAAUAUUUCAUUGGUAUUCAUCGAUACCGACAUUCAAUGGAUGAAUGUCCUCGAUUAGUAUCAUUAACCUUUUACCGAUGAUUCAAUUUACUUAAUGAUUUUCUAUAUUUCAUCUUUUUUUUUGUUUUAUUAACAAUAUAUUUUUGUUCUUUUUUGUAUUGUUCGUUGAUAAAGUCUAAAAAUAAACACAUUAUUAAGGUAAGAAUUUUUCAUUCCUAAGUCUAUAUUUUUUAAAAAAAAAUUGUUGCCUGUUUUAUUGUUUUUAUUGCAAUAAUGAUUGAUUGUUUUCUUGAAUUUUAAUUGUUAUUGUUGAGUUUGCUAUAUAAAUGUUAAUUGAAUAUAUAUGAUUAAAAUUAAUUUUUUAUCUCAAUUUUAUUGUAUAUAUUGCAUAAUAGAGUGUUUGAUUGUUUUGUUGAAUUUUAAUUGUUAUUGUUCAAUUUGUAUAAAUGUUAGUUGAAUAUAUAGAAAUAAUUUGUUUUCCUAUAUUUUACUGUUAAAUUUGUAUAUAUGUUAGCUUAUAUGUAGGAUUUGUUUUCUUUAUUUUAUAAUUAGAAAUAUUAUAUUAUCACAUUGAAAAUGAGAUGAAAUUGAAUAAUCCAAAAUUUUUGGUAGAAAUAAAAUAAAAUCAACUGGUUUGUGGCAUAUAUCUUGUCAAUAUUUGCAGGUUUGAACAAUUUGGGUAAUCUCCAGUAUAGGGGAGCUGUUGCUGAUUAAAAAAAACAAAUUUGAUUAUGUAAUUAUUCAUCAAAUUUGUAUAGAUACGUAGAACAAAAUCAACUACACGUCGUGAGAACAUGGUCGCAGCUAGUUCUUCUAGCAGUGAUGAUGACCUGUCAUUAGGUGCCGACCAAGAAGAGACACUUGCGGUGACUUAUGACACUGUCUCUUUCAGCGCGGUUCCACAAUGUAGAGGCGGUGUCCCUUCACAACGGGGUCAAUUCUCCCACAAGUACGAGGCACAUUGGAAGGACGACCUUUCAAUGUAAGUUGGUUUUGAUUUCAGUUUUUUUUUCUUCUUUUAACGUAAUUUGUGAACAACUAAUUAAUAUUUCAUUAAUUUUAUUGAUUUUUAGGUUCACAAACAUUGAGGUCACCCGAGUAAUAACAUCAACGUUUAAAUCGUCAAUGGAGAUUCCAUUGUUUAAAUGGGGUCAGGUUUCCAAACAUCCUGAUUUGAAACCUUAUAUCGAUUUAUGGUUUACAAGAUUUGAGGUUAGAGUUUGUAAUAAAUUUUAACUAUUUUUAUGCUAUAUUGUAAUUAUUGAUUUAUUUUUCAUAAAUUAUUUAUAUAUGGAACAAAUUUGAGUGGGAUAACGCGAAUGACAAUGUUAUGAGGAGGGCGUGAGAGAAUUACGAAGCAACUAGGUAACAUCGAAAACAAUAUGAUAUUUUUAAAAUCUAAUUUGUCAUUAACUCGUAUAAAAUUCGUUCAUGUAUGUAGGUUGCGUCACUUUUGGCAUGAAGCACAGAAAAAAGCAAAAAAAAAUAUGCCAAAGAUAAUGCUCUAAUAGGUUGGAAUGACGUGGCAAUUUGGAGGGAUUCCAGGCAGCCUUUCAUCCCAGAGGAUAUAUGGGCAUAAUAUAUCCAACACAUGACGUCUGAGUGGUUCAACGUCGCUCACAUUCCGGUGUCAAGAAUCAGAACCGGAAAAUUUCCAGUUCGGUUACCACGCACAUUGGCGGUUCCGUUCCGUUCGUUGCAUAUGGAAGCGGAUGGUAAGAUUAAUUUUAAUGACAUCCAGAAUUAAUUAAUUUGUUGUUAUUUAUAAAUAUAUUUAACUUGAAACAUUUACUUUUCUUACAGGUUACAUCUCUUGGACAUAAGUCGAGCCCAAUGGAGCUUUUUGUCGAGAUGCACAUGCAGAGUGAAGACCUCUAAAAGGGGGUGCAACAGUUCGUCGACAACCGCACUCAACACUUCGUGGUAUGUUCGUUCAACUAUUUUUUUUAGGUUAUUAUUUUCUUGAAUUUAAUUUGAUGAUUUCUUUUUUAAUUUUUAGGAGACAUAUAAUAGCCAAUUGAGGGAGAGAUAAGAGAUUUGUGGAUGGAGGCAGAAUCGUCUGGUGGACCCGAUAGAAAUCAGGUGUGCGAACUCUCCAACACUAUGGUUGAGAACUUGUGGGCAACCCAUAACGUCUCAAUCGUUGAGAGCUCCCAAUCAGUAUCGAGCACCCAGUCUAGUUUGAUUUUAUUUGUACAAAUAAAAUUGUAAUGAAUAUUUGGAUUUUAUAUUAUUCAAUUUUAUUUUUACAUAUUUCAAUUUUAUACAAUUUUAUUUGUUUAAUUAUUUUCUUUUUUUUAGUAUUCUAUACAAUUUUAUGUUAAUUAUUCUAUACAAUUUUAUUUUUUAAAAUAUUUUUUAAUUAUCAUGGACAAAUUUACAAACGGAAUCCAUCCAUCUGUAUUUUACAGAGGUGAUGGAACAAAUUUAUUGCAUAUGCCACAAUCACUGACGGAAUACGUUCGUCGAUGAAUUACUGAUGGGAAUACAUAUCGAAUCUAUCCGUCGAUAUAUUCUAGAGAGUUUGAAAAAAAUUACUACAUAUGCCACUAUCACUGAUGGAAAUAUACCGAUGAAAUUUUUCUGUCGGCAUAUUUCCAACAGGAAAUUUAUAAGUUUUAAGAAUACUUAUGUUUUAAAUUCUUUCAUUAAAUGUUAGUGCCCCUUUUCCCUUUGACUUUAUAAUAUGAUUUGUGGAUAUAUAUAUAUAUAUAUAUAUAUAUAUAUAUAUAUAUAUAUAUAUAUUGUGUGAAUGGUGUUGAGUAUUGAUGAUGGAAAUAAAGUCCAAAACCCUUAUACCAUGUUGUGAUGGAUUGAAUAUGUAAAUUGGAAGUAGUCGACAACUUGAGACAUUGUAUAUACAAAGGAAACUCUGCCGAAAUGUCGGUAGAAUUCUUUUUUUAAAAAUAAAAAUUACCCUCACAUUAAAAGCAUAUGUCAGGAUUUUUUAGCAUUUAUAGAUUAGUAUAGUCGGGACCUUUACAAGUGUCAAAUUCAAAAUGAGUCCUGAUUAGUACUUAAAAGUGCAUUUUUAUCAAGGUUUUAUAUCAUCAUUUUGCACUUGAAGUAUCAAUAACUCCUUAACUAAAACAUGUUUUAUAAUAACAUAUCUAAUAAUAUAAGAUACCUUUAAUUUAUGGUAAAUGUUCAUCUUAAAUGCAGGCCUAUCACAUAAAUGAAAGAAUUGAUUGAUGAGUUGAAGUACUGAAAUUGAAAGGACAAAGAGAUGGCCAAACUUAUAAAAGAGAUGAUUGGUGCAGUCCAAGCUGGAACACUAUUUGGUAAUGGGGUCAUAUCUGGAGCUGUAGAUCUCGGAUUUAGGUCUAUUUUAUAUGGAUGGAAAGAUAAUACAUAGGCCUACAACUUUCAUGAGGAGCCCAAGAUUUAACAAGGCCUUUUUCAAGUCCAAAUUGUAGCAACAACAAAGAAGUCUGAAUCUGUCCUGCAGCCCAGACACUGUUCAGUGUUCAGCCCAUAUCUCGAGUUCUAGAAAUCCAAAUGAUCUCAAAUGUUUAUCCUGGAAAGAUGAGACAAUUCCCUAGAACUUUCAUGAUUUAAGUUUGUUCCAAUUAUGACAUCAUCAAUGACGUUUUUGGCAGACAAGAAGAUAAGAAUUGUCACCAAGUCAAGAUGUGGCCACCCACUCAUCAAUUAGUCAACAAAUCAAUAGUUCCGAAUUUUGUUCUAUAAAAGGAGGCAUUUGCCAUGUAUUUAGGCAUCUUGGUUUUCAGAUCAAGAUCAUGCUCUUGCUCUCUCUUUAUAUUUUGUAAUGCUUAAGUUUUGCUUAUAUAAAUUUCUUGCUUAUGCUUUUCAUUUCCUUUCCUUGUUUAUUUAUGUUUCUUUCUUUCAUUAUGUGUUGCUAAGUUAAUUAUGUCAAGGUGAAAAGGGUACACUAAUGGUGUAAGAAUAAGUAUAAUAUAAACUUAACAUGGACCUUAAUGUUGGAUACUAACAUGCGUUAUAUUUGUUAUCUUGUUCACUUUUAAUACUUUGCUUGUUAAAUGGUUAAUCUAGAUUUAUGUUGUAUAACACUUGGUACAACAAAUACUUGGCACUUUCAUAGCCCAUACUGUAUGGUAUAACCGACACCUGAGCUAUGAAAGGAACUUGAUUUGUUGUUAACAUAAGUUAUAAUCAUGAAUGCCUGACAACAUUUACAAGUAUUAGCAUUAUUCGAAUAAGAUAGCUAAUGUAAUCAUGUUAACAAUUUAUAAUCUGAUUGGAACCUCCUUUGUGUGUGGUUUCCAAUUGAAUAAUAAGAGUUUAUACUAUACUUGUUUGAAAUACCAUUAGUGGAUCUUCUAACCUUGACAUUUGUUGUUAUCAUUGUUUAAUCCUUACGUUAAUCUUGCAUCUCAAAGUUCUCAUCAACUUCUUCUUCUUUAUUAUUAAUAUUAUUAUUAUUACCAUUAUUGUUGUUGUUGUUAACUAUAAUUUAUACAAUUAACCUCCCUGUGGUUCGACCCCGGUCUUGCCGGGUUAUUUAUUACUUCGACACUUCUACACUUGGGAAAAGACAUCAAUCUUUUGGUCGUGUCAAGUCCUCAAUUUUUUAUUUGUUCAAUCAAAUCCUUCAUUGCAAUUUUGAUUUUAAGAAUCAAUUCAAUUGCAUCCCUACCAAAUUCAAAUGUCAACCCAAACAUAAUUUUUCACCAAUUAAACCCCUAAUAAAAUUAAUUUGACCCAUUUUUAGUCCUGACACUUGAUUAAAUCCUUCAAUUGGACUCAAAUUAAUUCUCAAACAUAAUUAAACUUUAAUUUGGCCCAUGAUUAAAUCAAAUUGGCCUAUUAAAAAAUUAAUUAUGUCCUUAGACUUAAUUUCUAUACAAAUUCUUCCAAUAAUCAUUUAAUUUGACCUUCAAACUGCAUUGUUUCUUUAGUCUUGGGUAUAAUGGGGUACAAUUAGGCUUCAAAUUUCAUCAAAAAUUGCAGUUUGAUUUUCCCAUAAGUUUGAGAUCCUCCUCAGUCUGCUUUUUCCGCGUCGCCAGUCUUAAUUUUAUAAAAAAAGUACAUAUAAGAUUCUCAACGUAGAUCGUAAGACUAAUAUAUUUGUAUUUUGUAAAUUUCAAAAAAAAAAAUUCAUAUAUUUGCAUUUUGUAAAGCUGUGAGGUCCCGUCCACAUGCAUGGGAGGAUCUCACAUGCAACUAUGAUUUUAAAAUAGUUGUUGAUGAUAAUGCUCACCUUCGUAACGCUUUUACCUUUCGGACACUUGACUUUGCUAUGUCAAGAGAUGAAUUUAGUGCCUUCUAUUUGGUCAAGUGGAAGGAAAACUCUCGGAAUCUGUUCUGCUUGCCAUUUAAUUUUCUCAGUAGACAAUUCGGUUAUCACAAGUUAAAUCUCAAACCAAAUAGAACACAUAUAUGAGACCUUUUGAAUCAUCAUGCUCAAGAUGUUCUGAAUAUUUUUCUUGGCAUUGAGAAAUUAGAGGGAAAAAAAACAGCAGAUAAUCUAUCAAACCAUACCGCAGCUCUGAUACGAGGUGGUGUAAUAACUGAUGGCCUUACAAAAGGUGAUGUUAUAAAAAUAUGGUUAUGGAUGUGAUAAAAAUAAAUUAGGAUUAUGCCGGUCAACGUCCAAUUAUAAAUGAAGAAUCGAAUGCCAUCCAUUGAAAUUUCCACGAGACAGUGUGUAUCACGACAUCGGAGGGUUCAUCACAAAAUAUUAAAGAACAAAGGGGGAAUAUAUUUAAAGACUAUGAUUUUAGCCUUUGGAUCUAUUUGAAUAUUCUUAGAACAUUACAAUGUGUGAUGUCUUAGUGAUUUUUAUAAAUAAAAAUGUAUUAAAAUAUAUAUUUUUUUUUACGUGGUGUGCUUUUUGUGUCAAUUUGAGGUUCUGUUUCUAUUACAUAUUCCCUUCAAAAUACAGAGGCAUAAUGGUUUUGAAAUAAGCCUAGCAAUGCAGUUUGAGAUCUGGAAUUAGCUAGCAAAAAUUGGGUCAUUUAAUCAUCCACAAUAUAAAUGUAACAGUAUCAAAGAUUUACUCUCUGAUUAUAGGUUACUGGAUAGACAAGGAUCAUGCGCCUAAAGCUUGUAUUACUUUUUUUUUAAAAAAAAAAAAAUAUAUGUAUGAUGAAGAGAAGGAGAUUGCAUUUUUUUUAUUUUUUUUUAAAGCCACGCCAUAUAACAAAUAAAAUUAAAACAUAACCUUUUAUUAUAAGCUUUAAUAAAUUAAUGAAAACAGUCAUAUCUCUCAAUUUUGACCUCCUUGUCACCCACCGUAGACUGAACCGUGCUAAUGUUUUGUUCAGUUGUAAAGCAAAACAGACACAUUGAUCAGCGAAUUAAAUGUUGGGUUGGUUGCCAUUAAUGUGCAACAACCAUUGACAAUUGCAGCAGCUGCAGCUGGAGUUGCACCAACCAUGUGCACCCAUCCAAGAUGUCAAAGGUUGGCAGCCACCAUUGUUGAAGAAGAGCUGGAGUUGGCAGCCACCUUUGUUGAAGAAGAGCUGGAGCUGGUGGCACCAUUCUUGCCUAUAAAUAGGCAGCAAGAGAGUAGAGCAAACUGAGAUGAGAGUGGUGAGAAAUGUAGAGAACAAGAGAGAAAGUGGAGCUGCAAUGGCAGCAGCCUUGCUGCUAUUGUAGCAGCUGCAAGUGCAGCAAGAGAGCUGGGAGUAGAGUUUGAGUGAAGUGAUCCUCCUCCUCCAUGUGUGUUGUAAUCCUUUCUCUAUAUAUCUCUAAUAAUAUGGACUCUCCCGUGGACGUAGGCGGUUUUGCCGAACCACGUAAAAUAUGGUGUCAGUGUGCUUAGCCUCCUUUGAGCAACUAUCAGUUCACCACCGGUCCGCGUAUGGGGGAGCCGGAAUCCCCAACAAUUGGUAUCAGAGCAUAUGGUUUAAAGUGGUGUUUGAUUUUUGCUCAAAAAUGAAAGUUGUCAAAAUUAUGUUUUGACCAUACCACUUUGUAGAGGAGGAAGAGACGAAGCCACUGGUGAAAACGGCGUCGAAAUCGGACGUCGGACGUGGCCGCACGCACCCACACACGCCGACAAGGUGGCGGCCCACGCGCGCAGACACGCCACACGCGUCACACGCGUCUUCUUCGCCCGGAUGGGCUGACCCAACCCGAAUACCAGUUGACCCGACCCAUUUAACUGACCCGGAUAAUGAUGACGUCAUCAUGACGUAAUAGUGACAUCAGCAUGCACAGUAGGCAUGCCAGGAUGACAUCAGCCUGAUGUAAAUGUGACAUCAUCAUGCACAGUCAGCGUGCCAUGUCAGCAACCAGUCAGCUGACACGUCAGGAAAUUGGGACCCACCUGCCACGUCAUCAGUCGCGAGCCGAGCUGAGUUGAGCCGAGCCGCGUGGAGCCGAUCCGAGCGGGAGCCGAGCCGCGAGCUGAGGGACAGGAUCCAGUGAAGCUGAUCCUACGUGCAACCGGAUCUGAGAUUGAAUCUGGGCCGCUCAUCAGACCAUAAUUGUUUUGAUCAAAUCUUAGCCGUCUGAAAUGCGAUUUGGACGAUUUCAGACUUGCUUCCAGCUAAUUUGAUCAUUCCGGAUGCAAUGGUACGGUCCGAUCAUUGAGAUUUGAUACCAAAAGUGGUGGUGGUGAAUUAUUAAAGAAACAUUGCCUAAUAAGAAGGCAUCUGAAGGUCAUCAUGGUGGUCGAUGGAGAUGAAAAAGAAGAUGUCAUACACAUUUGCCCAAUUAUGUGUGCUGAACUGCUAAGUGGUGGAAUUUUUUUUUUCAGUUGCCUUGAAGGAAGGCAAAAAUUGGGACACUCUGGACACCCGGUUAUAUGGACAAUUAGAGGUGUAGAGUGAAAAUUGACAAAGACCAAUCUUGACGAAUCUAAGAACUGGUAGUCUCGCCAGAUGUUGAGAAAUCAUGUAUUAAACCAGUAUAUUCCAGAUCACUUGUAAAGGAAAGCCGCAACAAAGCUAGCAAAUGGUUGUAUAUACGGAAAGACAGUACGAUGGAUAGAUAUGGCCUAAAAAGUUCUGGCUAGGAGAUUGGGUUUUAAGCGGGACCAGUGUGACCCCUCCAAUCUUUCCUGGGAACUUGCUUAGUGGAAGGAUUAUCCAUACGGUACUAUUUUCGUAUAUAUAGCAGUUUGUAAUGAAACGGUUGAAGACUAGCAGGAUGAUGGCAUAAGGGAACAGUUGGGUUCCGUAUGUUCAAGGAUCUAAUGGAGUGGUGAUUUCUCCAAAGAAGUUAGAUUCGGUGACUGUGAUUUCUCGAGGGAGAAUUGAUGAAGACCCUGAUAAUGGAAGAGAAAUACAGCAAGGGGAUAAAGAUUGGCACCCUAUUUUGACUUUGACAGGUGUUGUGACAGGAUGAGCUGUUGUCAAACAUAAGCAAGGAAUAUGGAGAAAUCUGGAGAACAGAAAUUGCACGAGGGCACACUGAGAUUGUACAGGAGUACCCGUAUGAUCCAACGAGGUACUGUAAUGAGACAAUAGGUGCAAGGAGAAGAAGUGUUCUCAGAUGAAGCUCAGAGCAGAGACUGUUGAAGUUUGUACAACAGGAAGUCUCUUGUGCUCUUGAUGAAGACAACAGACGAAGACCUUUCCAAUGCAUGCAAGGAUGGAAAGAGAGCUGUUGCAGAGGCACCUAAUUGAGGGGGUGCAAAUGCCUGUGACACAAGGCAACCGCCUAUGAUGAAAGGCGAAGACACCAAAGAGAGUUGGUGUAGGUGGAGUUCUUAAGCGCAAUGAUGAAAGGCGUAGAAGCUCCAAACAUAGAAAUCGAAGUGGAGGAUUGCGAGGAGUAUACCGCAACUUUCUCUUUCUAUGUAAUCAGUGGCAGUAAUCUCUCCCAUAGUGCACAUGGUGGUAGAGAAAUUUUGGAGCCACUUUGAAGCAUCUCAGCUGUAGGAGGAUGCGACCGCCUAUGAAAGGCGAAGACACCUUAGAGAGAAGGUGUGAGGGCCAUGAUAGGAGCCCCAGUUCAGACCGCCUUAUGACAAUAGGCGAAGACACCUUAAAGAAGGUGUAAGGGCCACAAUAUGAGCCCAAAAUCAAACCGCCCCAUGACAACGAGCGAAGACACCUUAGAGAAGGUGUGAGGGCCAUGAUAGGAGCCCCGGAUCAGACCGCCCUAUGACAACGGGCGAAGACACCUUAGAGAAGGUGUGUGUGGGCCGUGAUAGGAGCCCAAGUUCAGAACAACCCCAAAGCCAAUGUGAUGGUUGGAUAUAAGUGGAUAUGUGUAUGGAUAGCCAAUGAAGUGGCUAUGAUAAGUAUCAAGACAUAUAUGGAUCAACCUUUAAUGGGCUGCCCCCAUGGGUAAAGGUGGAAAGCUACCUGGACUCUUAGGACUAAGAGCGAGAGACUCACGGAGAAGUAAGGCAUGAUUCCUAGAGUGGAACAGAGGGCAGACGCAACUCCUGGAUGAGUAGACUCUUGGAAGAGUGGUGAGCUCGUGAUCAUAUUGAGAUACUCAGAUAAUGACUGUCGCACUUGGAAUAUCCGUUUGAGGGGGUGUUGUAUGCCUUGGUGUGAGGCUUGAUGAAUCAAUCCGGACCGAGCAUGGUUGAUAUGCUCGAAGGGGAAUGUUGUCCCAGAGACAAGCGAUAACACUCUUCAGAUGUGAUGUGGCAGACCAUCUGGUUGUAGUGAUCCUUUUGUGUGAGAAAAGGUGUGCUUUGGUGACUCUGGUGAUUGAAAGGUUUGGCGAGUACCUGUAAACUUGGCCACAAACGCUCUCGAAAUGGUAAGCUUGGAAGAGCUGCAGGAUGCAAGCCUGUGCUGAAGAAGCAAGAGGACAGUUGCCCCACAUGAAUGGCAAAGGGGGUGAUUGUUGGGUUGGUUGCCAUUAAUUUGCAACAACCAUUGACAAUUGCAGCAGCUGCAGCUGGAGUUGCACCAACCAUGUGCACCCAUCCAAGAUGUCAAAGGUUGGCAGCCACCAUUGUUGAAGAAGAGCUGGAGUUGGCAACCACCUUUGUUGAAGAAGAGCUGGAGCUGGUGGCACCAUUCUUGCCUAUAAAUAGGCAGCAAGAGAGUAAAGCAAACUGAGAUGAGAGUGGUGAGAAAUGUAGAGAACAAGAGAGAAAGUGGAGAGCUGCAAUGGCAACAGCCUUGCAGCUAUUGCAGCAGCUGCAAGUGCAGCAAGAGAGUUGGGAGUAGAGUUUGAGUGAAGUGAUCCUCCUCCUCCAUGUGUGUUGUAAUCCUUUCUCUAUAUAUCUCUAAUAAUAUGGACUCUCCCGUCGACGUAGGCGGUUUUGCCGAACCACGUAAAAUAUGGUGUCGGUGUGCUUAGCCUCCUUUGAGCAACUAUCAGUUCACCACCGGUCCGCGCAUGGGGGAGCCGGAAUCCCCAACAUUAAAUUAUCAACAAUGUAUUCUUAUACUUUUCUUAUGACCAAGCUAUAAGUCCCAUGACACAGUAUUCUCAAAAAGCCAAGGUCAUGGUAUUUCUAUGUUUUCUAAAGAAAUUAAUAUUUAAUUUAAUUUAUAUUCUUAAUAAUAAUUUUAAUUCGAACAACAAGACAGCAUAACACCAAAUAAUUAAUUUAUUUUACUCAUAACACAACACAAUUAUUUAUUAUUAAAUAAUUUGAUAUGGUUAAUCUCACAAUAGAACACAAAGCAAACUCUUAUCCUUAAACGUGCAUUAAAUUUUACUACUUAGAAUUUAUUAAUUUGUAUUAUACAUGUACGUCGUAUAUUAUCUUUGAAGGCUUGUAUGACCUCUAUAUUAGAUAUCCUUUUUUUAUAUAUAUAAAAACAUUUCUUUCAAUCAAUUAAUUAAAAUAAUAUUUAAAUGAUUUUUAAUUAUUUCAUUGUUUUCAAGAGACAUAAGCCUUUUAUUAUGAUAUUAUUGAUUAAUUUAUAAAUAAUUAUGUGUUAGCAUAAUAGAAAAAAAAAUUAAAUGAUUUGCUUAUUAAUAUUGAAUGAGAAUAAAAUGUAUAAUAUUUUUAAUUUUUUGUAUUGUUAAGUUUUUAUAUAAUUUUCUCAAAUCUAUUGUUCUUAGGUUUUUCCAUGUGAUUAUAAUAAUGUUCGAUACAUAUUUUUUGAAUUUUUAAUUAAAACUUGUUUUUAUGUGCAAAAUAAGUUUUUAUGUGUGUCGUACCCUCUCGAGAGCUCGACGUCGCGGCGACCCUUCCUGGUAGCAGGGAUUUGAUUUCGGGGUUUUUGUUUUGUGAAAAAGGGAGUCGCCACCUAGUAUUAUGGUCACUAGAAAACCUAACUGGUCCUUCAGAGAUUCUAAGGCAAGGGACUAGUUGCGUAAAGGGAAUGUUUUAGCACCCCUAGUACGCCCUACCUAAGGUAAGCUGCUUGGUGUUUGGUUUGCCUAUAAUUGCUAUGGUGUUGAUGUUCUCUAAUCCCAUCAGUUCCCUAGGAUAAGCACCCCUAGUACGCCCUACCUAAGGUAAGCUGCUUGGUGUUUGGUUUGCCUAUAAUUGCUAUGGUGUUGAUGUUCUCUAAUCCCAUCAGUUCCCUAGGAUAAGUCUGUUAUGAUGUACAAACUUGGGUUCAAAGUUUAAGGGAAAGAGUCCUUGGCCAAUAUGAAUCAUACCUUUAGAUAUGUUUAUAGAGUGCCAAAGAGAAACGGUGCAGAACUCUUGAAGUUCAUGCUUGAUUUGAACUAAAUUUAGAAUUUAUGAAUUUAGAGACAUCUAAGAUAGAAAUCUGAGGAGAUUCAAUGCGCUGAAGAGCUCAUUUUUCCCUUAGUAUUUCAAGUGUUUCGCGACUCGUAAAUCGCAGGGAAGAGAAACAAAAAAAAAACUAAGUUAGAAAUCUAAGGAAAUUCAAGGUGCUUUAAAAACCUAUUUUUGCCUUAGUAUUUCAUAUUUCCUUGACUCAUAAACUGUGGAAUCAAAAUUUUGAAAUGUCCCCAAUUAUAAUUGAGGCUUCUUUCAAGGAAGUGCGAUUAAAUGGUUCUAAAUAAAAUUUUAGGCAUAAAUCUGCCUUUAUGUUAAAAAUAAACUAGUUGUGUUCCUGUUAACAAUAUUUUGGACAUUUACCUUUCAUAGGUUUUUUGCCCUUAUAUUAUUAAGGGAUAAUGACUUGUUAUUCCUAAAAAAUAUUUUUUGAUAUUUACCCCUUGGGGUUUCUUUAUCUAAAUAUUAACGGUGAACAAUGACGAAUUAUUCCCAAUAAUAUUUUGAAUAUUAACCCCUUUUGGGGUUUCUUUAUCCAAACAUUUGUAGUGAAUAAUAACAAAUUAUUCCUAAUAAUAUUUUGGAUAUUAACCCAUUUGGGGUUUCUUUAUCCAAACAUUACUAAUAAAUAACAAAUUAUUUCUAAUAAUAUUUUGGAUAUUUAUCCCUUUGGGAUUUCUUUAUCCAAACAUUAAUAGUGAAUAAAAAAUGAACUCCCAAAAAUAAGAUUUUUAUAUUUUUUGGAAUAUUGGCCAACACCCUUUGUAAUUUAUAAACAUGUUGUAAAAUCCAAGAUGCAAGAAAAAUAAUUUUUUUUGUGUUUAAGAAAUCCAUGCUAAAACAUAUUUUUUGAAACCUUGAAUAUUUGUCUUUUUUAAAAAAAUAAUUUAAAAUAUAUUAGGGUAUUGACCGUAUUCAACACACAAGAAAUUUUUUAUGUUUUGUCGAAAACACAAACAACAUAAUUAUAUCAAGUAUCACAAUUAAAGAAACAAGCCGUACACAUCUAUAUUUCAAAAUUCACUGGAAGCUUAAAACAAUCCAAAUCAAGCAAAGCCUGAUAUAGCAACUUAAAAUUGAAUCCUGAAUAUAAGUCUAUCCGUUAGUCUUAAAAGAGAAACACCCAUCCGCAUGCACAAGAAAACAAAGUUGAACUCAAAGCCUUACACAGAAACAGAAACAGCAACCGGGUCUAGCGCCUAUCAUCUUUUCCUAAUCUCUGACGCUGCCGUGCUAGUUUCAUGCAAGAGGCAAGAAACCUCGGAAGCAUGUCUCUAUACCCCGUAUAUUCAAAACUGAACUAGAUAAUCAAAAACAACUGGCCUACUAAAUCACCUUCAAAGAAAGAAAGAAAAAAACGACCAACAGAAACUGCCUAAAAGAAACCCCUCAACUGCAGAGGAACCCCUCUUGCAUUUUUCUUUAUAGAUAAACUAAAUCUAUGUGGAAGGCAUUCCUAAUACACAUCCCAGUCAAAGAGGAACUGAGCCGAGGAGGGGAAGGAUGGUGAAGGCCUUUAAAAAUCACGGUCCCUCACGGCAAAAGAACCAGAAAAGAAAUAUGCAGCUUUAACAUAAGCAAAAGGAAACCAACUCAGAGCUAUGGAUGGAACAAUGGGUAAACAUACCACCUUUUGUCCCAACAGAAAACGAACGUCUAGAGCAAAGGAAACAAACAGUUCUGGAGCAUAACAAAACACAUAUGCACAGGUUUGAAUAUAGCGGGAAAACCAAAGGGGGGGGGGGGGGGGGCGAAACUUAUACCUGCAGAUUGCUUGCAAAAAGGGAGAACAAACCGGUGGGCAGUCCCUGCAUGUUUGCCCUUGAUGACCCGAAGAAAACCUUCCUCCUUUACCGUUAGGAACUUUUUUCAAAACCCUUUAGAGCUUUGUUAAAUUAUUUUUCGGCAGGGUAGAAAUAGUUUGAAGUUAACCUCCCCUCCCUUUCGUUGUUUCCCUCUAUUUUCUACCCCAACUUCUACUUGUUCUCUCAGUUCCCUCUUUUCCCUUGUCUUUAUGUUUUCCUUUUCCUCUGUCUCUACUUCUUCUUCUUUUGUGCGUGCUUAACUCUCUCCAUCUCCCUCUACUCUCUCUGUUUUUGGCCUCCCUCCCCCGUCUCUACCUUUUCUCUCUGUCUUUAAACUCUCUCUGUCUCCCUCCCUCUCUUUUUUUUCUUUGUAUUUAAACUCUCUCUGUUUCCCUCCACUUUUCUCUUUUUCUCCCCCCACUUGCUUUCUUUUCACAGCUUGUAUAUAUAGUCAAGCGAAACUUGGAGGCCCCUCUCCUCCUCCUCAUCCCAGCCGUGUGUAUUAGGGAUGAAAUCCCAGCCCUUCGAUGGUGUGAGGCUCCCUCUGCGUCCUCUUCCCCUAGCUGGCACUGGAGGUACAAAGCCGUUCCCUCUUGCAGCUGCCAUCCUAGCAUGAAAAGGGGGACUGUUUUGUGCAGUGCAAGGACGGGAGAAAUGCCAAAAACAGAAAAUGGCAAGAAACAGCUGCAGAGGAGGGAAACGGUUGCAGACGGGGGUACAGUACCAUGCUUAUUAAUUCAAAAUGGGGCUGCUCUCAUACGGCAUCGUUUAGCUAAAGAAGUGAAUUAAAAAAAAGACAAAGACGGUGUCGUUUAGAAAGGCAGCAGAAACGUAACCCCUCGUGGCAGAAUUUCUGUCAUUUUCUAAUCCUAUCCCUGUUUUUUCUAUUUCUUCCCAAAACCCAGCCAAGCUCUUCCAGUCUUUAUCUGCAAUUAACUCCCUUAUUUCAGUUUUUUCAAUUCAGUCCUGCAGACUUGGGGGGCAAAAAUCCAUCCUGCGGCAGAAAAUUUUUGUGGCAGAAUUUCCUCGGCAGAAUUUUCACUUCCUCAUUAAAUAUUCAAACGUAAAUAUCUUGAGCUUCUGAUAUCGAAAUUAAGCGAUUCAAAAACUCAAAUUCAUCUACACAUGUAGGACUACAACUUUCAUGAAGGAUUCGAGGUGAGAUAAAAUUGUUUUACAGAACAGAUUCGGGCCGCAAUCUGAUUGGUAAAAAAUGGUCUCCUGAUCUGAUUCAAAAACUGACGAAUGCCGAGCAUCCCGAUAUGACUGAGAGUAUAACCUAAGAAUAACAACCAGAAAAAUCAUGAUGGAAGCAUAGUUUUUAGUGCGACUCUGGUCAAAAUCUUGCUCGCGGCAGAAUUCUCGUCAGAUAUUCAAACAGGAAUAUCUUCAUAAAAAUAAGUGACUGAAUGGUUUGUUGUAUUUCAUAGAUCAAACAGUACAGUAUAUAUAACCACAACUUGCUAUCAUUUCUACUAUUAAGGCUUUGAAGUCGUGAUCCAAAAUUAGCGGGAUAUGACCUCUGCUAAUUUUAGGCAAGUAAAGAUAUUAUUAAUAUUUACAUAGGUAUUUCUUAAUACUCCCCCUCAAGUUGGAGAGUGAAUAUCAUGAAGUCCCAACUUGUUGCGCAAUGUCACAAACUGAUCCUUUCCCAAUGCCUUUGUAAAAAUAUCUGCCAAUUGGAAGCGUGUAGGUACAUAUGAAGGACUAACCACUCCAGCUUGUAGUUUUUCUCGAACUAUGUGACAAUCAAUUUCGAUAUGCUUUGUACGUUCAUGAAAAACAGGAUUUGCUGCAAUAUGUAAAGCUGCCUGAUUAUCACAGAAUAAAGGUGCAGGAGCUGUUUGUGGGAUUUUUAAAUCCUGUAGUAUAAAGAGUAACCAAGUCAGCUCCAAACAUGUGUUGGCCAUGGCUCGAUAUUCAGCUUGUGCUGAUGACCUUGAAACAUUGGCUUGUUUCUUGGAUUUCCAUGAGAUGAGUGAAUUUCCAAGAAAUAUAUAGUAUCCUGUAACUGAUCUCCUUGUUGCACGGCAACCUCCCCAAUCUGAAUCACAAAAAGCCUUUAAUGUAAGAUUGUUAGUGGCAGAAAAUAACAAACCCUGACCUGGAGUCCCUUUGAUGUAUUUAAGGACCCGUAUGGCGGCAUCCCAAUGAGUUUUGCGGGGUUGAUGUAUGAAUUCACUUAACGUUCGAACAUGAUAGACAAUAACAGGCCUUGUGACAGUAAGGUAGAUCAAUCGACCAACUAGUCUCUUGUAUUUUGAUGGAUCAUCCAGUAAUUUUCCAUCUGUGGGAGUGAGUUUCAAGUUCUGUUCCAUUGGGAACUUGUCUGGACGUGCAGCUAGAAGUCCUGAAUCUUGUAAAAUAUCAAGUGCAUACUUUCUUUGAGACAUGAAGAUGCCUUUCUUAGACUGAGAGAAUUCGAUGCCUAAAAAAUAUUUCAAAUCUCCAAGAUCUUUGAUGCGGAAGCGUUUGAGAAGGAACUUUUUAAGACGUUCCAUUUCUUGAAGAUUAUUUCCUGUGAGAAGUAUGUCGUCAACGUAGAUCAGAACUGCAGUAAAUGAAGUGUCUUGAGCCUUGGUAAAAAGAGAAUAAUCAGCUUUAGAUUGUUGGUAACCGGCCUGUUGAAUGGUAUCUAAGAAGGUGGAAAACCAGUUUCUGGAAGCUUGUUUGAGGCCAUAGAGUGACUUGUUAAGCCGACACACAACAUUCUCCCCCUAUCGGCGAAGACCAAGAGGAGGCUCCAUGUAUACCACCUCAUGUAAAGCGCCAUGCAGAAAAGCAUUCUGCACGUCCAAUUGAUGGAUGAACCAAUGACGAGCAGCAGCAACAGCAAGAAGACAACGUACUGUAGUGAGUUUGGCGGUAGGGGAGAAAGUCUCUUGAUAAUCAAUGCCCUCAAUUUGAAUGGAGCCUUUGGCAACAAGCCGAGCCUUAUAAUGUUCAAUAGUGCCGUCAGACCUGUGUUUGAUUUUGUAGACCCAUUUGCAGCCGAUUGGUUUAUGACCAACAGGCAGUGGAACCAAACUCCAAGUGUUAUUGAGUUGCAGAGCUUCUAAUUCUGCAGUCAUAGCAUGACGCCAAUUUGGGUCAAGAAUGGCCUGGGCAUAGGAUGUAGGUUCUGUGUGACCUGUAAUCUUAGCAAGAAAGGCACAAUGGGCAGAAGAUAAACGUGAGUAGGUAAGGAAAUGAGAAAGAGGAUAUCGAGUACCUGAUGCAGAACAAGGCAUUAAGGUUAAGUGAUUGACGUGGUUGGACAUGUGGUAGUCUGCAUGCCAUGCUGGAGGAUGUUUAGUACGAGUGGACUGUCGGGGAGGGGUAAGGGGAAUGAUGGGCUGAUCUGGAGGAGUAGGGGUGGAUGUAAUGGGUGGUGACAGCUCAUAUGAGGGGAUGUGUGUCGGGGACGAAGGUGGGAUAGGAGAGGGGGGUAUAUCAGGUGCAUGUGGUGGGUUGCCAUUUGGGUUAGAUGGAUGGACUGGUGGGUUAGGUAUAUCGGGCAUGGAUGUCCAGUUGUCUAAAAAAACAGAGGAAAGUGGAGGAGUUUGAGAGGUAGAUGAGGUAGGAAUUUGAGAGAAAGGGAAGGAAUGUUCACAGAAUCGAACAUCGCGGCUAACAAAGAAUUUGUUUGUCUCUAAAUUGUAGAGUCUGUAACCCUUUUGGCCAGUAGGAUAUCCAACAAAGACACAACAUGUGGCGCGAGGGUCAAAUUUUUGAAUAGGAUGGACAACAGUUGCAUAACAGAGGCAACCAAAUACUCUCAAGUGAUCGAAUGAGGGGGGGCGGUUGUAUAGGAACUCGAAAGGUGAUUUAUUGGAGAGUAACGGGGAGGGUAAUCGGUUAAUGAGAUAGACAGUGGUCAAGACACAAUCACCCCAGAAAAUAAGGGGUAGAUGAGACUGAAAAAGUAAUGCACGUGCGACGGUUAGAAUGUGACGAUGCUUGCGUUCUACAACUCCAUUUUGUUGAGGAGUGUAAACACAAGUGCGCUGAUAUACAAUACCAUGAUUCUGAAAAAAUUCCCUCAUGGAGAAAAACUCUGAUCUAUUGUCUACCCGAAUGGUUUUAAUGUUGGCAUGAAAUUGAGUUUGAGCAAAAACGACAAAAGAUUUGAGGAGGUUUUGGGUUUCAGAUUUAUGUUGCAUCAAAAAUAUCCAUGUGCACCUAGUGAAAUCAUCCACAAUGGUAAGAAAGAAACGUGCUCCUGAAUGUGUGGGAAUUUUAUGUGGACCCCAAAUAUCACAAUGUAACAAAUCAAAUGCAGCUUUAGUGGAGAUUAAACUGAGAGGGAAUGGCAGUCUCGUUUGUUUGGCCAUGGGACAAACACUACAAUUAUAAUCAAAGGAAAUAGUUUUGGAAUGCAAUAAUGGAGAAGCUAGUCUAAAUGAGAUUUGGAAUGCAAUAAUGGAGAAGCUAGUCUAAAUGAGAGGAGAGGGAAACUUGAUAUGAGGCAGGUGUAUGUUGUAACCAAUCAUCUUCCCCGUAGCCAAGUCCUGCAAGACACAGAAGGUGGGGAAUAAAAUGGCACAACAAUUUAGAGAAUGAGUGAGUUGGGGAAUAAAAUGGCACAACAAUUUAGAGAAUGAGUGAGUUUACUGACAGACAUGAGAUUUAGGCGAAAAGAUGGAACACAUAAAACUUUGUCUAAUGUGAUAUUUGAAUUAAAUGGUAUGGUGCCAGUGGAAGUGAUUGGGGCACAAGAACCCGUGGGUAAAUUAACAAUCGGAAUUUGUGAGGAUUCAACUUUAGUGAAAAUUGUGGAGUCAUAAGUGAUGUGAUCAGUAGCUCCACUAUCUAAAAUCCAAGGUUUGGUGAACACAGAAUUUAUAGAAGGGUUGAAAAAAGAAGCCAAACCUGCAGCAUUAGCAUAAGCAUUGCUAUUAUGAGGAAUGAGUUGAACUUAUCAUAGAAACAGCUUGUGCUAGUUGGUGGAGUUGCUCUGCAGAGAUCUCAUUUAGGAGAUUAGAUUGAGAGGCUAGCUGGGAUGGCGCACUGAAGCCAUGUGACUGGCCCCUAUGCACUGGAGCUAUGUCUACUGCGUGAGUAGCAGGAAACAACCCACGCGGAUUAGUGUUCCCUUUCGAUCCUUGACGUUGUUGCUUGGAUUGGUUGUGUCUACUGGCUUGAGUUCCUGUGUUAUUGGGUACCCAUGUCCCAUUUUUAAAUUUACAACGAUCCUCAGUGUGUCCUCUCCUGUCACAAUAGUUGCAACGAAAUUUAAGGGUCCGACAUUCUUCAAUUGUGUGACCGUUUCUAUCACAAUGCUCACAGUGUUUGUUUGUAGAAUCAUUCAACAUAUUGUUAGAUCUGUUAUGAAUUGCAGCUGCAAUGGAAAAAUUGUCUGUUGAUGCUGAUGUUACCUGUCGCUGAGUCUCAUCUUGAAUGACUAGUGAAUAGGCUUGACGAACAUUGGGUAAUGGAGACAUCAUAAGGAUGUUGCUACGAACACCAUUGUAACUGUCAUUGAGACCCAUAAGGAAUUGCAUCAUUCGAUCUUCUUCCUUUUGUGCACUGUGUGCGUUCAUCUAUUUUCAUGUGACAGGGGUUUAAUGUGUUUCUUAAUUCAUCCCAGAGAUCUUGAGUUUCUUGUAUAAUCUGAAACUGUCAUGGUGCCUUGUGAGAGAGAAGCGAUGGAAUUUUGUAUCUGAUAUAUGGUUGGAGCAUUCUUUUGUGAGAACUGAUCUGUAAAAUCCUGCCACACUUGAUGAACAGUUUUGGCAUGGACAACUGCUUUGGCCAGAUCAUGUUCCAUUGAGUGAGCAAGCCAUGAUAAAAUCAUACUGUUGCAUCGAUUCCAGAGAGCAUACUCUGUUGCUUGUUCAGUUUCUGAAGGAGGUUGAAUGGUUCCAUUUAUAAAGCCAACUUUGUUCUUGGCUGUGAGAGCAUGAAUCAUUGAUUUACUCCAAGAUGGGUAAUUGGUGCCGUUCAACUUUAUUGGAACGAGCAUGAGACCGGGGUGAUCUGAUUGAUGAACAAAGUAUGGAUGUAAUGAAUGCAUAUUGAGAUUUUUGGAAUUGUUGUUUUUGGUUUCUGGGAGUAUUUGGUUGGACAAGGUUAUUAAAGGCGGCUGAGAUGUAGAAGGCGACAAAUACCUAGAUACUGCUCUGAUACCAUCAUAAAAAUAAGUGACUGAAUGGUUUGUUGUAUUUCAUAGAUCAAACAGUAUAGUAUAUAUAACCACAACUUGCUAUCAUUCCUACUAUUAAGGCUUUGAAGCCGUGAUCCAAAAUUAGCGGGGUAUGACCUCUGCUAAUUUUGGGCAAGUAAAGAUAUUAUUAAUAUUUACAUAGGUAUUUCUUAAUAUAUCUUGAGCUCCUGAUAUUGAAAUCAAGCAAUUCGAAAGCCAAAAUUUAUCUAUGUGUCCAGAACUACAACUUUAAUGAGGGAUUCGAAGUGAGAUAAAAUUGUUUUAAGGAACAGAAACUGGCAGCAAUCUGGUUGGUAAAAAAGAGUCUCCAUUAGCAUGUAUGGCUUUAAAAAAUAGGUAACAACAGAUGCCCCCUCUUUACGAAACUUGCGAAGCUAAAACUUGAGUAGCAAGUUUUGUAAAGAUAAAAUAAUUGAUAAACUAUCAAAACUCGAUGCCUUCUUAAAGAUGGUCUCAUUAUCCGGUGACCUACUUGUUUUAGACAACUCCACGUUUAUGGUCUAAGUAUCAGGUUACCUACCCGUUUUGCAAUUUAGUAGUUUUUUAGAAAAACUCUCACGUUUUUUCUAAAAAAUGGUCUCAAUGUCGGGUGACCUGCCCAUUUUAAUAUUUUUUAGAAAAAACUCCACGUUUUUUUUUUCUAAAAAAGGGUCUCAAUGUCGGGUGACCUGCUCGUUUUCAGAUUUGUUUUAGAAAAACUCCACGCUUUUUCUAAGAAAUGGUCUCAAUGUCGGGUGACCUGCCUGUUUUAAGAAUUUUAGAAGUCUAUCGGCCACUGAAAAUAAUCACGCCCCUGUUCUGCUAUGGAAUGGUUAUGCCCCUCCAAAAGUGGAUGUGUUCAUAUGGCUUCUUUUUCAUGGCAGUUUGAGUACACAGAGUUUUUUAGCUGAGAGGAGAAUCAUUAAUUAUGAGGAAUCUCACUGCCCAUUCUGCUGCAAGGAAACUGAGACAAUUAAUCAUCUCUUCCAUUGGUGUCCUAUAACAUGGUCUCUUUGGGGUCGUUUCUUGAACUGGUUCGGGUGCUCAGGUUGUCUGCACAAAGACCCAAAUCAAAAUCUACAGGAAUGGUCCGGUUUGAUUAAUGGAAAUUUUCAGCGACGUGCUAUUACCCUCCUCUGCAAAGGUCUGUACUGGUCAAUUUGGAUAGCGCGCAACCGCCUAAUCUUCGAAUCCAAGACUCUGGAUUGGGAUAUGAUUUUUUAUCUCACCUUUCACCGUUUGACCUUCUGGUUGAAGUCUUCAGUUAGAAAUUUCAGCUAUACAGGCUCAGAUCUUUUUAGAAAUCCUGAAUGUAUUAUGAACUGGACUAAUUAAUUAGGUCCUCGUCGCUUUGGUCUUCUCUUUUCUUUUAUAUUCCCAUUGUAUUUUAUCUUUCGUUUAGUUUCACCUACUUGAUGGGGCUGUUUAAUAUAUAAUUCUCUCGUUUACUAUAAAAAAAAAAAAAGUCUUUUACACUUAACCACCUCCAAACUAGUCAAUUUGCUCAGCACGAGACCCUUCCAUAUAAACCUCAUGUCAGGCACAGAUUCCAAGCGUAAUUUUUCCAAAUUUGUCAACCCCUGCAUCAAAAGAAAACAAGGGUACCAAUUUGUUAGAUAUAAUUCCUAAUAAAUUUCGUGCACUUUGGAAUAUGUAACAUAUAUUGGUAAAUAGAUGUUUCCUAGUAUGAUGUAGUAUAAUUUUGGUAAAUAGAUGAACGAAUUGUCCCCAAUACUUCAACCAAAAACUUAUCAACAAAAGGAUAUAAGUAGACACGGAAACAGGGCCUCAAUUUCACUCAAACUCCUUUUAAAAAAUACUUCCAUUAAUUGGGGGAAAAGCCUCAAUUUCACUCAAACUUGGAAAGCAUAAAGAUUGAAAAAUCUGUAUAUCAUUUCAUCAAGAGACAAGGAAUGAUACAGUUAGACAACUCCUUUUAAAUUUACUAAUAAUCAUCAAUUACUUCAGUUUCAGAAAUUUAAAGAUAUUUUAACUGAAUUAAAUAUUUGAACACAAAAGCUAUGUUCUUAUAUAUUAAAUCUAACAGAUAAUAUGAUUUCUAUGAUUAAUUGUUGGUAUUAAUAACGCAAACAACAAUGAGGCAGUUAAGUUAUGAUUUCUAUGUUUGUUAUAUAAUUAAAAAAUAUUUAUAUAUGUUUAGAUAAAAAAAAUAUCAUAAAAAAUAAAAAUAAGGCAGUUAUGAUUUCUAUGUUUGUUAUAUAAUUAAAAAAAAUCAAAUACUUUACUUUAAGAAAUUUGGAGGAAGAAAGAAUAAACUAUCGCAAUUGACAAUUUAAAUUAAGUGGAGAAAUAUAAAUUACGUACUUGUAGCUGUGCCAACCAAUUACCCACUUCUUCGUGGCCUUCAAGGCUAAUCUUUGCGAAGGCAAUUGAGCAUCAAAAUUCCUUGGACCUAAAAAGCUGUAAUUUGAUCUGAGCUCAAGAGACAAUUCUCUUAGCCGAGGGAAGUCUUUGCGAAGGCAAUGAGCAUCAAAAUUCCUUGGACCUAAAAAGCUGUAAUUUGAUCUGAGCUCAAGAGACAAUUCUCUUAGCCGAGGGAACUUGAUGAUGCCAUCUCUGUUAUGAGACAAAGAGACUGGGAAGACAUAUUACAGUUUAUCACAGAAAGAUUUGUUGAUAGUUUUUAAUUCUGGGAAGCAAAGAGACUCUGGAAUUAUUUCCCUUUCACCAUCCUCUUCUCUGAUAAUAUGCUUCAAUUCACCGCAGUUAUUUAUGAAAAGAACUUCUAGCUUUGGCAGACUUUGAGCGAGGGACGGUGUGAAGAUAAAUGCCAGUUUGUCGAGAGAAUUCAAACUCAGAUGAAUAAAACUUUGGAAGCUGACAUGUCUGGUGGGCCCCUUCCAUAUGCAUUUGAGCUCAGGUAACCCCCGCAACCGUAACUCUGUUAAAGAUGACAGCAGCAGCAUCUCCUUCUCCUCACUGCUUCCUUCAUCAGCCUCACCCAAUUCAAAUACCUCUUCCAAUGAUCUACAGCUCUCAACAAACACCUCCUUUAGAUUUUUCAAAACUUGCCGCAAUCUUGCUGGAAACAGAGUGAAAACAUCCCCACAAUCCGUCACGCUUACAGAUUCUAAUUUAUGUAAAACCAAUUGCUCAAAUGUCUUCGCAUUUAAGGAUGUACCAGCCAAAUUUAAUCUUGUCGUGGUUGGGUAUCCUCCUGCCACUAACCAAUUCCCUAAUAUCAUAUCAUAUUUGAGCAAGCUAACUGGAAAAACAAAAUCUCUGGGAAUGCAUUUCAUCUUCGGUAUCCUCAAUGAUAAUACGGCUAACUGAGACAACGAAUUUAGUUCUUUCAGGCUUGCAUUCAUUCCUCCUGUGCUGUCACAUCCAACAACAUCCCAUCCAUCAAAGCUGCGAUGCCCGAUCAACAGCUCUUCUAACUUCUUCAACCUUCCAAUCAAAUUCACAGGGAUCCUUCUUAGCCUUUGACAACCUGUUACAUCCAACAACCUUAACUCCUUGAGCUCUCCUAUUUCAUCGGGUAAUUCUUCAAUGGAUAAGCACCACUUAAAAACAAGAAUCUUAAGUCUCUGCAUCUUUCUCAACCAAAUGAGGUCCUUGCAUCCACACCUGAUCAACACCAACGAUUGAAGUUUCGUUGAGAGUUCAAGUGAUUGCAAUGACAAACACCCUCCCUUCAGAGACAGAACUUCAAUUUCUCUCAUCCCUUCAAAAAACUUAUCUGGAACAUUCAUACCAUCAUCCAGUUCUAAUAAUAGAACUUUGAGCUGUGGACAUACCAAUCCUUCAGGAAGUUCUGCUAGUUUAUUGCCCAUUAACGAAAUUGUU
rnacentral:lncRNA from 1 species